UUGUUGAGAGAAACGCCGCGGAAAGAGGAACGGAGAUGGGGAGAGGAAGAGGGAUUGGAGGAAGGAGGAGUGAGGAGACGAGAAGGUGAUGAGAAUGCGAGGAUUGUGUUGGUGGCAGCCAUGGCUGCUGCUGCUGCUGUGAUUUUGGUUUUGACGUUUGGAGGAAAUGAGUAGGCAAAAUAGUGUGAAUUGAGAGAUGAGGUUUUUGUUGGUGUGACUUGUUUCGGCCCACACAAAUACAAAUUGAUUUUUGAGUGCUUUAACAUUUUCCCAACUUAAGAACUUUUUUCCUUUUCUUUUUUUGUUCAAAACAUACUUUAGGACUUAAAUUUGAUUUAUUUAUUAGACACUUUCUUCACUUUAUUGCUAGUUUUUAUUGGCAAAUUAGUUCUUAAAAAGUUAACUAUAUGUUACUAUUUUAAGCGAAAACGUUAACUGAAACACAUAAUUUGGUUGGUUUAGAGACAAAUUUGAGUAGAAAUUAUCUAAGACUCGAUGCAGAACGAGGUUGUGGUCAUAGAGAAAAAUCAACUACAAGCCACCGUUUGUCCUCUCUAGUUAAUCAUUCAAAGCUUUUUCUCUCUAAAACGUUUUUUUAUCUCUCUAGAUUUUUUUCUUUGUGUCAAUGGUCACAAAGAUAUCUCUUAUGUCUCUCUACAAUUAUAUAUUUUAUAGACAAAGGAAGAGAAACCACAUAAACACUGAUGUCAUAAUUAAAGAGAUACUAAUGGUUUUUGGUAAUUUUUCCAAAACUAAACCGGUUCAGUAGACUGCCAAAUCAUGGAUGCAAACCGACCAUAAACCAACCAUAUAUAAAAAAAAAAACCUCUUUUACAAAAUUUAUUAGAAUUUUUAAAUCUUCACGAGGUCUAGAUAAAUUUUAAAUCCACUAGAUGAGUACUCAAGAUUGUAUACGCUAAGAGUUAAAUUAACGUAUACAAGUAAAAUUCAAUGUUUUAGUUUAAAACCGAAUAACAAACCGACAUCAUCUCGAUGAGGAGUUCUAUAAAUAAGCUAAUGGGCCGGCCCGUUAUGGCCCAAAGAUAGACAAAAAAAUAAAAACUAAGCCCAAAAGCAAAAGCUUUGUGUCCUCUCUCAUGGAAACUUGUUGAAAACACAAAAACCCCAACUCAGAGCUGACAAACAAACAACACAGAGCUCCGUCAUGAAUUUCCCUCGUCCACCGCCCGUCCCCGGCUUAAUCCGCCGGCCAGUCGGUCCCUCACCACCACCUCCAUCACCAGAUCCACCUCAAUUCCUCUCUCCAUCAAAUCAUCACCUCCCUUCUUCUUCAAACGGAGUCGUCGUCGUAGGCUUCCUCUCACGAAGACCAGACGAUUCAUCACACCUUAUAAACCAAGUUCUUGACAACAACGUCUUCGGUUCUGGAAAAUUGAACAAGAUCCUUACCGUUGAUAAACCGGAUUUUCAAGAUUGGUUUAGGUUCCGGAAGAUUUGUUAUUACCACGAAGAAGAUAAAGGAAUCGUCUUUGUGCAAUUCUCACCUAUCAUUUGCCCUGCUUUAUCGAGUUCUUCUGACUCGGGUUUUGAUUCUGUUUUGGAGGAACGAGAGUUCGGUGAUCUUCAGGGUUUGCUAUUUAUGUUCUCUGUGAGUUUUCUCUUUAGCUAAAGCAUCAAUCUUUCACUUCAAUUGCAACUUAUGUUACCAAAGAUAGGAACUUUUGAGUAUUUUGAACAUAGAGGAUUGAUUUAGGACGCUGAUAAUUGUUUUUUAAGCUGGAUUAACAAUGUGGGUUAUAUCGGUUUGUCUUUAGUUAGUUUAGACAUCUUGAUGAGGAAAAGAACUAGAGUAGGCAGAAGUUGUCUUGUUUAGUUUCUUAAUGAUUCUAGCAAUGCAGGUUUGCCAUGUUAUCAUAAACAUUCAGGAGGGGUCGCGCUUUGAUACUCGGCUUUUGAAGAAAUUUCGGGUUUUGCAAGCUUCGAAACAAGCUUUAGCCCCAUUUGUUAGGUCGCAGACAGUUUUACCUUUGACAUCAAGACUUCAUUCAUCGUCAAAUAAUUUUUCACAACUACACUCAGCUUCGUCGAGAGGUGGGGGCAUUGUAAGUCGCAGUGGUUCAUCGGUGUCUCUCAAGUCUGGUGGAGGCUCCUACACUUCUCUGUUCCCUGGACAGUGUAAUCCUGUUACAUUGUUCGUAUUUUUGGAUGAUUUCUCAGAUAUGUUGAAGUCCAGUUCUAAUGUAGAGGAUUCAACAACCACUUCAUCUGCUAAUGAUCAGUCUGUGAACACAGGAAAGCUUACUAGGUCAGAGUUACCGACGAAAAAUUCUGGUUCUGUAGUUGUUUUAUCUCGCCCAGGAAGUAAAUCUGAAGGGGGGUUGAGGAAAAAAUUACAAUCAUCUCUCGAAGCACAAGUUAGGUUUUUGAUCAAGAAAUGUAGAACGCUCACAGGUUCGGAUAACAAUCAUGUCGGUUCAAGAAGUGGGAGCAUUUCGAGUUAUGCACCGUUAUUUUCGCUGGAUGCAUCAAAGGCUGUUAUUCUCUUAGACCGAUCAAAUAAGAAAGGAGAGGCUUUGGAGUUUGCCUCUUCUCUUGUUGAUGAUGUUUUGAAUGGAAAGGCUAAUUCAGACUCUCUGUUGCUUGAAAACAAUUGCCAGAUGUCUACCAAAGAAGAUGUGCUAUGUGUGAAAGAGUUCAUCUACAGGUGCUCUGAUAUUUUAAGAGGUAAAGGAGGAUUGGCUGCUAAUUCAGGUAGUGCUGGCGUCGGAAUGGUCGCAGUUGCAGCAGCAGCAGCUGCUGCCUCAACUGGAUCCAGAAAAACGUAUAGUGCACCACAGCUGCCACAAUUGGAUGAAUGGCUCUCUUGCGGUCAUCAAAUUUUAGAUGGAAUUAUAACUGCGAAAAUUGUGUCUACUAAUGAAAUUGACCAACGCAAGAAGAAAUCUCGUGAAAGAAACAUGUCCCCUGUGAAAAAUGAAGCAAGGUCAUCUAAGGGCCCAGAAACUUUGGAUAUUGCUGUCUCUUUGUUAGGAAGUGGAAAAGGUCUGAAUUUGAAGUUUUCAUCCUUAUGGUGUGAAAGAGCCUUUCCGGCUGCUAAAGACGUGUAUUUAAAAGAUCUCCCCUCAUGUUAUCCUACGUUAGUGCAUGAAGAACACCUACAAAAGGCUUUAUAUACUUUCCGCUCAAUGGUCAGAGGACCAUCAGUGCAGAUUUUCACAAAGAGGUUACAGGAUGAGUGCAUAUCGAUAUGGGAAUCCGGGAGGCAGCUUUGUGAUGCUACCAGUUUAACCGGUAAACCAUGUGUGCACCAGAGGCACAAUGUGGAGGAGCAAUUUCUCCCUGGGGCGGAAAUCAUGUCACAUUCCAGUGGUUAUGUUUUUCUUCACGCAUGUGCUUGUGGCCGUUCACGGAAAUUACGUUGUGAUCCUUUUGAUUUUGACUCGGCAAAUAUUUCUUUUAACUGCUUUCCAGAUUGUGACAAACUUCUUCCUAGUGUUAAGCUUCCUGAAAUAGCUCAUGCAGGGCCUAUAAUAUCAUCUUCAUGGAGUCUAGUUCGAGUUGGUGGUUCGAGAUACUAUGAACCCUCAAAAGGUUUACUUCAAAGUGGGUUUUCUGCAAUCCAGAAGUUCCUUUUAAAAUUGGUACUCUCUUCGCAGAAAGAUGAUGCUCCAAAUGAUUUGCUGGUUGGGGAAUCGGAGAAAGCUUGUAUAUCUAGGGCAAAUGUAACUAUGGCUAAGACUAUCAGAACUAACAUUGAUUCUGCACCGGUUACCUUGGCCACAGUGACACGUGGAGAAUCUGUUGGUAAUGGUAGUAUUGGUGACAAGAAAAUUAGUUUUGGUAGAGGCCUUCCCAAUUUACUAAUGAGAAAGCCUUUCUCCGAGGUUGUUGCUGGAUCAAAGAGUACAGAUUUGUUAUUUCCUCCCCUUCAACCGAGCAGGCAGCCUCCUCCGGCCUUAGAAAAGGUUGUCAAGCAAAAGGUUUGGAAUGGUCUGAGUGAAGAGAGCGUUCAGGAUGCUUGUAAUCAAGAAUGUCAAGAGUUUAAGGACAUUUCUCGUGAUCAGGAAACCUUAGGCAUGUCUAGAGGUAUAUCUGCGACAGGCAAUGACCUUCCGUUGCAAAAUGGUAGUAAUCCUGUGCCAGUAAACAUGAAAGUUGCUGAGAAGGUUACGUCAAGCCCCGUGCAGAAACCUCUGACUGCUUACAUAGGGUUUGAGCACGAGUGCCCCAGUGGUCAUCGCUUUUUAUUGAAUACAGAGCAUCUUGCUAAGCUUGGCCCUUACUCUGUCCCUGAAGAAUAUUUUGAUCCUAAUUCUGCAGAAAGUUCAAAAAUUAAGACUGACACUUCAAAGCUGCAGAAAAAUAUUGUUUAUGGUAAAGGACGCCGAAAGACAAAUAGGAUGGCUUCUGGAGUGAAUAGGAUGAAAAACAUGGACAGGUCAAACCAAGUGGUCUCAAAAGAUAAUAUUUUUCCUGGAAAAAAAGGGAAUAGAAAUUCAGCUGAUAGUGAACCCAUCAAUCAACAUAUACAUAACCUUGGGGCCAAUAACCAAGAUAAUAACGCUGAAGACUUUGGGGUAGCUUUUUCUAUGCUGAAUAGAAACUUGCCGAUAUUUAUGAAUUGUCCACAUUGCUCAGCUGCUUUUGGAAAGAAAGAUUCUUCAGAUAUCAAGUAUGCGGGUACAAUAUCGCAGCUUCAAAGGAUCUUUCUGGUAAGAUAUGGAAGUAGCAAAUUUUCCUUAGUGAAAUUUGUACCUGGGGUGUUUAAUUUGUCACAUUAUAUUUUCUUAUUGCAAACGUUUUGCUUCCAGGUUACGCCUCAGUUUCCAGUAGUGUUGGCAACUUGUCCAGUGAUAAAGUUUGAGGUACUUUUCGCACUCUGAGAGCUUAUGUUAAUCCUUGGGUGAAGGAAUGAAUAUCUUACAGAAUGAUGUCUUGUGAAUAGCAGAAAACAUUACGCUUAACUAUUUUAUCUCAGACUAAUUUACACGUCUAUAAGCUAUUUCUAGUGAUGGUUCAUAGUUCUUUAUUGUUUCUGUACUGAGAACCCAAUAACUGGAUCUUUUCACGUUCAUGCUCUAACCUAUAAUUUGGUCGAUAUUCAUGAAUUUCACAUAACCUCUGACGUUAUCUCUACUUCAGGAGUCAUGUAUACCUCCCUCCAUCAUUGGCCGUGAACAGAAGUUGCAGUUCAGCCUUGGAUGUCCAGUGAUUUUACCACCUGAUAGUUUUCUCUCUCUAAGAUUGCCAUUUGUGUACGGUGUGCAACUUGAAGAUGGAACACAACUUCCUCUUAUGCCGUCUGCACAAGAACCUGAGAAAACUGCCUGGAUUGUCAAGGGCACGGUGCUUCAGUUUCUAACAAAAGAGAACGAUCUCGGUGAAAAACUCCAGACGUGAUGUGAAUUUGUCUACGCCUUUCAAAUUAUCAUCACAGCGAUGCUUCUCCCAUGCUGUGCACCGAGCAUGCUCCUCUGAACCAGAAACUCUCGGUAAGUUAUUAUCUGAUGGGGAAUGAGAUUCCACUUAUUUCGGUAUCUGCACGCAGUAUCAUGAUUCUUCAGUUGCCUAUAAGAUGCUUUUGAAGUCGGGCUUAAAAAGUUGAAGCAUAGAGUGAACAGAUAGGUGAUAAGGGUCACUAGCCACGUUUCAGGUACUCUUCCUUGUGGCCUCUACUUCGAAUUUUGUUAAAUCUUUUAGUUUUAAUAGAGUAAGAUGGUCUACUGGUCUGGUUCAGAUAGCUUGGAGAGCAGAGGAGACAGUGCAAACCUCAGCCAUGAUUGUUGAAACAAGUUUCUGGGAUUGGGACAUCUGAUGACUGUUUAUAAUCCAAAUAAAUGUGCUUUUGAAGUUUCCUAUCUUCUGUGUGAACAAAGCUGUUUUCAUAGAAAGACAGUCUUCUUAUUUAAAGAAAUUUCUUUUUCUGGUAGAUUCUUAGUUGACUUCUUCUAUGGUUUAACUUGUAAGAAGCUGAAGACAUAUACUAUUUAUAGUGGAGAAACAACUCAAAAACUGUCUAAAACUACAUAUGUCUAUAGAUGUCCAAAGUGUGUUUUUUUAUAACGGCAUAACCUAUUAACAGCAUAUACAUCUGUGUGCCCUUGUUUACAAAUUGUUUCUCCUUUUUCACUCUCAAAAGGAACCCAACAUUUCUUUUGUUAUCGUCUUCCCCAUUUUCACAAGAACUCUCACAUAAGAUUUUAUAGUUAUGGAUAUGGGGAAUGGGACAGGACCCGGGAUGUCGGGGGCUUUUAGUGGAGGCGGCGACGAGAUGAUGGGAAUGGGAGGUGGCGGCGACGUAAUGACGGGAAUGGUAGGCGGUGAGGUUACGGAGAUGAGUCCUGAAGUAAGAUGGAUAUUUGAGAUGGCUUGGUAUGGUGAAACUGUAAGAGACGAUGGGUUGAUUUGCGAGGAGCAUCCCCCUAAGCUGUCUUCAGAUGGUAUUUGGGAGAAACUUAUUGUGAAAACGGUAGGUCUUUAUUUUUGGCAAUAUCGUCUUCCGAAGCUCGAGAUUGUCAUCUUGCUCGUCUUUUUCCUUUGGCAAGCCUUUAAUAUCCUGUUCAAGAAAUUGCGUCUUUCUGUUCCCAAGUUCUCCUCUAUGAUGCUCGUGAGUUCUUCUUCUUCUUCUUUUUCUUUUUCUUCAAAACUUGUGUGUUUGCUACUGACAAAAUCAUUGCUGCAUUGAAGGCUGGGCUACUCUUGAAUGUUGUAGUUACUUUAUCGGGAGACAACUCGCUCAUUGGGGAGAUCUUAGUCACCAAAAACAGAGUCGACAUAGCAGCACUCCUUGGAUCAUUUGGAUUCUUGAUUUUCUGGUUCCUCAAAGGUGUGAAAAUGGACGUCAAGAGAAUCUUCAAGGCUGAAGCAAAAGCAAGAGUCACUGGAGUUGCAUCGGUUACUUUCCCUAUACUUGUUGGCUUCUUCCUUUACUCGCUCAAAUCAGCUGAGAAUCGACCGCUCAGUGCCAACGAGUAUGACAUAAUGCUGCUAAUGGAAAGCAUCACAUCCUUCUCGGGGAUCGCAAGACUCUUGCGCGACCUCGGCAUGAACCAUUCAUCUAUUGGCCGGGUCGCUUUAUCCUCAGCCUUAGUCUCUGAUAUAGUUGGACUCCUGCUCUUGGUGGCGAACGUUUCUAGAGUUUCAAAGUCUUUUAAUGAUGGUCUGUCUAUACUUUUUGAGAUAUCCUUAUUUCUCGUCAUUGCGUUUGCGGCUGUGAGGCCGUUAAUGUUUAAAGUAAUCAAGCGGAAACGAGAAGGGAGACCAAUCGAAGACAAAUACAUCUACGGGAUUCUCGUCUUGGUUUGCUUAUCUUGUAUGUAUUGGGAAGAUCUCAGUCAGUUUCCUCCACUUGGAGCCUUCUUUCUUGGCCUCGCCAUUCCCAAUGGACCUCCUAUUGGAUCUGCAUUGGUCGAACGAUUAGAGAGCUUCAAUUUUGGUAUCAUAUUGCCUCUCUUCUUAUCAGCCAUUAUGCUCAGGACUGAUAUCACUUCUUGGAAAGGCUGUUUGACAUUCUUUAGCAGCGAUGAUAAGAAAUUUGCGGUUGCGUCUCUCAUCUUGCUCAUCUUCUUGUUGAAGCUCUCUGUCUCAGUGAUUGUACCUUACCUCUAUAAAAUGCCGUUGAGAGACUCUAUUAUCCUUGCCCUUAUCAUGUCUCAUAAGGGUAUUAUCGAACUCAGCUUCUACCUUUUCUCUUACAGCCUCGUGGUUAGUCUCUCAUCUUUCGAUUCUUGAUCAUGAUUAUGAUUUCUUGCAAAUAACAAAAAACAGAAAGAUUCAUUUUUUAUUUCUUCUGAUUGAUGAUUUGGUACAGAUGGUAAGCAAAGAUACAUUCUCAAUCCUAGUCUUGUCCAUUGUCCUCAACUCUGUGUUCAUACCAGUAGUGAUCGGGUUUCUCUACGAUCCAUCUAAGCAAUUCAUGUGCUACCAAAAGAGAAAUUUAGCGAGUAUGAAGAACAUUGGAGAGCUAAAGACUCUUGUGUGCAUCCAUAGACCAGACCACAUAUCUUCCAUGAUCAACCUUUUAGAAGCUUCUUAUCAAUCCGAAGAGAGCCCUCUCACUUGCUACGUGCUUCACCUCGUCGAGUUACAAGGUCAAGACGUUCCCACUUUGAUCUCACACAAAGUUCAGAAACUAGGAGUCGGGUCUGGAAAGAAAUAUUCCGAAAACGUCAUUCUCUCUUUUGAACAUUUCCACCGUUAUGUCUGCAGUUCCAUUUCCAUAGACACAUUCACUUGCAUCGCAAACGCGAACCAUAUGCAGGAUGAUAUUUGUUGGCUAGCUCUUGAUAAAGCUGUCACACUUAUCAUUCUUCCUUUCCACCGGACUUGGUCACUUGACCGAACAUCCAUCGUAUCCGACGUUGAGAUGACCCGAUUUCUCAAUCUCAAUGUCUUGAAACAAGCUCCUUGCUCUGUCGGCAUUCUUAUCGAACGCCAUCUCGUUAACAAAAAGCAAGAACCGCAGCAAAGCCUUAAGGUAUACUUACAAUAUACAUUUUAUUAUUUCCGCCUUAAAAACCAACCAUAGUGGUCUAGUGGUUUAGGACUCGCUUUGUUAGUCAAGUAUAGCGCCCAUGUUGGUCGUUGUAGACGCUUUUAACUAUAUAGAAAGACUAAGCACACGGAGCUAUUUGAUGACAGGUGUGUACAAUAUUCGUGGGAGGAAAAGACGAUAGGGAAGCUCUGGCCUUUGCGAAGCGAAUGGGCCGACAAGAGAACGUAACAUUAACAGUUCUACGCCUCCUGGCAUCAGGAAAGAGCAAAGAAGCGACAGGAUGGGAUCAAAUGCUGGACACAGUGGAACUAAGAGAGUUGAUGAAAAGCAACGAUGCCGGAACAGUAAAAGAAGAAACAUCAACAAUUUACUUGGAACAAGAGAUAUUGGAUGGAGCGGAUACAUCAAUGCUUCUACGUUCCAUGGCAUUCGAUUAUGAUCUUUUCGUCGUGGGAAGAACAUGUGGCGAAAACCACGAGGCAACUAGCGGUAUAGAGAAUUGGUGUGAGUUUGAGGAGCUUGGAGUCAUUGGUGAUUUCUUGGCCUCGCCGGAUUUCCCGAGCAAAACGUCGGUGUUAGUAGUGCAACAACAACGAACGGUAGUCAAUAAUAAUUAGAAACUGAGAAGCAUAUUUUUGCUUUGUGGUUGUUGUUGUUACAUAUCUCUCUCUCCUUUGUAGCAUCUACAACAAAAGUUUGAAAAUAAAAAUAAAUGUAUGACCACAUUUUUCAUUUUAUUUGGUUUUUUGAUUGCUACUCUUUUUUGGUAGAGCAGAAAGAAAUUUUUUGAAGAAUGUUUUAAACCUUAAAGGCGUGUCUAUAGACGUUGGGAUGCUUAGAAAAACCAAACCGAGGGCUGCUUUAAUCGGGUUUACUACAGUGGUCAUCCCGUGUAUAUCCGGUUACAUUCUAAUGAGGACUAGGGAACAUUUUGGGUAGUUGGCAAUGACGGAACUUCAGUACCAAGAAAUCAUUAUAUUGCAAAGUUUAUUGACAGAUCUCAAGAUCAAGCAUUCCGAGUUUGGACGAAUGGUUCAGUCUUGUGCCGCGGUCACUGACUUAGUAAUCUUUAUAAUGGCCUCCGGGACGGUUCUUUUAAAAGGACAAAAAGGUUUACCACAUGUUAUGGUUAUUGUUUCGUUAUCGUCUUCUUGGUCUACAUCGUAUAUAUGGCCGGAAAUGUUAUGGAUUAUCAAACAGACUCCAGAAGGCAGGCCGGUUAAAGAUGUCUACAUCUACUUGGUUAUGGCUUAGCUUGGCUAAUGAACAAUAAUAUGUAAAGUUUAAUUUCUCAAAACAGAUGUUUGACAACAAGAGCUUCACUGUCGUUGCAGCUUCAUCAGUACUUGUCAGCUCGCUGUUGAUACCGAUCGCGAUAGAAUUCAUGUACGAACCACAUCCUAUCUUUAGUAGUUACCGAGAUAGGAACUUGCUAACCUUGAAACAUGACUGUAAGCUGAAGACCCUUGUAUAUAUGCAUUCAUAAGCCUGACCACAUAACCUCCAUGGUCAACUUUCUAGAUGUUUUUAACCCAACACAAGAUUCACAAUUGGAAUGCAACGUUGUUCAACUAGGGGAGCUCAUAGGUCAAGCCAGUCCUACCUUCAUUUCCCACAAGAUGCAAAAGCCGAGGGUUGGAACACGCUCUUACUCCCGCAAUGUCAUAACUGCAUUCUUAAAUCUUCGUAGACAUUUCACCGAAGAGGCAAUGUCCAUUGACAUCUUUACAUAUGCAAGCUUGGUAGAUCACAUGCACGAGGACCCCUUUUGGCUUGCCCUUGACAAAAUUGUAGCUCUCGUUGUGCUUCCUUUUCACCGUUCUUGGUCUGUUGACCGCUCAACCGUGGUCACUGACGACAAGGCCAUGCAGAAUCUCAACCGUAAUGCCUUGAAAAGAGCGUCUUGCUCUGUUGGAGUCUUCGGCUACCGGAAACCUCUAUGGGAAUCUCAAAUGGACGGAUCAUGUUACAAGGUACUUGAAAAAACAUGUUCUAAUGAUGGCUUUAACCGAUUUAUUUUUUUGCGAUUUAGAGAUCUAAUCUAAUAAUGGCUUUAUAACUCAAAACCAACUGAUGAUUAGUAUCUAUUUUGGCUUAUAUAUCUUCUAUACUAGUGUUGGUCCAUAAGCACUUCGAUGUGUGCUCUUACAAGUUCUAAAUCGGUCUCAUGGUUCUAAUGUCAGGUGUGUGCAAUAGUUGUGGGAGGGAAAGACGAUAGAGAAGCCUUAGCAUUUACCAACCGUAUGAGGAGAAACAAGCAGACAAGCGUAACCAUCUUACGCCUCAUCCCUCAACUUACUACGGGGGAAAGCGAUGACUCGGUGCAGAAGUUGGAUUUCGAGGACAAAAAGGGGAUAAUGAACAAUGAGGAGGAUUCAAAUGAAAAUGAUUCCAUGAUAUGUAUCGAAAAAAGGGUCAAAGAAGGGGCUGAGACUUCAAUGAUACUAAGAUCAAUAGCGUAUGAUUAUGCUUUGUUUAUAGUUGAAAGUAGCAGCGGAAUGAAUAGCGCGGUUACGCAAGGAUUGAAUGAACGGACAGAGUUUGAGGAACUUGGAGCCAUCGGAGAUGUUAUAGCGUCAAAGGAAUUUCCUUCAAGGGUAUCUGUCUUGGUCUUGCAACAGCAAGACAAACUUAAGACUUGAGAUUGAUUAUAAACAAAACAUAAAAUUACUUCAUUUAAUCAUACAAUUUGUCGCUAAAUUACUCUAUAAGACGGUGUUUAUUCAAGAGAGAAUCAACAAUCUCGAUUACAUCAUCACUAGAAUUAAAAUUAGAUCCCUGAAAGUUAUGAAACAUGCAAGAAAGGUACACAAUCAAUGAGAUGCAGAACCGGAUUUUACUCACGUUAGAGCAAGCGUUACGGAAUCAAGUGAAUGGCUUGAUGAAUUCAAAACCUUGGUUUAGAAGUGAUCCAGUGAUCCACAGCUUCAGGUUAGGCAAGUUUAAGCUCUGUUCAAAACAUGUCCCCUGUUUCCACCAAACUCAGUAAGAAAACGUAUAUUCGGGACUUAUAAACAAGAAAAGUAGAAGGGAACAAGUUACUUUACAUCUAACGUAUAUGUUAAGAGGUAUCUGUCAGGAGAAGGAGAGCUUAGGUUUGAGUUUUGCACUUGGAAACUUGUAAGAGACUCCAAAGACUUGUAAAGAGAUGGAGCAACACCUUCUCCUUUAUUACAUACCAAUCUCACAUAAAACCCUUUCUCCUCCACUUGAAUAACAUCCAUCUAACACAUCAAAACACACAAAUAUUCAAGCUUUGAUGUUUCAAGAAGAUUGUUUGGUUUUUCGGGUUAUUACCUGAACGAUUUUCUUGGAAACCGGAGGAUUGAUACCGCGAAAAGGUUGAGUCUUUUGAGCAUCCGGAGCAGGUUCUUGGUACCCACCAGUAGAGUUUAAAGAAGCUUCAAGUCCCGCGAUAUCGGAUUUGAGUUUCUUGGCUUGUGAUUGAAGUUCUUGAACAUACGACACCGCAUCUCCAACGAUAGAUGCUUUAUCCAUCUACACACACAUCAUCAUCAUUAUUUACAGUUUCAUUACCAAAUCUUGUGUCUGAACAUGUUAUGAUUUACCUUAGUAAUAUUGGGAACAAGAGAUCUCAAUGCAUAAAGCUUAUCCUUCAUACGACCUCUCCUUCUUCUCUCAGAGAUCAAAGUCCUAGACCGAUCAGUCUUCGUCUUACGACUUCCAUCAUUAUUCGUCGUAGUGGCAGAGGAAUCAUCACCGUCGUUGUAAUCUUCUUCUUCUUCUUCGCCGUUGGCUCUAACACUCUCACCAUCAAAGCUACGGAAAGAUUCAGCGACAUUGGAGUCUAAGUCAGGCAGUUCGUCGAACAGGUCAUCGACAGGUGUUGGGAUGAACUGGUUCUCGUCUAUGAAACAUGGGCUGUUUUGUAAUGGACCAAGAUCGAAAUCAAGAACUGGGUUUUCGUCGAUGGCUUGAUGAUCACCUCGUAUGAGAUUUAUGAACUGAUCGAAGUUUGGAUCGACCAAGAAAUCGUGAAGUUCUAGAUCGUUUAUGGUUGACAAAGCGUUGACUCUUCCUUCCAUUUGUGUUUUUUGUCAAAUGAAGAGAAGACUGUUUCGAAAGUUUCUGACAACGAAAGAGAGACAAAAUGAGUUUAUAUAAUAAAUACACUUUCAUUUUUUGUGUUUCAGACAAUUUAAUUUAAAACUAUAAAAUGAGUUUAUAUAGAAACAAAUAUAAUAUGAGAUAGUGAUGUUUUAAAAAUUUUGAGUGUGAAGUAAACUGUAUUAAAGAUUAACAUAAUAACUUACGAAAUCAAUUAUAUAUAUACAUACUCUUGUUAUUAGAUUAUUCAGUUAACGUUCUUGAUAAUGUCAUGCAUGACCUGUAUAUUAUAUGUAUAAAUUAUGUUACUCAAAUGAUUAAUUUGUCGUGUUGCAUGACAAUUAUAUGUUCCCAUUGUUCUUCUUUAUAUUUUAUCAUUUGAAUUUUUUUUGUGGUGGAGGGGAUGCAGAUUAGAAACAAGAACAUAUAAAUAACAUACAUUUUUCAUUAUUGGGAAAUAUUUUUUAAGCAUACCACUUUCCAAAAAUAUGAUUUUUUGUCCAAUUUUCUAAAAUACCACAGUUACGGAUUUAUAAAUUUCUACAAUAUAUAAUGCAUGUUAUAAAAUAUUUAACGUUUAAUAAAAUUUUACAAGACUUUACAAAAAAUUUAUAAGACAUGCUAUAUAAUGGUAUUUUUGAAAAACUUUUCUCGUAGUGAUAUUUUUGAAAAAUGGUAUCAUAAAAGUGAUAUUUCUAAUACUUUCUCUUCUUAAUAUUUUUGUUGUCUAUGUGUGGUAUAAUCUUACUGUGAUAAAUCAUCUAUCCAUAAUAGUUAAAUAAAAAGAUAAAAUCAUUAAAAUAGCUGAAAUUCAAUCUUGUCCAAAUGACUCAAAAAUUAUUUUGCUAUCUGAAAAAAAAAUAACAUGUUUUUUUUUUGCUAUGAGUGCAAAUACUCUUUACAGAGGUGAUAUUUACUAUUUAGUAUAAAACGAAUUAGGAUAUAAAAGAAUUACACGGUUUUGUUUUAACCUUUAGAAAAAAAAACAAGAUUUAUGUUCUGUUUUGUCAGUUUUCCCCACCUAUUCCAAAAACAUUCAAUCAAAUUCAAAUUUAGAAAGAUUAUUUAUAAAAUAGUAUAAACACAAAAUAUAAAAUAUUCAUUACAAAUAUAUCAGACAUUCGUUUAUCAUAUUUUGGAUAAGAUUUGAUAAAUUUAGAAUCUUACAAAAGUGAAAGUUAAAACCAAAAUAAAUAAAUGUAAUCGACAUUCUCAUCAAUCUUGUUGGUGUUAGCUUGUUAGGCUAAGGCCUAAUCGGUUCUUUAUACUAAAAAUAGUUUCAUAUGUCAUCAGUGUAUGAAAGGAAUCAGAAGAGAAGUUUAUCCAUCCACUUCCUGUUACUAUAUAAUUGUUUUAUUUAGUUUAUGAAUAUAUUUAUAUAAAUAAUAAAUCGAUCAGACCGUAUUAAAAAGAUGUUCAGAAGCAUUAGUUUGAGUUCGAUAAUUUAGAAAAUAAUAUUAGACGUACAAAUGUCAGUGUACUCUUUAUAUUUUAGAUCCACAUGUAUUAUUAUUUUUUAAUGAUAGGAAUUAGUUUGCAAUCGGCUUAUUACAAUUGUAGAUGUCAAAAAUCCUGGAGAUGUGAUUUAAUGAUUGGAAUCACAAAAUUGGGGUCAAAAUCUUAGUUGAGAAAGCACAAAAUUGAGCUAUUGUGCAAGAAAAUAUGUUUAUCGGACUAAUAGUCUAGGUUGACUCAACUUAAGUCAUAAGGCAUUUAUCGGAUUUGUUGUCUAUGCAUUGUGACCAUUCGGUCAAUCAAAUCGUAUGAGAUUUGUUAAGUAAGUUUGGGGGUGGAUAAUAGAGAGUGGAAGCAUGUAUGGCUUACUUGUUACAAACUAGACUCUGGAUUAAGUAUUUGAGUCUUGAGAGGUAAACUCGGUUUAACUGUCACAAGCUAGAAUGUUAACAUAGUUAGUUAUAUGGCACGCUUUGUAAAAUCCAUAAUGGGUUGUUUUAACGGAUUUUUUUGGAAUUUGCAGAUGACUAUGGGGCAGAGUACAAGGUGUGAACUGAGGUUUGAUCUCAGUGUUUAAGUUGCUUUUAUAAUUCGCUUGUGCCAAAUUUCUUAAAGAUUUUUUUUUUAGCGCGAUAACCUAAUUCGAGGUGCGGUGCAAUACAUCUUCAGUAAUCAUAGGUUUGUUAACACUUAGCUUUUCUCGGAAUUUUAAAUGGUACCACCGCAUGAUUUUUGGCACGGAUAAGUGUAACACCCCGGUUUUAGGAAUAUGGUAGUGCAUGCGGAGAAGUUUAAUAGAAUUGAUUUGGCCACCUAUGUCACCAAAGUGCACUUAUCUUUUCGGUCAACUGUCCAGAGAGAACUCCACAAUUAAGGGUGCUUGAAUUGGAACAAUUUCAUGAUGAGUGACUUUCUGGGAAGUGAUUGUCGGAACUGUGUGAGUGAGGACAAAACACAGAGAAAGAUCAUUUGGUGAUUUGUAGGGUCGGUAAACAAAUCUUUAAAAACCUCCCGGACAUAGCGAACCGAUCGUCGGAAGAUGGUGAGCCCACGGGCCGAGAGAGGACGUGGGGCCUAUUAAAAAAAAUAAGGAUCGGAUCGUUACAAUAAGGCGUUAAGAUCAUUGAUUAUGGUUAUGCUCGCUUGAUGGCAUUUUACGAGCCAUGUGUUACCCAUAAUCUGCUUAUUAGCUCUUCUCAUCUGCUUAGGCUAAUCUUUUUCAAGUUCUUCUCAAUUUUUCAUGUUAGUGCAUUUCAAAAUACUUCAAAAAUAUAAAGUUUGUUGUCCCAAAAUUAAGAUCUUAUAUAUAUAUAUAUAUAUAAGGGCUUCUUCAACGUUACGCCAUCCCACUAUAUUUGGUGUAAUAUUGUUCAUAAAACACCAAAAAAAAAUUAUUAUUUUAUUUGUAUUUUGAUUUAUAUACUUUAAUGAAAUUAUUAUUUAUCAACUAAAAAUCAAAUAUACCAUCAAUUUUUGUAUGUUUUUAUUUUUAAUAAUAUGUACUUUAAAGUAUAAUUAAAAUGAAUAAUAAUUUAUACAUAAUUUUUAAGGAAAUACUAAAUUAAUUAAAACUGAAAAUACAUAUUAAAGUUCAAUUAAAUACUGACAACAUAAAAUUACAAAAUUAAACUAUUAGUAUUUAUCAAACUAUUAAAAAAUAGUGAAAAUCUAAAAUUUAAUAAUUUAAUAAUACUAAAUUUAUUUUUGGUGUGAGAUUUGGUGUUAAUAGUUGGAGAUGAAAAAAAAGUAGUACACCAAAACACCAAAUUUGGUGUUAAAAUUUGGUGUUUUGGUGUAUUGUUGUUGGAGUUGCUCUAACUCGUUGCACAAAAAAAUGAUAUAUAAAAAACUCAUAAUAUUAUUAAGCCGGCUCUGAAUCGAUGGAAUAUCAUAGCAUUUCAUCGCUCUAAUCAUUUACGGAUAAUCGCAAUUAACUAUGAAGAAGCCUGUUCAAUGCACGGUUUUGGUUCUUGUCUCAACAAACAAACAAACAAAGGCCAUUUAUUAAAAAAAAAAACGCAAAUACCUCAAGUAUAAAAUAUUAGACUCUUGGCCGGGAGGACAAUAAUCAACAAUUUAAAUAUAUCAAGUUGGAAUAUUUUAUCACGUAUAAACCGUAAAACAAAAAAAUUAGUCAACCAAUUAUAGAUUCCUUCUAAGCUUCUAGCAGUUGCUUUUAUUAACGAAAUUGAACGUUUGAGCAACAUUGGAUUUUCGGGAUAUUCCAGAACCCUUAAAACCUCGACCAAUUUCUAAAAUAUCAAAAAAAAAAAAAAAUCCAAUUUCUUAAAAUAGUCUGAUAUUUUAAUGAUAUUUUCCCAAUCUUGGUAAAAACAAAUACUCGGAUUAAAACUGAGGAUUAAUCUGGGACUAGUUUUAGGGUUAUUUUAAUAUUUUAAAAAUAUAUUAAUUUAAUAUUGUUUUCAAAAUUACAGUAAAAACAUAAAAAUAUAUUUUAACGCAAAUUUUAUAUUUUUAUUAAAAAUUUAUGACUUUUAUUAAAAUUUGAACAUAAAUUAUUGUAAAACAUCACAAACUUCUAAUUCAAAUGUUUGAAUAACAAAAAAAAAAGUUUUUUUUUUAAUACUUGCAUCAAAAAAUAAUCAGGAUAUGUAAGAAUAGGCGGAAAAUAAUCAGAUUAGAAAGGAAUUAAUCGGAUUAGGCGGAAAGUAAUCGGGUGACUGAUUUUUUUAAGAGAUUAAUCAUUAAUCGAGACGAAUAGGGUGGAUCUAGAGAUUAAGCGGGAGUAAUCGGAGUAGACAGGGAUUUUCACAACAUGGAUUAUAGCUGAAACCAGUUGAAAUACUUUUACUCUAAUUUUUUUGGAGGACAAGUUUACCGUGCUUUUUCCCUUUUUUUUAGCUAAAACAAGUUGAAAUCAUUUUUUUUUAAGUUUUCAACUUGAUUGGUAAAAAAGUAUAAGAAUUGAGAGUAAUUGUAAUUUUUUUUUUCAGUUGAUUCUAGAAAAGAAAAUUGGUGGGGUGAUCUGACUCUGUUGUCGCAAAUCUAUCUUUAUUUUUCCGACAAACCACCAAUAAAUUCAUUGUUAAAUCGCAAAUAGACAAUCAAGUCGAUAAAUUUUAAAAAUAGACUAUUUCAUUUUGACGGUGAAAUUUAUAAUUGAUACAGCGUAAAUCCAUCGUUAUAUGUAACAAUUCAAGAACCCUUGACUAAUGCAACUUCUCCAUUUUCACAAAACUAUCCACAACUAAUAAAUCACAUAUUUACUUCGAAAAUAUUUUGAUACUUCACCACAACAAAUAUGAGAACUCUUUUUCUUUAUUUUGACAUUUGGAACAAAUUCAAUUUUGCUGUAACCUAUCACAUCUUAAGAAACAUAACUCUGUUUUUUGUUUUAAUCUUAACUUUAUGCAUGUCAACUAGAAAAGAACUUAUAUUUUUCACCCCAACAAAUAUGGGAAAAAUAUGACAACUCCUUUUCCUUUCUAUGAAGACAUGGAACAAAUUCAAUUUUCUGUGACUUAUCAGCACAUCUUUAGAAACACAACAGCGGAUAAGUCAUGAACAUCAAUAAAGUAUUAUGUCAGAUUUUCAGAUAAACCGUAACUUUCGGUUACAUUUUUGAGAACCGAAAUGGCAUGGAUUCACUAAUAAAACCAAACCUACCAAUGACCACACCAAUCAGUAAACAAUGACCACACCAAUCAGUAACAGUGGUCCAUUUUCUCUUCUCACAUCACAUCAAAACAUUAAUACCUUUUGUUACCAAACUUUUUUCUCUCUCAAUUUACUUACAACUUUUCUUUGCCCAAUACCAACAUUUAGUGCUCUCUGAAUCUUUUUAGGCUUUUUAUGAAACUUUUUUGCCCUUUCUCUUUUUCUCAUACCACCUUUCCAGAUUUACAAUCAAAAUGGAGAAAGUUGCCGCCACAAAACAAACCAGAAAAAGGGUCUUCUAGAUUUCAAAAUUUUCGCUUCAUACUCUUGGUUAAGGCUCCUCUGAAGGCACUAGUGCUUUCGAUUCGAUUCUAACUCGUGCUCCUGAAGCAAGCCUGUUCAAGAUACAUACAAGCUUUAAAUAAAUCUGAAUAUGAAUAAGAUAAGAAUGAUAUGUUCAUAUCAAUAUAUUGAACAAGAUUCAAGAAGUUUAUGUUUUACCUUUCGUCGAUCUUAAUAACUUUCUCCUCGUCUUCUCUGAAUGAAUCGGGCUUCCUCGAAGAUUCGGUUAUUCUUUUAGUGGGACAUGGAAUGUUCUUGGUAGUAUCUUCUGAUGAGUCUCUUUUCUUUUCUGAGACAGGAGAUCUCAUGGACUCGCUACGUGGUUGUUGCUUGCCUAAUAUAGACGAUGCCUUUCCCGAGCUUGGAUUGUAUUUCGAACUACCCGGUUUUGAGUCUCCAUUCUCUGCUACACCCAUUUGGUUGGAUGCCCUGAAAAAAACUCACAUGAGAUGUGUCCUCAAGAAUUCACAGAGAUGAAGUUUACUACUCAAAUCAAGAACAUUUCCAAUCACAGAGUAUAACUCUAACAAAAAACUAACUGUCUUAAGUGUUGACAUCAAAGCAUAGGUGAUUCAGAAAUCUACCUGUCACCAUUGUAGGAUGAAGAACGCUUAAGUGAAGCAUCAUUAGCUUCUGCUGCAUCCUUCUUCUGUAGCUUCGUCUCGACUAAGCUCCCACUAAAAUACUCUUUCUCCUCCAAUCUCAUACCCAUUAGACUCGGAGUUUCCGACAAACGGUCAAGAUCCCCCAUCAUAAACGACGAGGAGAAAAACGGAGACGGAAACUUCGAGUGGCCAAAUUUCGGUUUGUAAGUUGGGACAAGGCCGAAACUGUUAUCCUUGACUGAUAUUGAACCACAUGAUAUCAACUGCAUCAGCAUAUUCGAGGCCCUCAGCCUCGGAUUAGUGGGCAUUCGAACAUCUUCUUGUUCAAGAAUCCUAAAACUAUUCAUUUUACGAACAUCAGCUCUUAUUAGAGACUCCAAUGUAUCAGUCUUUGCGCCUAGCGAAGAAGCACUAUUGGAAAAAGGCGGUGAGAUAGAGUUUCUUGAUAUUUCCGCACUCUCCCUCUCCUUCCCCGCACACGAAGCUUCACUCACGAUAUUAUUUUCGCUGGUUUCAUGUUCUGGUGACCCAUCUUCAUCAGUUGAAACACCUCUACUGAAGGUCUCUAUAGGUUUUUGAGAACAACCACUCACAGUUUCAUCGGUUUGAGUAGACGCAUCUGCGAGCCCCUCGCUCUUAUAAACUUUGUACUCAGCCAAACACCAAGAAGACGAGUUCUUCGCGUCUCUAGAAUCAGGCGAUACACCAGACGAGGAAACAGAGCGAACAGCUGGAGGAGAAAGCUCAUCAUCUUCUUGAGAAUGCUUAUUAGUUCCCUUCCCAUUAUUCAUACUCGAAGACGAAGACGAAUCAUCCAUACUUCUAGAUGAUGGUGGCUCGACAACUAUUUGCUUCAUGUUUUGACUCGCUAAGUUCAUAAUUGGACUAAAGUGAUCUGUCCACAACAACAUAGUUUUUUUUUAGCCUUCUUCAUUGAAACUAAAACCAAAUGAUUACAAAACAAAAUGUUUGUUCACCUGAAUUGGAUUCAUCAAAUAGCUCAGAUCCUUUAAGAACAUACUCAUUCCCAUUAGCUGGUAAAAUCAAGUCAUCUUCUGAUAAAUCAUGCCAAACAAAACCAUUCCUAUAGCUUCUGCAAGUCAAAAUCAAGAAAACAUUGAAUCUGAAAACUCUUUCUUACUUCAAAAGAAGUAAUGAAUGAAUGAAAUCAAGAAAGUUAUAUAAAUACCUCUUACUAGACCAAGAAUACAUUGAAGCCAUUCCUCUACCUCUAAGAACAUUAAGCCUCUCUGUAACAUCUACAAAACAAAACCCAAAAACAUAAUUGAUUCCUUCACAAUUCUUCAAAAUCUCACAAACACUUUAAGCAUUUAAUAACAUUACCUCUUAAGUAUAAACCAUUUGGAGAAGAAAUCAACACUUCCAUGAAAUGAGGAUGCUCAAGUUGACGAUUCUUGGAGAGGUAAUAAACAAUUUGAACUUUCUUAAUCUUUUGAUGAUACUUUGGUGAUUUCUCAGUCCAGACUUUUGCUCUCUCUGGACUCACUUCUCUGCUAUACUUCUUCAUCCUUGCUUCCAUGUUUUUAUCUCGCUGACCCUUUUAUUAAAAACCCCUAAUUGACUAGUUCCGACAUUGUUCUCUGUCAGAUCUAUCAAUCUGGAGGAACGAUGGAAGAGUUAGAGAGAAUCUAACAGAGCUUAAGGAUGAAGAAGAGAGAGAGAGUUUCAGCAAUUAAUGUUUUUUUUUAGAGCAGUGGAGAUUAAUGGAGAGACAGAGAGACGACAGUAACAGUGUUAGAGAGAGAGAGAGAGUUAAAGCUUAUUUUUUCAGACAGAGCUAUUUUGUUUUGUAACGAGGGAAAAAAAACACUGAAAAUCACUGUGAUUUUAUUCGCUCGUGUCUUUUUCUUUUUUGUCUAUUUUUUUAUUUAAUCAAAUUAAAGAAAAUUUCACAAAUAUUUUUUUUAGGUUUACUGGAUAAAUAAUUUGGAAUUUUUAAUUAGUUCGUUUUUUGUAGUUGAUAGUUUAAAAUCAAACCAAAGAUUGAAACAGAGUAACAGACUUAACAAUUAAAACUGGAACAGAAAAAAUUUGACAAAAACUGUAAAGAUUGAAUUGGCUUCUAGAGACAGAAGCCAAGAUUUUUAAUUAGUUUUACAGAAAGAAAGGAGAUUUGAAUUAGAAUUACAAUAAUUUAGUGAAACUAAUAUAGAGUAUUGUUUGCUUUAUUUGAAGUAGUAUAAUAAGUAGUAUACACAUAUUCAAAUUCUAGAACUUUCACCGUAAAAAGGUAAUUUUAAAAUAAUAAAUUUUCGUAUAGAGUAAUCUUUUUUUAUUCUCAACAUUUUUUUUUUGAACCAAACAGUUAAACUAAAAUAAAAAAAUUUUAUUGGUGAUCUAGUCAAGACGAUAAAAUUAAUUACAAAAUAUAAAUAAACUCAUUUGCGUAGUAGGGAUUGGCUAUGGAUCGGGCCUUGUCGAUCCAAAGAUGUCAAAAAAAAAAAACUCAUUUGCCAGCUCACAUAUUCUUCUGACUCCCUCUAAAAAUUAUGAUUUUGUAUCCUUAAGCCAGAAUCCAGAAAACAAACAUUGAUUUAGUCCAAUAAAUAUAUAAAUCAUUUUAGGGGUUUAUGCAAUAUACUGAAAAAACAUAAAUUUCACAAUCUGUUAGUGAGGAUCUCGGAGAGACGAUUCUCGCACUCAAUCAAAGCGUACAGUAUAUUUUUUGUAUCUCUUGUAAUUCAAUGUUGAUUAGCUUAAUUGGUUAGCCUAAUUAGUGGCAGAGAUCUUGGAGUAUCUUGUAUAGACUCUAUAUAUUGUAACUUCGACUAUCAAUGAAAGACACCAUUUCCAGAAACUGAAAACUAGCUCUACAUAAUCCAUGGCAAAUUUGUGUUAAACCAGAAAUGGAUCCACGUAUUCCGUGAGUUCAGUGAUAUAUUUCCAGUUUUUAUAAUUUUUUAUAUUACAUUAUUUUAAUAAUUUUUAUUACAAUACUAUUCGAAAAUAUAUGAAAUUCUAUUAGUAAAACUACGAUAAUAUAAAAAUAAUAAAUGGUAUAGAUUUAGUGAUUUACAAGUCCACUUAUGAUAUACUACAUAUAUUAAACAUCUUUUUUGUUGUUGUUUUUGUUGUGCAACUUAGUAAUCCAAUGACCGUUAAUUAUAUAUUUUCUCUUUUAGGAGGUGUUAUUGGUUUGUGAUUUAAAUAGACUUUUAGUGACUUUAAAUGUUAUGUAGAAUCUGUUGUUAUUCAAUCAAGAUUUUUUAAAAGUUUGUUAAAGUUUGGUGUUAUUAAUUUAAGAUUUGUAAAAAGUAAUCUAAAAUCUUCAUAAAUCUGGAGUUAUUGGAUCCAUACUCUUAUAAAGUCAUUAAAAGUUUUGUGUUAUUCAAUUACAACAAAAGGAUCUAUGAUUGUUAAUGAAUUAAAUUAUUAUGUUAUUGGUUUAUGACUUUCUACACUUUUCUUCACAAAACAAAGUCAUGAAAAGUAUCAUCAAAAUAGAAAGAUUGUUUGGGAAACUUUACAAGAUUAUGACAUACUAAUCAACAAGAUUAUAUAAAAUUCUCAAAAACUCUCUAACAAUAGUUUAAAUUCUUUCAUUUUACUUUCUAUGAUUUUAUUAAAGUCAUCAAAAUUCCAUGUAAAUUAGGAACUAAUAACACCCCCUAAGUGCAUAAAUCUUCUAGUGCAUAAAUCUUCUAGUGCAUAAAUGUAUAUGCAUAACAUCUUCUAAAUAUAAAAUGCAAGUGUGACAUUUUAAAUGUGAUUUUUCUUUUCUAAAUUUAUAUCUUAUUUUAUAAUAUAUAUUAGUUUCUCUUUAGACCUUUAGUUUUCUGAGACUAAUUUUGUCAUCCAGUUCGGAUAUUUCUAUAAUCUACUAUAUUUUUUUGUUUAUGUUUUAUAAAAUUCAAUGUUGUCAUUGUGCUCUUUCACCUAUUUUUGAUAUUUCUUAAAUAAUUGUUUUAUAGUUUUAAUAAGUGCAUAAUGUUUGUAUUAAUAUGAAAUGCAUUUAUGACCUUUCAACUUCCAUUCUUUCUAACAAAGAAAAUACUUUCAUAUAAUUUUAGAAAUACCAAACAUAUUGAUUUUAAGUAUGUGAUAAGAUUCAUUGAUAUAUAUAUAUUUAAAACUGAAAAAUAUAUGACCUUUCAUCUUUCAUACAAUUUUAGAGUCAUCCAACAUACUGAUUUUUAAUAUAUCAAUUUUAAAAUAAAAAUAAAAUUUUAAAUAUUAUCAAUCUUAAACACUUUUCGCUAAAUUCAACUUAAACACUUUUCGCUAAAUUCAACUUAUAUUAUUACGCAUAAUAACAUAUUUCAUAUUUUUAUACUUAUAAUAUUAAUUCAUUUGUAUUUAACUUCAAAAUUUUUAAUAAUACAUAACACUAAAUAUAAAUAAGUAUGUAUUAAAUGAACAUUUUAAAUAAAUUAUAAUUUAUAAAUUCUAUUUAGAUAGACGCUUAGGUGGACGCUGAUGUGGAUGCUUAUGUGUAUAACCUAAAUAGAGAGAAUAGUCUCCUAUUAUAUAUAUAGAUCAUUUGUAUUUAACUUUAAAUUUUUUAAUCAUAAAUAACAAUAAAUAUAAAUAAUUAUGUAUUGAAUGUACAUUUUAAAUAAAUUAAAAUUUAUAAAUUCUAUUUAGAUAGAUGCUUAGGUGGACGAUGAUGUGGAUGUUUAUGUGUUUAGCCUAAAUGUGGAGAGAACUCUCCUAUCUUAUUAUAUAAAGUAUGAUUUUCAAAGUUAGUAAUUCAUAAGAUUGUGAUAUAUGGCAUAUCUAUCGAUCUAAAUUUUGAUACGUGUAUAACCAAAAUUUCCUUAUAAAAACAAAAAUUAUUGUAAGUAAUUAUAAAUUUAAAUAAUUUUAAAAAUGUAAAAGAUAAUUAUAAGGAUAAUUGUAAAUAAUUAAUAUUUAUGUAAACAAUUUAAAAAAUAUCAAAAGAUAAUAAUAAGGAAAUUAUACGUUUUAUAAUUAAAAUUAUAUAGUUCAAUUAAACAAGGAAAAAAUGAGGCAAAUUUAUUAAAAAGGAAACAUAUGUUAUUAUAUAACUACUACAAUAUAUUUUUGUUUCUGAAAGUUAGUAAUUAAUAGUAUUAUGAACCGUUAUCAGUCAAAGAUUUUAUCAAGUGUACACAUGACAUUCAUGAUUUAUUUUAAAAUUUGAUAUUGUUUAUCUCAAAUUCCUUUCCAAUUAAAAAUAUAUGAUGGUUUAGUUAAACUAAUCCUCAUAUUAUUUAUUUGAGUUUAUUUUUUCAAUUAGAAAUAAGAGAGAUCAGUUUUUUUUUUCCUUUUUAUAAUAUUUUCUUACUUAAUUGUGUUUUUUGUUUGUCGUCCUCAAUUAUGAUUGUAGUAUUGUUACAUUGUUUAUUUUAAUUUUUCUUUUCAUAUUUAAAUUAUCAAAGAUUCAUAUAUCAUCAUGUUUAUAAUUUUUUUGAAUUUAACUGUUGUAUCUUCAAAUUAUUUAUUUUGGUUCUAAAUUAAGUUUAAAUUAUAUAAGAUUUAUAAUAUAUCAUAGUUCUAAUGAUUUUAGAUAGCGACAUGUCACAUGAUUUAAAUUACAAACUUACAUUAUUUAUAUCAAUUUUAUUUUCUAAUUAGAAAUAUGUGAUGAUUUUAAGCAAAGUUUUGUAUUGUUUAUUUGAAAUUCUUGAAUAUGUAAGAACCAUAUAUGCUUCUUCUUUUUUUUUUUUGAUAUUUUGAAUUAAUUGUACUAUUUUAAAAUUGUUUAUUUAAAUUUCUAUGUUCAUAAGUGAAUGAUAUAAAAUUUAUAUAUAAUCGUGCUUAUAAUUUUUUGAAUUUAUCAAUUUGUAUUGAUUGAUCAUAAUGUCAUCGCAAUCGAGUAAAUAGGAAUCAAACCCGCAAAGUUAGCUUGGAAGGCUAAGGGAUUAGUCGAUUUAUCAUCUUUAUAUUUUUAACGUGUUUAAUUAAAAACUACUUUGGUUUCAUUCGCCAACUUUAUGAUGAAUGUUUUUAAUUUUAUUUCUUCAUAUAAGUAUACCAUAAGGUAUUGCUAUGUGAUAUGUUUUCAUUCGAAAUAAUUUUGAAUUAAUAAUUUUAGUGGUUAAAGAAACAAUACAACAGUGAAAAAAUAGAUAUUUUUUUUUUACUUUUGAAAGAAAAUUUCUACUUACAACGUUGUUAAUUUUUUUUUAAAAAAAUUUGAUUUUUAUUUUUAAAAAUUAAACCCGUUCAUCGCUUAUCUAGUUAUCUAGUUAUAUAUAUAGAUUAGCAAUAUCAUGUAUAUUAUGUUUUUUUUUAAUGUUGAAUUGUAGAGUCAAACUUUUUGUUGACAAUGUGAUAGGAAUUUUUAAUGUUUUUUUUUUUAUGUUGAAUAGCACCUAAUCUGCUAAUGACAUAGCAAUUUUUUUAUUCUAUGGUAAUUUUGUUGUUAUUGUUUUUUGGAUGAACAGUUUCAAAUUUAAAUGGAUUUAUGGUCUUUGGAUUUAACUAAUUGAGAAUGAGCUUGAAAACACAAAUUUGGAGACUAGCACCCAACAAUCCUUGUCACAAGCGAUGUAAAUAACUUCAUUCACCUCAAGUAUUCUUACUAUCUCAAACCACUAUCAAAUUGCCGCCUUCAAAAACUAAUUUUUUUAAUCGAAAGCAUAAUUAAUAUGAUUUAUCUCUUCGAAAAUGCAAGGUUUGUACAAGUCGUUCAAACAUAAAAUUGAAAGCAUAAAACCAAAGCUAACUUCCUUUACUUCAACUUCAGUAUCAGUGUAAGAGAUAGAGCUUCCAAAUAGAUCUCCAGCAUCUACCACUCUAAAGUCUACCAACAGUUUGAUGAAGCUAAGAUCAUUAGUUCCAGCCACAGCAAUUUCAAAGAGUUGCGAUGAACAAAACCAAAGUCAACUUCUUCUGCUUCCACUUCAUCUUCACUUUUAUGAAAAUCAACAACCUUCUCGAAGACAUCUUUAAUAAGCAGAUUAACUAUUCGAGUAAAAGCUUUUUUGGUCUCGUGCAACCGACCAGAAAUCUGAAGUGUGUUCUCAUCAGUGUAAAAUACAUAGCUUCCCAAUAGAUCUCCACCACUUACUACUCUAUAGUCUACCAUCAAUUUGAUGAAGCUACUAUCAACUGUUCCAGCCACAACAAUUUCAAAGAAAAGGCUUGUGAUGCUGCAAAUGUUAAUGACAACCAUGAGGAAUCAAACUUUUCAUAGGCAGACAAUUCGACAAGAAGACUAUCCCCUCUACUUGUACUCGGAUAUCGAUUUUCUGAUUAUUUUUCUUCAGUCUCUAAAGGCUUGUGAUAUCCUUAGGCUGAGGAAAAUCAAUCUAACCACGGCUCUUCUCUUUUCACGUGUUUCAUAUAAAGAAAGGGGAACCAUAAUACCCUGAAAUCAUUGAGACAAAAACGGAAAACACAUUAUAAAGCAUCAAUUUAUUAGACAAAAACGGAAAACGCAUUAUAAAGCAUCAAUGUAUAUUAAAAACGUCAAUAUCGGAAAUCUCAAAUCAAAAUUCCUAAAAAAUAAGAAAUUGAAUUAUUAAAAAAAAACUAAAAAUUGGAAACCCCAAAUUAAAAUCCCUAAAAAUCGGAAAUUUAAGUAAUAAACGGAAAACACUUAUAAAGCAUCAAUUCGGCUUUGAUUAUGUACGAAACCCACAUACUAAAAACCAUGAUUUCAUACUCAAAAUUGGAAACCCCAAAUUAAAAACCCAAGAAUUCAAAAUCAUAUCCCAGAAAAUUAGGAUUGAGACGAUUUUGAGGAGAAAUGUUUCCCUUUCCCUGAAUCAUCGAAUUCAGAUUGAGAAACUUUCCUAGUGAAUUGAGACUUGGAUGAGAAGCCAAGAACUAGUGAGAAAUGCGGCACUUAGAGAAAGAAAGAGUAUGUUGGAAAUAGAAUUCAAAAUUUACAUGUUUGGCAUUUAGAGAUGGCAACUAAAAAAUGUCUAACACAAAUAAAAUAAAAAUUUCUCGGCACAAUAUUUUUAGGGAGAUUUACUCAGAUGUUAUACAUUUUAUAUGAAAUUACCAGAAACAUACAUAUCUUUUUUUUAUUACUAUCAUAUUGCGGGUAUAUUUUUUAUACCCAGCGUGCCCUUGUUAAACGUUACAGGAAAAAACGUAAUUACAAAGAAUGCCACUGCCACGUCAGCAAAGCCGCGUCGCCACGUCAGAAAUCGCUGACGUGUAUUAAUGAACUCAGCCGUCGAGCGAUAUAGCGGCAGUGACGGCUGAGUUACGGUAUGUUGCGGCUGAUUUAAGAAAAAUGGCUGAGUUAUGAGCAAACGGCUGACUUACGAGUAUAACCUAGCCUGGAGUUACGGCUGACUUACUGAAAUCUGUCUGAGUUAUGAUAAAAUGGCUGACUUUCGAGCAUAACCCAGCCUAAGUUACGGCUGAGUUUUCACCCGAUGGUUGAUUUGUCAAAUUUUUGGCUGAGUUAUUGCAUCGACACGGCUGACUUAACUUUCUCUGGCUGGCUGAGUUAUCAAAGACGGCUUAGUUAUGGGAUGACGUUACGGCUGAUUUAUGUUCGAGUAUCAUAAAUCAGCCGUAAUGAGCUGGAUUAACGGAAAACUCGGCCUUAUUAUGGCUGACUUAGUAGCGAAAGAUUAAUUACUAGAAUAGCAUGCAAUGACGGCCGACUUAUUAAACGACACGACUGAGUUAAAUAUUUUUGGUUGAGUUACGACAGUAAACGGCUGAAUUUGGCUGCCGUUUUUUCGUUUUUUAAUUACUGUAAUAGUAUUCAUGUUGCGGCUCAGUUAAAGUUUUGUUUGAUGGCUGAUUUAAUUAAGCUGAUUUACAUUUUUGUUUAGUGGCUUACUUGCUACUUCAUCAAUUAAAAAAUGACGUGUAUGCAACAUUCCAUGUCAUCAUUCCAUGUCAUCAUCAUCAAAGGACAAAAAAAUAGGGCCAAAUUUUUUCAACUCGUCUUCUUCACCUGAGUUUAUCACAUCACCGGAACUUUCAAUUCCUCAUCGUCUUCCUCAUUCUUCUUCAAUUUCUUUCAUCCUUCUCCCGAUAUGGUUGAUCCGGUUCCGGUAAUUGGGUAUAAAAACACAAAUACGUAUUUAACACCGAUGAAAGAGGGUGUAGAGUUGUGCAGAUAGAUGCGAAAACAACGCACGAAAAACUUGUGAAGUUGGUGCUCGAUGAUAAAGUUAGAGGAAAUGUUGCGUCUCUUAUUGUUUUGCUGCAAAUUUACAUGUCACGGCUGAGUUAUAUGCUUAAGGGAAGACGAAUGGUUCGGUCAAUUUACAUGUCACGGCUGAGUUAUAUGUUCCAGGGAAGACGAAAGGUUCGGUAAAAUUACAUUACGGCUGAGUUAUAUGCUUAAGGAAAGACGAAAAGUUCGGUCAAUUUACAUGUCACAGCUGAGUUAUAUGUUCCAGGGAAGACGAAAGGUUCGGUAAAAUUACAUUACGGCUGAGUUAUAUGUUUAAGGGAAGAUGAAAGGUUCGGUAAAUUUACAUGUCACGGCUGAGUUAUAUUCUCCAGGGAAGACGAUAUAUGGGUGUAAAUUAUAUGUUACGGGUGAGUUAUAUGCUUCAGGAAAGACGAAAGGUUUGGUAAAUUACAUGUCACGACUGAGUUAUCAUUCAAGGAAGACGAAAGGUUGUGUAAAUUAUAUGUUACGGCUGAGUUACAUCACGUUACGGCUGAGUUACAUCACUUUACGGCUGAUUUAUAAUACAGAUCGGAAAGCAACAUUUUUUUGGAGAAGACAAUAUGAAAUUUAUUGGUCAAAUAACAACAAUCAAAUUAAGAUUCGUAAAAAUAUGUUUGAGGGAUACAUAGGAGGAAGACUAAACCGUAUGAAUCAAAACAUAGAUAGAAGUAGAAAUGUCUCCAAAUAGAUCGAUUGAGAGGAAGAUUAAACGAGAGACAUGUAAAAUCAAAGUAAAAGAGUAGCUAUUCUUGAUUUCAACUCAAACCUGUAACGAAUCAUGUAGAAUUCCAUAGAUCUCUUUGUUUUGGGUUUUGAUUUUCGAUGACUUUUUUCGUGAGCGUGGUUGCGAGUAGAUCUGACGAAGCUUUUGAUUUGGGAGCCUAUGGCAAGCGUUGUGGCUGUGAGGUCUAGGAAUAUCCAGCCCAAUCCUGCAAUUUGAAGAUCUCUGUCAAUGUUGUACCCAAGUUAGUUGCAGAUUAUUAGAUCUAAAAGUUUUUUUUGGAUUUGGAGACAAAAAAAAGAGAAGAGGAGAAAUGAUCUACAAGCUUUUCUUGGAUUUGGAGACAAAAAAGAGAAGAGGAGAAAUAACGUGAGUUUGAGGAGUGUGAGAUUGGUGAUGUGGAUUAAUGACAUGGAUAAUCAAAUUUUUAUUUAUUAUUUUUAAUUAAAAACGAAUUGAAAAUUAUUAAUUAAAAAAAAACUAAGGAAGGGUGUUAAUUGUAAUUACACAAAUGCUCAAAACAUAUGAGUAAUUUUAGAAAAUGUAUGAUAUUCUAGUAAUAUUCGAACUUUUGGUUAACAUCUGAGUAAAUAUUUCAUAUUUUUAUAAAAGCCCAAACAUGCCCACUAGUUACAAAAAUAAAAGAAAACAAACAUGUGUUAUGCAACUAGUCGCAACUCUCAAGUCUUCACAUAACUGAAUUAUCUACUAUUAGUAUUGUCCCAUGAUCAAAACCACUUUUCUUGUCUACAUAUAUUGUCUCAUUCCAUCUCAUUUGAUUGGUUAUCGCCUUUACUUUGAUAAGAACGUCAAAAUGGUCUCGUAUUACAAUUGUCCCUUAUGGUCUAAGAAUCCUCUGCAUCACCAAGAGUAUAUCAACAAUGUCACAUCUAUCAUAAUUCAUAAAAAAACAUGUAAAAAAAACAAACCAUUACACAUUGAUUACAAGAAAAUGUAAAUCAUAAUUUUUCAAUGUUACAGACAGAUCUUACUUGUUCAAGUACAAACUAAACACACAAUUGGCAUGAAUCAGAUCAUAUGCUCGAGGGUAUGUAGAGAAAGCUUCACACCUGAAAAAAAAACCAGAAGAGAAGGUAUAAGAGAGGUCUAACUAGAUGAUUGACAUAUGAACGUUUUUGAGUGUUUUACCAGUUUAUCUAAGUUCCAGGGGGACGAUCGUACUUAAGAUCAAAUGGAACCAUAUUCAUAACCCACAUUGGAUAUUUGUUCAAGGCUACAACAAAACAGCCUAAUCCAGCGUUCAUAUCAAUGAUGUUUCUGUAUUUUCCAUUGCUGACACAAGUUUGUGUCAGCUUUGAAGCUGGCAAUAGUUGUGUGUGUCGUUAACAUCUGGAAGAGGAGUGAUGCACGACUCCAUAUCUUUGUAUCUUUUGUAACAAAAUAUGUAACUGAAUCAAGCUUUGGCUUCUAAAGAUGCUGAGGAAAUUAGAUUUGGGGAAAGUAAGGCCACCAUGCAGCAUCAAGAUCACCAGAAUAGCAGAAUCCAGGAAACUUAAGAGUUUGUAGCCUUUGUCUACACUGCAAAUGAUUACAAGGCUUUCUCCAUAUGACAACCGGGUAACUUUCAGCAAUCUUCAACCAACAAACUCUUCUUAAAACAUCAUUUAGUUGCUCUAUCUAGUUUUGCAACUCCUUGGAAUCUGUCUUCUGGUUCUUGGAUUUAACCCUUGAUGCUACAUAUGGUCCAGAAAACAUCCACUAUCCCUCAGGAUGUAGAACAUGAUCCACUUCCAUCAAGUAAAGCACAUCUGGAUAAGAUGUUCUCUCUCUUUCAGUAUCAGAAGUAGAGUGAUUCAAGCAAGGGGUCCAAUCACUUAUGUAAACGAUAUUUCCCAAGAAUGACUCUUUUGAGCGAAAUUAAUUAAAGUUGUUGACAAGAAAAAAUUAACAUUCUUAAGAAGAUGAACUUUAAACAAGAAAAAGAUAUUUUCAACCAAUAUGCCAAUUAUGACCACUUUGAAGUAACAGUCAAUCAAUAUUGUAACACCUCGACUACUCCUAUCAGUGAAGUGAUAAUCCACGUCUAUUCUUGGACCUGUGGGCUCCAUCCCUGUCCAACGGUCGGUCUGUUACGUCCGGGAGGCUUUAAAGACUAAUUUACCGAUCCUACAAAUCACCACAUGAUCUUUCACAAUGUUUUGUCCUCACUCAUACGGUUCCGACAAUCACUUUCCGGAAGGUCAUCCAUCCUGAAAUCCACCCCAACACGCUUAACUGUAGAGUUCUCUUAGAACGUUUGACCGGAAAGAUAGGUGCAUUUUGAUAAUAUAAAUGACCAAAUCAAUUCUUUUAAACAUCUCUGCAUGUACCACUAUAUUCCUGAAAUCGAAAUGUUACAAAUACGCCGAUUAUGACCACUUUGAGGUUACAUUCUCCCUUCCGAAUAUAUACAGAUACUCCCUCCGUCACACAAAGAUAGAUUUUUUAGAAAUUUCACAUUCUUUAAGAAAUAAUGUAUAAUGACAAUUUUAACCUUUUAACGUUUUAACACAUUUUGAGUAAAUUUUUAAUUGUUGUUUAAUAAGGGAAAAAUAGGUAAACUGUUUUAAAUUUGAUGUUGGAAACAUAAAAUUUCUAUGUUUGUGAGAUAUUUUUUUUUCUAAAAAAUUCAUCUUUCUGGGACGAAGGGAGUAAAUGUUUAUAAGAAAUUUCAAAUUUGCAUCUUCUCGGAAGAACAAAUAAAUAAUAUGAUUAAAUGCGAGCGUUAACUUGCAAUUUAAGAAAAGGUUAAAGCGAUUAUUUGCUUUCUCUUUCUUUGUUGGAAAGCUGAAAUGGAAUAAAAACUCGUGCAUGAAGAAUUGAAGAUGUCUCUUGUUAGAUUUACGUGCAUGCUUUUAUUUUUGUAUCAUUGCCCAUUAUGCAUUUAAUAAUUGACUUAGAAUAUGUGGUUAUAUAGCAAUUAUCUUCUUUUUCUUUGUUGAUGCCAAUUAACUUCUAUUUAUGUUUUCGACUUUCUACAAUUAUACCAAAUUUAGGCCAACAUUCUUUGCAAAAACAUUUUGUUGACUAAUAGCUUUAGCCUCAAUAAAUUAAUGUGUAAAAACAAACUCUUAAUCGGAAACUGAUAUUUUAUAUUGAUAUUGUAAAUCUGACUGCUUACUACAUAUUUAUAAAUUUGACUGCUUAUUACAUAUUUAUAAAAUUUUUAUAUACUUUCGGUAUAUACAUUUUAGUAUAUAAAAAUUUAUAAAUAUGUAGUAAGCAGUCAGAGUUACAAUUUUUAACACAUAAGAUCUAUUUGGGCCAAGCCAACAACCUUUUCUUCCUUUUCUAUUCAUCAUAACAACAAAAAAAUUUGGAUUGCCUUUCUUUUGGAUUAUCAAUCCAACAAAAUUAGAAGUUAGAACCAUUCUUAGUUAUAGAAUUACACUAUCACUUUCUUCAGAUAAAUGGGCUGUUUGCCCCAGUCCCCCUGUAAUAUAUCGUUUCAAUUAGGUUCACCUUAUACUUUCACCAUCUACCUAUUUCUCCCUACACACAUUAUAUUCUUCACAAUUCCACCCAAUUUUAUACAAUUCCACCCAAUUCACUAAAAUCAAUUAUGCUUCCUAAAUGCGUUUUAAAAGCACAAAAUCGCGUUUUAAAAUUGAUAAUCUAUGAUAAAACCGGUAAUCCGACUCAUGUCUCAUAACCUGAAUUGAACCUUCUGUUUGAUAUAGAGGAUUCGAUUUUGACUUCAAAAUCUGGUUCCUUAUAUUGCUUCAAGGUUUUUUUUUCGUUCUUCUUCGCAUGGCCUAUUUUUAAAGGGCCUAGUUUUCCGUUCUUCUUCCCUGUUCUUUUAAGUUUGUUAUUUACCCUGUUCUUUUAAGUUUGUUAUUUACAAUGUUUCUUCACACACUUUCCUCUCCUUUGUCUCAUGCAAAUAUUUUGGAGCACAUACGACAAAUGAUAAAAAGACCAACCAAAUAAAAUCCAGGAAACCCAAAUCUUUUGGUUUGAAACCCAAUUUCGAUAGUGGGCCUUGUUAAAUAUUUUCUCGAAACGUCCUUUAAAAACAUGUUUAGUGUAUAGAAAACAUUAGUUCAUUAACAAAAAAAUAUUGAAAAUUGUUAAUACUGAAAAUUUUAAAAACUGAUACCUCUUAUUGUAUACGUUUCAGAGUUUUGUAACUUUUGUUCUCUAAUGUACAUAUGCCAAUUGAAUUCUUUUGUUCUUGUUGUCUCUGUGAUCGUGUUAAUUAAAAUUUUGAUACGUGUCAGGCUCUCGUGAGAAUGUUCAAGGUUUAUAUGAUAAGAAAUAAGAUUUGUUUCAGAAAAAAAUAAAUUUUUGAUAUUAAAAAUAAAUAUAUAUUGUAUUAGAUUAGACAAAUUGUUGUAUCAUUCCCCAUUUAGGCCCACUACUAGCAACCACUCAAUAUGAAGAUGACCCAACCUUACCCAACUCUAACUUGUUCAUCAUUUCAGUAUAUGAAGAUUUUUCUUUGUUUGUUGUAAAAAUUAAUGAUGGGAAUUUUUUUUGUCGUUUAGGUUCAUAUAAACAAAAUUAUGUAUCCAACCAAGUUCUCCGUUUAUUUCAUUGGAAGAGCACGAAAUUCCUCUCCUCCUAGACGCUAUAUAGCUUAUCAUUGCUCCUAAGUAGCUUAUGUAUUUGCCAUGAAUGUUAAAAGUAAGCAAAAGUGAUCAACUUGUGUAUGGAAAAAUAUGGUAUUAGUGGGUGAAUUUGUCAAAUGAUAGUGCACAAUGUAAAGCCAAGAAAAAAGAGGUCCUCAUACUUUUUCUUUAGCAUCCACCGACUCCUACUCAUGUGUCUUUUGGCAAGAAUUCACUGUUACUGUCGCUGACAAAGUUGUCUUCUUAGAAGAAACUAAAUCAGAUCUGUGGGUAACCAAAUCCUAAUAAUCACUGUACGCUCAUCAACCUCACAUCAUUUCAUAUCUUAAAAUAUCUUUUUCACCCCUUUUUUUUCUUACACACAUACAAAAAAGGAGUAGAGUUAUUACCUUGGGCCGGGCCAGCUCACUUUAGUCUGGCCCGUUUUAGCCUCAUUCUAGGACACAAGCUAACUCGCGGUUAACCUAUACAAUCGUACAAUUAUCAAGCUUAUUAUCAAAAGAGUCAUGCUCACCCCGGAAGAAACCGAUACUAAUCUUUUUUUUUUUAAAUAUAAUGGAUCUAGACUCCAAAAUAAGAAAUGGGUUAACCCAAAGGCAGGACUGCUCCACUGCUUGGUAUACAAUGACCCCUUGGAAAGAAUACAAAGAAAAACGAACUCUUUCUAUACAUACUUGAUGAUUAAGUGAAAUGUGAGUACAUAAACGAUCAAGGCAAGAGCCUUUGGUACUUGGUCUCUCUUUUGGAGUCAGACUCGUCACAGUGAACCCUCUUCCUGUUAAGAUUAUUCCCACAACUAUCUUGUGACAAUGGUGAUGCUUCAGCAAUAAUCACUGGUGGAAUUUCAAAGGACUCAAGCUGCGGUGGUGGAUGACGCCAUUGUGGAAGCUGUCCAGCUAGAAGCAGAGUCUGAAGCAAAGGCCCUGCCUUCACCACCGCCUUUAAAAGCUUCCCUUUCUCCGGUAAUGUCAUCUCCGGAAAAUCUAACUCGAUCUCCAUCGGCGGUUCAAAAGAUGAAACAAUGCUUUCUUCACCGUCUGAUGAGUGAAACCCAUUAAUGUUUGGGUCUUGCUCUUCGUCCGUUUGGCGUUGAAGAAGAUUGUUUUGGUCAAGAAGAAGCCUCUUGUAUCUCUCUUGUGCUUCAUCUUUCUCUUUGAUAGCUUUGUUGAGAAGAUCUUUGAGAUGCAUUAUCUGGUCAUCUUUGGCAAUGAGUUCUUCACUGGCUACCAUUCUUGUUUGCUCUAACUCCAUUGUUGUGUGAAGAAGAGAAUGUCUAAGAUCUUCUAUUGUCUGCCAACCAAAAUAAACAGUUUGAGCUUGGAGGAAUUGAGAAAUCUAUAAUAGAAAAGAAGGUAAAAUCUCUUGAAGAAGAAUGUAGACUAGUGUUUUAAUUACCUUUAUACCACACUGGUUUUGGUGAGCCCAACUAAGUAGAUAAUUUUGCUGCUGUCUCUCCAUCUUUCUUCAAUGAAUCAAUUCUAAUGAGAGAGGGAGAGAGAGUGAGUUAUAUAUGACUUAUGAAUUAUGAUAAGUGUAUUGUUGUUAUCAUAGUUUAUAAGCAAAAUAUAGGAUAGAUUUACACUGUUUUAAAUUAGUGGGUAAUUUUUGGGUAUUUGAUUUGCUUUUAGAUUGGUCACAACUCACAAGAGGUUGGGACAAGAGUCAAGAAAAUGUUUGAAACCUUUUUCCAUCAAAGAGAAUCUUUUAAGACUUUUUUCUUCCUUUUUAUUUAUUUUUUAAUAAAAAAUACAAAUUAAACAAACAAACAAAAAAAGAACGCGCUAACGGUAAUUAUGAUUAUAUUGGAAAAAUACUUUAUUCCAUGGACUUCUUCGGCCUCGAUUUGAGAGGAGAAGAGAAUUAUACGUUGCGAUAUGAGAACGUUCCAACUUUAUACUAAACUAGUAAUCUAUGUCAUGCUCAUGCAAGAAAAUAUUGCGAGUAUCAAGUUUACUAAAAUCAAGCAUCUUUUUGGACAUACUUAAUAGGGCAUAUUUGUUACAUUUUUGGUAAAAAUUUGACAAAAAAAAAGGUCAUGAAAACAUUAUAUCUCACCAAAUAACCAUGAUUUUUACUAAUCUGAUUCGUUUGUAAACAAGCACAACAUUCAUCUUGUAUAGACAAAAUAAAAUUGGGGCCAUUUAUGUUUUUAAUAUUUUUUUGGAAGAAUUGGAUCCUUUCUCUAGUAAAUUAAUUUCUUAAAAUAUUUGUCCUACCUAAUAUAUAUAUAUAUAUCAAAAUGAUUAUGAGUUUAUGGGCCAACUCACAUUUUCCUUACAGUCAGUCGUUGGCAGUGAGUGAGAUUAUAAUAAGUGCCAAUGGCAAUGGGACCCUAAGAAAUUCUUAAAAAUAGGUAAUUUAUUAUUGCAACAUUCCGACAUAUUAUCUAAAAGCUGAGUCGAUCACACUUGUCCACACGCGUACGCAUUUUCUUCUGCGUAUGUGAAUUCACACGUACGUGUGUUUAUAUACUCGUAUGAUCAUAAGUUUGUAAAGUUUUGAAAGGCAAUGUGUGUUUGAUGUGAACGUGGGUAGAGAAAAGUUGGUCAGCAAAAGGAGGGAACUGAUAACCUAACAUCUACCCUUUUGUUUCUAUUCACAGGUCUCAAAAAUAAUUCUUUUAUUAUUUACAAUAUUUGUUGAAUUUUAUAGAUUUCCAAUUUUAGGUUUCUUUAAUAAGUGGAAAAAUUCAUAUUAUAUUCUCAGUUCUUUAACCAAUCUCAAACUACAUUUUACUGAAUAUAUUUGGGUCAACUUACAUAGAUCAAUAACAUGGUUAUCAUAUGAUGAUAAAUUGAUGAGUGUAUAACAAAAAUUCUUCUCUAUCAAUUUCAUUUUCUUAUUCUCAUCAGUUUGUUAUUACUGAUUUCCUUACUAUUACUAAUGUUUCCCCAAAGGUCCACAAAAACAAAUAAGUCUAUGCUAAUGAGACUCGAAAUCAUCCUCGAUCUCAUCACGUUGCAACCGUUUCGGCCAUGGCUCUGCAUCACCUCACGAUUCUUCCAUGCCUUAGCACCGCCAGAGAAGACAUCUUCACUCAAGAUUGCUUCCACCAACCUUAUUUCAAUUAAGCUAAAAAAAAGAAAAGAAAUAUAGAUCCAAAAAAGAUGCCUUAGAAAAAAAAAGAGAAAGAAUAGUUUUCUAUAAAAUUUUAUUCAUACGAAAGAAAAAUAAAGCAAAUAUUAUUUGCUAAAUAGAGAAUUUAUAUACUAUGAAUUCGUCUAUUCUUUCUUUGACUAAAACCUAUUAAUUUUUCUAAAAUACUAAUCAAUCUUAAUAGUUGAAUUAAAAUAUAUCAGUCUGCAAGACCACAUUUCAAAAGGUAAAACCAAUGAACAUAUUUUGUCGUCUGCGACUGCGAACUUAAGAGGUGUAAGAGACCCCGCAAAUUAGAGGUCAUGCCAAUUAAACAGUCAUAAUCUAAUUCUAAAGCAUCAGUACUUUAAUAUAUCUCUAGAUCAUGCUACAAAAAUUAGAAGCCAGAGUAAAAUCUCUAGAUCAUGCUACAGUAAAACAAUAACUUUUGGUGGGUUAUAUACAUUUUAUAAUCAUUUCUUUUGGUGGGUUAUAUACAUUUUAUAAUCAUUUCUAACAAAUUAUAUACACUAAAUCAUCUCUUUUAUAAUCAUUUCUAACAAGUUAUAUACACUAAAUCAUUUCUUUUUCUAUAGUUUACAGGCAAAAUCUAAUUUUGGCUUCUUUUUUCAAUCACAUAUAACAUUAAAUAAUGGUGUUACAAUACGAACAUCAUUAAUUAAAUAUUUUACAUUGAAUGAAAAAUAUAAGUAAUAAAAAUAUUAAAAAUAAUAAAAUAAUUUCAAAUUUAAGAAAUUUAAUGAUAAUAAAUAAUAUGUAAAUUACUCGAUAGAAUGAUAUAUCUAAAAUAUUUAAUAACUAAUUUUUAAACUUUUUAAUAUUUAUUAAACAUCUGUUCAGCCUGUUAAUGUUUUUCACCAUUCAAGAUAUAUUUUAACUCGCUUUAUCUGCUUUACCCGCACUUGUUCUGCCGAUCUACUUGAUCUUCUCUUAUUUCUUUUGAUCUGCACCGCUUGAUCCACUUUGAUCAUUUGAAUCUUUAGUAAAGAUAAUUUUAUUGUCUUUCCAAUAUAAUUUGACAUCAUCACCUGUUUUAAGACCUCUUGCCUCUCUGAGAUUUUUCCACCCACCUCUGAUAAUAUAACCAUUCAUUAAUGAAAGGUUUACUUGAUAAGAUUUGUCAUUGUCUUGAAUUUCCAAAUGAAUAUCAUUUUGGGGUACUGUAAUUCCCUUAGUCUUUAGUAUGUUAUCCAUUUGCUUUUUUGGUAAGUACAAAUAACCUUGACUGGAGACAUCCCUAUCUACUAGUGUUUUUUCUAUCAUCAUAUAGGAUCCAUUUUGUUGGCCUUUUAUCUUAGAAAUAUAACUAACAAUGUUUUCAGAAGAUAAAAGAUUUGAGGAGUUUGAAAACUAGAGCUAAGCUAUAUAUUUAUAUAUAGUUCUCGGUCAAAUAAUAUUCUUUAUCUUUUGUGUCUAUCCUAAUAGUAUUAAUUUUUAAAAACAAAAUCUCUAAAUUUAGUAAAUUCUAUAGAUAUUAUUUUUCUAAUAUUUACAACUUAAUUCUAUAGAUAUUAUUUUUCUAAUAUUUACAACUUUAUAGGUUAAAUUAAUAUUUUUCUAAUAUUUUUAAAAUCAAUCUUGCUCGCAGUUGUCUUGACAUCCAGACUGUCGUUUCUGCCUCCCAACUUCAUAAACUUCUCAGCCAGGACGUUGAAGUCCUCUAGCAUCCUUAGCUUCAAAGAUUGGGAUCCAAAGAGCUGGUAGGUCAGGCUUCGACCAUGCUUGUGGGAUUCUUUGCUUUGAACAAACAGAUUGUUCUCUCCACACAAUCUGACAAUGCUCCGAGUUAAAGCAGAGUCUGUCUUUGACUUGGCAAUCUCCAAGUUUACUUGGACAACAGUGGAGAUGACCACUUUCUGUCCAAACAAACUAGUCUUAUCCACAGUUUCCCUCUAGAAGUUUUUCAACAGUAAAACUGGCAACUUCAUUAGGAUCUGUGAUUAUUUUAUAUCUCUUCUACUUGACCUUUUUACUUGUAUCCUCUCAUAGACCUGUAUUUCAGUAUUCACCAUAAUACAGAGUCGAUAGGGUUCCAAAUAUCAAUAAUGUUCUAUGGAGUCCAACCGCUAGAUCGAAUAAAUUGUGUAUAAAAACCUCCAUAAACUACUGUUAAUAAUGCAUGCCACGGACGUCCUAGUAACGUAUUUACAUUUUUUUGACUGGGGUAAAGUCAUAAUUUACAGUUAUGUUACACCUCUGGAAUGAAAACCCCGACGAAGGAAUCUCUUUGUCACGAGAUUGAGCAGUCAAUACAUUGGUUUGUCUUGUACCCGGUUUACGUGCCUCGAUUUGGCAAUACUGAAACACCGUUGUUGCCCGUCCACAAAUUUUGUUUCAAAAUUCUAAUGAACAUAAAAAUUAUUUCCUGUUCCAUGACUAGUAUAAUUUUGUAGAUUAAAAAAAGGUGAUAGUAAUCAUAUUAUUUUAGAUCUUGUAUAUUUUUUUUUUGGAUUUUUGAAACUAAUAUUAUUUGAACUAAACUUACAAGAUGUAUUGUAUUAAUAAAAUACUAAAAGGGAAGAUGAAAACCCACAUGAAACUUGAAAACUUGUUUUAUAAUUUUUUACGAAAGAUUUAUUUCUUAAUUUCUAAAAAUAAAAAUUAACAAACUGAAACUCUUGACAUGGCAAUAGAAAAGUUAUGAUAUGCCACUCAGAUUAUCCCAUUCAUCUAUCAUAAAAACACACACACAUAAAUAUAAUUUUCUUAUGUUUUGUUUAUAUUUUACAUUUGUUUUGCUCUUUUUAUCAAUUUACUUUUCGAUAUCAAAAAAAUAAAAUAACUAAGUAAGAUGUUAAAUAAACGCAACAUUAUGUUGAAUCAAGGUAUUCUUGAUAAAUUGAUCCUAACAAUCGUCAAUUCCAUCUAGUUUUAUCCGGUUAAUAGUAGAGAAAAAUGAUAUUAAUAAGGAUUGUAGAGUUGUAAGUUUUAGUACCAUCCACGUAGUUCAAACUACCGUUUCCAACGAUGGUUAAAUUAUUUUUCUUCUUCCCGAUAUAAACGACUUCUUUGUAUAUACUUUUUUCGUAAAUGACAUAUAUUUUUUCAUAUUAUUCUCUGAAGCUGUUGCGGCAGCUUCAGUCACCGUGGUGAAGUUACCGUUACCAUACUUAGAAACAUUGAAGUGGCUUUAUCCUUCAACGCCUUCAAAAUAAGAAACAAAUGAAAUACAAUGAGCCUUUAGAAUAUUCUCUAAGAUGGUAAAAAAAAUAUAAAUAAAAAUAUAUGAAAAUUCGAUUCUGAUCCUUAUUAGAUAUAUGCAAAUUUUAUUAAUGAUUUAAACUACAUGAAUUACAUAUAUCCAAUUAACAUGUUACCCAUAUUAUUUGACCUUUGUCUACUAUACUUUCGAUAAUAAUAUUUUAUAGGGAGCCUCACAAAAAUGCCUAUUUUUCAAUAUCCCUUUUCAAAAAUGCCCCUUUUGGCUGUCCAUUUUUAAAAAUACCAUUUUUUAUGUACAAAAUAACUAAAUUACCCUUCUUUUAAUAAAAGAUAUCACAAAUAUAUAAGGAAAACAUGAGAAUGUGCACACAUCAAAAUUACAAAUUUGAUUUUGUAAAAACUUGUAAAACCUUUAAAAUACCUUGUAAAAUUUUCCCGUAAAAAUUUUUUUCGGCAAAAAAUUUUCCCGCCAAAAAUUUUUUUUUGCGGGAAAAGUGAUUCAGCAAUUUUUUUGGCGUUAAAUUUUUGGCGGGAAAAAUUUACAAGGUAUUUUAAAGGUUUUUCACAUGGUAUUCAUAAAGUUUGACAAUGUAUUUUAUAAGGUUUCACAACGUAUUUAUAAGAUANNNNNNNNNNNNNNNNNNNNNNNNNNNNNNNNNNNNNNNNNNNNNNNNNNNNNNNNNNNNNNNNNNNNNNNNNNNNNNNNNNNNNNNNNNNNNNNNNNNNNNNNNNNNNNNNNNNNNNNNNNNNNNNNNNNNNNNNNNNNNNNNNNNNNNNNNNNNNNNNNNNNNNNNNNNNNNNNNNNNNNNNNNNNNNNNNNNNNNNNNNNNNNNNNNNNNNNNNNNNNNNNNNNNNNNNNNNNNNNNNNNNNNNNNNNNNNNNNNNNNNNNNNNNNNNNNNNNNNNNNNNNNNNNNNNNNNNNNNNNNNNNNNNNNNNNNNNNNNNNNNNNNNNNNNNNNNNNNNNNNNNNNNNNNNNNNNNNNNNNNNNNNNNNNNNNNNNNNNNNNNNNNNNNNNNNNNNNNNNNNNNNNNNNNNNNNNNNNNNNNNNNNNNNNNNNNNNNNNNNNNNNNNNNNNNNNNNNNNNNNNNNNNNNNNNNNNNNNNNNNNNNNNNNNNNNNNNNNNNNNNNNNNNNNNNNNNNNNNNNNNNNNNNNNNNNNNNNNNNNNNNNNNNNNNNNNNNNNNNNNNNNNNNNNNNNNGUUCUUUUUUCAAUCACAUAUAAAACUAUAGAUAGGGGCUACAUAAGAACAAUAUUAAUCGAAUAUUUACAUUGAACUAAAAAUAUACAUAUAACAGAAAGAUUAAAAUUCAUCUAUUUUUAUAUUAGUUAAUUAUAUAUUUUUAUAAUUUUAAAUUGUAUUUACCACAAUCUUCUUUUUAGUAUUUUUAAAGAAAUUUCCUUUAUAUUUAAGCUAAAUAUAUUACAAUAUCUACAAAAAAAAAAUUCUAAUAAUAUUAUAAAAAACCUUUUUCAUCUAUUAAAUUGUAAAAUCACGAUUACUAUCUAGUAAAUAAUCAACAACAUGAUUUUGAUGUUAAGUACUUUUUAAUUAAAACUGAAAAUUUAACUAUUAAAUUCAUCGCAACAUAAAUAUAUUAAUUACUAUAGUUGUAAAAUUAUCGAUAUCAUGAUAAAUAUUUUAUACUAACAGUUUAGUGUCAAAUGACAAUUCUCAGGAAGGAAUUCUUAGUAUGAAGAAUUGAUUAUGUCAACAACAAAACUAUGAUUUUAUAUUAAGAGCUAAAUAUAUCAAUUUCGAAUUUAUUUUAUUGACACCAAUACAUGAAAUAAUAAUCAUAGAUAAAGUUUAUUUCUUCAGAAUAUUUAUCUUCUUAUUGAUUUAUGAGCUUUUGUAUUCCUUUUGUUAACACUUAACAAGAUUUUGUAUUGAUUAUUUAUGCUAAUAUAGGUAUUUUUCUUAUGUAUCUAGUAAUUUAUUUAAUUAAAAAAAUUAUUUGUUGUUGUAUAAUUUAAAUUUUACUAAUUAGUAAAUUAAAUUAUUUGUUACGUCACUAUGAAUUUUGCGAGAAUAAAAUACAGUUAUGACAUAAAUUUUAUUUUUAUGGGUUAAUCGUAGUAAAAACACUUCGACAAGUACAGUAAAACCUCUAGAAAUUAAUAAUGUUGGGACUAGCAAAUUUUAUUAAUUUAGAGAGAUAUUAAUUUAUCAAUAAAUUAAUAAUUAUUAAUUUAUAGAGAGAUUUUACUAAUUUUGUAAUUUCUUAAAAACAUUUCUAUCUAAAAAUAAUUUUCUUCCCUAUAAGUAAUAUCUUUUAAAAACUAAUUACAAGUAGAUAAGUAAUUAUUAAGUUUAAAAAAACUACACAAACUAUUUUCGUAUAAUAGAGUCAUAUUUUAUUAAANNNNNNNNNNNNNNNNNNNNNNNNNNNNNNNNNNNNNNNNNNNNNNNNNNNNNNNNNNNNNNNNNNNNNNNNNNNNNNNNNNNNNNNNNNNNNNNNNNNNNNNNNNNNNNNNNNNNNNNNNNNNNNNNNNNNNNNNNNNNNNNNNNNNNNNNNNNNNNNNNNNNNNNNNNNNNNNNNNNNNNNNNNNNNNNNNNNNNNNNNNNNNNNNNNNNNNNNNNNNNNNNNNNNNNNNNNNNNNNNNNNNNNNNNNNNNNNNNNNNNNNNNNNNNNNNNNNNNNNNNNNNNNNNNNNNNNNNNNNNNNNNNNNNNNNNNNNNNNNNNNNNNNNNNNNNNNNNNNNNNNNNNNNNNNNNNNNNNNNNNNNNNNNNNNNNNNNNNNNNNNNNNNNNNNNNNNNNNNNNNNNNNNNNNNNNNNNNNNNNNNNNNNNNNNNNNNNNNNNNNNNNNNNNNNNNNNNNNNNNNNNNNNNNNNNNNNNNNNNNNNNNNNNNNNNNNNNNNNNNNNNNNNNNNNNNNNNNNNNNNNNNNNNNNNNNNNNNNNNNNNNNNNNNNNNNNNNNNNNNNNNNNNNNNNNNNNNNNNNNNNNNNNNNNNNNNNNNNNNNNNNNNNNNNNNNNNNNNNNNNNNNNNNNNNNNNNNNNNNNNNNNNNNNNNNNNNNNNNNNNNNNNNNNNNNNNNNNNNNNNNNNNNNNNNNNNNNNNNNNNNNNNNNNNNNNNNNNNNNNNNNNNNNNNNNNNNNNNNNNNNNNNNNNNNNNNNNNNNNNNNNNNNNNNNNNNNNNNNNNNNNNNNNNNNNNNNNNNNNNNNNNNNNNNNNNNNNNNNNNNNNNNNNNNNNNNNNNNNNNNNNNNNNNNNNNNNNNNNNNNNNNNNNNNNNNNNNNNNNNNNNNNNNNNNNNNNNNNNNNNNNNNNNNNNNNNNNNNNNNNNNNNNNNNNNNNNNNNNNNNNNNNNNNNNNNNNNNNNNNNNNNNNNNNNNNNNNNNNNNNNNNNNNNNNNNNNNNNNNNNNNNNNNNNNNNNNNNNNNNNNNNNUAAUAAUUAUUAAUUUAUAGAGAGCUUUUUACUAAUUUUGUAAUUUCUUAAAAACAUUUCUAUCUAAAACUAAUUUUUUUCCCCCCCCCCCCAAUAUCUUUUAAAAACUAAUUACAAGUAGAUAAGUAAUUAUUAAGUUUAAAAAAACAACACAAACUUUUUUCGAAUAAUAGAGUCAUAUUUUAUUAAAUUUUUUACAUAGAAUAUUUUAAAUAUAUAUCAUAGUAAUUCAGAUAUGACAUAUAUAAAUUUAUAUCAUAUAUAUAUAUAUAUAUUGAUAAGUUUAUACAAUUAUUAAUUUAUGAUAUCGAUGGGACCAUAUGUUUAUAUGAGAUUUUCAAAAAAAUUAUUAUCUUAUUAAUUUAUCGAUUUAUGUCAUAUUUUACACUGGUCCUAACUCGGGACCGGAAUAAUUUAUUAAUUUAGAGAGGUUAUUAAUUUAUAGAGGUUUUACUGUAUAUGCUAUACCUUAUAAAUACAACGCAUAUAAAGGUUUAGAGAUACCAUAAGAAAAGUGGAAAGGAAGGACACGGAUUUGGAGAGGCCAAAACUCAGCUUAUCGUUCUCUAUUGAAGGCGAUAAAAUUUUUGAUGCAAAGUUGUUUGUGUCUAGAUUCAUAAUCAGGAUAAGACUUUGAAUAUUAGCUUUGAUAGUUAUGGGACAUGCACAUCUGUGAAAUUUUGGUUCUGCAGUUUCUCACUUGACUCUCUAUCUAUGAAAAACAUUGAACAUUGUUCCAUUUGAAUGAUUAAGAAGAUUUUACGAAGCUACGAGUUUCUUCCAACAAAGAAUCGUCGCAUUUUUGAAGACUAUAUCAAAAAACUAUUGCACACAAGGUCAAGUUGGUUGAUUGCGGAUUUUGGUAUUCAGUAUUGUUACAAGUCCAUUGUCAUUACAAAAACAAGGUCAAAAUACUUGGUUCGAGUAAUCGGCUAGACUGAUUUCUCAUUAGUUAGAAAUCAUAAACUGUGUAAACAUCGAUCAACUAGUUUUAAGCACUACAUCUUUCGAGAACUUUAGUUAUCAUUACUACGAAACCCAAAAUGAUAUAACUAUAAGCAUUGUAGUACCACUUAUAGAUUUGUUAAAAUUGACCUAAAGUAUCCAUCAAUGACACAAAGAUAUGGGAUAAUUUUACAUUUUAGUGGUAAAUUUAAACCAAAACCUAAUAUCAGCGAAACUACUGCUAAAGUUUCAGAUGUACCCCUUCAAUUGCUGCUGCAUCCUUGAAGAAGAUAGGCGGCUUUGGUACGAACCUGUUAAUAACCACGGAACCAAAACCGUUACCCGGUAAUUAAAGACAUGAAUCAAAGUUAAAAAGAUAAUAAAAAGUUUUGAUGUGAUCCGCUAUCUACUCACUUUCGAUGCAUAAGACCGAAGAUCGGUGCUGUUGAUCUGACAAGAACAGUUUCUGAGAAACACAGCCCACAUGUCCCUCAGUACCGGCUUUUCUUCUACCAAUGUACUGGAGAAGAGCCAGUUCUCCGCCAAUACCACGGAAAUGUAAGUUUUGAAUAGGUUACAACUUUUCUCCUUCACAUUGAUAGACAUCAGAGAGCUCAACAAAUUUUCGUCGCUGUCCUGUUAACAGAUAAUCAAGACCAGAGAAUGUAUAAACGCCUUGUUUGCUACAAUCUUAACUUGUUGGUAUUAUCUUAUAAUUUAGUUCAUGGUUGGUUACCUUAUGAUCAAGUAAAACAACGAGCAUUUGAUGUGCGAUGGAACUUCUCAGAUGCUUGCUUCGAGCAUCAACACCUGAUACAGAUUCCACUACCCUCAAACAAUUCAUGUCUUGAGGUACUCUGCAGAUGCAUCAAACGAGAAGCGAAAACUGCGUAAGUUGAUUAAAAGAUAAGACAUAUCACCAAGAAUGUUUCAAGAAAGUAAGAGGUUGAACCUGGAAGCAAGAGAGUUUGCUAUUUCCUUGCAGCUUGAAACCCAUUCUUCCUCUUUAAAGGAUCCAAUAACAGAUAUUAAGCAUUCUUGUAAGAGAAGUGAAAGACCUAGAAGACCGCGAUCUAAUAGCAGCAAUACAAGGAUUUCCGCUAUCUCUUCAACUUGUGAAGUGGAAAAAAUGGGAUUUUUACACGUGAAUCAUAAAGCAACAGAGAAGGCGUGAGUAAUCAAAAUGUAUGUGAGGAGAACGUCUUUGCUAAUCCGUAAAAGAGAGGAGUUUUUCGCCACAAACCUAAUUUGACAACAAGUUGUGACCAGUGUGAGCCAAGCUCUAAUAUUCUGUGGAGGACCUUGAGAGUCAGAAUCUUCAAAGCCAAAAGUUAGCGGACUUCAGUAGUAUUAUAAAACCUAAAGAAAAAAUAACCGCCAAUUAAAGAACAGGGAGAAACAGGAAACUCACCCGCGUCUGCUAGUUCAACGUCUUGUGACAGGCUAAUUCUGAAGCCAUAUGAUUCAAGAGCUUCUUUAAGUUCCUGAUAGUUAGGAAGCCAGUAAAUUUCAACAGGAGCUCCAUUAACCUGAUUAAACCACAUUGGUUAAAAACCAACGAGUCAGCUUCAGUCAAAAGAUAAUGUAGUAAGCUAUGCAAGCUCACGAAAGAAAGAAAGUACCUUGUUUUGUGAUAACAGUAUGGAACACCAAAAGUCACAAGCAGAUGAUCUUAGAUCUUCUUUAGAUGAAUACAACACUGGUAAGUCCCAAAACAUCAAAAACCAUAGAGUAAGCCAAAGUCCAUAGAAUAAACAAAGUUAAAGAGAGAGCUAGGACACGCACAUAUAUUAAGUGUCCACUUGCAUAUGAACUUUUCCACACGCGCACAAGUCAAGAUCAGUCUUGUGAGCCAGCCAUUAACCAGCAAUCCUUCAAGAAAUGUUGUUCCUGAAUUGUACAAGAAACCAAUUACUUUAAAAACCGGAAAAAAGAAUAUCAAAGGCAAUGAGGUCAUAGACAACAAACCUUCAUCUACGGUAAGAUCCACGACCAAAUUUAACUGAUUACUCAUAAACUCUUUCAACAAGCAGCAACUAUCGAGAUCAACAUGCGGUGAAGGUAUUGGAAUUUUCUGCAUAGUAACAUACAAGUACAAAUCUUUACUUACUCUAAAACAACAUUUAACAUAGUGAAUAACAAUCAGCCUAACCUGAUCUCCAAACAAAGAUAAUCCCCAAUCUUGAUUCUCCUCUUCACCAGCUAUCUCAUUCAUCUAAUAACACAACAAUCACCACCAAACAUUACACAUCAAAAUGUAAGAUGAUAAACAUAGAAAGAUAUGAUUUUUUUACUCAUACCUGAUUCUGACACUCAUCAACACAUUGAGAAAGCAAAUCCACUUGGCCUUGUUCAUCAUCAUCCGAAUGAUAAACCUUAGAGACUUUGCGUUUCUUGUUUACCUUGUCAAUAACCUUACUCUUCUCUUUAUAAAAAUCAGAUAGAAGAUCGUCCAAACCAAUAACUUUCUUCCUGUUUUUGUGACAUAACAAAAAUUUAAGCUUUGUGUCGACAAAGGAGCAAACUUUUCAUUUACCCUAAACAAAAAGAACCCAAAUUUCAGAAUUCAACAACAAGGAUUAGAUUCUCUAGAAAACCCUAAUUUACAAAAGACUCAAAAUUUCAUUACAAUGACAACAAUGAAGAGAAAUUCGACACAACAGAAGUCGGAAAAUGGGUAAUUAGCGGUUGAUAAAAAAAGGAUUGACCUUUUUUCAAUUGUCGGUGGAGGGUUAACCAGAGGAUCUUCGUUCUCGAAAUCAAGAGGUCCAUCCAAAUCCAUCGUUAAUUAAUCUCUCUUCUUCUUUCUCUGACUUGGGGCUUAUUCAAGCUUCUUCUCCUUCAGACGAAACCCUUAAAAGUUGAACUUUUGCAGCUUUGGGAAGCGCGCAAAAGGGGCAAGUGUUUAAAAGAGUCAAACACUUUUGGUUUUUUAAUUGACGAACAACACUUGCAGUUUCGAAUAGGUUUUGUUUUGUGUAGGCAUUAGCGUUCGGAUUCGGAUCAGGUUCGGAUCGGAUUUUUCGGAUUUAGAAAACUAAGAUCCGUUCGGAUAUUAUAAAACUUCGGGUUCAGGUCAGAUUCGGGUCGGAUAUUUCGGGUUUGGAUUCGGGUUUAUCCGAAGUAUCCAAAUAUUAAAAAAUUUGUAUAAAAUUAUAUCCGAUUCUAUGCAAAGUAUUGAAAAAUACUCAAAAAUCUAUAACUCAAGUAUUUUUUAUUCGAAUCUAGCCAAAAGUAGCUAAAACACCCAAAAAUAUCUUAACAUCUGAAUAAUUUAGGCGUUUAGGUUAUUACAAGUAAAAAUAUUACUAUUAUAUUAUAACUAUGUACUUCUAUUUCGGGUAUGUUCGGGUACUUGUUCGGAUUCGGGUUCAGAUCGGGUUCGGAUUUGGGUUUUCGGGUUGUGAAGUUUAGAACCCGUUCGGGUAUUUUAAAACUUCGGAUUCGAGUUCGGAUCGGGUUUUUCGGAUCGGAUUCGGUUCGGUUCUUCGUAAUAAUUUUUAAAACAAUAAAAAAGCAAAAAACACUUUAAAAAAAAAACACAUUUUAGGUUCAAUAUUUAUGGGUGAAGCAAACAAAAAAGGUAAAAAUAUGUGAUGAAUUGUAUUAAAAAACGUAAGAAGUAAAAAACUAUUAUAAAAUUUAAAGGGUUUAAAUACAAAUUAAUAAUUUUUAGAGGGUCAUAACAGAAGAAAUAUAAACAAUACUAUGAAUCUUAAAGGACUGUAACAUAAUUUCAGAAUUUUAGGAGGGUCAAAAGAGAAAGAAAUAUAAACAAUACUACAAAUCUUAAAGGACUAUAACACAAUUUCAGAAUUUUAUGUGGGUCAGCUGACCCCCUUUAAGUCUUAGUGGGUCCGCCCCUGAUGGUGGUGGAACUUCAACAGCUUCAUCAAAGAAUCUUGGAGAUCUAGAAGUUCCAUGAUCUAUUAUGUAUUUAUGUAGUUUAUGGAAUCCAACUUUAUGAAACUAGUAAUGUGUUAACUACAAAGAGUGAGAUGUUGGGGUAAGUUGGGUUUAUAAAAAAACAAAACUAAAAGAAGACACGUAUUUGAAUCACCCCAAAUUAGAUGUUGUAUCCGCCCAUAUGCGACCAUGUUACACAUGAACCAAGAUUUUCUUUUGCAAGUGAAUUUAAUUUUCCAAACUCUACCUGCAAAAUUUGUUUGAUGUGAAUAUAAAUCUGAAAGCGGACUUUCCCUUUCACAGCCAGAAGUCAUAAACUCGUAAUAUAGGACAUUUUUUCUCAAAAGAGUGACAAAUGUGUCGUAACUAAUUUUGGCUCCAUCACUUGAACAUCCAAAUAUUACACGAGAGUUCAUGCUCAAAGGGGCAAAUAGGUAAAUCAACAACUAAUCGGCGUGCAUUAUCCAUAGUUGGUGAGAGUGAGACAGACACGAGUGCGACUUCGAAUAUGACACCUAUAACGAAUGUAACAUUCCAACUCGUGAUCAUGAACGUGAUGUUUUGGCAUGUUAUGAGAUUAUCACAUGAUUACUAAUACUUUUUUUUUAGUAUAACCGACAAAAGAAGUGCUUAAACAACUUGUCCUGAAUUAAAGAGAAGUAAACCAAGUUGAGAAAGACUAAAGAAAUUAAACGGCUCUUUUCUAUUAAUUUAUUCAACUAUAAUUCAAGUUACAAAUACAAUUUGUAUGAUAAUUAUUUACCAACAAAUUCAACAGCUUUUCUUGAAUCAGACUCGGAUUCAGUACUCUCCCUAAACUUCUUGUAAAUAUCACCUUUGUAAAACUCUCUCGUCCUUAUCGCUAGACCCAAAGAUACAAGUGCUCCAAAGAACGUUACUGCUGCCAAAAUCACAAACGGUAGCUUAUAACAUUGACUUCCUAAGCAAGUCAAGUCCUUUACGUCUUUUCGAGUUAGCCCUCGAGCCGUUAGUUGCUUCAAGGCCUCUCUAUCGUAAAGCAUUCCCGUGACGCGGACGUUUAGGAUGUAUGACCCGAGCGGGCUAGCAAGUUGUCCACAAUUGAACAAUGUAGAGUAGUACUUGAGUCCAAAGAGUUCUGAGAUGAUGGCAAAGAGCAGAGGAAGUUGUGCACCGAAAGAGAAUCCCAUUAGAAUCGACGCUAUAUAUACCGAGCCUGGUACCGGGAAGGCGAUGAGAAGGUGCCCCGCACAACUCAAUAAGAGGACUAAUGUCAUCAUAAGCGGCCGGGGUAACUUAUACUUGGCAAGCAAGUAUUCUGAGACAAAACCUGAGAACACUCGACCAAAGUAAUUCCAUAUGCUGACUAGAGACACAAAAGAGCUAACCGUGUGGUUCGGGUAGCCUAGAGAUUCUCCUAUUUGCCCGAGGUUGUCUACUGCAGUCAAGCUCGAUCCUAAACCACAGAAUGUCGCCACAAAUAGUAUUAUCAUGUCGGUGCUGAGCAAUGCUUGCAAUAUUGUGUAAUCUUCCCCUCUUGGCGGUGGAGAAAACACCGUCAAGAAACAAGAUUUCGUCUCCUUCUCUUCUCCAUCCACCUUGGCGGUUUUGUCUUGAACAAGAUCAAGUUCUUUCUUCGGUUUCUCAACCUUGACCUCGCUCGGCUCUUCGAUAGGUAACUUCUUCAUGUUCCAAACUUCAAUCUCUUGUUUAACCGAAACCGUAAGAGGCACAAAAAGCAAAACACAACAUAUCGUAGCGCUUGCCGCAUAAGCGGCUUUCGAGAAAUGAACUUGCUUCUCAGCAAUGUUCAUUGCCAUAAGGAACAAAGCCAAGAAUAUAGAAAUAUAAAGGAAUUGGUAAAACACACUGAGCUCAUUCCUCUGCCUCACAACCUUCUUCUCUCUUAUCAAAUACACAAAUACGAGAGAAACCGCAGCAGGCAACCAUGCUAUCAACAAAAUCAAAGACUUUGAAUCGUGUCCAUAGAUCGCAAAAUAAAGCUGCGUCAAGAUUGCGCCACUUAGUCCAACAUAACCCUUAAGCAAACCAAGCAUAACUCCUCUGCUCUCAGGGAAAUUCUUAACACAAGUAACCAAAGCUCCGGUGUUUGCAAAGUUCUGCGAGUUAGCUCCUAUGCAAAUAUAAAGACACAUUUGCCAAACCUUUGGCUUCGCGACUUUGCCUGUGACGGUAAGCCAAAUCAUGAAGUAACCGACGAAGUUCAUCGCCGAGCCAAUGGUGAGGACGAACCAAGUCGGUGUGACCUCUGCUAUGAGUCCGGACAAGACUCCAACGUUAGCUCCAAGAUCUUUAAAGAAACCUAAGAGGUUCAACGUUGUCUGGUCGUAACCAAGUGUAGAUUUGAUAUCUUUAGAGUAAGUCCCGAAAAGAUAAGUGGCUCCAGCGCAAGCCAUGAUGAGGAACGAAGCAAACACCAUGAACCAUCUUCCAUUAAAGAAGUGAAUCAAGAAUCGUACGGUCUCGUCGUUUCCCAUCUUGGAAACCCGAGUGUGAGGCUAAUAUCAAGAUAUCUUUGAAAGUGAAUCUUGAAAAGAUUUGAGUCUCUUUCAAGAUUUUCUUGAUUGAGAAAUGGAGAAACUUGGCUGAUCCAGAAUAAGAGAACAAACUAAGAGAGAGAGAUAAAUGAUUAGAGUACAGAAAGAGAGUCUCAGGGCUAUAAAGUAGAUCAGAGGAAUAGAGGAAUUUGUUUAUAUGUAAGUAUAUCGAAGAGAGGGCUGAUUGUCGGAAAGUUUUGAGGGAGAUUUGACCAUUUUAUUGUAGCUUAGAAAAGAUAAAGAUUGACCAUUAUAUCUGUCUUUUCUAUAUUUGUCUUUUUGUUUGAAAUUAUUGUCCAAACUCCAAAGAUAAGGAGAUAUUAUCUUCCUAAUAAAGUGUCCAACUAAGAGUGCCAAAAAAUUAGUGUGUCCAUCUAAGCUCAACUAUCUCCAUAUAGAAUGUCCAACAAAGCAAAACUAGACAAUUUUACACUAAACUAGAAAUAAAAUGUUUACUUAAUUCGUUCUUUUUUUUUUUUUUUUUUGACCACAUAAAUUUCAACAAAUUUUAGAAGACACAAGAAAAUCAAGUACUAUAAAUAAUAACAAAUGAAAUACUAACUUCAUGAAAUAAGAAAUUUUAAAAUUGUAAUGUUAGUUGAAUAGAAAGUAAAAAAAAAAAAUUAUAUAUAGGUAGUAUUUUUUUGUAAUAACUAAUAAUCAUUUUAUACAAUUUUCAAUCGAAAAUGCGUAUUUAACAUUGAUCCUAUUUGUUUCAGAUAUAAGAUUCAUUUGAUCAUUUAAUUAAUAUUGAAAAUAAUAAAUAUAUAAGAUUCAUUUUUCCAAUUUGUUAUGUUUUUCCUUAAGUUUUUCUAAUUUUUUAGUUAAAUGUUUUACAAAUUUAUAAUUGUUGCUUUUAUCUAAAAUAAGUAAUACUAAAUAUUUUUUAAAUUGGCUAGUACCAGAAAAUGUCGUCCGUUAAACCAAAAAAGUGCCGAAAUGUAUGGUUAUGGUGUUGCAUACAUGUCUUAUGCAAAUUGGUGAAUAUCACUAUAAUUUAGCAAUUGUUUGUGUAGUUUCUAAAACACUAAAUUAGUGUAUGUAUGUAUUUGGAUUUAGGCUCAAAAGAUUUGAAUGGAGAAGAUGGUAUUAUGAUAUUUAAAGGGAAAAAAAGGGAGAAGGAAACCCAUACAAAAUUAGACAACCCUAAAUUUUCUGCCAAAAGAAGGCCUUAAGCGAGUGUUUCAUAUUUUUUAACUACAGCACAAUGGGCCUCAAUGCCCAUGUUCGUGUUAGUGUAUUUAGUAAUUAAAAAAAAAUGCAACAUGUGGAAUAAUUUCAACGAUACAAAACAAACCAAACGGAUUAGAUUAAUCGCUAACCACCUAUCUCCUACAGUUUUUAUGCUAUGACCUUAUCUUAAUUGUUAUAUGUAUUAUGUCAUUCCAACUUAGCCAAGCAACCUCUUGAAAGUGACUUUAUACCUUAUAUUAUCUGGUUUGUUAUAUAUAUAAUACGUAAUUUGCGAUUGGACACUAAUGCUAACACUAAACUAUCUACACAUACAUUAUCUAUAUAUAUGCGGUCGGUUUGCAAAUCAUUAAUAGUUUAUGAUAAGUUGAUAACCGAACAUGGACUUCUCUUACCUUUUCUUUUUACAUAAACAAAAAGGUGUAGAAAAUGAGUGGUUGGUCAAGUUUGCCUUUUCUAAUAAGCUCUGAAAUACGUAACUCGUAAGUAUUAAACAAAAGUUAAAAAAAAAAAGGUAUUACAAAAAAGCUAACAAAUAAAAAACAUAGUAUUGAAUAAAACUCGUUUUGGAUGAGGAUUUCUAGCUCCAAAAGCGUACUUUUUAAGUUGAGAAUGUGUAUGACUAGAAUACGUAAGUACAAUUGUGGAUAGUAUGUUGUUUCUGGAAAUUUCUGAUCAAUUAGUAAAGGAUUCGUGGUGGUAUGUACUCGUGAAAAUAUUUAUAAAUUGUUACAUAAACUUACAAAUAACUAAAUGAGAGAGGGUUCAUGUUCUAUUAGAAAAAGGAAUACAUAAUUAUAGUCAUGGGCGUUCGGUUAUCUGAUCGGUUAUCAGUUCGGUUCCAUUCGGUUUCGGAUAUUUCGGUUCUAAAAUUUAGUAUCAAUUUGGGUAUUUUGAAAUUUUGGUUCGGCUUCAGUUCGGUUCCGGUUCUUUCGGUUUUAAAAUUUAGUAUCCAUUCGGUUAUUUUGCUUUGGAUAUUUUCGGAUAUUUCGGUUAUUUUUGGGUAUUUUCGAAUAUUUUUGGAUAUUUUCCGGUUAUUUUCGAGUAUUUUUACUAAUUAUAUAUUUUUCAAAGUAUUUAUUAUUAUUUGGUCAAUAAAUAACUAAUAUUUUUGAAAUAUAAUUGUAUUUCGGAUAGUUUCGAUUCAGUUACGGUUCUUUUGGUUAUAGAAUUUAGUUUUGGUUCGUUUUUUUUGCUACGGUUUUUGGUUCGGUUUAUUUGCCUAGGCCUACAUAAUUAUAGUGCAGACUGCAGACCAUUACAUAAUUAGGGGAUUGUAUCCUUUAAGGAAACGGAGAGGUGAUUCAACAUCAUUUUGAUUUCUUCUUUGUCUUCUAAACUUUUGUUGUUGUUGUUUCGAGCAACAUUUAACAGAAAUUUUUUAAACUGAAAAAUGAACAUCUAAAAAUCUUAUGAAAAUUAACCACAACGAUGUUCUUAGACUUCUACAUACUUGCUGACUAUCUGUUAGUGCCACCUAAUAUACUUAUCUGGCUUGAUUGGAUCGAAAAUAUCAAUCCAUACAAUUAUUAUAGAAGCCAAAGAAAAUUGGUUGAUGAGUUAUUUUCUAAGUGUAUACAAAUUUCUUUCUUUCAAAUCUCUUAAUACUGUAUCAUUAAAUAAUCUAAUAAAGCUUUUAAAAUAUUUUUUUGGAUAAGUAUAAGUUCUUAUAAAACUAUUUUUGUAUACUUCUCCAUUUUUCAAAAUUCAUUUAUAUUAUACUUACUUUUUCAAAUUAUCAACCGUUUUUACAUGUUUUGUAUAAUAAUUAAUAAUUACUCCUACCUUACAAACGAAUAAAACUUUUACUAUGUUCGCUGAUUAAAUUUUUGUUAUAUCAUUAUAUGUUUCAUAAGUUUAUUACCUAAUUAUUGACUUUUAUAUGUUUUGUUAUAGUAAACAAACAGCAAAAACAAAAUCUACAUGUCCUAAAUGAUAGUCUGAUUUUCAUCCAUAAUUCUCUGGUUUUUGAAAAUUAAUGAUUGUGUUGUAUGAAAAAUGUUCAUUGGUUCGACUAAUUUUUUAUUCAUCAUAUAUAUCUUAUUAAAAAGAAAUUAACAAAAUUUGGUGGCUACAAUGGUUCAAGACUUCAGGGGAUGUGCCUUUAGUCAAGUGGUUAAGUCCAUUUGUCUCCGUCUUCCCCACCGGAGUUCGAUUCCACUAAGUCGCGUUACGUAGUCUUUAAAUAAAAAUUUGCGGCUUAAAUCAAUCUUCUCUAGUAUGUAAAAAAAAAAAAAAGUAGAAGUUUUUAAAUUAGUAUAUUACUAACUUAUGAAAAUACUUUAGUUACAAGAUAGAGUAUGAAAAAAAAAAAUUAUUGGAAUGCAAAUUCUUGAAUUUCAAUUGUUUAAAAACUAUAAAUUUCUACAUAACAAAACUUUUUUUACUAAAAGUAAUAAUUUUUCGGCUAUGCGUUAUGUGUAUAUCAAUUAAAAAGAUAAUGUACAAUUUUCCAAAAAUAUAUAUCUUGAAUAGUACGUAACAACACGACACAUAACAAACAUACCCGAUUAGUUGGACCAAACCGAGAGCAAUAUCAUUGAUUCCCCAAAGUGGUUAUUUUUAGGAGUCGUAUUCGACGAACAACCUCAUACUCGCCUAACAUAGAUAAAUUUUCUUUUGAAUACUUCGGUUAACCCUAACCAAGAUUUGUUUUCUUGCUUUUUAUAUACUCAAUACAAUACAUAUACGUGCUCCUUUAGCAAUAUUUUCAUAUUUAUUAUUUCUUUUAAAUAUUAUCAUGAUUCUUUUUCUUUCGUCAUGUUUGGCCUCUUUAAUAGUAUAUUUCUUGAAUAGAAUGAGCAUUAAUCCAAUAGCGUCCUGAUCCCAAAAACCUCAUAUUUAGGUUCGAGAGCCCGAAAAUAUACUUUUUAAAUAAAGCAGUUAAGUGUCAUACUUUUUCUUUUCUUUUUUUGUUUAAGUGUCAUACUUAUUACUUUAACAAUGAGCAAAAUUUGUCAUUAUAUAUUGUCACUUUGAGAUGUAAGGUUAAUGCAGAGAGAUUGAGUCUCUUUACAUGUGUAGUCAUAUAAUAAAUUUUUAUGCCAUAUAUAUUACUAUGAAAUAGGAUUUCCGGACAAUAGCGAAAGGGAAAGUAUACAAAGAAAUAAGAUCUUAAGACCAGAAAAUAGAAAAGAGAACUAGCAACGGGUGUUAAGAGAACGAAGGAUCCAGAACUUUAACAUCUACAUCUCCUACGUAAGACUUGGACAAUCUCCAUGUCAUUUUUUUUUAAUCUCCAUGUAUUUUUUAUAUAAUCUGUACAAAAAUACGACUUUUUAGCAUAUGAAAGUACUAAUAACUAGAAAGCAAAAAACAAUGAGAAAAAGAAAACACGAAAUAAAAAGAAAUGAAGAAAUUAUUAGAAAUUUGAAUGGUUUAAUAUCUCUUAAGAGUCAACAAAAAAUAAAAGAUUAAAGAGAUAGUCUUCAUCAAUCUUUCUCCAACUUCUUCUAUUGUUGUUCCACCUUCACCAUUCCUUAAUCUCCACUUUAUCUCCCAAACCCGAAUCCGAAAACUCCUCUUCAACAACUUAAAACCCUUUUAACUAAUCCCAACUAUCAGAUGAUUCGAAUUCAACAACCAACUCCGACCAUAAGAUUCAUUCCGGCAAAACAAGAACCAUGAUAACACAGAAACAAAGAAGAACAGAGAAAAGUCUCUGUUUAAAACAUUACUACAAAUGGUUCCUCUGUUUUUUCCUUACUCUUUAUUUUCUUGCUUCCUUCUUUGUCGACCAUGAUCAAGAUCACGAUCAUGAUCAAAGGUCUUCUUCUUCCCGAUCAAACCCUCUUCUUACUAACUCUAAACCCAAACUUUUCGCUUCUCGUGCCAUGUUUGAAUCUAAAAUCCAUGAUCACAAACUUGGGUUUGCCCCUCAACGUCCCAACAUAAGAACAGGUACAUAUAUAUAGAUGAACCAUCAUGUUUUCUCAUAGAAUUUAUUUUCGUAAAGUAUCCGUAUAAUGGGAAGAAUAUCCGGUGCAUCGGGAUUAGUCUAGUUCAUGUUUUAGUUGUCCGCUCAAGUUGAACAAUCUUCUCUUAUCAUGACAAUAUUUUUGGUUGUUUAAAUUUUCUUUGUAGAUGUAUUCAACAAUUUGAAGAUCUACGUCUAUGACUUGCCUUCAAAGUUCAACAAAGACUGGUUAGCCAAUGAUAGGUGUAGCAACCACCUCUUUGCCGCGGAGGUAGCUCUCCACAAGGCGUUUCUCAGCCUCGAAGGAGACAUACGGACAGAAGAUCCAUACGAAGCCGAUUUCUUCUUUGUUCCUGUCUAUGUCUCUUGCAACUUCAGCACCAUCAAUGGUUUUCCAGCUAUUGGUCACGCGCGAACACUCAUCAAUGACGCGAUUAAGUUCGUCUCGACUCAAUACCCGUUUUGGAAUCGAAAUAAUGGCUCUGACCACGUCUUCACCGCCACACAUGACUUUGGCUCUUGCUUCCACACCAUGGUUAGUUCAAAAUGAUUUGCCAAGUUGUAUACAUAUUUAUUUAUACUGAAUUUUUUUAUUUUUUUUUGUGAAGGAGGAUAGAGCAAUUGCUGAUGGAGUACCAAAGAUUUUGAGAAGCUCUAUAGUUUUGCAAACAUUUGGUGUUACUUUUAACCAUCCAUGCCAAGAGGUAGAGAACGUGGUGAUACCACCGUACAUCUCACCGGAAAGUUUACACAAGACUCUAAAGAAUAUUCCGGUAAAUAAAGAACGAGACAUUUGGGCUUUUUUCCGCGGCAAGAUGGAACUUCAUCCCAAAAACAUCAGUGGACGCUUCUAUAGCAAGUAAAAGAAACUCUUAUAGCAAUCUCUAUAUCUAAAUUUUUUUCUAUAACCAAAAUAUUUCGGCCCGCUUCUCGUCAUCGGUGUUCGAACUUGUGACCUUGAAAACUCUCCUUCAUACCAACUAAUACACCGGUUGAACAAACGAUGUAUAAGACUUUAUAUAUUGAACUACAUUUUUUCACCUAUCAGGCGAGUAAGGACGAAGAUAUGGCGGAGUUACGGUGGUGACCGGAGGUUUUAUCUUCAACGGCAACGAUUUUCCGGUUACCAGUUAGAAAUAGCUCGUUCUGUUUUCUGUUUGUGUCCUCUCGGGUGGGCACCGUGGAGCCCAAGACUUGUUGAAUCGGUGGCUCUUGGCUGUGUACCAGUGAUUAUAGCCGAUGGGAUCCGUUUGCCGUUCCCUUCCGCCGUGCGUUGGCCGGAUAUUUCGCUCACGGUGGCAGAGAGAGACGUUGGAAAGCUAGGGGAUAUUUUGGAACACGUGGUGGCAACUAAUUUGUCAGUUAUACAGAGAAACUUGGAGGAUCCGUCUGUUAGGCGGGCCCUUAUGUUUAAUGUUCCUUCAAGAGAGGGAGAUGCCACGUGGCAAGUUUUGGAGGCUUUGUCAAAGAAAUUGAAUAGGUCUGUUAGAAGGUCAAACUCUUUCUUGUAAACCAAUAAAUUUUGACACGUGAAUAUUAUUUUUCUGGGGUAACUUUGUGUAUAUUACUACUCUGAGAAUUAAAAUUGGAAUCUAUAUAAUCAUAACGAUCCGGAUAAAGAGAAAAUUCUAACAAAAAAAAAACCCCAACUAUUUGCCAGAAAAAAACCUGAAUUUUUUUUGUUGCCCGAAAAAAACCUAAACUAAUUUACUGCUGGAAAAAAUAACACGAACUUUUUUUUUUCCCAAUUUACUCUCGUCUCCGUUACGGAUGUUAACGCCGUCGUUGACACCGUUACUAUUUUUUCAAAAAUUCCUUAAAAACACCUAAGUUAUUUAAUUUUGCCAAAAAAAUACAUGAAUUAUUUUUUUUGUUGCCAGAAGAAUACACUGAUCAACAUUUUUCUCCAAUUCUUUUAUUUCAUUAACAAUGUAAGUUUUCACUAUUAUUUAGGAGAAUUAAAUUUAAGAACAAAAAUAUACAAUUAGAUUAGUCAAUUUUCAAAAUUCUCAAUUAGAUUUGUUUUGGAUCUAUUCAGACUUUACAAAUUUUGAGACAUCAUCAACAAUGAAACUCCAAAUUUCAUCCCCAAAAACCUUAUUAGAUCUUCAAAAAUUCUCUACAUAAAUCGCAAAAAAAAUACUCAAAUCCCCAAAAAUACACUGAUCAACAUUUUUCUCCUCUUUUUUUAUUUCAUUAACAAUGUAAAGUUAGACCUCAUAACUUUAUGUGUUCUCUUGAACUUCAUACAAGUUCUCACUACUAUUAGACUAAUCGAUUUUUCAAUUUUCCAAUUAGAACAAAACUCACAAUUACAUUAGUUGAUUCCCCAAUUUCCUAACUAGAACAAAAAAACACAAUUAGAUUAAUCAUUUUUUUAGCGUUGAAUUCGUUUGAUUAAGCUAGCUUUAGCUUCAAUUUUGGUGGAUUUUGCUUAUUUGAGUAUUUUUUUUUUGCGAUUUAUGUAAAGAAUUUUUGAAGAACUAAUAAGGUUUUUGGGGAUGAAAUUUGGAGUUCCAUUGUUGAUGAUAUCCCAAAAUUUGUAAAGUCUGAAUAGAUCCAAAAAAAAAUCUAAUUGAGAAUUUUGAAAAUCGACUAAUCUAAUUGUAUAUUUUUGUUCUUAAUUCUAAUUCUCCUAAAUAAUAGUGAAAACAGAAAACUUUUAUGAAGUUCAAGAGAACACACCAAUUUAUCAGCUUUCGACGCCUUACAUUGUUGAUGGAAGACAAAAAGAGAAGAAAAAUAUUGAUCUAUGUAUUUUUCUGGCAACGAACAAAUAAUUCGGGUAGUUUUCUGGCAAAAUUAAAUAAGUUGGGUUUUUUCCAAGAAUUUUCACAAAAAAUAGUAACGGCGUCAACGACGGCGUUAACGCCCGUAACGGAGACGAGAGUAAAUUGGAAACCAAAAACAGUUCGUGUUUUUUUUUUCAGCGGUAAAUUAGUUUGGGUUUUUUUCCGACAACGAAAAAAGUUCAGGUUUUUUUCUGGCAAAUAUUAAAUAGUUGGGGUUUUUUUUUUGGGAAUUUUCCCUCCGGAUAAAUAUUUUUGCUGUUGUGAACAUUAUCUUUUUAUUGCAAUUUCUCGUUAAUCUAUCUUUUUUGAACUAAAAAUAUAUUUUAUUGUUGUUUUUUUCUUUAGAAAGUUGCAAUCCGAAUAAAUAUUUUUUACAAUUGCGUAUUUUUACCGUAACUUUUCAUAAACGGUAGCAACUGUUUAGUUGAAUUAAUCAAACAUUGUUUAUUUUACGAAUAAUUGCAAAUUUUGAUAUAUUUUGUAAAUCGCUAUUACAUUAACUAAAAAAUUUGCAAUCCGAAUAAAUAUCUUCUAUGGUUGGGUAUUUUUCUUGGAAUUCUUCAUAAACGGUUAACCAUUUAAUUGAAUCAUUGCAACAUUUAGUUAUUACACAAACAAAUGCAACUUUUGAUUAUUUUUUUUACAAAUUGUCGUAACAUUUUUUUUUUUGAAACUAAAAAAUAUUUUACAAUUGUGUUUAUUUUAGAAAGUUGAAAUCCCAAUAAAUGUGUUCUACAUUUGCGUCGUUUGAUCGUAACUCUUCAUAAAUAGUUGCAACCGUUUAGUUGAACCAUUGCAACAUUUGGUUUAUUUCACGAACAAAUGCAAUUUUUGGUUUAUUUUAUAAAUCGUUAUAAUAUAUAAUUAUCGUCUCUUGGUAUAACUUUUUAUAACUUAUUAUUUUUUAAUUUUUAUUCAUUAACAUGUAUUUAAAUGAAAUUGUAAUCGUUUAAUUAAACCGUUUCAACAGUUGGUAUAUUUGACAAACCGUUACAACUUUUUGUAUAUUUAAUAUCUACGGUCGCGUCUCUCGAUUAUAGUUAUUCAUAAUGUUUUUUUUAGUUUUGACAUAACCGUCCCUGUCACACCAUGUAUCCUUGAUAAGUAAUAUAUUCAUUGCGAUUUACCUCAAUUUAUUGUUUAAAAUAUAUUUAAAUAAAUUGUUCCUACUGUUUAAUUCAUUAUAGUAUUAUUUGGUUUAUUUGAAGAACCAAUGAAUAUUUUGGCUUAUUUGACGAACUAUCGUAACAUUUGAUUUAUUUGAUAAACCAUUGCAAUAUUUGGUAUUUGAUGAAUCGUUGCAACAUAUAGUUUAUUUGAUAAACAAUUACAUUUUUUUGGUAUAUUUGAUGAACAGUUGCGACAUUUGUCCUUUUAAAAAGAUUUUUGAAGGCAUUAAUUAAAGUUAUAUCUGUUCAUUUAGAGUUGUAUCUUAUCACAAUGUUUUAUUAGUGUUUUUUCAUCACAAACUCUUCUUUUCAAUAAUUAUGUCUUCUACAAACAGUUUAAUCUAUUUAAACUUUCAUGACUUUUUAAAUGUAUAUAUAUUUUUCUCAUUUCUAAGAAAAAUUCUGUAUAUUUAUUAUUACUUUUUGUUUGAUACUUUUUCAUUGCAUUUUUUCGCUAUCUAGCAUUCAUGUAAUUAUUUUGUUAUCUAUAUCAUUAUUACUUUUUUCCUAAACAACUGUUAAUUUAGGUUAUUUGUUAGUUUUUUCGGAGGAUUGUCUCUCUUUAACAUAAUACAAUUUAAAAUGUUGCAUCUUUUUAUCAUAAUGUUUUGUUGAAUACAUUUAUAUAAUUAUAUUUGUAAUUGUUUAAAAAAUUGAAAAAUUGUGUUUAUUCAUUAUAACUCUUCGUUUAAUAUUUCUUACUUAUGAUCGCAUCUUUUCACCAUAAUGUUUUCUAAUAAUAAGAUAAAUCAUAAUAAUGCUUUUGAGGGUUACAUAUCUUUAUCAUAAUUUUUGUAAAAUAUAUCUUCAUUUAUUGUUAAAUUUUUUUUUUUUAAGUUGUCUCCAUUCAUUAUAAAUUUUUGUUUGAUAUUUUUGUCUUUAAAGUUCUUUUAAAUUUUUAUCCUCCGCGGCGGGAAGUCUGAUUAGUAGUUUUCACAGUAACUAACCAAACUGAUUAAUUUUUUUUUUGCAAAAUAAUUGAUACAAUUUCCCACUCAAAGUUUAACAAAUUUCAUGUUAUUUUAUCAGAUAAUAUUUGUGUUUUUUUAUAAUAAUAUUAUGUUAUAUUUAAACACAUGCGGUUAAAUACACGAUCCACGCAUAUACGAAAAUUUGAUAGCACAAUUUUGCCAAUUUUAACACCACAAAUGACUAUCUACCUAAUAACUUAAGAAGCCCUUAAAUGUGAAAGAUAUUAGAAUCUACAAGAUUUGUUGUUAGGAAAUCUACCAAAUGAACUUUAGGAGACACUUGAUUAAAGUUUCCACAUCAACUAUUAAUUUUCUAACAACCAAAUUAGAACUUAAUCCAAGGAGGAACUUAACAACUACUUAAGAGUAUUUCGGACAAAAUAAUGUGUAGAAAAGAUAUCAAACAACUAGUGAUAGCAGCAUUUAUAUGUUUACUCCAACAUUAGGAGCUGUGAUUUGUUGUAGAACAAUUCCCUAAAGAAGCAUUCUUUGAGCAAAUAUGUGUCAAAGUUACAAUUGCUGGCCGAAAUCCUGAUCUUAGAGGAACAAUUGAUGUCACUCUCAUGUGUUGCGCAUUUCGGUUGUGAGGCCGAGUUAAUGUCAUCCUUAGCAUUUCUCCAUCAAAGACCUGAUUAACCUUUGAUGCUGCAAUGGAAACAAAACAUUAAGAGAAUCAUCUGAAAACCUAAUCAGAAAUCUCAUCAAGCUUUUAGUUAAGUGAUUUGAUGAGUCUUUACCGGCUAAUGGAUUGAGCUUAGUGAAGUGGAAGAACUCAUCAGCUGAACAACCAAAGAGAACAGUGGCAGCUCUAUCAAAACAGAUCACAGUUUUCACUGAUGUAUCUGUUGCUAUAGACAUCUGUUAGAUUCAUAAAGGUCAGAACUUUGAAGUCACAACCUCUCAAUUCCACAGGAGAUUAACAGAUUCACCAAAACUGAUUCUUGACUAUUGAUAAAACUACAUUGGACAAACACCAUUUCUAUAACUACAGACAUCUGUUAGAUUCAUAAAGGUGAGAACUUUGAAGUCACAAUCCCUCAGUUCCACAGGAGAUUAACAGAUUCACCAAUACUGAUUCUUGAUCACAGACUGUUACACCUAAAUCCCUAACAGUAAUCACAACUUUUCAGAUUAUUCCACUAAAAAACGAAAAGCUUGAAGGAAGAAGAAGAGGAAAGGGUUCUUACGAGAAUCCGAUAGAGAAGUUUUGGUUCUUUUGAUUUGCAGAAUUUGCAAAAUGAAGAAGAAGCAAGGCCAUUGUUAUCUGAAGGGAGGACUCUCUGGCAGCGAGAACAAACUCUGUAGCAAUAAUCAGUGAGGUCGACGGCAAGCAACGAGCAAAGAACCGUCUCAGUGGCUUCCAUUUUCUUUUCCUUUAGGGCUUUUCUCUGUUUUUCACCAAAGUUUGUUCCUUUCCAUAAAAUUCUCUUGGAAACAUUUUGGGCCGAGUUACAGAAUUAGACCCAAACCUCCAAACUUUUGUCAAGGAGAGAAAAAGAAAAGUCCUUUCUUUGAACUUAAUUUAGGGACUUUGGAAUUCAAAAUGAUAGUGUCAUAAAUACGACUUGAUGCACAUAUGGAUAUUCUCAAGAAAGUCAAACACUUAUGUGGUGAAUCCUUGAGAGUUAUUUCUUACAAAUCAUGUAGUUGUUGCUCUUCCUUCAGUGUCCUUGUGAUUGUUAUCUUUGAUGUGUUUUGACUCGACACCGAAAACUUGUCCAUGUAGAUUCCAAGGUACGAUAUAAGUGGGUCGGUCCUCGCUUUGUCCACCACAAGCUUUAGAGAACGCGACUCAACCUUCAGAAACCGUAGAAGCCUUUUGUUCCCGACUGUUGUGCCGCUCACAACUCUCUCCCAUUUUCCGCUUCCAGUCUUCCGCGUCUCGAGAUGGAAAGACGCAAUCCGUUGACCCAUUUGGAUCGGUUCUCGAAUUUCCAAUACAUUGAAACUAACCGAAUCUUUAAACUCAAAGUACAACACCCAUUCCUUUUGACUUUCCUCUGGCGCCCAGUACUUGUCCAAUCCUUCUUCCAAAACAUUCUUAGGACCAAACUGCGAACUUUGACCGCCACGGAUACUGCUCGAGUUAACCAAUGCUUUGCGGGCGAGAUUAUUCGAGAAAAUAGUGUGUGUCAUUUCGCGAAACUCCUCAAGAACCUUGAUGUCUUGUUCAGAUAUCAGUCCUGAAGAAUUAGGAGGUACAUUAAGCAAGAAGAGACAGUUUCUUCCAACCGAGUAAUAGUAUAUAUCCAAAAGCUUAACAGCCGGUUUAGGCGACUCCAACGCAUGCCAAAACCAACCAGGUCGAAUCGAUACAUCACAUUCCGCCGGUACCCAAUCUUGCCCAAAUUUAUCACCUUCCUGAGAAUACCUACAAGAUCAAACAACUUCAAGCUAUGAUCUCUAUCAUCCCUAACAUCUAUGGAAAGUUUGAACAUUAGAGAGUGACUCACAAAGGAUCAGUGUCACCAAUCUUGGCAUUGGUUCGGUUAAAGAGUGACCAGCAAGUAGACCCAGCGAGUCCAGCUUCAUCACCAAUCCACCGGACAUCAGGACCGGCGUCGGAGAAUAUAACAGCUUUAGGCUGAAGCUGAUGGAUCAAACUAAACCAAGUAUCAAAGAAAUACUCCAUAUCUUUCUCUCCUUCUCCUUUAGCUCCAUCUAACCAAACUUCCUUAAUCUCUCCAUACCUAAUAAAGAUUCAACCUUUUCAAGAACUUGGAAUUUGAUUCACCAACCCAUUUGACUAAUAUGAGAAAAAGGAGCUUACUUUGUUAAUAACUCAGUCAUUUGACUCAGAUAAAACUCGUUAUACUCCAAUGUCUUGCCAUAACUCUGAUCAUGACGAUCCCAUGGAGAAAGGUAAAGACCAAGUCCAAUUCCAGCUUCCGCCGCCGCAGCAGCUAGCUCCGCCACUACAUCGCCGGUUCCGUUUCUCCAUGAGCUCGAUUUGACGGAGUAAUCAGUGUAUUCGCUAGGCCAGAGACAGAAUCCAUCGUGGUGCUUAGCUGUGAGGAUAACGCGGGAAAAGCCUGAGUCUUUAGCGAUUUGGACCCAUUGACUUGCGUUGAGAUGGGUCGGGUUGAAAACGGAUGGGUUGGCUUUUCCGGUGCCCCAUUCGGAGUUGGUAAAAGUGUUGGGACCGAAGUGGAGGAACAUGGCAAUGGAUCCGAGUUGCCAUUGGAGCUGUUGGGAGGAUGGGAGGGGUAAAAUUGGAAGUGGGUGUGGUUUUAGAGGUGAUGAAUUUGAGAUUUGGGAGAGACAGAGGAUUGAGAAGAAGAAGAGAAGAGUGAUUUGAGAGUUCAUGGGUCUUGAAUAAUUUUAGUUGACUCUUUUUCUUCUUCUUCUGCUUCUCUAGUCCUUCAAUGGAGUUUUGUUGUCUCUUUCUUUUUCUACUUGAGCUUUUCUAUCUUUUUAGCUUUGGGUGUAAUUAGUUUUUAUUUGAAGUGAUUAUUGAUUUGGAAACUUAAUGCAAACGCAAUAUAUAUUUGUUUUUUGUAUAACUAUGGGAUUUAAAUAAAAUUAAAUAAAUGAUGACCAACUUUUUUAUAAAACUGAAGAAAAAAAAUCUGGUAAUGGUUGUAUAAGAAUUUAUUUUUUCAAAAUGGUAAAUUUAACCUUGUAAGAACUAUUAUUAUUUAAAAAAUUUGCCUUAGACAAAAGAAUUAAAUAAUGGUUAACAUUCUACUAUUUGUUGGAUAUUCUGAAUCCAUAUUGCUAACCAUAACAUCAGGGUCCGAAUGGUAACAGCGUAUUUGACUAUGCGGAAAAAGCGGUUUUAUAAUGCGGUACGGUUCAACUGCAGUACGUGCGGGAGAAAUAUAUUUGCGGGACAAGUGCAGUUUUUAUAGAAUAAGCGGUACGGAACAAUGUUUGAUUGGUAAAAAAAUAAUUUACGUUAUACAAUAAAAUAUUUGAAUAGUAAAAAAAAACAAACGGUACGCAUUACGUUAGAAAUAAAUAUAGUAGUAAUUAUAAAUUAGUGUUUUUUUGGUAAUAAAGAAACAUUUUCAUAUACGUAUUUAAUCAUAAAAAAAACACAACACAAUUAAAAAAAAAACUACUAUUGGCAUGAACCUAAUUAUUUUGGCAAAUUUUCGGUGUUCCGUAAAACACCAUGUAUAGUUUAUAGCAGUUAUAGUUUAUCUUUAUCGGUGCUUUCAACUAUGUCAAUGAAAUAUGUACGCCCAAAUAACUGCUUUUUAAGUGUACUAAUACAUACCAAAUAAGUAUAUUUACAUAUAUAUUAUAAAAAGUAUUUGUGAAAAUAUUAACAAAAAAAAAACAAAAACCGCACUUUAACCACCUAUACACCCCAAAUUUGAUGCGGGUAGAACGCCCGCUUUUGUAAACAGAAAAACAAACAAAAUCCGUCCCACUUUAAUUAUUUACUGUGCUAGUGCGUUUUUAUUAAAUACAUAACAUUUGUAUGAUUGGUGAAUUUUCUCCAUUUGUCCCGCAACAUGUCAAAUAUGUCCCGCUUUUGUAGCUUCCAUUCACUACCUGAUCUUAAAAAAAAAAACAGAUUAUCAAGAAAAUGCUAAAAUACAAUAACAUCAACUCAAUGGUUAAUGAUGAGUGACAUUGAGUCUAUGAAUUUAAUACAUUUUACGAUUUACUUGAAUGUGAUCUAAUGAGAUUUUUUCAAAUGCUUAUGCUUCUUUUGGAUGCAGAAAACAAAAUAUUAGUUUCUAAAACUUAUAUUUUAUAAUGAAAAAGGGAGUACCAUUUUCUUACAAUGAUUAUUCAUAUACUCAAUUUCUUAUAAUGAAAAAUUAUUGUUUAAAAUCUAAGUUUUAGGAUGACAAAAAAAAAAUCUAAGUUUUAGAAACACCAUACUUCCUCUAUACUCUAUAGUAGGCCUCGACGUUCGGGUACCCGUUCGGUUCUUGUCCAGUUCCGGUUCUUUCGGUUCUAGAGUUUAGGAUCCAUAUAGGAACCAAACAAUUUCGGUUCGGUUCCGGUUCUGGUUCCGGUUCUUUCGGUUAUGAAGUUUAGGAUCCAUUCGGAUAUUUUAUUUCGGAUAUUUUUAGGUAUUUUAGAUAUUUUUAGGUAUUUUCGGAUAUUUUUGAGUAUUUUUUGGAUAUUUUAAGUAUUUUUUGAUAUAUUUUCCAAAUAAUUGUUGGUAUUUCGGAUAUUUUUGGUUAUUCGAUCUAAAAAUAACUAAUAUUUUUAGAUAUAAACUCAUAUUUCGGGUAUUUUUGGGUACCCGAAAUAUUUUGGUUCGGUUCGGUUCCGGUUCCGGUUCUAAAAUUUAGGAUCCAUUUGAGUAUUUUAAAAUUUCGGUUUAGUUCCGGUUCGGUUCUUUUUGCUUCGAUUCCGGUUCGGUUCUUGUGGUUCGGUUAUUUUGUCCAGACCUACUCUAUAGUACAUUAGUACUCCCUUGUGCCCAAAGUAUAGGUUUUUGUUCAAUCAGCGAAUGCACUCAUCACGUGACCUACAAUCAAAUUUUAAAGGCUACACAUAUAUGGUAAUUAAGAUGCGUAUAUUAACUACCAUCAUAUAGUUUUGUCCUAUUAAAUCUCAUUAGAGGUCUUGUAACUCAAUUUUUUUAACAACAAUUUGUCUCUUUCUAAUGGAAUUUUUUGAUGAUUCUACCUUCUAAAAGACCCACGAGCACAUUAAGAUGAGUAUUACAUGUUCUGUGAAGUUUUUUUUUUCAAUAAAUAAAUAAAUAAUAUAAUUUGCAGUAGAAAGCCUAUAUUGCACUCUACCAUUCUUUUUCUUUUUAAUCUUAACAUAAGCUUUAAAGUUAAUUCCUCUUUUAUUUUUAUUGUGAUUUUUUUAAUACGAAAUUAGUUGUCUAGUUAACUUGUCUUGUUAUUCGAUUAAAUAGAUUCUGAAUUAGUUAUCUAACUAUAGAAAUAUAAAGCAAUGAAAACAAGCUCAAAAGUUAAUAAUGUUAUACAAUCUGCUUCAAGAAUAAGCUCAGUAAUAAAUAAAUAUAACUAUAAUUUUCACAUCAAUAUUCCUCAUUUUUAUAUUAUUCUUUUUCACCCAUAUCAUAUUUCAAUCAACAACAAAAUAAAUCAAACUAAAACUUCCACACACCAAUUUUGAUUAAAAACAAAACUCACAAAUUACUAACCAACCAUACAUAACAAAAAAAAUCCAAUCUCAAAUUACAAAAUAUUUUUUAUUUUAUUUUUUUAAUAUAACUUAGUCCAUUAAAAAAAAUGGAAUAUAUAAUAUUUAAAUGAUUUAAUAAUAAAACAAAAAUAGAAAAAGCAGAGUAAUAAGGAAAGGACUAACAAAGUAGUACGUACUGUGAACCACCUCCCACACACACACUCUCUCUUCUGUUACGCAGCCGUCUCUGAAACCAUUUUCGUCGUCUUCUCCACUUUUCUUUUGCAGAAACCGAGAGAGAGAUACUCCAAUCGCUAAUCUCUAUUCCCGAUCAAGGUUCUCUCUGUUUUUCCUCUGCAAAAUGUGUUUGUUGCCUUCUGUGAUUCGUGGUUUUUGAGUUUUUUUUUUUUUUGAUUUUUUUGAUUUUUGACCUGUUGCAGAAGAAGAUAGAGACGAAAAUGGAGGAUGUGGUGUGUGAAUGUUACCACGGAGAUUCGGAGGAGAAGAAAAAGAAACAGAACAGUACGCCGACGACUGUCACCGUCGUUCUUAAGGUUGAUUUUCACUGUGACGGUUGUAUCGCUAGAAUCGUUCGAUUAUCUCGUCGUUUGGAAGGUUCGUUUCGUAUAAACCCUAGAAAAAUCGAAAUCGAUGAUUAUGUUUCUGAACACAAUCUCGUUUUUGCACUUUAGUUUUUCAAUCGAUGAGUACAAAAUCUUCAAUGUCGCGUUCGAUUUCUCUGUUUUUGUGGAUUUUCAUGGUUACGUUGCUGAAUCUGAAUCGAAUCGUUCGUGUUAAUCGUUUGCUUUGUUUCGUUUCGAGUAUUGUGAACGAUUGUGAUUUUUUUUGUUAAACCCUAAACCCUGACGAUAUUUUGAUAUCUUCCUCGCUGAUUUACGUUUAUCGAUCCUCUUCUUGGAUCUAAAUUUCAGAAUCAUACAUAACUCUGUUUCUGCGAUUGAAACACAGCGAUUGUGAAGAAAUUAGUCACUUUUGUUGUUUCAUGAUUUUGUUGGUAUACAAGAAAUUGCAAUCGAUGAUCAAUAAUCUCAUUAUAACUUGUUCUGAUUGUUUUAAAUGUAUCAGGAGUUGAAACAGUGAGAGCAGAUCCUGUUUCGAACAAGCUGACUCUGAUUGGGUUUAUCAUGGAUCCUGUGAAGGUUGCUGAGAAACUUCAGAAGAAGAGCAAGAAGAAAGUGGAGCUCAUAUCUCCUAAACCAAACAAAGAUACCAAAGAGAAGAAUGAGAAAAAAGCUAAUGAUAAGACUCAGACUGUGGUAAGCUCUAAAUACAUUCAUUUGCAUAAAGUUUUGACUCCAUUGGUUAUGAAAAUCUGUCUCUCAGAAACUGAUUAAAAUGUAUUCAAGAGGUUGGUGUUUUUAAGACUUACUUGCUGCAGAAGUAACAUUCUUCUUGUUGAGAUUACUCUAAUAUCAUUUCUUUGUAGAUAAUGUACUGUAGUCAUUACGUUCUAGGUGAUCAUAUGGUUUGAAUAACUAACUACUUUAGCCUUUCAAAUUAGUUUCUAUGAUGAUCUGUUCUUCACUGUCUUGUUAGGUUGCUGUGACCACUGUGGUACUGAAACUGAAUUGCUCUUGUGAUGGUUGCAUCAAGAGGAUUUGCAAGACUGUCUCUAAAACCAAAGGUCAGACUUUUGCUGACUAAUACUGAACUUAUUGACUCAUGCAGAACUUGUUUGCGACCAUUUUAGUCUUUGUUUAAUGGUAUUGACUAUUGAGUAUGUGAUUGUGUCAAAUAGGUGUGUAUCAAGUCAAAAUGGACAAAGAGAAGGAAACGGUAACAGUAAUGGGAACGAUGGAUGUUAAAUCUGUGACUGAGAAUCUGAAACGUAAGCUGAAGAAAACAGUCCAGGUCGUGCCUGAGAAGAAGAAGAAGAAAGAUAAAGACAAUGCAGAGGGAAUCACCAAAGUCGGGUCUCCGGGUCAACCUGAUUAUGGAUGCAAUCAUGGGCUUGGGCCUUACAGGUUCAUGGAAGGCCCAAUGAUUGGGUUUUUCAGUGAGGAGGAUCAGAGCUUUUGCAGCGUUAUGUGAGUAUCGAGGUGACAAAAACAUAUAUACUAGGAGGUAAAUAAACUAAAUAGGGAACAAAAAAGAAAAAGAAGAAGUAAAGUCUGACGGAUAUUUUGUGUGAUGGUCUGUGUCACAUGAGAGUAAUACACUAGUAUUUUCUAUUUUGAGAAAUAUUGCAGUGACAGUACGCUUUUGUGGAGAGGAUCCACUUUUUUCGACAUAGUAAAUGUCGACUUAGUUUUUCACUUUUGGUAAAAAAAAAAAUUAACCCUUCAAUGGAGCUCUUAAAUCUAUAUCCAAGCAAUUACUAUUGUUUAUCUAUAAUGGAUUUACCGCUAUUGUCUAGUUUUUGUCACGCCUUAUUUAGUUUUUAUUCUUACUACAUUGACUAGGGGUUGGUCCAACGAUAUACUAUGUGCAUUUUUAUUUACAAAGUCUAGACUAUGGAAAAUAUUGUAUGUCAUCUUUUCAAGCUUUCAUUUGUCCAAGAAGAAGUUAAUGGUUAUAACUUUGUGUUGACGCAUUUAAGUUCAUACGGAGCAAAAUCAUUCUCACAAUAAGAUUUGAGAUUCUACAUUUAAAGAACAUAUAUGGUCCUAUGACUCGUUUACUUUAUUGCACUCAAAUGCACAUCGGGUUGAUUUUUAGGCCAUAAGACAAAAAUUCAAUCGUAAAGUUAAAAUAUGUAGUGUAAAAUAGCUUGUCUAAUAUGAUCACGUGUUAACCAACUUAUAUUGAUAUAUGGUUAAUAAAUCACCAUGUUGAUUAAGAGACCAUGAUCCGAAGUAACCAUUAAAUUUUGCCCGCAAGGUGGUGGGCGAGUGGUAGAGCGAGUCUGGAGUUAAGGGUGAAAUCCCGGAAUCUGGGUUCGGUCUUCCUCCCUCGCUGUUACCAACACUUUGUGGGAAGUUUGGGCUUGGGCUUCGGCCCAAGCAGUUUACCUGGUAGUCUGGUAACAGGCGAUCCAGUUACCCCCGGACAUUAGUCGGAAAGCAUUCCAAACUCGGAUUAGGCAGUGUGGUAGCCAGUCUACUCUGUAGCACUCUGGUGCGUUCCUACCGAGGCUGACCGGAUCAGCCGAUCGGGUAUAUAAAAAAAAAAAAAAGUAACCAUUAAAAAGAAUACUUAAUUAUAUAUUUUAAAUAUCUUGUGGAUUAAUGUCGAGUUGUUUCAUUUGUUUUAAGGGAUAUAUAAGAACAAAACAAAAACCAACUUUUCCGUUUAAGCAAAAGAAAAUAUCUCUCUUUUUCGUUAAACUGAAUAAAUCUCCAAAUUUUGUUGGCUAAACUAUUGGUGGUCCGACAUUUAAUUAGUCAUAAAGAGUAGGAUAGAACCAAGUGUAAUUAUCAAUAGAUUAGAUCCUUUCCUUAGCAAAUUGGUACGUACGUAGAUAUUUUUAGGUGAUGCCAUUUGAUAAAAAUAAUAUCGUUAGUUAACAAUUUUUUCUUAAUCAAAAAUAUCCUACCAAAUUUCAUUCACUUGCAUAAACAUGCGGGUUCAUGUAUCUAUAGAGUUAAACAAAAAGUGCAAAAUCCAUAUAUAUCGAAAACAAGAAGACGAGAAACAAAUAAAGACCGUGUCGGACCAGCCCGUGGUUAUAGCGGGACUUAUAGUCACGUAGCUUUCAAAUUUAAUUUGGACUGUGGACUGCCAACGACAUUAUAUGCUCUUUUUCCCCAACUUUUUCAAUCAUAUAGUAUAAUUUUAAUAAACAACGUGGAAUGAUUUACACAAUCAUAUGUCUAAUCAACUAGCUAGGUCACAUUAUGUCAAGAUGGUAUAUAGUCAUCAAGUCCUAAGAUAUUAUCAACAAGUUUCCUCAUUGGACUGACGUUCAAAAUUGUCCUUUUUUGGGAUAAUGACUUUUCUAUUGCCUCAUGUUCCUAUGUUUAAUGCCGACUUAUGUUUUUAUUUAAGGUAAUUUGUUGUUAAAAAAAACGAUUAUUGUUGGUACGUGGUGAUUAGAAUGUGUAAAUGUGUAAAUUACCACGUAGCCGUGUUCCUUUUACGUGUUAAAGUUCAUUGUGGAUUUAUUUUCAUUCGAAGAAUGAUCAUGAUUUUUGUAGAAAAAUAUAACUUUUAUCAUAAUAACCAAAAAUCAUUAUCUAGUAUUAUAUCUUCUUAUUUUCUUUUCCCACAAAAAAUAAAUAUAAAUUUUAGUAGGUGCAAUGGAUGAGAUAUAAUUCAAAGAUUCUUAAAAAAGAUAUGUCAAAGUAACCUAUAUCUCCGGAUCAAAAUUUUAAAAUAUUUCAAUUUUAAAAUAGAAGCAGCAUAGGAUAAUUACAAAGAAAAUUGAAAUCAUACGUAUACGGAAUAUGAAAUUGAUUCGUAUACGUUGAUAUGGUUAUGUGUAUCUUGGUUACGUUCAUUGCUUGCAGCCUUGCACAUUGGUUUCACAUAGCUAUGAAAUUGAUUCGGAGAUAUAUGGAAAAUAUCGUACGCAUGUCAUUUGUCAAACACAUGAAUCAAAUGCGUCCCAUCCUAUCACUACAAAAAAAAGGAUGGAUUACAUCAAUUAAAUAGUAUCAGAAAUAUAAAUGAUACUAGUUUAAAUUACUUAUAAGCAAAUGACACAAAAUAAUUAAUUUAACAUCAAUUUUAAUAAGUGAUGUGUUAAUUAACUUGUUUAGCAUCAGUUCAAUCAAAGUGAUACAAAUUUGUAUUAGUUUGCAUCACUUUAAAAAAUUGAUACAAAGAUAUGUAUUUGCAUCAAUUAACAACCGAUGUAGUCACUUAAUUUUAUUAACAUCACUUUUAAAAAUGAUACAAAAUCUAUAUCAAUAAAAAGUGAAGCUAAUAAAUUUUUAAGUAAUUUAAUUAUUAAAAAAAUAACUGGAAAAUUUUGUUAUAGAUGACGUUAAAUUGUUAUUACCAUAAAUAAAUAAUUAUAUUGGUUUUAUCAUAAUAUUAGUUCCUAUUAAUCCUCAAAAUAAGCAAAUUUAUUUAUUUUUAUUCCUUACCCACAAUCCUUCUUUUACGCUCACGAUCUUUUUUUCCUAUUUUAUUUCCAAAAAAAUGUUUUUAGAAUAUCUUCAAGUUAGUUUUCGAAAUCUCAUAACUCGAUCUCAUUCAAUUCUCCACCUUUAAAUACUUUCUUAUUUUCUGUCAUUCUACCUCUCUUUUUUUCUUGACCAUCACUCAGUUUUUUUGUUCUUCUAUUUUCAGAAAUUUGUCAUGAACACUGCACUAAUGAUCAUUAGGACUCUGUGUUUUCCUACACAAUUUGGAGAAACAUAAACUAAAGGUACUCCAUCACUUAAUGUUAAAUACACUUACAAAUAAUUAUUCUAAUUCCGAUCAAAAAUUUCUAUAAAUUUCUAAACAAUUAGUGAAUUGUGUUUGUGUAAAAGAAAAGAAAAAAACAAAUAACUAACACAAUAUGACCAUCAAAUCUUCGAUUGCCUAACAACUACAAUCCAAACUAUCCAACGACAUGUUUACCAGUUUAAGGUACAGACAUCUAAGUGGUUAAGAGAUAGAUCAUUAAUUAUUUUACCGCAGAGUUAUUAUUUGUAGAUCGAUAUAGAUCUCUUCAAUUUUCAAUAUAUUAUUAAUAUGUGAAUGUUUUGCCGUCCAAAAAACAAAAUUCUUUUGAAUAUAUCCUUUUGAUCACGAUUCACAUGUACAUUUCUUAUAUGAUCUAAAUGUAGUACAAAACCGACCACGAUCUACUUUCUAUGCAGAUGCACAAAGCUCAGUACUACUACACAGUAUCACAAAGACGCAAAGUACUGUAUAUAUUUGGAACUGACAUCCCAAUCUUGAUUCAACGUGGAAAAUAUGUAGAAAAGGUAUAGCCCUUUACGUUGUUUGCUUAUUUAUGUUUUUGUUUUAUAACAGAACCUAUGAAGUUUAUAAGGAAUUAAUUUCGUUUUUGGCUUUAAGUUUAUAUUUGAUUCAAAAGAAUAAAGGAUUAUUCGUGGUCGUGGAAACACUAACUAGUUGUCUCUAAUGCUUCCUUAUUUCUUGUAACCGAACAUUUUACUCCUGCCUUGCAAGUUACAACUAAUAAUCUAAUAUAAACAAGAGCUAUAUAGAAGCAUUUUUUUUGUCAAAAACAAAAAAACAAAGAGGCUAAAAAAUAUAGGGAAUAUGGAGAGAAUAGCCAAAUUUUUAAAGAAAAUUAAAAGAAUGAUCAUGAGUGAGGUACUGUAGUACUUUCUCUCUUCCAUUGUAAUUACAAGUAUGCCCAUUUUUUUUUUUUUUCUCAAUUACAAGUAUGCCCAUAUCAUCUCAUAUCUCUUUUUUUUGGAACCACCAUCACCAUCAUAUAUGUUACCUCCAUUAUUUAUCCAUUACUAGAUCAUCACUUGUACUACAGUACGAGUUAAAUUUUAUUUAUUACAAAAUUUAUAUAUUAUAUAUUUUAGAAUAAAGUUGUGAUAUAUUAUAAUAGUAAUUGAAAAAAAAUAAUUAGAUUUUUGUCAGUCCCUAUAUAUAAUAUUAGAAUGAAUAAUUUUUUUUUUAAUUAUACUCAAUUAUGGAUGUAUUUUUUUAAGAUAUGAAAACGGAAAAUAAAAUUAAUUUAAUAAAUUAAUAUGGUCUGAAUAAUGAGUUAAUUUGUAUUAACAACCACAAAAUGAGAUUGCAUAUAAUUCAGUUAGAUCAAAAAUCAAAAUAUUAUAAAUGAAUCGCUUCUAAAACGUAGAUUAUUUUUAAUUAAUUAAGAAAGUUAGCUAUUAUUUUGAAUUAAUUUAAGAAAUUCUUUUUUCAAUUUUUAAUUCUUUGGUUGUUGAAAUAAAAAUUUUUUUGAGGUAACUACGGAAUUUACCAAUUAUUCGCGUAAUUGAAUAUGUUAUGAACAUAUAUUUAGUAUAUAAUAUACCAUAUUCAACUCGUGCGUUGAGUCUAUAUUAUUAUUUUAGAAUCCUAAUGAAAAUAUUGCGUGCACAAUCUAUUAUUCGUUAUUUCCAAAAUUGCUUGCACAAUCUUUUUUUUUGACGUCUAGAUUUAUUAUUUAUUGCAAAUUAUGAGAACUGUUACAUAGAUGAUUCUACAACGGACAAUUCCUUCCGACCCUUAUUAGAUCCACGACAGACGACACUUCCUUCUCCAUGCUCUUGACGGACACCUUCAAUGAUCCACGACCUGACGACACUUCCCUCUCUGCGUAGAAUCCUGGCGAACGGCUAUAAUUGUACUUUGCUGGAGAUCUCCUGCACAGUUGCCUCCUUUAAUCUGCAAAUUUAUUAAUAAAUCGCAAUAUCUGAGACUAAUUAACCCUUAGUCAACCAAUGGGCCAAGGGGGCUUCCACAAUUGCUUGCACAAUCAAAAUUUCAAAUAUUUUGUGGUGUCAACCUAAUUUAAUCUAUCUGAUCAUAUAAUCUUAACAUGCCGUCUAUUAUAAGGAUCAUAAUUUUAUAUCAUAUAAUAUGUUACAUUUAACCCUCCGUCUACUAUAACUAUUUUAAAUAUAUCUCUUUAGAAAAUCAAAUAAAAGUAUUUAUAAUUUUUUUUUAUCUUUUUAAUCUAUUAAAUAUUUAUGAUAUUUAUUAAAAUAUUAAAUUAAAAUAUUUUAAAUGUUCUGAAUUAAAAUAUUUAAAAAUAUUUCUUGUAGUAUAUAAAAUUAUGAAUUUCAAAAAAGAAUUAUAUGAAAUUAAAUAGAAAUAUUCACACAGUUAUAAGGAUCAUAACUCAUUUGUUAAUAUAAUAUAUUAUAUUUAACCCACUAUCUAUAAUAAAUAUUUGUGUUAAAAAAAUCAAAUUAGAGUAUUUAUUGAUGAUAUUCUUUAAAUAUUGAUGAUAUUCUUGAAAAAUCUCAAGUAAAACUAAUUUUAUAUGUUGCAAAUUAAAAUAUUUAAAAAUCUUAUUGUAGUAUAUAAAAUAAUACAUUUCAAAAAAUAAAUGUAUGAAAUUGAAUAUAAAUAUUCAAAUUCUGACCCGUUACUCAGUCGAAAUUUUGUUGAACUUAUUUUUGGUUAAAAGAAAUAUAUUACUCAAAUGUAAAUUUUUGACCCGUUAAAUUUUUUUCUUCAUAGAUUUAACAAUUUAUAUUCGUUUUUAAAAAUUCAAAUAUUGACAUAUGCAGAAAAAAUUUACUUAUAGAUGAUAUGAUGAUUUAUUUGUUUCAUAAAAAUAGAAUCAUAUAAAGAUGAGAGGUGAAGUAUAAUGAUUAAUAACAAAUUAAUAUGGUAGAUAUCAAAUCUUAUAUGUUCAUUUUGAUUGGUCAUUCUUUUUUUUUUAAGUUAAUAAUAUAUUUUCGUUUUUAAUAAUUAAAUUGCAUAAAUUAGUAUUUGACUUGUUUAUCCUUAAUGAGCUGAAUUAAUUUAUUCUUUAAAUUUUUAUCUCUAAUGGCAUUCUAAUGUAAUAACUUACAAAGAGGAAGGUUAUUAAAAGGUAAUUAUAAAUUGUACUCCCCAAAUAAUAGAUACAGCAUUGCGACUGAUCUGGUUACCUCCACGGCUCCACUACGACUUUCUCCACCGUCGGUUCUUCUAGAAACUCCACCGUCGAUGAUAUCAUCAACACCACCAUCACCAUUGUCCUUUAUUCUUUCCCCACACUCCUCACACUAUCUAAUCGAAUUCUAUACUGUAAAUUUCUUUCUCGAGAUAAAUUUGUACCGGCUACCUCUCUGCAAAUUUCUAGGUUCUUGUUGUCUCCAACAGCCAAAGAUCUCUAUUUUUAUCUCGUUGAAUCAAUCUUUCUUGGAAUCUCCGUCGUUAUUUGUUUUUGUUACACGGAACUUUUUUGUAUUACAUGUUAUUGAUUAAGAUUACAUGUGAGUUUUCCCAAAAACAUGAUUUUAAUGUUAAAAAUACAUUGUUUUAUUAAAUGACACACCUUUUCUUUCAAUAUAACAUGAUAUUUUUAUUAAAUGAUAUGAAUUUCACAAAUAACAAUAUGAUGCUGCAUCUUUGCAAAUGUAAGUUAUAAAGUACAACGUUUUAUUAAUAAAUAUCGUGCUAUUUUAACAUAUUUCACGCGAUUUGUUAAAGUAUCUCUAAUUUGUUAUUUUUUCUUCGCAAAAGCUUGCUCUUGGUUUAACUUGUAGGGAUAUUUUUGAUUUUUAUUGUGCCGCAUAUGGUUAGUUACCCAUAAAAAAACUGACAACGGUUAAUUACUUAAUUUUGACUUAAAAUUUGGCUAUUUAGUAAUAUUACCAAAUAAAUUUAAACAAAACAAAAUAAAGAGGCAAUUUGAUAACUAAGAGAAAAAGAAAAGAGAAGGUGUUAUAUGAGCAUAGUAAGUUAUCAAAUGGAGUCAUCGCACCUAUGGUUUAUUAAUACUCUCUGUGUAUGAAGUUUGAAAACAAAAAUGAGGCCUGAAAAGGAUAAUAUAUAAUCCUCACCUUAAUUAAGUUUUCAAAACUUGCCAUGAUAAAUGAAGAGUAGAACUUAUAUCAUCUUAAUUAGUGGGUUUUUAUGGGUCGUCAUGGUUUAGUUUUACUCCAUGGGCUAUGUUACUUUUACAGAUGGUAAACAGAAAAAAAAAAAAAUUAACUUACUGUUAUAAAACUUGUUGUUCUAUUGAUUAAUGAAUGAGGUUUCGAUACAUAUAUAUACAUGAUGAGGGGAGACAAAUCCCCAUUGGGCUAGUAAACCCUAAAGCCCAAAAGCCCACUAAGUAUUAAAUAUAGGCCGUCAUAAGGAGAAUCUUCAAGAACAUGGACAUGGGCCUUCUAGGAUAUGGAUUAGGCCCACGGUUAUGGAGUCCAUCCAAUAUGUGAUUUAUAACACUCCCCCUUGGAUGACAUAACCGUGUAGAUGCCAAAGGAUCUCAGUAAUACGCUUGGGGAUGCUGCCUCAUUAAAACCUUACCAGGAAAACCCAUUGGGACAAAACCAUGGUUAAGGAAAAAGAGUACAGCACGUAUUACUCCCCUUGUUUUGGUCAUCCCUGCAAGUCCUUAAGUCUCCGCAUUCCAAUUUGAUGCGUGAGCUUCCUCAAUGUCGAUGUUGGUAAUGCCUUGGUAAAGAGAUCGGCUGAGUUGUCGUUGGACCGAACUUGUACCACUCGAACUUCUCCAUCCCUUUGCAAGUCAUGCGUGAAGAAGAACUUUGUUAGAAUGUGCUUCGUCCGAUCUCCCUUGAUGUAGCCGUCCUUGAGCUGAGCGAUACAGGCUGUGUUGUCUCCUCAUAUGAUGGUCUUUGAUGUUGUAGUAGCUGCGCCUUGAAGAAGACUGCCUACGUACCCUUGGAAGGGAUCAAGCCACACGUAGUUCCUAUUUAUUGACCAUGCCAUAAUCUGAUCUUACCUGCAUUAGCAAAACAAACUAAACCAAAGCAAACUAGACCUUCUUUGGUUAGAUCAGUAUAGAAUAAAACCCAAAUAAACAAACAUAGGAAGAAUAGAAUUUAAAAUUUAACCAAACCUUCCUUCAAACCUUUCUAGUGCCUUUGGGUUGAUCAUGAACUAAAUUUAGACAAAGGAGGUUCACGGCAAAACAUAUGUCUGGUCUAGUCUGGCUAGCCAAGUACAUUAACGCUCCUACGGCACUGAGGUAUGGCACUUCAGGACCGAGAACUUCUUCCUCGUCCUUCUUUGGACCGAAUGGAUCACUAUCCAAUCUGAGGCUUCUCACCACCAUUGGGCUGCUCAAUGGGUGGGCCUGGUCCAUAUUGAAUCUCUUGAGUACUUUUUCAGUAUAUGCCUUUUGAUGCACAAGGAUUCCAUUAUUCACGUACUCAAGUUGCAAUCCCAAACAGAAUUUUGUCUUGCCUAGGUCUUUCAUCUCGAAUUCUUUCUUUAGAUAUUCGACUGUUUGGGCGAUUUCCCCAGAGGUUCCAAGGAUGUUCAAAUCAUCCACAUAUACUGCUAUUAUCACAAACCCUUUGUUUACAAAUUUCUUUAUGAAGAUACAUGGACUGAUGGGAUCAUUCUUAUAACCUUCUCUGACUAGGUACUCACUUAAUCUAUUGUACCACAUGCGUCCACUUUGUUUCAGUCCAUAAAGCGAUUUGUUCAGUCUUAUGCAGUAUUGGUCCCGAGACCCUUUCUUAUCUUUAUCUUUGAGCUCAAUACCCUCUGGUAAUCUCAUAUAUAUUAUCCAGUGGACUUAUAUAAAUAUGCAGGCAUUACAUCCAUUAGCCGCAAAUCAAGUCUUUUUCUUUAUAUAGCCAGACUUAGCAAAAUUUAAAUGUCUUAGCAUCCACCACAGGGGAGUAUGUAUCUUCAUAAUCUAUCCCCGGUCUUUGUGAGAAUCCUUGUGCUAUAAGCCGUGCCUUAUAUCUCACGCUUUAUUAUUCUCAUUUCUCUUUCUCACAAAGACCCACUUGUGUCAUACUGGUUUUAUCCCUGAACUUAACUCCACGUUUAUGGCUUCUUUCCAUUUUAGCCAAUCUGAUCUUUGAGUGCACUCUAAUAUAGACGUGGGUUCAUGAUCCUCAUUCAUUUCAAGUGCUACCUUAUAUGCAAAUAUUUCAUCGAUGUCGACAUCUUUGCGGUUCCAUUUUAUUCCAGACAUGAUAUAAUUUAUUGAGAUCUCAUUAUUAUCUAUCCCUUCAGGACCAUGAGGAUUGGCGUCCCAAAUCUCUCUAUUCGGUUCCUUAGGGUCUGCCGCGGCCAUGUCUAUUUUUUCCUUCACCUCGUUUCCUACUGCACCUUUCUUUGAUUUUCGAGGAUUUUUAUCUUUGGAACCUAUUGGUCUACCACGUUUCUUUCGUGUGUUAGACUCGGUAGUAAUUUCAUUGAUUCCCUUUUGGAUAUCAAUACGUACUGGUGCAUUACAAGCUGGUAUGUACGUUUUUGUAACUUUCUUUGGGUCAACAAAGGAAUCUGGCAAUUGAUUAGCUAGCUUUUCAAAUGGUAUAAUCUUAUGGACCUCUGAUUCUCAUGCCAGAGUCCGAGGAUCUUGCCAAUUUAAGGAUGUUUGAUUCCAUUAUAUUUCUUUUAUUGCUUUACCCAGCUUGUUCGUCUCUCCACCUAUAGUAGGAAAUUCGGAUUCAUUAAAAUGACAAUCCGCGUAUCUAGCCUUAAAUAGAUCACCCGUAGUUGGCUCUAGAUACUUAAUAAUGGUGGGAGAAUCAAAUCCAACAUAUAUUCCCAUCCUCCUUUGAGGUCCCAUCUUUGUUCUAUGUGGUGGAGCAAUCGGUACAUAUACGGCACACCCGAAAGUCUUUAGAUGGGAUAUGUCUGGCUCAUGACCCAUGAGUAAUUGGGAUGGUGAAUAUCUAUGUUCACUAGAUGGCCUUAUGCGUAUAAGUUCUGAUGCAUGUAAAACAGCGUGUCCCCAAGCGGCUACUGGGAGCUUUGACCUCAUGAGUAAUGGUCGAGCUAUCAAUUGAAUUCGUUUAAUGAAGGAUUCCGCUAAUCCAUUAUGUGUAUGUACAUGUGCUACGGAAUGUUCCACACUUACCCCCAUGGACAUACAGUAGUCAUUAAACGCUUGGGACGUGAAUUCACCGGCAUUGUCUAGACGUAUAGUCUUAAGCGGAAAAUCUGGAAAGUGGGCUCGCAGUCUUAUUAUCUGGGCCAAUAACCUAGCAAACACUUGGUUUCUAGUAGAUAGGAGACAAACAUGCGACCAUCUUGUUGAUGCAUCAAUGAGGACCAUACAUAUAUCUCCUUGUAUCCUUUCCAGAAAAUUUAAGGUCUCUUUAUUUACCUUAGCCGGUGAUGGCCUUAUAAUGAGUUUCCCUUGUGAACAUGCUUCACACGUGAGAUUCUUAGGGAUAACUCUUUUCUCUCUUAGGGUGUGCCCCUUUGAAUUAGUUAUUAGUUUACGCAUCAUACUAUGACCCGGAUGGCCAAGCCGGUCAUGCCAUAAAGUGAAUUUCUCGAUGAACUCUUUGUUCAUUGCCAUAUUAGCUUCGAUCAUAUCGAUUUUAGCAUAGUAGAGACCAGUGGAUAAUGCGGGUAUAGUCUCUAGGACUUUCUUAUGUCCUUGGGUGAUCUCAAUUAUAUUUAGGAAUUCUUUGUUCCCUUCACCCUUUGUUUCAAUAUGGAAACCAUUCAAUCUUAUAUUUUUGAAACUUGACAAGCUCCUCUUCGAGCUGGGUGAAUAUAGGGCAUCGCUUAUUUCAAGAUGCGUGCCCUUUGAUAAAAGUAUAUGGGCUUGACCGUGGCCCUCAAUAAGACUAGCUAUACCUGCUAUGGUGCUAAUAUUGGCAUUUUCAAUGUUAGAUUUAUAAAGUAUCUUUUGUCUUUUUAAAAUUGUGUGGCUCGAUCCACUAUCCACCACAAUUAUGUUCUUGUCCUNNNNNNNNNNNNNNNNNNNNNNNNNNNNNNNNNNNNNNNNNNNNNNNNNNNNNNNNNNNNNNNNNNNNNNNNNNNNNNNNNNNNNNNNNNNNNNNNNNNNAAUAACAAUCAAUGAACACAUAAAAUCCAAAGAAAAACAUAGAGGUUUUGAUGUCGAAGUAAGAUUUAUCAACUUGAUUCUUUUAUGCAAUGAGAAGUUUCAUACUCUAUUAGAUCAUCUUGAUCAUGUUCACCAUCUUUAUAUACCAAAUGGGCUUUAGGAUUCUUCCCUUUUACACUCUCUUGAUAGAGGUCACAACGAUGUUUGGAAGUCCUACAUAUCUUAGCCCAAUGGUUUCCCAUUCCAUAUCUAUGGCAUACUCAUUUGGUCGAGUGUUGUGGUUUGGAAAUACCACAUCGUCCUCGCCCUCGACCACGGCCGGAAUUGGGUCUACAUCCAAGGUUAAAGUGGUUCCCACGGCCGGAUGAGUUAUAGUGGCCACAACCACGUCCUUUCAAUACCACAUCUAUGGCAUACUCAUUUGGUCGAGUGUUGUGGUUUGGAAAUACCACAUCGUCCUCGCCCUUGACCACGGCCGGAAUUGGGUCUACAUCCACGGUUAUAGUGGUUCCCACAGCCGGAUGAGUUAUAUUGGCCACAACCACGUCCUUUCCAUCCACCACGGUCACGGCCGUGUGGUCUAUCACUUUAGACGUGGUUAGAUUCUUUGGAUUCUUUCUUAUCCUCUGCGGCCUUAUUGGCAUUAGGUAAUGGGGUUAAUCUAUGAGGUCGUAAUUCACUGUUUUUAUCUGUAAGUCAUUAUUUUGCUCAUCUAGCAAUAGACUCAUCCACGGACUUAUAGUCCUGGAUUAUGAGACUCUCAAUAAGAUGGUGGCUAAUAUUGCCUUGUAUCUAUCUUUCUCUCUUGGCAUUCUUGCCUUAUUAGAUACAUUCACUAAGUCCUUUUGACUUUAGGAUAAUCUUAGUAUCCAUUGCCCAUUUUAAAAUAAUUAUCUCCUAAGAGAUUUAGGGCAGUAAAGUACAAGUUGUAAUUCAACAUCUACAAGGAAAAGUUUUGAGUCAAAAUCAUGUAAUCGUUAGUGUCAUGCAGUAUUUGAGACCGGACCAUGAAUCGAUUUACUUAGGGAUUUGACUUUCCUCUUUUGCUUAGGAUUAGAUUUCCUCUUUUGCUUAGGAUUAGAUUUCCUCUUUUAAUUAGGAUUAACUUUUCCUUUUCCUUUUAGGAUUUACUUUCCUCUUUACUUUAGGAUUAAUUUUCCUAUUUCACUUAUAAUUUUAGAUUUUUAAGAUUUCCUAUUUAGGAUUUGGAAAUUUUCUAUUUCUUAAGGUUUUCCUAUUUUGAAUAGAAUUUAUGAAUUUCCUAAUUUAAUUAGGAUUUAGGGUUUUAAGAUUUCCUAUUUUAAUGAGGAUUUAGGGUUGUUAAGAUUUCCUAUUAUCCCUAAGAUUUAGGGUUUUAAGAUUUCCUAUUUUAUUUAAGAUUUUAGGUUUUUAGAGUUUCCUAUUUUAUUUAAGAUUUUAGGUUUUUAGAAUUUCCUAUUUUAUUUAAGAGUUUUAAGUUUUAGGGUUUUAAGAUUUCCUAUUAUCCCUAAGAUUUUAGGAUUUUAAUAUUUUCUUUUAGGAUUAUCUUUUCUAAGUUUUUUCUAGGGUUCAUGCGAUUUUAGUUUUAGGGUUUCUAACAACUUAUGCAUGAAAUCAAACAAAGAAACAAUCAAUCUAACAAAACAACCUCAACCAAACGUGAUUUAGAAUUUAGGGUUUUGAUCCGAUUAAAGUGUUUUUAAUUUAGGGUUUAUGUCUUUUAGGGUUUCGGAUUCUAUGUUAAGAUGUUUUCGAUUUGCGAGUUUAGGAUAAGCAAUAACAAGCUUUCUAGCAACCUAAACAAGACAGGCAAACGAGCAAGCGAAAACAAACAAGCAAUCGGAUCAAGCAAGCAAUCGAAUCAUACAAGCAAAGCAAUCACUUAAUCAAUCAUCAUUCGUUUUAGGGUUUCUCUUUGCUUAACUUUCAAGUUCAAUUGUUGGUUCUUUAGCUUUAGGGUUUUGAUGUUACCUUUCACCUUAUGGGGUUGUAUGGACUAGAACCGGGAGCUAAAGACCUCGGUAACUCACGCUGCUGCAACGAACCGCAAACAGUACCACGAUGAUCAGUACCGCGAUGAACAGUGUCGUGAUGAACAGUGUCGCGAUGAACAGUGUCGGCGGUGAACAGUGUCGGCGAUGAACAGUAUCGGCGAUGAACUGUGCCGCGAUGAACUGUGUCGGCGAUGAACUGUGCCGCGAUGAAUAGUGUCGGCGAUGAACAGUGUCGGCGAUGAACUGUGCCGCGAUGAACAGUGUCGGCGAUGAACAGUACCGCGAUUUUUAGGGUUAGGGUUGUUAAGAGCAAACUCGUGCUGAUAACGUGUUAUAAAACUUGUUGUUCUAUUGAUUAAUGAAUGAGGUUUCGAUACAUAUAUAUACAUGAUGAGGGGAGACAAAUCCCCAUUGGGCUAGUAAACCCUAAAGCCCAAAAGCCCACUAAGUAUUAAAUAUAGGCCGUCAUAAGGAGAAUCUUCAAGAACAUGGACAUGGGCCUUCUAGGAUAUGGAUUAGGCCCACGGUUAUGGAGUCCAUCUAAUAUGUGAUUUAUAACACUUACAAGUAUGCAGUCGUAGAAAAUUCAAAAGAAGGCAAAUUGAAUAACCAACUCAGCCACAUGCUUUGGUCUCCCUUACUCACUUCUCCUUCUUAUUUCUUCCUCUUCUUUCUUAUCCUCUUUGUACCAUUCUUACUUAUAUAUACUCCUUCUUACAUGUCUAUAUUCGAACAUAUACUUUUCAAAGAAACCCAAAGCCCCCACAAAAAAAGGAAAAGAUCACUUAAUAUUUUAGCAUGACGAGGCAAAGAAUGAUUACAGUUGAGUCGCCGAAGAAGAAAAUGGGUGGAAUUGUGAAGCUCAAGAAUGUUGUAGAGAGGUUGGUGCAAAUCAAAGGCUUUUCCUCGACCAAGAAACCAUGUUCCGAAGAAUAUAGCCGUGAUUGUGUCCCAAAAGACGUGAAGGAAGGUCAUUUCGCGGUGAUAGCCGUUGAUGGGUAUCAUGAGCCUACACAAAGAUUUGUUGUCCCAUUGAUGUUUCUAGAACACCCUAUGUUCCGGAAGCUUUUGGAACAAGCAGAGGAGGAAUACGGGUUCUAUCACGAUGGAGCUUUGAUGGUACCUUGCCGGCCAAGCCACCUACGAAUGAUAUUGACCGAGCAAUGGUGUUAGAAUUUAUGCUGUAGUUAUAACUGUUCUACUUCAUAUUACAUAAUAAAACCGAAUUAUUCACUAGAUGGACUUAUCUUGUGCUUCCUAGUCACUUGAGAUUUUCACUAUGCUAUUGGUAUCCAAUGAAUAAACUAUUUUCUCUAACCUCAAACUUGCAAAAUGAACGGUUUAAAUUACUUCGGCGAAUUUUAGUCUUAAUUAGAAAAACAAAACUCAAUAAAAUGGUCCAAAACUCGGUGAUUUUAAAUAUUUUCUAUCGUGAAACAAUCCAUUAAAAAUUGUUGUUUCAGUGUUGUUGGACUUGAGUUAUGACUUUUGGCGAAAAGAAAAAAAAUGACUUGAUGAGUUAGGACUCUUUUAUGAAAUGGUGAUUAGUAGUUGAAAAAUCUCAUCAAAAGUGUGUUUAUUAUAGAAACCCUAGGAUGUUAUUGUUCUAAAGCAAGAUGUUGUAGUAAUAAUACACGAAGCCUAGACACAAACAAGCCUCGAUGUCUUAAUGGACCUUCUUAGUCCACUUUACAAACUUCUGUUACCUCAAAUAUUCUUACACAUGAUUAGGAUUGGAAAAGUGAAAGUGGGGGACCGAUAUUUGUUAUAGCUUUGGUUCGAAUAUACUAGUAACUUCACACUGAUGUGGAGAGAUACGAGACGUCUAUUGACAUUAAGUCUUGUAGAUAUUUUAUUGAUGUUUUUAACCAUAUACAUAAAUGUAUGUCACAGUAGGACGAUGCACAUAAAACCAAGAGAAAUGGUAGGACAAUGUACACCAAUCCGUACUUGCAUUUUCUUAAUCAGUGCCCCCUCCAUAUCCCCCUAUAAUGUAUACCCACACAUGACUUGGUAGAAGUUGAUUAGGACGUGUCUAAAUAUGGGCAUUGUAUAAAGUUUUAUCGCUUUUAUAGUUUCUAACAUUUUUUCCUUAGAAAAGUGGUUUCAACAAUUGGGAUUCGAUUGUUUUGGUUUUUAAGUUUAAAUAUCAAAUGAAAAUACAAUCUUUAAUGUUUCAAUCCAAGUUUCUUUUGUAAGUUGUAAAUGCAAAUGAAGAGAGGAAAAUAAAAGGAAUUAAAUCUUAUUUUAUGACGGUUCUUUUGUAUUCUACAAUAAAAAUUUAUGAAAAAUUCAUAGUUGAAAAAAUUGUUUUUUGUUAAAGAAAAAAAUAUCUUAAGAUUUUCUAUUUUUCAAUACCAAUGCCAACAAUAGAAUGUCUUAAGAUUUUUAGAUAUAAAUGCAAAAGAAAAAAAAAUGGGUUUGAAACACUUUAGAUUAUAAUCGAAUGCCCAGUUUGAUGAUUACUUGUUGAUUAAUAUAGCUUUAUAUAUAUAAAUGGAAAAUUUCGAUUAAUGAAAAAUAUAUAAAAUGGAAAUAUGUGUAAACUGAAUGUCAAGUCACUUUUUGGGACAACUCACACUGUUAUAGAAAGAUCAUACGUUGGCUGUUGGCAUUAAUUUGUGAAAGUGAUUUAUAGUUUGGACUGGUUGUGGCAAUGGUGUUUCUCUAAAAUACUUCCGUCAGGAGUUGUCAUCGAAUUUGCUUACAAAUUAAAAAAAACGACAAAUUUCCACACUAUAUGAAUUGUCCUUUUGAUCAUUUCUUCAAAAUUCUCUCCAAUUCCUUUUUUUUUUUAAUCUCUGUAAAAAGUUUUCUACCAAAAAACUUGCACAAAAAACGUCUCAAACGCACCCCUAAUUUCUCGUCUUACUGGAAACUGAUUGUACAAUUUAGGGUUAUUAGAUAAGAGAGUUGAAUAGAAAAUUCUGAUCAUAUUUUUAUAUAAGCAUCGAUUAACCAAACCGUUUUUAUGUGAGUUAAUUCCCAAACCAACAUCAUGUACGAUACGUUCAACACAUGCAUUACGUGUGAAGGUUCACAACCAGAGGUAUUUGUAAACUUAAUAUUUGUUUUAUAUUUGGCAAAAUCAAAGUCAAGGUAUAAGCCGACAUGAUGGUGGGCUGGUGGUUUGGCGGGCUCAGGGUGGUUGGGUGCAAUUCCCUCCUCUCCAUGGUUCGACUCCUCCUGCUGUUAUCAACAUUAUUGUGGGAAGUCUGUCUGUUGGGCUUUGGUCCAAUUGGUUUAUCUGCUAGUCAAAAAUGCAGGCGACCUGACUAUCCUCUGGCACUUAGUUGGAAGACAUUCCAAACUCGGGAUAGGAAGAGUGGUAGCCCGUAAGGGCCUAACGGUUAACACGGUGGACCAGUCCACUAUGUAGCACCUCGGUGCGUUCCUACCGGGGCCGACCGGAUAGCCGAUAGAGUUUAUAAAAAAAAAAGUCAAGGAAUAAACAAAAACUAUCGUAAGGAUAAAGAGAACAACCAAAUGAGUUAGGAGUAUGAAUCUUUACUUUUUGCUAGAGUGUUCCGUAUGGAAACCCAACAAAAAAAAAAAAAAAAAAAAAAAACAGAUUUUUAAACAAAAAUGAGAGCUCAAAUCUGUUGGAUCAGCAAAAAAAAAACACAUCAAAUCUGAUGCAUCUAGAAAAAUAUGUAUGGCUUUUGAAUCUCCUCUAUAAACCCUAGGUGUCGUUAUUUUUUUUUCUUUCUAGGUGUCGUUAUUUACUUGAAAACUGUAUUAGGCCCAAAGAAAAAAAAAAAAACUCGAAUGUUGUUGUUGUAUUAUACCUUACAUUUGUUGUUGUGUAGAACAGUCAAAUGUCAAAUUUAUAUCAUGAAGACGAAAAUAUCAAAGCCAUAAAACACUCCUAUUUUUUAGCCACACAGCCUAACAAAUUCCAAGGAAAUACUAGUGUAAGGAAAUGAAAGAACCUUACUUUAAUUUAAUGUCGAUACAAAAAUAAAUAAAAUUUUGAUGCCUGUUGGUCGUGCCCUGCUGCUCCUCAACAAUGACAAGAGCCAAUAAAUAUGAAACAAUAAAAAUUACUAUGCAUAUAAAUGGGUACUUGUGGCCACUUGGGAAAGUAUGUCGGGAAAACAUGGAGCUUAACCGGCUAGGUUAUUUCAACUUGGAAACAGACUUUCUUCGAUCAAGGAUGAAAGAUUGGCUGGUUCACUUCACUGUUGGUUUGCUUCUAGAAGUUCAUAAGUAGCCCAAUUCUUUUAAUUCUUUAAGACCUUUCGAAACAAAGUUGCACUUAUUGUAAAAAAACGUUUUUUUGGUUUGAAUAAAUUUUGCAUUCAAUUCAAAAAAAAAAAAAAAAACUUGGAGAGAGCGGUCAUAAUAUUCGAGAGAAAAAAAGAAAAGAAAAAAGAUUAUAUUGAAGUUUAACAUCUUAUUGAAGCUUGGAACAUGUUACAUGUGUAACCGAAUCAUGAAGUAGAAUUACAUCAGUUUUUGGAUGGUGGCUUAACUUGAUUUCACUAGACCGGAUUACUAUAUUAAAUUUGAAAUUAUAAACGUAAAUUAAUAAUUUAUAAAUGAGUAGAAUAGUUAUCAUGUGUCAGAUUGUUAAAUAGACGUGACUCCAUCUUGCCUUCUUUCAGUGCUACAAUCAUGUUUGCUUCUCUUGACAUAGCUUCUUGUUGACAUUCGCUAACCUUCUUUACAUUUAGAAGUUAGAUCACUCUUUCUCUCUAAUUCUCUUUAUUUAUUAUGUCUCUUUGAUAAACACAAAAACAGUUUAGUAACUUAGAGAGAUAAUGUAUGAACUACGUUUUGUUAUUGGAUCAAAUGAUGGUUUCUUACAACAACUCACACACAUACGUAUAGUGGUUUCUCUACUUACCACAUACACUUGCAUCCAUACUUCUACUGACUAGCCAUUACUUCUAGACAUAAUUAUCCUACGGUUCACUUAAGCAACCUUAACUACAACAAAUGUUAUACUUAGUCCUCCUUAGCUAUGCUUUAACCUAACAAUAACACUCUUUCUUCUUUGGGCCUAACUUAAGUAAUUGCCCAAUGUUACCAUGUUUACAAAACACAAAGCCCAACUCCUUCUUCUUGUUGACUUGUGUCCUUUCUUCUUGUGUGCUUCUUCUCUUUUCUUCAUCUUCUUCUUAUCAUGAAGCUUUCUUUUUGUUCCAAGGUUUAAUCAAAGGAUACAACUCCAACCCUUCUUUAUUUACAAACAUAUUGCCUUGAUGACUUCCUCCAUUCUAAGAGUGAAACUUGGUAAUUUUUCAAAAAAAUAAGAAUAUGUAUAUAACUCUAUUGAGUAACUAAACAAAUUUUCUAUUUUUUCUAAAAAGCUUUGGAUAUCGUUUUUUUUUUCCAUAUGGUGAAUAAUAUUAAUGGUAAAAUAAGAUCCGUUACAACUCAAACUUGAAAUCAAUCAAGGAGAAAGCAGGUUAGAACAAAGAAUCACUAACCAUCAAGAACCAAAAAUUAGUCACUAAAUUAGACUAACAACAGACACAUCACUACACAAUAGAAGAGAAUCUCUUAUCCUCAAAAACUCUGUGGAGCCAAAAGGGAUGACCUGCUGCCACAAAAUCCUAAAAUCUUGCAUCUGAAUUAACAGUUUGAGCAAUAAAAGAUGCACCUCUAUUAGAGGAUGAAGUUUCCACUUCUAAUUUUCAGUCUGUUAACUUCUCCAAAAAUGCAGAAUUUCUACCACUUCUUGAGUAAAUGAAGGCCAAGCUUGAGGCCUUACCAACACAUCAAAAAGAUCCUUCGCCUCCGCCGCGAAAAUGAUCUUGUUAAGUCUCAGGCUAAGCAGACUUUCAAUAGCCCAAACCAAACAACAAACCAACAAAUCUUUCUCUAUGCAAAAUAACCACUCUUUUCUCAUCUUUGAUAACCCAAGAUCCUCUCCCAAUCUUAUUCUUGUUUGACCAAGACACUCCAAUAUUACACUUGACCCAAAGCUUGGGAGGAUGCUCCCAAUUCCUUACAUUUGGAGAUAAAACUCCAUCCUCAUUAUCCACAUAAUAAAGAGGAGCCUGUUGAGCCAAAAACCAUUCAUCCACAUCCUCAAUAAUCUUCCCUAUCGUUUCUAAGGGACAAAACUGCAGACCUUCAAAGAAAAACUUAUUCCUAUUCUUCCACAACCUCCAAAGGAUCCAGGAAAACAUCCUUUUAGAGUUACAAGACAACCUUGUAUCCAACUUAACUCAAAAAGGAAUUGGAAGUUAGCAUACAGAGAAGAGAAGGAAAACCCCUCCUACGGGUAAGGAAUCCCUGACAGAGCCCAAAUCUGUCUAGCAACAGGACAUGUAGAAAGAACAUGAUUGGCUGACUCUGUUUCUUUACCACAGUUCUAACAUCUUUUAUGUGUCUUCAUUCCUCUACACACAAAUUGAUCCGCUACCGACAAAGCACCACUUAAAGCUUUCCAAAGAAAUUUUUUGAUCCUAGGAGACGUUUUAAGAGACCAAAUAAUUUUUUUAUCUGUCUUCAUUCCUCUACACGACUUUGGAUAUCGUUUUCAUACAAUAAUUUUUUAUUAAUUUUCUUUAUAUUUAAAUUUUUCUUAUAACUGAAAACCCGUUCAUGGAACGGAUUCUAAUCUAGUAAUAUAUAAUCUGAAAAAAAAAAAAAAUCUAGUAAUAUAUAAUAAACCCCAAAAUUUACUCAUUUUCCAUUUCUUCUACAUAAAUGAAUAUAUCAGCCUUUCUCUUUCUCGUUAACAAUUAGGAGAAUAUAAUUUGACAAAUGAACCACUUUGACUAAGCAACUUCAAAACUUUCGCCAUCCUAAUCCAAAUGGUCAUAAGCCUUUAUUGGAACUAGAUUUUCUCCGUGACAUCUUACUGGUUUAGAUAAAAGAUAUUUUUAAGGAACAAAUCAUUAAUUUAUAUUAAAAAUCAAAAGAGAAAAAAAAAUAAUGAGGAAAAUGCAUAGAAAUGCCACUAACCAUCCACUUCUAUGGCUAUUUCCGCGAAUCAAUGCAAAGUCAUUCAUUUAUUCCCAACUUGCCCCAUAUGUUUUCUUUUUCUUAAUCACAGAUUCUUCCUUUUAUUUUUAAUCCGAAAAAAAAAACACAAAACAAACACAAAAAAUAUAACCUUUAAAUUUCUCUCAUUUCUUCAUCUUCCUCUCCACAAAACCCAAGUUUAAUGGCGGACGUUAAAAAACCUAAAAAAAAUCAUCAUGGUCAUCAUCAUCUUCAUGCUCUCUUGAUCCCAUAUCCAUUUCAAGGACAUGUAAACCCAUUUGUACACUUAGCCAUCAAGCUUGCGUCACAGGGGAUCACCGUCACUUUCGUCAACACUCAUUACAUCCACCACCAGAUCACAAACGGCUCCGAUGGAGAUAUUUUCGCCGGAGUUAGGUCAGAGUCUGGCCUUGACAUAAGGUACGCGACGGUUUCCGAUGGUUUACCGGUCGGAUUUGACCGGUCUUUGAACCAUGACACGUACCAAUCGUCGUUGCUUCACGUGUUCUAUGCGCAUGUGGAAGAGCUUGUGGCGAGUCUUGUCGGAGGAGACGGCGGUGUGAAUGUUAUGAUCGCCGACACAUUCUUUGUUUGGCCGUCGGUGGUGGCUAGGAAGUUUGGUUUGGUUUGUGUCUCGUUUUGGACCGAAGCUGCUUUAGUUUUUUCACUUUAUUACCAUAUGGAUCUGCUUCGGAUUCAUGGCCAUUUUGGUGCUCAAGGUAAUUUACUAAUUAUCCUCUUAUUCUUCUUUAAUUUUACAUAUUUUAACUCAUUUAAAUAUUUAAUUGUUUCCUAUUUUAUUUCAAAUUUUUACGAAAACAUCUUUUUUUGGGUCUUGGUCAACGUCUAUAAUUAUUUUGAAAUGCAAGAUAGAUUUGGAGAAAAAUAAUAAUUGGUGAGCAUUUCAUUGCAUGUUUAGUUGUUUACUGAUCCAAUAUUCGAAUAUUCUGUUAGUAUUGGUGGAUUACUUUAUCAUUUAGACAGCUUGGACAUAAGUUUUUUUUUUUUCUGUAUGGUUUAUGUUUCUUAUUGUAUUUUGGAAACAUUUAUUGUUUACAAAAAAAAACAUUUUAUUGUUUACAAAAUAAAAAAAAAUACACAUUAUAUGAUUUUAAAUAUAUAUAUGUUACAUGAAAUCAGAUUAUAUUAUCAGAAAAAAGUAACAUGAUAUCAUAUCACACUAUUUUACCAAAUAUCUUAUUAUAUUAUUAUUUCAUAAAAUUAUAUAAUUUCUCUUCGAAUUCAUAAACGUAUUAAUGAUUCUCUUUUUUUCUUAUUUAUAAUUUUACUACCAUAAUCAUAUACAUUCAAAAAAAAAUUCAAAUGAAAUUAUUUAUUUAAAAUAAUAAGCGUUACAAUUUGCCGUCCAAAAAGGAAAAAAAGUAAACGUAACGAUAUAAAUAUGGGGAAAAUAAUAAUAAUAGAGUAGGGACUUUACUUUUGUCAUGUAAUGAUGCAUGUGAAUAAUGUCAGGGGUCCAAUAAAUUCACUUUCUUUAACUUUUAUUUUAUUCCUUUUUCUAAUUUACAAAACUCAUCCUUCAGUUUCUCUAAUUAUCUAAAUCUCCCCCAUAACUUUAUUUUUUUACUCAGAAACCCGCCGCGAUCUAAUCGACUACAUUCCCGGAGUCGCCGCAAUAAACCCAAAAGACACGGCGUCGUAUCUUCAAGAGACAGACACUUCUUCAGUAGUUCAUCAAAUCAUCUUCAAAGCAUUCGAAGACGUGAAAAAAGUCGAUUUCGUACUCUGCAACACAAUACAACAAUUCGAAGACAAAACAAUCAAAGCCCUUAAUACAAAAAUCCCUUUUUACGCAAUUGGACCAAUCAUACCAUUCAAUAACCAAACCGGUUCUUCUUCUUCUUCAGUCACAACAUCACUUUGGUCUGAAUCAGAUUGUACACAAUGGCUCAACACUAAACCAAAAAGCUCAGUACUUUAUGUCUCCUUUGGUAGUUACGCUCAUGUCACAAAGAAAGAUCUUGUCGAAAUCGCUCACGGGAUUUUGUUGAGUAAAGUAAAUUUCGUUUGGGUGGUGAGACCAGACAUUGUUAGUUCAGACGAAACAAAUCCAUUACCAGAAGGUUUUGAGACAGAAGCUGGAGAUCGUGGGAUUGUAAUACCAUGGUGUUGUCAAAUGACGGUUUUGUCACAUGAGAGUGUUGGUGGGUUUUUGACGCAUUGUGGUUGGAAUUCGAUAUUGGAGACGAUUUGGUGUGAGGUACCAGUUUUGUGUUUUCCAUUGUUGACUGAUCAGGUUACGAAUAGGAAGCUUGUGGUUGAUGAUUGGGAGAUUGGGAUUAAUCUUUGUGAAGAUAAGAGUGAUUUUGGGAGAGAUGAAGUUGGGAGGAAUAUUAACCGUUUGAUGUGUGGUGUUUCGAAGGGGAAGAUCGGACGGGUUAAAAUGAGUUUGGAAGGUGCGGUGAUAAACAGUGGAUCUUCUGAGAUGAAUUUGGGUUUGUUUAUUGAUGGACUUUUGUCUAAGGUUGGUUUAUCAAAUGGGAAAGCUUAAAUUUCAAUAUCAAAAUUGUAUCAAUUUUUGUUUUGGGGAAAGUAUAAUACACUUUUAAAUUUUAAUGUACCUUUUUUUUUUGGAUUAGCGGUUACGUAAUUUUUUUUUAAGUUCUGGACCGAAAUCGAUAUUUUUUCGGUCAAAACUAGCCUUUUACUAGAUUUAAACGUUACAACGAACCGGGGACCGGAUUCAAAGUUUAUUUCACUAAUUCAACUUGUUUAGUUUGGUUUUGGAAUCAAAGAUGUCAAACUGAAAUUAAGCAAAACCAAAAUUUAGUUCAAUUCAAUCAUUUUUGUUUUUCUAGUAGCACUUCUGGUUUCAGUUUCCAAGUUUUGAUUUGAUUCACUAUUUUGUCUACUCUUCUAUUAAAAAAAAAAAAAAACAAAUGUGCAUCAUACCAAUUUUUGAAAAAUCAUUAGUGAUUAUGACCUUUUCUUGGGUCCCAGUUACGCUUUUUUAGAUUAUUUAUUUCUUUGUCCACUACAUAUCUUUCAUACAAUCAUUCAAAUAUUCAAACAUACACGUUCACAUAUCAUCCAAUUUAUAUAGUUUAAAAAUAGAAAUAUAACAACGCAUCUCUAAACAUUUCUAAGCCAUAACAGUCGAAUAGAAGUGCUUUUUUAUUUUAUUUUAUUAAGUAGAAGUUAAAACACUGACCUUUUCACGCAAAUGACUAGGGCUGGGAAUCCGACCCGAUCAGUUAAUUCGGGUUCGGUUUUCCGGUUUUUCGGGUAUUUCGGAAAUUGAAAAUUCUACCGAAACUAACCGACUAACAUUUCGGUUCGGUUCGGUUCGGAACGGGUUUAUUUCGGUUAUUCCAUUCGGUUAUUUCGGUUAAAAUUUUAAUUAAAAAUGUGGCCAAAAUAAACAUUGUUAUAACUAGUAGGGUCUUUUGCCCAAAAAAAAAAGUUGGGCCAAGCCCCCAAAAAAGAAAAAUAAUGCCACAAAUAUGAAACGGUGUGUUCAUGACUAUCUCUUCUCCAACCCUAAUUCUCUCUUCGACGGCGGCUCGACACUGCUUGAUUCAAAUCCGGAGUAAUAGCUUCAGAUCUUCGACAUGGCUUGAUUCUUUCGGUGGUGAUGGCUCUAGGAAGUCUUUAAUUGAUGUGUUUUGGUUUAUCUUGCUUCAGUACAGAUGGAGAAGGAGAAGGAGAAGGAGAAGGAGAAGAAGAAGGAGAAGUAGAAUGAGAAAGUGAAGGAGAAGAAGAAGAGAUUCGACCAAAAAAUUAGAUGAGAUCGACCAAAGAAUAAGAAGAAGCUGAAGAAUAAGAAGAAGAUGAGUCAAAGAAUAAGAAGAAUGAAUGAAAGAAGAGUUAUCAUCGAAGUAGAAGAAGAGUAGGCGGCUAGAAUAUUAGGUUAGGUUAGGGUUUUAAUUCUUUCGGUUAACCGUUCGGUUCUCCCAAACCGAACCGAAAAUCUCGGUUAACCGAACUGAUUUUGAAAUCCUACCGAUCGGUUAUGAUCAAUUAACAUUAACCGAACCGAUUUGCCCAAACCUCGGUUCGGUUCGGUUCGGACAAAUCGGUUCGGUUCAGAACCGAUUUUAAAAGUGUAAUCUACCUAAAUUUCAAGAAAGAAUUUUUAACUGUUUUCAUUUUCAACUACCAAAAAUUACAUAAGAGACUAAAAGUAAUACUCCCUCUGUUCCAAAAUAUAUGAUGUUUUGUUUGAAAUCACACAUUUUAAGAAAAUUUAUUUUGCUCUCUUAAAACUAUCAUUUAAUAUUUUGUUUUAAAAAUUCAACCAAUUAGAGAAAAGACUGCAGAAUACAAACAGUCAUAAAAUAUCAACUAUAUUUAAAACUGCAUAGAAAGUUGCAAAACAUCGUAUAUUUUGAAACAAAAUAAAAACUCUAAAACAUCCUAUAUUCUGGAACAGAGGGAGUAUUAUCUAAAAGUCAUCAUCAUUCAUCUACCUAGAACUGUUAUUUUUCUUAUGACUAAGCAGUAAACAACCAGACACAUUCUUGUUUAGGCCAAAACGUAGUAAAACAUAAACAAGAAGACGGUAGCCAAAAGCCAUAGCCAACAACACAAGCAUGUUCCUCCAUUUGGAGUUUGUGUCUGGAGAUAUCUGGUAAUUUCCUUGGAUUGCCUGGUAUCCCGAUAUACUCCUCACUUCUCCAACCGCAAACACUUCCCCGAGGUACUCGUUCUCCAAAAGACCCUGCAACAUUGAAUGUUCAUGAGUUUUCCGCGGAAGAAGCAGAGAUUGUUUAGAGAUUUUAUUGUGUAACCUCAAUGGAGUAGGUGUGGAACGAGAUGUAAGCAAACGGGUAAGUCCAGACGGGUUUUGGCAGGGCGUUACGGAUUCUGAAGUGACCUGCAGCGAGCAUCAUGAUCACCUGCAAUGAUGCAUAUGAAGAAUGAAAGAUCAAUCCUAAGGCAUGACUAAUCUAUGUCUUAAGGCACUAAUCACUCUCAUAUGUAAUCUAAGUUAUUAGUAAGCAAUCGUUCCAAGUUCUAUAAGCUAAGGGCUAAUAUAAUCACUCUUGACUUCAUCUCUCAUUGACUUAGACUAAAAUUACCAUUCUAGUUCUGGUUGAACGCUGUAGUGCAUAAAUUUCCCUAAGUCGUAAAUCGCGUACUAUCUAGCAUUUAGUAUUACCAAAUCAACAUUCAAUAUCUAUGCCACAUCCUAGCUAGAACAAAUAGAAUGGUAGAAGACAUGAAUCUUAAAUUAGAUUAAUAGUAGAAAAGAUAAAACUCACAUGUACAGAGAUGAGAGUCAAAGUGCUCCAAUAAACAUCUCGCCAAAUGCAAGCAAUGGAAAGCAUCAAUCCCUCGUUCACCAAUAGGCACAUAAAGAAGUUGAGCACAAAGUACAUUAACAAGCUGAAAUCGUCUCUUAAUCCAACCAUGAAGUAGAACACAAGACUUGAAGAAAUGGACAUGAGAAACAAGAACGGUAUGCUUCCCAGAAACUGCCCUAGUAAGAAGACAAAAGCACCCGAAUGCUGGUUCGAUGCUUCACUUCUAUAAAUCUAUUAGAAGUAGAAAGAAAACUUCAGAUCUCAAAAGAAGAUUGUGAUCAAAAAUAAGAAAAAAAUCAAGACGAAGAAAUUAGUUAUACCUUGAUUUCUUUCAAAAGUGAAGGUAUUCCAGCAAUCCCCAAUAGUGAAGCAAACGAGACAAAAACAAAUACCGCAGAAACUCUUGUCUGUAAGAAAUAUAUACAUCGAACAAUAAAUUGCAUGUCUUGGUACUCAAAUGUGCAUGCUGAGAAUGGUUUAGAAAACUUACUGCAACAGAAGACAAAGAGUGACCUAAGCCAGAAUAUAAUGUGCCAAUACUAAGUGUAAGAAUCAUGUAGAGGAUAAGUCGGAGCCAAUAGUAUUUCCAUUCUCUUGACAUAACUAAAAGUGAUCUCCAAGUGAGCACUGCAACACGUGUAGCAGCACCGGCCUUACCCUUGGAUUUAAGCUGUGUGCCCUCCUGCAAAUGAUAUAGGAAACAAAAAGAAAAUAAGAUAUUUACAGUUAUGAAGUUAUGAUCCAAAAAUUAUCAUUAGGCAGUUGUUACCCUUUCGGUAAGUUUUAAUAUCAUAGUCUCAACGGAAUCAGCAUCUGCAGAUGAUUUAUAAGUCGCCUCAAGAGUGCGAAUAGCAACAGCAGUAUCCAUAUUCACUGCUGAAAAGUCCCCAUUAUCGUCCUGUUGUUUAUAUUUAGCUAAUCAGAAAAUUAACGUUUACAAGAAACUAGAAAGAAACAUAAUCAUAUAAACUAUAGUUGUAAAAUGGUGUAUGUACCUGCCAGUUUUUGCACAUUGCAAUAAUCCUAUCGAAAUCUGUGUUUAUAGCCCGCAAAAAAUGAUCUGAUGGACUUUGCAUUAUCGGGCAAGGGAAUCCAGCAUUUGAAAAGUGCUUGAAGGAGACACAUAAGGAGUACACAAAAUUUAGAGAGUGGUCUUUUGGCCUUCAUAUGGGAAAAUUUUCCAUGUUCGAAAUAGUAUAUACCUGUAAGCAAGCCAGUGUCUCCCCAAAGAAGAGCGUGUUUCCAUUUGAUAGAAGGCAGAUUCUAUCGAACAAACCAAAAACUUCGGUACUGCUUUGAUAAAUCGUGAAUACAAGAGUACAACCCAUACUUGCUAGCUUCUUUAGUGUCACCAUCAUAAGCAGAGCCGAAACACUAUUAAGAGAGCAACAAGGCUAAUUUUAGAAUACAAGAUUCUACCUUGUAGUAGAACACAGAUAGUAACAUAAGUCUAUAAAUGGUUAGAACCUGUCAAGGUGAUAAAGAGGCUCAUCGAUGAAUAAAAUAUGUGGUCGCAUCACAAGUUCACGAGCAAUAGAGACACGUCUUCUUUCACCACUUCGGAGACCCUUCAUGUAACAAUGACCACCAAUCAAUUUGUUUGCAUAAUCACUCAGAGACAUCGCCUGGAUCGCAUCUUCGACAACACUCCUUUUCUGAAAGAGAAAACCCGGAAGCUGAAGCAGUGCUGAAUAGUACAGGAAUUCACGAACUGUAAGUGAACCUAUCAAUUGUGUUUCCCUCUCAACAAAUCCCUGCAACGCAGCAAAACAAGAAUCAGAAACACAUUUACAAAACAAAAGAAAAGAUCAAGAAAACUAUAGACAAUAGUGACUCACAUAGGAUCCGUAAGGCAUAUGUGAUUUUGAACCAUUCACAAACACCUCGCCAUACAUUUUUGCUGAAGGAGGCAAUCUUCCUAUAAAAGAUGUGAUCAGACGAAAUGAAAAAGACUUAACUAACAAUGAAUAAACUGAAAAUUGACAUACCAGCAAGAGCCCUCAAGAGAGUAGACUUCCCGGAUUUAGCAGGACCCAUAAUUACAGUCAUAGUCCCGGGGAACGCAUAACCAUUCGAACUCUUUACAACCUUAUCAGAAUAUUUUCUCUUCCCUUUCAUAGUAACAGUCAAAUCUUUCCAAGCAAUAGAAGCACCAGCAAUCUUUCUAACAACACCAGCUCCAGCUCCUCCUUCAGGCACAGGAGGAGAAGCCAUUGAUCCGCUAUUCAUCUUCGACAGCGAAGGAGAAACAGGCGUUGUUGUAGCAUCAUUAAUAGAAUCACCACCGCCAACUUCAUCUUCCAUUCUUAAAUCAACAUUAGGUGUGUCUUCCCACUCAGGAGAAUCCUCAAAAGAUAUAGGUUGUCGAAGAGAACCGGGUUUUCUUACAUAGAAAAAGUGACUAGAUGGAACUCUACUAGUAGGACUACUUGCAGAAGACGAAGACGAACGGUACAAAUCCGGUUGAGACUGUAUCUCCUCCAUUCUUUGACACUCAAGAACACAAAAUGUUCCAAAGAAAACUACAAUUUCACAAUCAGUAAUAUGUUUAGAUUCCAUAAUCAAUGCAACCAAAACAAAAAGACUCAAUAAGUAAAGUGACUACUAUAGUAGGAAUCAGUGAAGCACUAUUAAAAACCUAAACUUUCCCAUAAGCUCACUAAAUUACAGUUUAAUGACUAAUGAGAAGUGAUUCCUAAUUAAGUAACUUAGUAUAAAUCAUAAAAACCCUAACUUUUUUCAAUUUCUGCAUUACCCUGAAGCAGAGUAACUUCAAGUUCAUAGCUUUGCUCAGCAACCAAACGAAGACUAAGCAGAAGAAGAGACCCAGUUCGAGAAAUGAUGAGAACAAGAAAGAGGAAGAGACAAACCUGGAUCUGAAAGAAGUAAGAUCCACAGAGAAUGGAGAAUCUCUUCUUGGGAGUUACUUGAUACUCCUUGCGUUGUUGAAGAGAGAGCAAGAGUGAGAGAGCUCUCAAGUUUCUCUAACCCUUUGGGUUCUGCAAAUAUAGAAAUAAAAAAUGGAUUGGGAAUUGUUUUUUGUUUUGUCUGAAACCAAAUGUUUUAAUUACAAAAAAGUGAGCAAAUUUCCAUUUUUUCACCUUAAAGAAAAUAAAUCAGAUUUUUUUUUAUAAGAAUAUAAACUUAAUUGCAUAAAGAGAAUUGUGAAAAAAUAUUGCAUAAAAAUAAUUAUUUUUAGAAAGUAUUGUGAAAACAGGAUUUCUUAAAAUUUGAAGGCAUUAUGGCAUUUUUCCAAAUAUUAUGUUUUUGAUUUGGAUUUUUUUUUAGUCAAACAAAAUUUUCCUUUGGAUUUAUAAAGUUAUUUUGGGGUUUAGUUGAAGUAAAAUCUAUUGGAAAUUUUAAAUAAUGCCUAUUUUAUAAUACUCUUGUGAAAAAGUGUCAAUAUAAAAGAAUUAAAAAGAAUACUAACUUCAACUUUAAGCGUUUUUUAUUUUUAUUUUUAUUUUCCCUUUAAGCUUUAGAUAUCUGAACAAAGGUUUGGCUUAGUGCUUUUCUUAAUUACAUGCAAAAAAACUGCUGAAAUUUUAAACGAUAUACAUUAGUAAACAAAUUCGAGAUAUCUUGCUCUUUUUGGUAUUAGUAUCAGCUUUUCUUUUUUUAUUUAAGAUAAUAUUAAGGAAUAGCCAAAUUAUACACAAAAAUUAAGAAAAUAGUAGAAGGAAAGAUUUUUGUUGCAAAAUAUCCAUAGACCCACAUUUUUAGAAGAAAUGAAAUAACAAAGCCAUCUUUUAUUUGUUGCAAGUUCAACAAUAGGCGAAACAGUUUCGUAAGAUUUUGCAAAAUAGCAUGUAACAUUUAAAUUUUACAUGUUAUAUUGAACUGAAAGACAUAAGAUUUGCAAAAACGUAAUGAUUUUUUUAAGAAAAACAUUGUUAUGUAGUGUUUUUUUUUAAGAAAAAACAUUGUUAUGGAAAAAUUUAACCUAAAUAGAAUCUUUUUUAAAAUAAAUCACAUGUGAUCUUAAUAGGGAAUAUUGCAAAAUCUACCACAUUUUAACAACUGGUAUUCAAAAUCUACCACAAUCUCAAAAAACUUUCAAAAUCUACCAUUAUCAAUAGCACAUGUGGAAUGCUGGACCAAAAUACCCCUGAUUGGGACAGAGUCUGUGUCAAGGACAUAGUCUGUGUCAGAGACAGAGACAGUUUUGUCUGGCGCUUCCAAAGAAGGAGCAGGUCUACAAUAAAUGCUGUACGGUUAUUUAAAUAAUAUGUUAUAUCAGGGACAAAUUCAGAUCUAAUGAGUAAUAUAAUUAGAUCAUGGACAAAUUCAGAUCGAAUGGGUGAUAUAAUUAGAUCGAGGAAAAGUUCAGAUCGAAUGGGUAAUAGAAUUAGAUCGGGGACAAGUUCAUAUCGAAUGAGUAAUAGAAUUAGAUCGGGGACAAGUUCAUAUCGAAUUCAGAUGGAAUGGGUAAUAGAAUUAGAUCGGAGACAAGUUCAGAUCGAAUGUGUAAGAGAAUCAGAUCGAAUAUGUUAUAUCGGGGACAAGUUCAGAUCGAAUGAGUAAGAGAAUUAGAUCGCAGACAAAUUCAGAUCGAAUGGGUAAUAGAUAUCGAUCGAGGACAAGUUCAGACCGAAUGGGUAAUAGAAUUAGAUCGGGAACAAGUUCAGAUCGAAUGAGUAAUAGAAUUAGAUCGGGGACAAGUUCAGAUCGAAUGAGUAAUAGAAUUAGAUCGGGGACAAGUUCAUAUCGAAUGAGUAAUAGUACUCGGGGACAACUAGAUCUUUUUGUUAUUUUGCAAUUGAAGGAAAAAAAAUUCAAUAAUUAGGGUAGGUAAAGACAAUAAUGCUCAACUAAUCUGUGGACCAAAAUAGAUGGUGAAAAAUCUAAAUAAAAUUCGAAACCCUUAAAUGAGAACAAUUGGUGGACAAGAUGUGGAAUUCAUGAUAAUAGAGCAAGAUGAUGAAAUCGGGGACAAGAUCUAGACGCAACAGAGAAUUUCCAAUCGGGGACAAGAUCUGGAGACAAAAAUGAAAGUUAAUUGUUUAGUCUCAGGAGAUAUAAUGUUUCUUGGUUAAAGUGCACGUGUUUCGAGGGAGAGAGAGAUAAAUAGAGAAGCUAAUGUUAUAGGGAAGAUAAAUAGGGAGGAGAAAUAAUUAUGGAGGAAAGAUAAAAAGGAAGAUAAAAAGGGAGGGCAAAAUGGUAACUCUACAUCAAAAUGUGGUAUGAGUUGAAAGAAAGGAAGGAAUGUGGUAGAUUUUGAAAGAAAUUGGGAAUAAGUGGUAGAUUUUGUAGUUUUUCCAUCUUAAUAAAAGCUACGUAUUACUAAAAAAUAAGAAUUUUUUUAAAGAAAUCACAUGUGAUAUUAAUAAAUAAUUAAACGUGUAUUAUUACAAAAUAACAUGAUAAAAAGAUAUAUUAAACUGAGUAGAAUGUUUUUUCCAAAAGAUACCAUGUGCUCUUUAUUAACAAAAGAUAUAUAAAAACAGUCAAUAAUUGGUCUCUAAAAUUUACUACUAAUUCUGGUUUGAAAAAUAACUAUUUUGCCACUAUAAAUAUCAACUUUUUUGGAUAUCUGACGAUUUAGUCUCACAAUUAUGCGAUUAUUCAUGUAGUCGCAUCUGACAUCGCUGUUUCACAACUACAUAUAUAGUCGCACACUGGUUGGAGAAGUACGACCAAUGUGCGACGAUUGUUUUGUGAGUCUAUGUUAUAUUCUUUAAGCAGUGUCAAAUUCUCAAUUUCUGACUCUACAACCGAUCAAGUUGUCUAAAAAUUGAUGUUUUCUUGUAGUUGGAGGUUCUUUGUACUCUGGCUGAAUAACACUCUAAUGAUCUUUUGCACACAACAUGUUCUAAAAAAAAAAAAUUGUAAUGAUCAUUAAUCUCCAUCAAAUCUUGGCAGAGAAUUAAUAUUGCGUGAAUCAGCGGCCUCAUCUCUCACUUUUAUUUUCGUUGAUCACUUUUUCUACACUAGCUAACUCCCUCAUGUUUCACUAUGUCGGGUCCCGUGUCGAGAGAGUUCUCAUACCAAAAUUGAAAAACAAUACUUGAGAAAUAAUUAUCUUAUAUAUUAAACUAUAAUUGGAUUGGGUUUAUAUAGCCUUACAAGAAAUUCAAUUAGAGAAAAAUAAGGAUAACAAACGUGGCUCAGUUCUUACAACUUCGCCUUAUUCACGAAUUCAACAACAAAACUAACAAAUACGUAGUCUCAAGAGACUAGUAAUUCUUCAAUCAUCCGGAUUACCCCAAUAACACCUACACGAAUGAGAUGGCCCCUUAAAUUCUGGCCUUUUACCACUAUCUUCACAUGUGCAACCCUCCAAGAUUUUUGUUAUUCCGGGAGAAGGGGGAUUUUUUCCAAAAUUCGUCUAAACAUAUAUUACGUCCGUUAGGCUCACAUGUUCCAUAACCCUUCACUUUAUUUAUAGUCACAUGUCCUUAUCAAUCCUCCUGUUUAUAAUAUGAAAAGAUAAGACUUAUUAGAAAAAGUUUAACCUUCAAAGUAAACAUCUAAUACUAUAACAAUAUUAAAGUUUAUGUUUAAAAAACCACCAUUUCUUAAAGAAAUAAUCAACAUUACAUAUCUUAGGAACGAAGUGUUAAAAUCUAUAUAAAAAAAAUAUUACCUUUAACAAGGUUUGUAAGGAGGAAUAUGAGAAAACAUUAAACUAUAAUUGAAGUAGUACGUCUCAUGAUUGAAAAGUGUAAUAAAAAUUUAUGUAUCUUUUGUUUUUUUUGUCAUCUUAUUACAUCAUCACUAAAAAUAUUUAAUCUAAUCUUAUUAUGAUGAUAUUCAACUACCUGCAGUAUAUGCGAUUAUGAUGAACAGUUCCCAUGAACAACGAUUCCACGGCUCUCCCCGCAACACUCGGAUCUUCAACGAUGGUUCUGCAUGUACGACAUCCCUACGAUGGACAUGCUCUCCCCGCACCCAAACCACUACGAACGGCUCUGCAUACGACACUCUGGACCUCCGACAAGCUUUGCACCAUUAAUCUGCAAGAAACUGCGUUCUCUGGGACUCGAACUCCAAACCUAGGUGUAGAAGUAUUAAUGAACCUUUGGUCAACCACUGGACCAAAGGAACUUCCAAAUUUCGGUAUCUUACUUGUAAAAAAUUGUGACUAUAUAUAUUACACUUUUAAUAAAAAAAAAGGAUAGUUUUAGACUUUUUAGUAUAUUGACCAAUGUAACUAUUAUAAAAUCCUUCAUUAUUUUGAUUAGUGUAGUACCAAUAUAUACAAGUUGUGAUAUCUUGCCACUUCAUAUUUGCUUCUCUCUUUUUUUAUACAAUUUCAGAUUUCCUUCCUUCCAUCUUUUCCUUAAACAUCAUUUUUGUUUCUCUUUUCUAAUCCUUAUCUUUUAUAUUAAAUAUUUUUAAUUUCUAAUCAUUCUUUUUUGAAAUUGAUAGGAUUUGACAGAAGAUCCACAUGAUAGAUUAGAAAAAAUAAUACCAAAGUAGUUUGUAAGAGUAUCUCCAAUGCAGGGUUCUCUUCUAUAUUUUGAUUAGUUCUCAUCUGAAAUUGGCAAAAAAAAUAAUUCAGAAUUGAAUAAAGAAGAGAGAAUCGAUUCUCUUCGAAGAGUUUGAGAUUUUGAUAGAGGCGGACACGUGCCAGUGUUCGAUUGGAGGAAGUGUUUUAACAAAAGAAAAAAAAAACACUCAUUUUUUUUAGUUUUCUCUCUCGACCAAAAAAAACACUGACUCUCUCUCUCUCGAUCUCGCGAUUGCGAGAAAAAAACAAACUGAUGAACAAACGCCGAUUUCGUGAGAUUCCUCGUUUGGAAGGUAAAUCUCCGUUGAAACCCUAUAAAUUGAAAUCUAAAAUCCAUGAUUGUUUGUGUUUAGCUUUUGGUGAUGUAAUGUAUCAAGUUUUUCUCCCCAAUUUUGAUUUUUGGUUCUUUGGGUUUGGUUGAAUUUAUCACUGUUUGCAUGUGUGUUUUGGCUCUAGCUUACAUUACAAACCCAUGUAGUCGUGAUUUCUUAAAAGAAUUUGGAAAUUGUGAACCAUAGUUGUUAAUGGUGAGUUCGAUUUGGGAAUCCAUUUUGUUAGUUUCUGAAAUUUCUUGUUAAAUAAUUUUAUAUCAACAAAUGAAGUUAAUGUGGUGGAUUGAGUUCACGAAGCUUAGUGGAAUUACAAUACAAAAGUUUUCUUCUACAUAUCUUGAAAUUAUAUUUGAUUUUAUAGAUUUGUAAGCAGAUAAAUUCGUUGUGUAUAAAGUAUUUGAUGGAAAUAUAUAUAACUUUGUAUAUUUGAUUAUGCGUUAUCUCUUGAUAGUUAAAUUUAUCUUUUUUUUUAUUGCGUAUAGAAGCUCAGUAACUCUUCAAAGUGACAACUACAUCAUUCCAUCAAAGUGAUUAUAUAGCAACCAAAAUUGGUUUGUUGAUUUUUACUCUAGUCUGUUUUCUUUGAAAACUUCUAUUCAUUGACAAAUCAACAUUUGAUAUACAAAAAUCCGAAUCUCAGUUUUGAAACCAUACGAAAACUUAAACCAUGACUUAAACAUGUCUCCAUAUGUAAUUUAAGUUUACAUCAACCACAAAACCAUGACUUGAAUCCAUAUCUUCUUUUUCUCCAUCUUCCAAAAUUUGAUCAAGUGUUUUAAAAACCAAAACACAGAAAUUUGAUUAAAUGUUUGAUAUUUUUAUGAAUUGCAAUAAUUAUUAAGUUUUAAGAAAUUAAAUAUUUAAUAAAAAAUUUUUUUAAGAGAAUCCCAUUAGAGAACCUACCAUUGGACUAUUAAAAAAAAAAAAAAACAAAAGUUCUCAUCUCAUAAAUUUCUAAAAUUUUUAUUAAACAACUAGAGGGUUAGUCCGGGCUACGCCCGGUUUUAUAUUGAUAAUUUUGAUUUAAUUUAUUGGUAUUAUCAAUUUUUCAGUUUUAUCUGUUUAUGUNNNNNNNNNNNNNNNNNNNNNNNNNNNNNNNNNNNNNNNNNNNNNNNNNNNNNNNNNNNNNNNNNNNNNNNNNNNNNNNNNNNNNNNNNNNNNNNNNNNNAAAAAAUUCUCUCUAAAGUUCGGCUCAUGGCAAAGUUGGACUGCGGAGACCCCGACGUAGAUCCGAAACGCCGCGUCGCGUGAUCAAUUUCAACUCAUCAUAAUUAGGUGGUAUAUAUAUAUUGGUCCAAAACAACCAGAAAUAAAAGAAAGAAAUUAUCCAAAAAAAAAAAUUAUAUAAAAAAGAUAUAUAAGAACACAUACUUGCAUUACAUAUAGGUCUUCAUAAUUAUCGACACCCAAAGAAUCAACACAUCAUUCUUAUUUUGUAUAAUUAAACUCUCAAAUAGAAAAGAAAAUUAAUCAAGGUGAUAUCUUGGACCGAAAGGUUACUUUGGAUGAGGAACACUUAACGGAAACAAGAGGCUGAUAAUUUACAAACCGGCUCGGAGCUGAUCUUGGUCGGAACCCUUUAGGCAUACAACUCUUUACGUGUGUCCCAUGGAAAAUCUGAUUCCUCGGAUUCAUUUUGACAGUGUCUUCGACCGAUAAAGGCAUCAUAGACGAGCUUGGAACACUCUCCAGUGGUAUUAAUCGCCCUCCCGCGUACAAGAAUAUAAGGUUUAAAGUGAUGAUGACAAUAUGCAAUCUUCUGUUGAACAUUGGGACGUUUUAUAUAUUGAAGUGAUUAUUUUUGUUUCUUGAGAGAGAGUUUUGGUAUGAUAAUGUGAGGGAUAUAUAAGUGGGAGGAGAUAUACAUUGGAUUAGGGUUAAGGUUCAUAAAUGGGCUCGUGAGUGAUGGCUGGAAACAAAAGAGAGGAGAGUAAGUAGGAGAGGACAGAGGCAAAAUGGCUGGAAAAUUGUAUUAAUCAAAAUACGAUUUUAUAUGUGUGAUAGAGAAACAAAAAAGUGUUGAUGGGGUCGGGAAGAUCAGAAAGAGGUAGGGAAGUCCGUGAGUAUCUGAAAUUACAAUCAAAGAUCAAACAUUUGUCUUCGCAUUUAUGAAUUAUGACACACUCACACGCACUUGUCUAUAUUUCAAACUAUGGUUUCUCUUGUUUUAAAAUGGUUUUAAGAUUGUCCAUGAUUUUAAAAAUUAAGAAUAGAUAUAUUAUUAGAUUGUUGUAAACCACAUUACGGAUGGACUCCAUAACUGUGGCCCAUGUCUAUGUUUUAGAAAGCCCAUGUCCAUGUUCUAGAAGGCCCAUGUCUAUCUUCUAGAAGAUUCGCCCAAUGACGGUUUAUGUUAGUCUUAGUGGGCUUUAGGGUUUCCUAGUCCAAUUGAGAUUUGUCUCCAUUAUUGUGUAUAUAUAUAUAUAUAUAUAUAUAUAAGUUGUAACCUCAUUCAUUAAUAAGAAGAAUACACGAGAUUCAUAACACGUUAUCAACACGACUUGCUCUUAAUGAAAACCCUAAAACCCUAAAUCUAAAGUCGCCGAGCUCGUCCGCCGCCCGAAGGUUCCAACCGCCGACCGCUCGCUUUGCUCCUUGAUCGGCGAUCUCCUCCUAGCACCAUACGCUCGUGACAAGUUGAUAACCGAGGUCUUUAGCUCCCGGUUCUAGUCCAUACAACCCCAAAGGUGAAAGGUAAAACAACAAACCCUAAAGCUAAAGAACCCAACUCGAAUUUGGAUCUAACAAACGGCUAAGACCUAAAACGAACCUUGAUUGUCUAAGCGAUUGCUAUUGCUUGUGAGAUCCGAUUGUUUGACUCGUUUAGGUUACUAGAAAAGUUGAUUAUUGCUUAAGCUAAACUCGCCUAAGUUGUUAGAGAAGUUUAUUACCUAAACCUAAAUCGCAAAAAUCGAAAAUACCUAAGCUAAUGGCCGAAACUUUAAAAGUCUAAAACCUAAAACUAAAUCGGAUCUAAUCCGAAAUUCCCUAAGUAUAAAUCGGCUUGGUUGAGGUUGUUUAGGUUGUUAGAUUGAUUGUUUCUUUGAUUGAUUACAUGCAUAAGUUGUUAGAAACCCUAAAACUAAAAUCGCAUGAACCCUAGAAACCUUAGAAAAGAUAAUCCUAAAGAAAAUAGUAAAACCCUAAAAUCCUAAUUAAAAUAGGAAAUCUGAAAAACCCUAAAUCCUAUUCUAAAUAGGAAAAGCUAAAUCCUAAAGAAAGCAGGAAAACCUAAAUAAAAUCCUAAAUCCUAUUGUAAAUAGGAAAUUCUAAAAUACUCUAAAUCCUAAUUAAAUUAGGAAAUUCAUAAAUCCUAUUCAAGAUAGGAAAACCUUAAGAAAUAAAAAUUUUCCAAAUCCUAAAUAAAAUAGGAAAUCUUAAAUCAUAAGUGAAAUAGGAAAAUUAAUCCUAGAGUAAAGAGGAAAGUAAAUCCUAAAAGGAAAAGGAAUAGUUAACCCUAAUUAAAAGAGAAAAUCUAAUCCUAAGCAAAAGAGGAAAUCUAAUCCUAAGCAAAAGAGGAAAGUCAAAUCCCUAAGUAAAUCGAUUCAUAGUUCGGUCUCAAAUACCGCAUGACACUAACGAUUACAUGAUUUUGACUCAAAACUUUUCUUUAUAGAUGUUGAAUUACAACUUGUAUUUUACUGUCCUAAAUCUCUUAGGAGAUAAUUAUUUAAAAUGGGCAAUAGAUACUAAGAUUAUCCUAAAAGUCAAAAGGACUUGGUGAAUGUAUCUAAUAAGGCAAUAAUGCCAAGAGAGAAGAUAGAUACAAGGCAAUAUUAGCCACCAUCUUAUUGAGAGUCUCAUAAUCCAGGACUAUAAGUCUGUGGAUGAGUCUAUUGCUAGAUGAACAAAAUAAUGACUUACUGAUAAAAACAGUGAAUUACGACCUCAUAGAUUAACCCCAUUACCUGAUGCCAAUAAGGCCGCAGAGGAUAAGGAAGAAUCCAAAGAAUCUAACCACGUCCAUAGAGAUAGACCACACGACCGUAGCCGUAGUGGAUGGAAAGGACGUGGUUGUGGCCACUAUAACUCAUCCGGCCGUGGGAACCACUAUAACCGUGGAUGUAGACCCAAUUCCGGCCGUGGUCGAGGGCGAGGACGAUGUGGUAUUUCCAAACCACAACACUCGACCAAAUUAAAUGAGUAUGCCAUAGAUGUGGAAUGGGGAACCAUUGGGCUAAGAUAUGUAGGACUUCCAAACAUCGUUGUAACCUCUAUCAAGAGAGUGUGAAAAGGAAGAAUCCUAAAGCCCAUUUGGUAUAUAAAGAUGGUGAACAUGAUCAAGAUGAUCUAAUGGAGUAUAAAACUCCUGAUUGCCUAAAAGAAUCAAGUUGAUAAAUCUGACUUCGACAUCAAAACCUCUAUGUUUUUCUUUGCAUUUUAUGUGUUCAUUGAUUGUUAUUUCCUUGAAUUUAUUUUAUAUUACUUUAUGUUUAAAACAUGAUUCUUGUCCAUAUAAGAAAUGGCCGAGGACAAGAACAUACUUGUGGUGGAUAGUGGAGCCACACAAUUUUAAAAGACAAGAGAUAUUUUCCUAAAUCUCAUAAUGAAAAAUGCCAAUAUUAGCACCAUAGCGGGUAUAGCUAGUCUUAUUGAGGGCUACGGCCAAGUCCAUAUCUUAUCACCAAAUGGCACGCAUCUUGAACUAAGCGAUGCCUUAUAUUCACUCAGCUCAAAGAGGAGCUUAUUGAGUUUCAAAGAAAUAAGAUUGAAUGGUUUCCAUAUUGAAACAAAGGGUGAAGGGAACAAAGAAUUCCUAAAUAUAAUUGAGAUCACCAAAGGACAUAAGAAAGUCCUAGAGACUAUACCCGCAUUAUCCACUGGUCUCUUCUAUGCUAAAAUCGAUAUGAUCGAAGCUAAUAUGGCAAUGAAAGAGUCCAACGAAAAGUUCACUUUAUGGCAUGACCGGCUUGGCCAUCCGGGUCAUAGUAUGAUGCGUAAGCUUAUGAUAAAUUCAAAGGGGCACACCCUAAAAGAGAAAAGAGUUAUCCCUAAGAAUCUCACGUGUGAAGCAUGUUCACAAGGAAAACUCAUUAUAAGGCCAUCACUGGCAAAGAUAAAUAAAGAGACAUUAAAUUUUUUGGAAAGGAUAAAAGGGGAUAUAUGUGGACCAAUACACCCACCAUGUGGGACAUUUAGAUAUUUCAUGGUCCUCAUUGAUGCAUAGACAAGAUAGUCGCAUGGUUCGGUCUUAAAUACCGCAUGGACUAGUCUAAAAUCGAUUGCAUGAUUCGGUCUUAAAUACCGCAUGGCCCAGAUCAUAAGACUGAGAGCCCACUUUCCAGAUUUUCCGCUUAAGACUAUACGUCUAGAUAAUGCCGGUGAAUUCAUGUCCCAAGCGUUUAACGACUAAUGUAUGUCCAUGGGGGUAAGUGUGGAACAUCCCGUGGCACAUGUAUAUACUUAGAACGGAUUAGCGGAAUCUUUCAUUAAACGAAUUUAAUUGAUAGCUUGACCAUUACUCAUGAGGUCGAAGCUUCUAGUAGCCGCUUGGGGACAUGCUGUUUUACAUGCAUCAGAGCUUAUACGCAUAAGGCCAUCUAGUGAACAUAAAUAUUCGUCAUCCCAAUUAUUAACGGGUCAUGAGCCAGACAUAUCCCAUCUAAAGACAUUCGGGUGUGCCGUAUAUGUACCGAUUGCUCCACCACAUAAAACAAAGAUGGGAAUAUAUGUUGGAUUUGAUUCUCCCACCAUUAUUAAGUAUCUAAAGCCAACCAUGGGUGAUCUAUUUAAGGCUAGAUACGCAGAUUGUCAUUUUAAUGAAUCCGAAUUUCCUAAUAUAGGUGGAGAGACGAACAAGUUGGUCAAAGAAAUAUCAUGAAAUCAAACAUCCUUAAAUUGGCAAGAUCCUCGGACUCUGAUGUGUGAUUCAGAGGUUCAUAAGAUAAUAAAUUUGCAAAAGCUAGCUAAUGAAUUGCCAGAUUCCUUUGAUGACCCAAAGAGAGUUAUAAAAGCGUACAUACCAGCUUGUAAUACACCAGUACGUAUUGAUGUUCACAAGGAACACAAUCAAGUUGCUACAGAGUCUAGACAGCGUAAGAAACGUGGUAGACCAAUAAGUUCCAAAUGAUAAAAACCCUCGAAAAUUAAAGAAAGGUGCAAUUGGAAUCCGAGGUUACUAAGGAAACCAUCCCAGACAUGGAGAUAAGGCCGGCCGGCUCUAAGGUACAUGUACCAUAUAAUGUAGCUUGGGACGCCAAGCUGCAAAGUAUUAAAGGUCCUGACCAUAAUAAAUCUCAAAUCGAUUAUAUCAUGUCUGAACAUAAUGGAACAUAUAAGAAAUGUCGACAUAAGAUGAUUUUGCAUGCAAGGUAGCACUUGAAUUUAUGAAUAUAAAUGAGGAUCAAGAGCCCACGUCUAUACUAGAGUGCACUCAAAGACUUGAUUGAUUAAAUGGUACAAGCACUACAAGAAUAAUGGGUUUUUAUAGCAGUAUAACAUAACGUUUGUGGGCUAAAUGCUAUGGUUAUGAAACCAUUUUAUUAAAGAUAGCGUUUGUGUAUUUUAAACGCUAUAAUAUAUUGUAAUAUUAAAAACUUUUGUCACGUUUUUUCUAAAACGCUUAUUAAUAGCAGACCGCUAAUUUAAAACGCUAUGAUAUGGUUAGGCGGUAAUUAAGAAACCCGCGAUACUUAGAAAUUUUUUGGCUCCUCAGGUCAAAAGAACAAAAAUCCCUAAAUUUCUAGACCUAAAAUUUCUCCCUCUCGAUUUUGGCUCGAUUUUGCUCGAUUUUCGCCAAAUCUUCAUCAAUCAGACUCGAGCCUCACAAAUAUCAGUCACAUGCCCUAAAAUCUUCUCGUCUCCCACACAAAUCGAUCUCCACUCUGAAAGCUCAAUCGUCUCCUAGAGAAAUCGCGUAUCGUUCUGAAAAUCUUCUCGUCUCCAGCUUCAAUCUCGUGUCUGUAACCAAAUACACGACAAUCCAGCUUUCUCUUUCGCUUGUGGUGGUGUCUCAAUCGAUUUACACAAAUCUCGUCUCUGUAACCGAAAACGCUUCAAAUCCAGCUUCCUCUUUCGCUUGUUUUCGUGUUCUUGCUCGAUUUCUACCAGGUAUCUCACUUGUUCUCUAUUGUUGUUGUCGCUAUCAGAUCUCGUCAUUCUGUUGUUGUGGCUUAACUGCAUGCAAUUGUUUUGUUGUUGAUUGUGUAAACACCUUUGGUCGGAGUUGUUCCCAUGGAUAAAGCUUGGGUCUGGUUACCAAGGUAAUAUCUGUCCUUCUUCUUCUUUGAUUUUUUUGUGAACUAGCUUGGGUCUGUGAUUUCUUUUUUUGAUUUAUUUGAAUUCUUUGAUUGCUAACAGGAAUAGCCUUGAGUAUGAGGAAGGAGCAACUAAGUUUGUGCUUGAUGCAACAAGUUGUUUGGGUAAUGUAUUAGCUAUGUUCUGUCCUUGCGUUGAUUGCCGGAAUGUGGUUCAUCAGUCAAAUGAGACAGUGUUGGAGCAUCUAGUGAUUAGAGGGAUGGAUCUUAAGUACAAGAGAAGCAAAUGUUGGAGUAAACACGGGGAGAUAAGUGAUAAGAUAACAGAUGUUCAUGCGUCUGAAAAUGAGGCUUAUGACUUGUUUAGGACAGCUUUUAUGGAAAGCGAAGGCAAGCAAUCAUCUCAGCAGAAUAAUGUAGAAGAGUCUGAAACAGUAGAGAGUAAAGAAGAAGGGGAGUUUAGGAAGAAGUUAGAGGAUGCAGAAACUCCAUUGUACUCUACAUGUAUGAACUACACAAAGGUUUCUGCAAUCAUGGGACUGUACAGGAUAAAGGUCAAGAGUAAGUGCAAAGCUAAUACAAAUUUAUGUUUAAAAGCUUGAUGAUUAAAGUGUAACAAAGAAUAACUUUAUUGAAAACAGGUUGCAUUUGGAAGAACUGCAAGCUACAGAUGUAAGAUGUGCAAAGAAUGAAACACUCUUGUGGAAAUAUCACACAGAAAGGUUCCCACAAUGGAUCAAAGAUAAGGUUAGAAGAAUGUCAAUUGUGUAGUGUUUUUUAAUUUCAUGUCAUUGACAUUAUGUUUCUCUGUUUCAUGUUAGAUACCAAGUAACUCAAAAGAUCAUUCUAGUAGAUUGAGAUGGCUUGCAUUUGGACCAAGACAUAUUGCUCAAACUUACAAGGGGUAUAUAAUUAAUGGUCAGCGGUUCCACACUGAUGAUGUCAAGAGGAAAACCCAGAAUAGUGGAAUAACUUAUGAAGCAUUUUCUAUGUGUAGAUCAAGUGCUAAAGAUACUAGACAAAUGGCAGAUAUAGUAUCAUUCUAUGGAGUGAUAAAGGAGAUCUUGAUGCUGGACUACCACAUGUUCCAGAUUCCAGUUUUUAGGUGUAUUUGGGCUAACAAAGGGAAUGGAGUGAAAGAGGAAGACGGUUUCACACUUGUCAAUCUCCAUAUGAACCAGUCAGCAUACUUAAAUGAUCCUUUCAUUUUGGCAUCGCAGGCUAAACAAGUUUUUUACUCUAGAGAAGAUGACAGCUCACCUUGGUAUGUUUGUAUGAGGGCGCCACCAAGAGGGUACCAUGAGCUAGAAACAGUAGAGGAGUUUGUUUCUGGACCAUUAUCAGUUCAGCCAAUUGAAGAUUUAGGAGAUCAAUCAUCUGACGACGAGAGUUUUUGUGUUAGGUCUGAUUGUGAAGGUGUUAUAGUAGAGGACUAAUUAAAACUUUAUUUUUGUUUCAGGUAAUCAAAAACAAUGAACCAAGUUACUGCAAUCCGUCGCAGUAAGCGCCAGGCAGGCCUUGAUGUCACUCCUGUAGUGUCAUUGAAGAAGAAGAAGAGAAACAAUAAGUCUAUCAUUGAAGAGAAUGAAAGAGACAAUGAAGAAGAGAGAAUAGAAGUGGCUACUGAAGGAGAUGAUGGUGUAGAGGAAGAAGAUAUUAAUGGAGAAGAAGAUAUUGAAGAACAAGAGAAUGGAGCAGAAGAUAAUGAAGAACAAGAUAAUGGUAUGUCUCAAGAGAAUGAAAGAGAGAAUGAAGUGGAAGAUCCAAUCCCUCCUUCCACAGCAGGUGCCUCUGAAACCCAGACAAACCAGUCAGACAACAAAAAGAGGAAGUCAAGAGGUCCAACUAGAAUGCGUAAAGUGGCAAAGAAUCUUGAGGAUAAGGUAGAAGUGGAGUUUAAUGCUCUUGGUGAGCAUGUUGGUAAGGGAUCAGUGACACUCUCCUCUUUCCUUGGUCCUCUAGUGAGAGAGCAUGUGCCUGUAUUGGUAGAUGAUUGGAGACAGCUUGAUCAAAGGACAAAAGACGUUAUGUGGGAAGAAAUUCAGGUUAUUUUUCACCUUUGCUUGAAUAAAAUUUAUAUGAGAGUGUUGUUUGUGCCUUAACUUGGCAAUGUUUGACAUGGGAGGUUCAAUUUAAAAGAAGAUUGGCAGAAAGAAGCAGUAUUUAGGCAAAUGGGUGGUCUGUGGAGGGAUGCCAAAUCCAAGCUUGUUACCAAAGUGAGAUCUGCUAAAAGCAAAGUUGCUCUACAGAAACUGAAGCCUAGCAACAUCCAAUGUACAUCAGCCUGGACAGUUGGGUUAAGAACAAAUGCACAGCAGCUUUUAAGGUUAUUGUUUACACUCCUUUGAUUAAUUUCCUUAAAAUAGUUAUACUCAUCUGACUCUUUUUGUCUAUAGGAACGAAGUGAGAAAUACAGGCAACUGAGGAAGGGUCAAAUUCCUCAUACUACAAGCCGCAAAGGAAUGACUCGCUUAGCUGAUGAGAUGGUAUAUAUUUUGUUUUGCAUUGGGUACUUUUAUUAGUAAUUUACUCAUGUAUAUGUGCAUGAACUUGUAGAAAAAAAACAGUUCUGAUCCUAGAAAAGUUACUAGAAGUAAGGUGUGGAUAGCAGGACAUACACAUUCUGAUGGGAGACCUGUGAGGGAAGAGUUUGCAGAAACUAUUGUAAGUAGCACUUAAAAUCUUUUUCAAUUGUUAUUCAGGUUACUUUAAAGAUUGUUUCUACAUAUUGUGAUAUAAAAUUUGAUGUCAGGAAAUGAUCAAGACCAUUGAUAGUGAAAUGGACUCCACCACAUCCACGGAUAAUGUUAGGGAAGAUGCUGUGAGUCAGGUACUAGGAAAAGACAGACCAGGAAGAGUUAGGGGGAUGGGCAGAGGCGCAACUGUUACUAAGUUAGCAUUCUUACAGGCAAGAGACUCUCAUGUCAAGAAGCUUGAAGCUUCUCAAGCAAAAUUGCAAAGUAAGCUUGAAAAUUUGCAGAAUGUGGUUAGUAACUUAGNNNNNNNNNNNNNNNNNNNNNNNNNNNNNNNNNNNNNNNNNNNNNNNNNNNNNNNNNNNNNNNNNNNNNNNNNNNNNNNNNNNNNNNNNNNNNNNNNNNNUUUUUGUUUAUCAAUUAUUUUCAUAUUACGGUUAUUAUAACUUGGGAUUAGCUAAUAAUAUGUGGGUUGUGUGUUGGUGUACAUGUGGGAAGAGACACUGUUAAUCGUGUCUUACAUGAGCAUGUAUUUUAAAAGAUACACUGUUAAUCCUAGUAUCCUUACUUUUUUAAAGUGUGUUGGUGUGAUUGACUUCAAAUGAAGUGUUUUAGGGAUGAUCAAGUCAAAUCAGCAAACCAACGUAUUUAUUUGCACGACACAUCAAAUGAAUUUUGCGUUACACUUAUUUUCAUUUAUGCUUAUCAACAACAUUAAUAAGUUGACACAAACCAAAGAAACUUCAGUUACAUCCAUGAUAUUUCCACCACUCCAAGCUUUACAGUCGCUCCUAUUCUAAAACUCUUUAACUUUACAGACACAUAUAUAUUCAAAAUCAGUGGCAAUUAUUUCUAGCGCUUCCAUCUGAAGCACAAUUGAUAUUAACCCAUAUUAGAGAACAAUUGAUCACCGGUCUACCAACCAUUGCAAGUUUGAUCUUAUCUCUAAAAUCAUAGAUAGUUUAGUAAAUUAGUUUUGUCAUACACCAAAUCUUGGCAACAUAUUUGUUCAAUCGUACUGAGCAUAUCUCUUUAAAUAACCAUCUCUCUAUCUCUAUCUCUAUCUCUCUCUAUCUUGGCAUUAACCACUGGUUUGAAAAAUGAUAGAAGGUUAAUAAGAAGUUGAAGGGGCUGUCUACCAUAGAAAGUGAGAGUCAGAUCCGUAAUCUUACCUCACUCAACCACAUCAGAGAAGCAUUUGAAUACCUAAAAGGCCAUCCUUCCUAAUUUCGUCUCCCUUUGAAUAUGGGAGGUAAAUGCUAUCUCAAGAAGCAUGUCGGUGGAAUCUGUAGGUAGAGAGUUAGAGGCCCUUUACCUAGUUUUCACAAACAAUACCAAUCCUUAUCACAACACCAAAAAUUAUAUUUGUAUAGAUCGUGAGUUCAAAUUGUAAACUUAACACAAAUAAAAUCGACGUUCUUACAUUGUUAUUGAAUCAACUUCCUUUUUUAUUGAACGAUGUCGAUUAGAUGGCCUCUGAUGCUCUCUUCCAUCAAUUUAGAUGGUGAUGAAAACAGAUUUGGAUAAUUUUGAAACUGAGUUUUUGUGGAACGAUGACACUGAAAUAAAUUUAAAGAAUUCUAUUGGAAUAUAUAAGAAGGCUAACUAAAGGGGAAGAUUGAUGGUCAAUUAGAAUCUAAGGAAUUCCAAAAGUUCAAUAGUAGAUUUCAGGGAAGACGAUUAGUUAGACCUAAGGACGUUUAGAUUUUACUUUUUUUUUUUAUAAUAUAUAUUCAUGGGCUUAGAAUCAGGUCCAUAAACAAAUAAAUAAACAUUGAAUUGAUUAGUCGGUGGCUUCUUUAUUGACGUGAGAAGUUUGCUGAUGUGGCUUUCUCUAAGAUGUGUUUUAGUUUGCUUAUGUGGAUAGGUUGAGAAGCUUCAAUUAGUCUCUUUUAUUAGUAAGAGAUUUGAGAGAGUCUCAUGGUGAGAGCUCUCCAUUGAAAAUCGAAAUAUAUAUAUAUAUAUAUAUAUAUAUAUAUUUUCUUUAUACUAAAAAGAACAUUGUAUCUCUCGUUACACUCAAUAACCCAAUUUCCAAUGGCAACAUCAAACCACACUGCCACACAUGUUCCAGAGGGCAUAGUUACAGAGAUACUAACGAAGUUACCGUUGAGAACAUCUCCAGGUUCAAAUCGGUGAGUAAAACAUGGAAAUCUAUAUAUUUUCAUCAUCUCUUUGUGCCUGUGCACCAACACACUUCUUCAUGUUGGUCGCUCCUGCACCGACAAAAAGAACCCAUAGACUUCCAUGAUCCAAGCAGGUCAGUUUAUAUGUCUCAUAUUAUCAAGUAAAGUUACACAACAUGGUUUGCAAAGUUAGUAACAAACGUGAUCAUUACACGUGUCAAACCUAUCGAUAUGAGAUUUUACCAUAUGUCAAAUAUAUAUUUUCUUUUUAAUAGCUAGAAAAGAAAAAAUAUAAUAAUAAGGAAAUUAUAAAUUUAAAAAGUUUUAAAUGUCAAUAAAUAAUUAUAAGAAAAUUACAUUUUAUAUUUCCAUAAAAAAAUAAUAUCAUUUAAUAAAAAUAGCAUGUCAUACUAGGAAUAGCAUAUGAUUGUUAUGAAGAUUGUUAUGAAAGUGACGAUGGUGGUGGUUGAUGGUUACGGAGGUGGUGAUAGGGUUAAUUUUUACGGAGGUGGUGAUAGGGUAAUUUUUAAAAUAACAUGAAUCAUGUAAAAAUUAUUUAUCAGAAGUAUAUCAUGUCAUUUAUAAAAAAAAAACUUUGAAUCGUAAUGGUUUUCUGAAAAUGUGAUGUGUUAUUCAGAUUCAAGGAAUAUUUAACGUUGGAGAUAAAUUAAGAAUUAUGAACGGCGAUGGAUAUAGACUAGAGUUGUUGACAGAGAAGCUUGGUCCGAUGUCUGAGAAGAUAAAGAAUGUGGAGAAAUAAGACCAGUUAAGGGAAAAGAAGAAGAGGCGGUAACAGUGGUGUUGGUGUUGACGACGGUGGUUCAAGUUUGGUGGUUGUGGCGAUAAAUGUUGAUGAAGGUGGUGAGUCAGAAUUAGAGUGAUUCGGUAUUGAUGGUGGUGGUUAUUGUGGUACUAGUGAGAUUCUGUUGUGCUGGUGAGUCAGAGUAGUGAGAUUCGGUGGUGAUGCCCGACGAAGGAGAAAAAUGGAGAUAGAGAAAAAAAAAGAUAUGAUGGUGAAAAAUCCGACGAGAGGGAGUAAAAGAGAAAGAAAUAGGAGAUCCAGCAAAAAUAAGAGAAAUCUAACGAGAAAUAGAGAGAUAUUUGAGACUUUCUCGCCGGCGAGAGAACGGAAAGAAGAGAGAAAGAAGAAGAAAUGGGUAUUAUGAACCAAAAACUGACAAAAAACAUAUAGCAAAUAGACAUUGUUUAGUCAAAUGUUACUUUAAUUUCUUAAAUCUUUUUUAGUCUUACGUUUUUUUGCAUAUUCCCUAAUUCCUUAUAAUGUUAUAUCUUUAUUUUGAAGAUGUCUCAUAUUAUCAAGUAAAGCUAAAUGACAUGAAAAUAAACCGUCUCAUGUUUUCUCUUUUCUUAUUGUCACAAUUUUAUUAUGACGCCACGUUUUCUAAAAAAUUCAAAUGUUUACGUAACUCAUACCAUAUGCUUACAUAUUAUGCAUAUAUCAUUCAUAUGUUUACAUAACUAUAUAAGUUUAUUUAUUUUUAUUGUCACAAUUUUGUUUCUAUCUUGCCUAAAUUAAAAUUAUAAGGUGUAACAUACUCUUCUGAUGGGUGUAAGUAAUUAAUUAAAAUUCAAUAAUACAACAUAUGAACAUUUAUCAAUAUCAUAAUUCCUGGUUUAGUUAUUAUACUAAGAGAGAAAUAGAUAAAUUUUGGUAAUUCUGAUUUCUGGUUUAAUUUAAGUGAACCGAAAAUAAACCUAAGUAUAUAUAUACCCUAAAAAUCGCAGAAGCUCUAGUUCUUUCUCAUAAUUUAUGUGUCCACCUUCAAGGAAAGAAAGAGAGAGACUGAUUGUGGCUGAAAGAAAUUUUAUGGAAUUGUACCUAAGCCUUAGACCUAGAUAUACCACUUUGCAGAUUUCGAAUAAGUUAAUAUUCUAAGUGUUAUCCGCUUUUUUGUGAGGUGCUCUAUUUCAGAUGCGAUUUGGACCAACAUGGAUUAAAAAAGAGAUCGCCAGUUCAUCUACGGUCGGAUGAUCAUGAAUCUUUGUGGGUAGAUUCAUGACAUCUAGGGGUUAUGUAUCAACGAUGUAGAUUGAAAGGGGACGGUUAGAUUUAGAUUCGUGUUUGAAUCUUUGAAGCUGUUCAUUUCUGUUAUUUUUGAGUCAUGAAUCUAAAUUUCACCGUCCACUUUCAAUCUGCACCGUUGAAACUGAACCCUAGAUGUCCAGAAGCCACCCUCAUAUUUUCGUGAUGAUCCGACCGUAGAUAAACUCAUAACCUCUCUUUAAAUCUAUAUUGGUCCAAAUCGCGUGUGAAACAGAGCACCUCAUGAGAAAGCGGAUAAAUUUUAGAAUAGUAACUCAAAUCCAAAUCCGCGAAGUGGUACGUCUAGGUCUAAGGCUUAGCUAAAACUCCAUACAAUCUUCUUACCAAAAAAGGUGAUUUGAUAUAUCAAACCUCUGCUCUACCACGACGUAUCUGAUCUGUCUGCAACAAGCUUUUUUCUCUCUUUCAGCCACAAUCAGCCUCUCUCUUUCUUUCCUUAUGGUGGCCACGAAACUUAUGAGAAAGAAAAAAGGCAUAUGCGAUUUUUAGGGUAUAAAUAGACUUAGGUUUAUUUUCGAUCCACUUAAAUUAAAUCAAGAGUUCAAAUUACUAAAAUUAAUUAAUUUUUCCCUUGGUUGAAUAAUAAACCGACCAGCUUAUUAAUCCAACUGAAAUUAAAUCGACUCUUCUCCAAAUUCCGACAUAAAACUCAAAUAUCCGUUUUCCAGAACACGGACGUUACAAUAGUUUUAUUUAGAAGCAGCUUAAGUGACUAAAACUUUUAAGAGAUCCACUGGUGCCGCCAAAAAAGAAGUAACCAUCCAUUUUUUAUUUCUACUGUUAGUUGCUGACUCUUGCCCGCAUGACCAAAAUUUUUGAGGAUUUUAUCUCCCCUUUCCUUUAUAGUUGGUGUCGCCAAUUUGCGGACACCCUAAUUUAUCAUAUUUAGACUAAUAAUGAAACUGAAUUCCCUAAUGCCAACUUGCAUAAAGAUUCGACCACAUUUCUCGUAAAUGCAUGAGAUUAUAAAGGGGCUUAUGAUCCCAACGACAGAAUAUAUGAGAAAAUCCUUAAUUUGUUAUUCUUGGGUUUUCCUAUUAGACAAAUAUCUCGACCAAUCCACGGCUAGUAGCUUGAUUUUUGUAUUGGAGAACUUCAAAAGGAAGAGUUUCUCAAGAUCAAGAGUUCGGAUCUCAGCAGUGGGAACAUGAUUGAUUUAGGCUGUCUUUGUUUCUAGUUCAAAAUACUUAUGUAUCAAAACCCCAAAAAUUUUGGUUUACCAAAACUAAAAUCUGAAUUAUAGAACUGGCACCACAUAAGAACUUGAGGUAACAAACUUAACAUUUUCUUGAUUAGUUAUAACUCAUCAUAAUUAUAACUCAAUUUGAGGUGCCAUUGCCUUUUUCAAUUUCAACUCAUCAUAAUUAGGUGGUAUAUAUAUAUUGGUCCAAAACAACCAGAAAUAAAAGAAAGAAAUUAUCCAAAAAAAAAAUUAUAUAAAAAAGAUAUAUAAUAACACAUACUUGCAUUACAUAUAGGUCUUCAUAAUUAUCGACACCCAAAGAAUCAACACAUCAUUCUUAUUUUGUAUAAUUAAACUCUCAAAUAGAAAAGAAAAUUAAUCAAGGUGAUAUCUUGGACCGAAAGGUUACUUUGGAUGAGGAACACUUAACGGAAACAAGAGGCUGAUAAUUUACAAACCGGCUCGGAGCUGAUCUUGGUCGGAACCCUUUAGGCAUACAACUCUUUACGUGUGUCCCAUGGAAAAUCUGAUUCCUCGGAUUCAUUUUGACAGUGUCUUCGACCGAUAAAGGCAUCAUAGACGAGCUUGGAACACUCUCCAGUGGUAUUAAUCGCCCUCCCGCGUACAAGAAUAUAAGGUUUAAAGUGAUGAUGACAAUAUGCAAUCUUCUGUUGAACAUUGGGACGUUUUAUAUAUUGAAGUGAUUAUUUUUGUUUCUUGAGAGAGAGUUUUGGUAUGAUAAUGUGAGGGAUAUAUAAGUGGGAGGAGAUAUACAUUGGAUUAGGGUUAAGGUUCAUAAAUGGGCUCGUGAGUGAUGGCUGGAAACAAAAGAGAGGAGAGUAAGUAGGAGAGGACAGAGGCAAAAUGGCUGGAAAAUUGUAUUAAUCAAAAUACGAUUUUAUAUGUGUGAUAGAGAAACAAAAAAGUGUUGAUGGGGUCGGGAAGAUCAGAAAGAGGUAGGGAAGUCCGUGAGUAUCUGAAAUUACAAUCAAAGAUCAAACAUUUGUCUUCGCAUUUAUGAAUUAUGACACACUCACACGCACUUGUCUAUAUUUCAAACUAUUGGUUUCUCUUGUUUUAAAAUGGUUUUAAGAUUGGCCAUGAUUUUAAAAAUUAAGAAUAGAUAUAUUAUUAGAUAUAUUAAUAAGAUUGGCCAUUAUAUCCACGGUUGCAUGAUUUCUGGACUAGGUUGAAACUGUUUGGACUAGGUUGAAACUGUUUUGGAUAACGGAAACACGAUGAAUCUGUCUUUAACCAUUUUUUGUUUGACAAUAUAUAUAUAUAUAUAUUCUAGGGAGACUCACAAAAAUGCCCCUUUUUCAAUACCCUUUUCAAAAAUGCCCCCUUUGGCUGUCCAUUUUUAAAAAUACCCCUUUUUAUGUACAAAAUGACUAAAUUACCCUUCUUUUAAUAAAAGAUAUUACAAAUAUAUAAGGAAAUAUAACAAAAUUAGGUUCAUAAAAUACAAAAUAUUUUUGGCGGGAAAAGUGAUCCCACAAUUUUUCCCGCCAAAAACACUUGUAAAAACUUGUAAAACCUUUAAAAUACCUUGUAAAAUUUUCCCGUAAAAUUUUUUCCCGCCAAAAAAUUUUCCCGCCAAAAUUUUUUUUUGCGGGAAAAGUGAUUCCGCAAUUUUUUUGGCGUUAAAUUUUUGGCGGGAAAAAUUUACAAGGAAUUUUAAAGGUUUUUUACAAGGUAUUUAUAAGGUUUUACAAUGUAUUUUAAAAGGUUUUACAACGUAUUUAUAAGGUAUUUAUAAGAUAUUAUAAGAUUUUACAAGCUAUUUUAUAAGGUUUUACAAGUUAUAAGAUUUUACAAGUUUUUUAUAAGGUUUUACAAGUUGUAAAUACUUUAUAAAACCUUAUAAGUACCUUGUAAAACCUUUUAAAAUACAUUGUAAAACUUUACAAAACACUUGUAAAUACUUUGUAAAACCUUUAAAAUACCUUGUAAAUUUUUCCCGCCAAAAAUUUUCCCGCCAAAAAAAUUGCGGAAUAACUUUUCCCGCAAAAAAAAAUUUUUGGCGGGAAAAUUUUUUGGCGGGAAAAAUUUUUACAAGGUAUUUUAAAGGUUUUUACAAGUGUUUUGGCGGGAAAAUUGGGGGAUCACUUUUCCCACCAAAAAAUAUUUUAUAUUUUGUGGACCUAAUUUUGUUUCAAAUAAGGGUAAAAUGGUCAUUAAAAAUUAAAAGAGGGCAAACUUAAAAAUGGACUCUCAAAGGGGGCAUUUUUGAAAAGGGGUAUUGAAAAAGGGGCAUUUUUAACAAUUUCUCUAGAUUCUAUUAUAAUAAAUCACAAGUCACUUCUCUAAAAACUGCAGUUCUCUCCAUCUGACACGUGUCUUAGGUCUCAAAUUCACUCCUUUACUUUUCUAAACAUUUUAUGACGAAAAAAUUCUAUUAUAAUAAAUCACAAGUCACUUCUCUAAAAACUGCAGUUCUCUCCAUCUGACACGUGUCUUAGGUCUCAAAUUCACUCCUUUACUUUUCUAAACAUUUUAUGACGAAAAAAAUAAGAAAAGAAAAAAAAAAAUCACUUAAAUUUAUCAACUGCUCUAUCCACUUCCCACGAUCCCAAUUUUAUAGGAAAACCUCAACAUAUUUUUUUAUAUUCUAUUUUCCUAUAACCACUCUCUCACCGUGCGAAGCACAGGACACAACACUAGUAAAAGAAUAAAAGAAUAAAAAAUAAUACACUGAAAUGAAAACAUAUAUCUAAUUAUGAAUCCAUUCGUGUAGGAUUUAGACUAAAGUUUAUACAUACGUUUUAUCAGAGUGGAUCUUAUUGGUAACCAAAAGUUGUAAUAAGUUUUUUAGUUGUUAGCUGAAGCUGUAAACUUUAUCGGAAUAGUGCAAAACCGUAAGAAAUAGCUGUACAAAAAAAGCUAUUUAAAAAAGUUAAUAACGCUUUUGAUAAAGUUUUGGUGAUUGGUAACAGUCAAAGCUGUACACGAUGUACCGUUUUGAUAAUGGAUUACCAUUCAAAACCAUUAAUAGUUUAUAAAUACUUUCCAUCCUUUAUGUGGUUAAUGAUCUAAAGUACUCAUCUUAUAUUUGGAUAUAAAAAUAAUGAACUUAAUAAUAUAUAUACACACACAUGUGGUCCAGAAGUUUAUAAAAACUCUUCCUCUUUUUUUUUUUCUUUUUUCCGUCUAAGUGAUAUAAUUCAUGAUAAAAGAUAUAAUAACGGCGAUCCAAGAAAUGAUCCCGAAAUCUAAGCACUAGACGAAACUGAGAACUAAGCCGACGGAUAACAAGACAUCUUCGGAAGCUAACGGCCAAAAAAAGAAAACUAUUGAAAUACAAAGAGAGCAACACAAAGAAAAAGUUCAAAACUAAGACAAGAGAAACACAAUAAAUAAAACCAGAACCUAACACAAGCUAUAAAAAGCUAUAAAAAACUCUUCCUAUAUAUAUAUAUUUAUAUGUAUAUAUAUGAUCAACAAUAUAUACACAAGAUUGCCAUUAUGUAUUAAAGCAUAAACAAUCCACAAACUAUAAUUUAAAACAUAUAAGAUCGAUCAAGCCUUAGUUAUAUCAGUCAUAAAUAAAAUUUUAAGCGUCUAUUUUGAGAGUUUUCUCGCACAUCAUUAAGAAAUAUCACGAUAAAGAAAAAAUUUAAUCAGCCAAUGAACUCAUACAUUUUUCUCUUUAGUAGAAGAAAAUUAUAAUACACAUAAAAAAUUUGAAAUGAAUAUUAAUGAAAUACUAUAAAUUGUAACAUAUGAAAAAUAUAAAAUAUACCAAAAACAUUAGAAAAAUAUUCAUCGAGUAUCUAGGUUCUAGUGCUUAAAUAAUGUUAAGUUAGCCAGUCUUUGAUCGCAAUGUCCAAACUUGAGAAAGAAUAGUAUAACCGAAAAAAAGAAAAAAAGAAUCUCUAGCCAAGAAAAAGAUAAAGGAAAGAAGAGCAUGAGAGUAUAAAAGAAAACUCGACCUAGAACUAGUUAUGUGUCGGUUGAGGUCUUACACAUUCUUCCAAAUACUCUCGGACGAAAAAACUAACAAAUAAAAUCAAUGGCAAAAAUUAUGCUUGAAAAUGACCAACAAUCUUGCCACACAGCACGACGUCAAAGUUCUCUUGACUCAGAGCAGAGAACGACUCUCGCUUUUUAAGAAAAAUCGUUAUCUUAUAUUUUCGGCAAUCUGAGAGAGAUGACUUAUCAUUGUCACCACCGUCAUCAUUCAUAGAAUCCCCAAAAAUAGCUACAUGUUGUAACAAAAAUGCAACCGGUGUUGCGACUAUUGAGAUACCAAGGAUAAGAAGAUGAAGCUGGAAGAAACCAAACCCUCAACUACCACAUAAAGGUAGCCGAGAAAAACAUGCAUAUAUCAUUUGAAACUUGAUAUUAUGGAUUUAAUAAAUUAAUACAGAAUUUAAGAGAUAUCUUUCCCUAAAACAAAUAUUAAAAAUGAAUUUCCAAAAAUACUUAAAGAGAUAUAUUUCCCUAAAACAAAUAUUAAAAAUGAAUUUCCAAAAAUACUUAAAAUGUUUUAGGUUAUUUUAAAUUAGUAUUAAGAAUUAAAUAUUUUAGUGAUAUAUCAAUAUAUUAAAUUCAUAAAGUAAAUUUUCAAGUAAGAACAAAAAAUCAUACAGAAUUAAUUUUUACAAAUUUAUUUUAUUUAAAUGUUACAUAAUUGUUACCACAAUUAUCUCGUAUAUUGGAAUUAAGAAAAAUGAAAAGAAGGUUUCACAAAAAAAAAAAAAAAGAAAAAAAAGGUAGUAGUACAAAACUGAAACUCUUAUUGGGAAUCAAAUAUUUUAUUGGGAAAAAAAAGAAAGUAAAAGAGUAAAAUAGUUUCCGUAAGAAGAAAAAAUGUUUUCAGAGGAAAGAAAAUAUUUUCUCAGGAUAGCAAAAUUUGAUGAGCCAAUAAGCAAAACAAAAGCUGAUGCUUGUCGCAACUGUGUUCGUCAAGAAUCUCAGCACGAACCCAAUCUUCUUCUCUCCAAGCUGUAUUAAUCAAUCAAUCAUUCAUUCUAGGUUAAGUAAAAACAGAGUAAACCCUUUUUUCUCUCUUUCUCAAUUUCGUUUCGUCUCCUUCCUUGUUCCAAUUCCUCUGUUUGAUUCUAUACGAAAUUUCCGUUGAUAUCGAAUACCCAUGAUUCAAAAUUUCAUCUUUUAGGCGAAUGAUUCCUCAAUUUUGAUUUUCCGGUGAUUUCUAGGGUUUUUUUUUUGUGAGGUGGGUGUUUUUGUAUUAUCUUCUUUUGAGUCUUCUUCAUUAAUGAUUUCGCAGAUUUGUGUAGACUUUCAUUGCUGCUACGUUUUUGAAAGGGUGAUUUGAAGGGCUUAGCUUCAAAAAGGUGAGAAUUUUAACUCCAGAUUCUGAUAUUUUGUUCAUUGUUAUGUAUCUUUAAGCUUCGUAGUUGUGUUUUAAGUUUGUUCAAUUUGGUUGCUAAGUGUAUGUUUUUCAUCAGAUUGGGUCAUUAUAGUUCUUUCAUUCUCUAUUGAUUGAUAUCUCCACUUGAUUUGUUGGGAUUUUAUUCUCUGGGUUUAGGAUUUAGGGUUCUCAAAUUUUGGAUUCUCUUUAAGCAUUGAGUGCCUGUUUUCUUCAACAUCACUUGAUAGGAAGAACAUGGAAUAUGGUAAGCUGAAUAACUUCUUGGGGCUUAGUUUCUCGUGCAAGGAAAUUCUUCAUGGUUCUGUCUUGGAAAUGUAUGGAACCUUGAAGCUUGAUAGAUGGGGUUUUCUUAUAGGUUUAAAGGGUCUUUAGCUGAGAUAUCAUUCCUAUGAUGUGUGUUGGUACAUUAGUAAGAUAAAACCGUGCAAUGAGUUCAUUAAUGGUUAAAUCCUAUAUAUUUUGUGUUUACACAGAGAAGAAUUAGCUGUGGAAUUGGAAUGUGUUCCAACUUGUCUCUGUUGUGAUAAUGAUCAAUAUGUUUUCAAUUCUAAGUUUCUAACUCUUGUGGUCCAUUGAUUCUUGAAUCCUUUGUCCAGGUUAGUACUUUCUUCGAAGAAGGGACGGUUAGAAUAUGCCAAAUACAUUCUCUGGUUCAACUUUCUUAAAACUGUCUGCAUCUUUGGAUCCUUAGAUUUGUCUUCCGGUUCCGGAAUUAUUUGACUAUAGAUACCGAUUUGACAGAAGUCUUACAUUUCACACAAAUAAGAGUUUGCCUUAUAACAUUGUUUCCACAUCAUUUCUGCUUCAGUGAUUUUUUUUUAAUCUAGCUUCAAGAUUCAAACAUAGUUUUUGAUCUAUCACUGGUUUGAAUGGCACUUAAGCUGUGCGUGACGUACAUUAGUUUUGAUGGGUUUUUUCGCAUGCUAUGGCGGUUAAGUUAUGUUUAUAUUAUGUUUCAGGUACUAAGGUUGCAAUCUUAUCCAAGAUGAAUAGUCAAAAUCCUGAUGAUCAUGUAAGCCAGCUAAAACAACUCUUCGUCUUGAACCAACAAACCAAGUAAUUUCCAGUCUCCCUCGCUUGAAUUUUCAUCUUUUAUCUUCUUCUUAAACUUAGGAGGACACAACGGUUGUGGGAUUUGAAGUACCUGUAUCGCCAGUUUCAAGUUACAACAAUGUGUAUUCCGCAACUGAAGAUGAGACAAGAGAUCCUCCAGCAGUACCGCCACACCUUCAACACUCUCUAUUAGGCAAUCCGGGUAGCAUGGAACUGGCUUAUGCGCCACAAAAUGUCGUCCUGAACCACCUCUAUAUCGAAAACCGAGACGCCCCAAGAUCCGUUGUAGCACUCGGUUUUUCGCAUCGGUUCAGGUCUAAGUUUGUCACAGUGGUGAUAUACAAGCCUGUCCAAAGAAGAGGGAACGCCAAUGUUUGAAUGAUGAUGCCUCUUUUUAAGUAGUGUUGGGAACUUGCUUCUUUAUGGAUUGAACUUGGUAUACAAAACCAUCUACUCCAGACUGAAUUUUCUUCUUCUCUUACCGAUUCGGUUUAGACGGUUUCUAGGUAAUUCGAUUGAAAUCAAAUCAUCAUCUUGUUCGAAGGUUAUAUAAAAUCUACAUGCAUUUUUAGGGCCAAGAAAGCUGAUAGACUUGGGCAUUGUUUGUUUGUUUGUAAUAACUCCCUUUGGUUUAACGAGCCCAAAUAUCAGUAUUGAAGUUCUGUACUUGCUCAUAUUUAAAUGUUCCAUAAAUUAUUUAAAUCUUUCAAAACUUCUAUGUACGAUAAGUAACAAAUGUCUCUAAAAUUGGGAUUGAAAUGGUUUUUGUUGGUCAUUGGAUCAUUGCAACUAUGUUUGAAUGUAACUAAUGAGUUAUGGAUAUUAAAAGCUAUGCUUGUGAUAAGAUAGUCUUACUCUUUAAACCAUUCCGCCGGUAUUGGAAAAAUUAUUUGUUUUUUGUUUUUUUGUUUUUUUUUUAUAUAUCUUACAACAAUCAUAAAAUAUUUUAAGUUGACGAUAUUAUAUAUAUGAAACUAACACUAAUAUUCUAAAAAGUUAUCAACCAUAUAUUAUGAAUUAUAUCAUUUAGAAACAAAACAAAAUAAUAAAUAAAGAAUUAAAUGCAAGCCUUUCGGUUUUACAUCUGUUAUUUGCAGAUGAUAGUUUAUUUUUUUGCAAGUCUAACAAGGAACAAUGUUGGGUAAUUUUGGAGAUUUUGAAGAAGUAUAAAGCGGUCUCGGAACAACAAAUUAAUUUUUUAAAAUCUUCGAUUCAGUUUGGACAUAAGGUAGAUAAUGAUAUCAAGGAAGAAAUCAAAUCUACCUUGGGUAUCACUAAUAUUAGUGGUAUGGGUUCUUAUCUCUUUUGUUAGAGAUAGAUUACAAACAAUAAUUAACGGAUGGUCGGCAAAAUUUUUAUCGAAAGAUGGGAAAUAAGUGAUGAUUAAAUCGGUAGCUGCAGCAUUACCAACUUAUGUUAUGUCAUGCUUCAGACUGCCAAAAACAAUCACUUCUAAACUUACUAGUGCGGUUUCUAAUUUCUGGUGGAGUUCAAAUGGUGAUUUCAGAGGUAUGCACUGGAUGGCAUGAAAUAAAUUGUGUAAUAGUAAAUCAGAAGGAGGAAUAGGAUUUCAGAAUGUAGACGAUUUUAAUUCAGCCUUAUUAGCAAAACAAUUAUGGCGGUUGAUUAAGGUUUUUAAAGGACGGUAUUUUCGAAAAUCCAAUCCUUUGGAAAAUAUAAAAUCAUACUCCCCAUCAUAUAGAUGGCGGAGUAUAUUUUCAGCUAGAUCUUUGGUUAAUAAAUGAUUUAUUAAAAGAGUCGGAUCUGGGACAUCCAUCUCAGUUUGGGAGGAUCCCUGGAUUCCAGCUCAAUUCCCGAGACCAGCAAAAAGUAAUGGUUCAGUUGUUGACCCAUCUUUAAAAGUUCACAAUCUUAUAGAUAGUCGGUCAAACUUUUGGAAUAUUGAUCUCUUACAGACGAUCUUUGAUCCAGAAGAUGUCGCGCUAAUAAGUGCCCUACCUGUGGGUGCGCCAACUAAAGAAGAUACUCUAGGUUGACAUUUUAUAAAAUCCGGAAAAUAUACAGUCAAAUCGGGAUAUCAUACCACACGGAUAGAAAAAUCGGAGACCAAUUUAUCUUUUAUUGGCCCAGACAUCAAACCGCUAUAAGCAUACUCUUGGGAAGUGCAGUGUCCACCUAAGGUACGCCAUUUCUUGUAGCAAAUCUUAACGGGUUGUGUACCGGUUACGGAGAAUUUGCGAAAAAAAGAAUUGAUUGUAACACAGGAUGUGCCAGAUAUGGCGCAUCAGAAGAAACGAUCAAUCAUACACUCUUUCAAUGUCAUCCGACAAGACAAAGCGCUUUCACAGAUUCCAACGGCUAUGGAGAAUUUUCCACAGAAUCUAUUUUGCGAAUUUGGAUCACUUAUUUUGGAAGAUACCUUCGGAGUUCGAUUCUUCAGCUUUUCCAUGGAUCAUCUGGUAUAUUUGGAAAAUAAGAAAUGAAAAAAUCUUUGAAAAUAUAGACAAAGACCCGUUAGAGAUAUUACGGUUCAAGAAAAAAGAGCCACAAUUUUGGCAGUCAGCUGAAAUCGAGCUUCAUAAUAAAAAUCAUGGUUUUGUGGAUUUGGUAACUCGAUCUCGAGUGAGGGAUGUUUCACUUGAUUCGAAUUAUUCUGGAUAUCAUUGUUUUGUGGAUGGAUCGUGGAAAGAAAGUGAUAAGUUCUCCGGUACUGGGUAGUUCUGUACAUCAUCAAAUGGAGAGUCGCCAACCAUGAGAGCUGCCAACCUCCGUAGAAGUCUCUCUCCACUACAUAGAGAAGUCGAGGCCCUUCUCUGGGUGAUGAAGUGUAUGAUUGGUGCAUUUAACCAAGAGAUGGCGUUCUUUACAAAUUGUUCUGAUAUGGUGAAGAUGGUGUCUUCUCCAACCGAAUGGCCGACGUUUUCAGUAUAUUUGGAGGAAUUUCAUAGCGACAAUGAACAAUUCUCAACUUUCUCUUUAUCUUUAAUUUCUCGUAGUGCUAAUGUUAAAACGGAUAAUCUGGCAUGAAAAAUUUGUACAGAACCGCUUCAUAUCACAUAUGUAAACAACAUUCCCCAAAAAUGGUUCUUUUGAGCUCUAAGUAGUUUCAGAUGACAAAAAAAAUAAAUAAAAAAAAUUGUAUUUGGAUUGGACAUUGCUUAGCUAAUAUUUUUUUAACCAUAUUUUAACUUAAAUAAAAAAACUGAGUUUAUAGAAACCAUAACUAAAACCAAAUUCGAAUAUAUAAGAAAAACUCAAAAUUUAACAAAUAAAUUAUAAUGGAAAAACCAAAUAUGGGAAAAGAGCUUAUGGUCUAGUGGCGAACCUAAAUCCCAUCCAAAGGAUUGUGUGACCUAAGUGACUAAGUCUCCUUGUUCAAUACAUUGGAGAGGGGAGGAGAUUAAUUUAUCCGUUUUGAUCCACGGCACACGAAGAUAUACGGAUUUCAACCCCGAAAUUCGCGAAUCUCGAUAUAUAUAUAUAUAUAAUCUGAUUACGUUGUCCGUUUUUAAAUUUUGUAAAGUUAUUCGUAUUUGUCUAGUUUUACUAGGUUUAGAUAGAUAAAUAAAAAUAUGGUUUGAAAGGUAUACUUGCAUUGGAUUAUUGUCUGGGUUUUGGGUACACCGGUCAAAACUUAACAACACAUCCAAUAAAGAUUUUGACCUUAAAACAACUUCUUUUUUUUGAACUGUCUGGCUGGUAAAAGUUAUUAUGCGAAUGUCUAAAUCUAUUUUUGAAUGCGGUUUAAAAUCUUAUAGAACUAGAUUGUAACUUCAAAAUGAUUCUUGAACACGAGUGUGACUCGCCAAGUGCAUACCAAAUUUCAGAUCAUGUCAUAUAUAUGUGAUAUGUCCAACUCCAAACUUGAAAUUUAAGCCACACUUAUUUUCUCAAAAUUUGUACAAAACUAUGAUUUACUAAAAUUGGAUUCUCUGGCUAUUUUUGGUAUAGCUAUGCUACGGUUAGUACAAUGUUAUUAUGCAUUCUCUGCUAAAAGUAAAAAACAGCUAUCUUGUCAAAACAAAAAUGAAAAAAUUUCUUAACCAACACACGAAAUAGAUAAAUGCUAUCAAAUCAACAUAUAUCGCUAUUAAAUCAUAUAUCGUAGGUCCAUAAUCUUUCUUUUCUUAACUCAUAUGAGUCUUUUUUAAUUCAAUAAUUUUGUCGUGUUCAUUGUCUUUUUCCACUAAAUCCUAGUUUUUGUAGUCUUCUCUUCUGCAAUAUUUUUUAAAAACAAGUUAUAGUUUUGGAAAUUUGAACUCUAAAAUAUAGAAUAAGUCUUAAAAAGUGGCAUAUAUCUUGUGCACCUUAAAAACUGACACUAAAUUACUCGAUCUAGUGUAACUUUUUCAUAUGAGAUUUGGAUUGGAUCACUGUUUGAGUUAUGGGUACACGGGUCAAAAUUUAACAACACAUCCAAUAAAGAUUUCAUCCCGAAAAAACUUCUUUUUUUGAACUGUGUGGCCGGUAGAAGUUGUUAUGCGAAUGUCUAAAUCAUUUUUUGAAAUACGGUUUAAAAUCUCGGAGAUCGUGGUUGGUUUUUUGAAGACAGGUAGAAGUGAUUCUCAUCCGCUGUCAUUCCUAGUACGUUUGUGCUAUGACUUCAUUUCGAGGGACUGGAUAGUCCGAAUAUCUCACAUAUAUAGAGAGGCUAAUCGUUUUGCUGACGGAUUAGCGAACUAUGUUUUCUCUCAACCCCUAGGAUCUCAUUUAUUGGAAGUUAGGUUGGAUUUCGUUAAUCAUAUUGUUUUAGAGGAUUUUAGUGGAACUGCGUUUCCAUGGGAUGUUCGUUUGUAGUUUUGUAAAUUUUUUUUAAUAAAUUGGGAGAGACAUUUGUUUCUCCUUUUCCUACCAAAAAAAAAGAAUGUAACUCAAAAAUGAUUCUUGAACACGAGUGUGACUCGCCAAGCGCAUACCAAAUUUCAGAUCAUAUCAUAUGUCCAAACUACAAACUUGAAAGCCACACUUAUUUUCUCAAAAUUUGUUCAAAAGUAUGAUUUACUAAAUUGGAUUCUCUGCCUAUUUUUGGUAUAGCUAUGCUAGGGUUAGUACAAUGUUAUUAUGCGUUCUCUGCUAAAAGUAAAAAACAGCUAUCUUGUCAAAACAAAUGACUGUUUUGGUGAUAGGUUAAAUCGAAUAUCCGGAGACGAAAAAGCAAUAAUUUAUUCCAUUAUUAUUAUAUAUUUCAAUUUCACAUCGAAUUGGAAAACUUAAAGAAAGUGAAGAAGAGGGGACCAGACAGGAACUGGGGUGAUAGAGUUUGGUCCAUGGCUCUGUCCUUGAGCCCAUUGGUCACGUGGCGAGGAGUGUCUUACUGGUGCACUUUUAUGAAACAAUCAUGAGUAUCACGUGACGUACCACUGGGGCUAUUGGUCCACCUCAACCAAAGGAGUGUCCGCAUUUUUCUCUGUCUAGUUUUCAGUGCCGGCUCAAGCAUAUAAUAGGUCCUAGGAAAAAAACAAAAACUAGACCCCUAUUAUAUAUAUAUAAAAAAUAUGUACAAAAAUAAAACAACAAAAAAAUAUCUUAUUUUGGAAAUACAUUUGUUAGUGAAUAAGUUGAAUUAUGAUCCGAUAAAUUUGGUAUUCGACUCGGAUAUUAUAUAUUUAACUUGGAUCGGAUUAUAAAUAACCAAACACUUUCAUCAGAUAUUCCAUAUAUAACAAUAUAGAUUUGGUUAAGAUUUAAAAAUUCUGAUUUUCAUAUCAUAUUUGUUUGAUAUUUUAACUGUUUUGAAUACGGGUUAAAUCCUUAAUUUAUUAUUUUUUAACACCACCAAUAUUAGACAUAUCAAAUCAGUCUGAUUUUAAAAAAAUUCUAUAAAAACCAAAAAUGUCAUAUGGUAUUACUGUUACUUAAUACCAAUUUUAAACUAUAAAAUAUAAAUGUCUUAUAAAUUGGUAUAAUUUGCAAACUUUUAUAUAUAAUAAACAAUCAUUAAAUUUUAAAAUUUAUAAUUUUUUAGAAAAUAAAUCGUCAUGCAGUGUACCGCAGAUUAAAAAAAAGCAUCGUUUACAAAAGAUGAAGCAACAAGAUCAAUUAUGAUGUAAAACCUUUAUUUGCAAUAGAAAGCAAAAGAGAUUUGGCCCAAUAAAUCAAUAAAUUUUUUGCAUUGUUGGGUAAAAUAAAUCAACAUCUAAUUUUGGCCCUGUAAAUCAAAAUAUAAAAAGAAUUUCGUUAUGCUUUGUAAUGUCAACUAGAUCAUCACCCGUACUACAAUACGUGUUAAAUUUUAUUUAUUACAAAUUUUAUAUAUUAUAUAUUUUAGAAUAAAGUUGUGAUAUAUUAUAAUAGUAAUUGAAAAAAUAUAAUUAGAUUUUUGUCAGUCCCUAUAUAUAAUAUUAGAAUGAAUAUAUUUUCUUUUUUAAUUAUACUCAAUUAUGGAUAUAUAUUUUUAAGAUAUGAAAACGGAAAAUAAAAUUAUUUUAAUAAAUUAAUAUGGUCUGAAGAAUGAGUUAAUUUAUAUUAACAACCACAAAAUGAGAUUGCAUAUAAUUCAGUUAGAUCUAAAAUCAAAAUAUUAUAAAUGAAUCGCUUCUAAAACGUAGAUUUUUUUUUUGUCAUCCACAAUUAAUUAAAACUCAAAAGAGCCAUUCCUGAGGAAUGUUGUUUACAUAGGUGAUAUGAUGCGGUUCUGUACGAACAUUUCGUGCCAUUAUUUUUAAUUAAUUAAGAAAGUUAGCUAUUAUUUGGAAUUAAUUUAGGAAAUUCUUUUUUCAAUUUCUAAUUCUUUGGUUGUUGAAAUAGAGAUUUGUUUGAGCUAACUACGGAAUUUACCAAUUAUUCGCGUAAUCGAAUAUGUUAUGAACAUAUAUUUAGUAUAAUAUACCAAAUUCAACCCGUGCGUGGAGUCUAUAUUUUUAUAUUAGAAUCUUAAUGAAAAUAUUGCGUGCACCAUAUAUUAUUCGUUAUUUCCAAAAUUGCUUGCACAAUCAAAUUUUCAAAUAUUUUGUGGUGUCAACCUUAUUUAAUCUAUCUGAUCAUAUAAUCUUAACAUGUCGUCUAUUAUAAGGAUCAUAAUUUUAUAUCAAAUAAUAUAUUACAUUUAACCAUCCGCCUACUAUAACUAUUUUAAAUAUAUCUUUUUAGAAAAUCAAAUUAAAGUAUUUAUAAUUUUUUUUAUCUUUUUAAUCUAUUAAAUAUUUAUGCUAUUCAUUAAAAUAUUAAAUUAAACUAUUUUUAAAUGUUCCAAAUUAAAAUCUUUAUAAAUAUUUCUUGUAGUAUAUAAAAUUAUGAAUUUCAAAAAAGAAUUACAUGAAAUUAAAUAGAAAUAUUCAAACAGUUAUAAGGAUCAUAACUCAUUUGUUAAUAUAAUAUAUUAUAUUUAACCCACUGCCUAUUAUAAAUAUUUGUUUUUAAAAAAUCAAAUUAGAGUAUUUAUUGAUGAUAUUCUUUUAAUAUUGAUGAUAUUCUUGAAAAAUAUCAAGUAAACUAAUUUUAUAUGUUGCAAAUUAAAAUAUUUAAAAAUCUUAUUGUAGUAUAUAAAACAAUGCAUUUCAAAAAAUAAAUGUAUGAAAUUGAAUAUAAAUAUUCAAAUUCUGACAUGUUACUCAGACGAAAUAUUUGUUUAACUUAUUUUUGGUUAAAAGAAAUAUAUUACUCAAAUGUAAAUUUUUGACCCGUUAAUUUUUUUUUUCAUAGAUUUAACAAUUUAUAUUCGUUUUUAAAAAUUCAAAUCUUGGCAUAUGCAGAAAAAAAAUUACUUUUUUUUUGUUAUAUGGAUGAUAUGAUGAUUUAUUUGUUUCAUAAAAAUAGAAUCAUAUAAAGAUGAGAGGUGAAGUAUAAUGAUUAAUAAAAAAUUAAUAUGGUAAGUUAGAUAUCAAAUAUUAUAUUUUCAUUUUGAUUGGUCAUUCUUUUUUAAAAGUUAAUAAUAUAUUUUCGUUUUUAAUAAUUAAAUUAAUUAAAUUUUAUAAAUUAGUAUUUGACUUGUUUAUCCUUAAUGAGCUAAAUUAAUUUACUCUUUAUAUUUUUAUCUCUAAUGACAUUCUAAUGUAAUAACUUACAAAGGGGAAAGUUAUUAAAGGGUAAUUAUAAAUUGUACUCCUCAAAUAAUAGUAUAGGAUAUUCAUGGGUCCUUUUUUAUAAUAUAAUUUAUUCUUUGUAAUGUCAAUAUUUAUGAGUCACUUUUUAUAAUAUAAUUUUUUUGAUUUGAAAAAACAUAAAAGAAUUAGCUUAUAAAAUCAAAGAAAAACCAUCUAAUUUUUUCUUAGAUUGACUCGAACCAGAUUUAUCUGUACGUGAAUAUUCUAGAAUAUGCAGAAUAUGCUUUUGUAUAUAUUCUUUACCUCAGAAGUAUGGCGUCUGUUUGAGGUCUUCUUGAUUACCAAAUCAAGAGAUCUCGGUGGAUAUGGAAAGCUAGAAGAGUCAAGAUUUUCCUCGAAGUGGAAUCAAAGCAUUUCAUUAAGCCUUUCGGAUGUUAUGCCCUGAGGAGUGAAGACAUGUCCCAGACCAGCCAGACAGUCUUACGCCCGGUCCAGAGCCUUCUGACGCCCCCGGUCGUGGAGACCUCACCCCGGUCAUACCUAGUCGUGCCUUGUCCAGAACCUCGAGCCUCACUUAACUUAAUUUGUGGAAAAUGACGGUUUUUUCCUUUGACCUAAUCGAAGCCUAUAAAUACCGAGACAAGUUGAAAAAACCCAACGGCCUCUUCACAGCUCCUUCACCGCCUUCUAACCCUAGAUCUCGAAGCCUCCAUCGACGAGACUCUCAGCUCUCCUAGCUCCACCUCGUCGAAGCUCUUGCCAUCAAAGAAGUCGUCCUUCGAAGCUCUCUCCUUUGUUCUUAAUUGUUUUCUCUUCUACUCUUUCUUUCAAGACUUUUGGGGAGACAAGUAUCUUCUAUGACACUAGAGAAGUCUUUUUGAACCCCCUUUGUUUUAUUGAAUUCGAUUAUUAUGCUUUUCUACUUCAUCUCCAUGUCGUUUCUUAGCAUCAUGAGCGAGUAGUUUUCCUUGUUGGGUUUUAUUGGGUGAUUCAAAGGGGAUUCAUGGUUCAAAUCAUAUUAGGUUUAUAGAUCUAUUAUUUCGUUCAUACUUAGAUUCUUUUGGGACAUCUUUUACUUAAUGCAUGUGUUUAGAUUGAUCACCAAACGCUGAUCCAAGAGGUUAGGAGCUCUAAUCGGGUAAACCUAAUAUCGGACAUAGUGUUACAAAUCCUUUGUGUUGUUGCCUGCGUAAGUUGAGUAACAUGACUUGGAGUACUUAGCGAAUCUAACCCUAACGCGUCGAACUAUGUGUUGUUGCCUGCGUAAUUUGUGUAACGGAGUAUAGGGAGAUUUGCCGGCUUAUUCUAUAACUUAGGAUAACUCGUUCAUUCGCCUUUCGUAGUUAUGAACUAGAACAAAAACAUAAAAACCCUGAAGAUCUAAAUCCUAGUUAGUCGAGAACCAUGACCCCCAGAGAAACCCUAGAACGCCCAACGCCUUACUCUCAUUAGUUAAAACCGUAAAUCAUCUUAGCUAUCAUUAGUUCAUUUAGCCUUCAUUUAUUUGCUUUCUUAUUUCAUUGCAUUAGUCAUUAGGAAACUCAAAACCAAACACCCAAAGUUUAGUUUUGUCUUAGCUAAAUAUUCUUGUUUGAAUUCAAUAACUCGUAGCUACACUCUCUGUGGGAUCGAUCCUUAAAUACUACUCUGAUUACUGUGCACUGGUAGUUUAACGUGUAGUCUUUCAAGUAAAAUUUUUGAAGUGAAAUUCUACUCGCUAUCACUACUAAACUUUUGCUUGUAAUUUCUUAGUCAAAUUCGCAUUACCAGACAAGUUCAUUAAGUUCACAAUGCGUCCUAACGUCAACUUUCAUUGGCUAAGCAUACAUUGCUCAAUUCACAUUGGUUCAGGGCAUUCUAUCAAACACUCCUAGUGCAUAGAAAAAACUAGAAUCUACACCAUGGCGACCAAUCCUAUUCUAGCAUUACGAACAUGUGAAUCAAAGAACCUAAAGAAUAAGAACUCCUAAUAACAAUCAAUCCAUUAAUCCAUUGAAUCUCCUACUAAUAACCCUAAAACCAAAUUGGAGAACUACUCACACAUAGCAAAAGAGAUAACAAAAAUCAGUGAAAAUAACAUGAUGAAAUUGUAGAAAAUAACAAGAAAGGGUUUAGAAAUCUUCUCCAAGUGUCAAGAGGAUGGAUUCUUUUCCCCAAAGUUGCUUAGAAACCAAAAAAACAAAUUUAGAACUGAAAAAUAUCAAAGAUAAUGUCUCAAAAGUCGAGCAUAGGGUUUUAAAACAAUAGGAGACGAGCCGGAUCGGAUCUGGAGAGAAUCGGGUCAAAUCUGAGCCAAAAGUACGUCUGGAAAGGGAUCGAUCGAUCUACAAAAGAAUCGAUCGAUCUGGAGCUUCUAGUUUCUAAUUCUGCAACUGCUUCAAAUGCUCGCCAGAAUGGCUUGUCUUCAAUAAUUUGGGUAUAACUCCUAAAUGCACCGUUAGAUUUCCUUCAAAUCACUUGAAAACUCAAGCUAACAUCUUCAUUUAGCUUGUGUCACAAAAUUCAGAAAGAUCUAACGGUGGAAAGUUUUUCAUCUGAGGUCAAACGUCUGACACUUCUAAACGACUGCAUUUCCAAAAGUGUGUUUAGAUCCCAAAACAGUUCGUUUUUCUCUGAAGCAACCUAAAACCUGUAAAGACUCGAUAAAGGACUAAAAGACUCUAAAAACAAACUUUGAUUCUAUAAGAAAACAAAGACUCAAAAAUACAACAUAUCAACUCCCCCCCGACUUAGAUCUUUGCUUGUCCUCAAGGAAAACAAAAAUCUUUAUCAAGAAAAGAGGUUUGAAAAUACGAAAAUUACUCAUAUUUUCUUUGGGAUCAUGCUCUUAUCAAUUGCCUAGAAAGCACCAUCACAAAACUCAUUAAACCGUACUACACUGUACUUCGCCAUAACCGUAGCAACAAAAUUAAGUCUCGGGAUCUAAAAGAACUUUCAAAGUCAGAUAACUUAACCUUUUAACAUUUAUUAGCAGAGGCGUGUACUCUUACAAAGGGGGUAUCAAACACGUUAUGUGCUAAGUGAAAAGGCUAUUAUUUGGUGGCUCAAGUGUUUCGGGUUCUCAAACAGUGUAAAACGGAUGCAUGUCAUUAUGCGAAAUCACAGUGAGACACAGACCAACUAGAAGGUACAUAGUUUCCCUUAAGCUCGUAUAAAACUAGCCAACACACUACCACAAUCAAAUCAAUGAGUACUCUCGAUGAUUAUCAAUGUAACUAUUAUCAACUCGAUAUUUCCGGUUCCAUUCAUUCUCCGUUUCCGUUUCUUCUUUUCAUUUUUGUUUUUUUUUUCUAACGGGGUAGUGGAACCGGUGUCUUACAAAUAUCUGCAUCAAUAGAAACUUAUGAACUCAGUACAUACCCAUGAAUAUAACCUCUCAACCAUAAAGGCUCAAUCUCAUCAUAUAUCAACAACCAGUAAACUGCAAAUCUCUAUCCUAACAGAAGGAAAGCUAUGUUGGUCUGUAUACUCAGUAGUUUUCGCACAUAGAUGCAUAUCAUGAUGAUUAUAUAAGAAUGCAUGAGGUUUCAAACAAUGGGUGGGGAAACAGGUGCGAUAAUAGAUUAAAAAUGAGUGUAGCCAUUCAGAGUUAGCAAAGAGUGGUAAAAAUAUUGCAAACAAAACUCUGAAUGUAUGAUCCAUUACAUGAUUUUCAAUCCCCUAAGUGAGAUAAAUUAAGUCCAGAUUAAGUUCAAGUAUAUAAGAUUAAGCUCAAUUCAUCUGAAUUUCAAAGAGAUAGGGACUACUAUUAAGCGAUCUAGUGAUGGAUUUUCCUGAACUUCCAAGUUAUCAGUGAGUAAUGCUAAAAUAGUCCCAAGGCAAUGAAAUCAACAUAGUGCAAUUCCCUAAGAAAAUAUCAUAGUUCUCAAACAAAUUUUGACUCAAUAAAUGAAAUAUUUUUUUUUCUUUUUUUUUACUCGAAAAAACGAAAUCGACGACUCAAGAGAAAACAUCAAAAGAAACAACCAAAGCAAACUCGAUUGAUAAGUAGAAAAAUGACAUCCUCCCCCCGACUUGCAUCACACCGACUCGGUGUGAGGACAAUUCGAAAGGAAGAUGUCGGACACACUCAAAAGAAAAAAAAACAAAUGAUUAUGUGAAAAGGAAAAAGAGAAAACUUACUUGGGAUACCUGGUGGGUUGCGUCACACAAAGCGCUUAUUUUAGGUCAUAAGCUUGACCGCUCAACACAAAAUAUUAAUCAUAAGAGUCAAAAGGUUGAGCCAAUGGACCUUUGAUCCUUCUCCUGCUACCGCACAAAACAAUAUGCACAAAGUAACACACAACUAAUCUUGAUAAAAAGACAAAAUAACCAUCAACCAAAUUUACUACAAAUGUAGCAUGUAUCUGGAAAUAUUCUAAAAUGGUUGAAUGCUCAUGAAGAUCAAAUGCAUUUGGAGGAAAAAUAAAGUCAAUUUCAGGUUUAAACAAGGUUUUAACAAAAUUAUCAACUUCAUCUCCAUUAAUCUCAUAUAGCACAAUAUUCUCGUACAUAUAAACCUCAUGGUCCUCAAUCUUAUGCAAAAUCUUAUCAAUAUCAAGAACAAUCCCUAGGUAAGAUUCUUCAAGAAGGGACCUAGAUAGCUUAGGCAUUGAAAACUUAAACUCGAGAUCAUGAACAUUCAAAGCAGAAUGAUAUUCAAUAUCAAAAUAUAUUUCAUGGUAAUCCCUAGCAAGUUUUGCUGCUCUUAAAAUAUCUACUCGUUGAGAUUCACAUACCAAAUCAUAACAUACAUCAAUGAUCAUGGAAUUAUGCAAACUAGAAGUCACAUCUUCAAUGCAUGGCAUAUGAAUAUCCCCAACAUCGUGAAUUUCAAGGGAUGGAACGCUUGUACUUUUUAGUUCGCUUGGUGGAACCCAAUAUAUUACCUUUUCAAGCGUAUGGGCUUCUUGUUCUUUUACGAAUGUAAGUUCCCUUCCUUCACAUGCUGUCCGAUGUUAUAACAGGUUCAACCGGAUCAAAAUCGCUAAAGUACUCCUUACCAAUGUCGGAUGUUCGUUUUGAAGUUUAUCCAAUAUCACUCUUUGUUCCGGCGUAAGAACGUUCUCAUCAAAUGGUAGCUCCACAUAUGGCUCAGGAUUUUCUUCUUGUAGCCAAUCAUUAUAUUCCAUGGCCAACACCAAAAAAAAAAAACGAAAGGGAUAGUUAGCAAUAAAAAAAUGCUUUACACUAAAAACUACUCCUAAAUCCUUAGGUAACACAAUUGGUCUCCGGCAACGGCGCCAACUUGAUUGCUUGAAUAAUUAUCUGAUACACUUAACCGCAAGGUAGUAUAUACGGGUUCGAUCCACAAGAACCAAUGGUACACUGAAGAUUUCUGAGACUCGUUCUUUGCUAAAGCGGAAAGGUUGUUUUUUUGGUUUUCAGAUUGUAAAAUGAAAAUGUGAUGUAGACAUCCAAAUCAUACGAAAACGGGAGCAUACUAAACCAACCGGUACAUGUAUCAAACCGGUUGAUAUGGAGCAUUUUGGAGGAUUUUUUCCCAAAUGGAGUCCUAAUCAAGCACAAGGCCUAGAGUUAAUUAUUCACCAGCAAAUUAACCCUAAGAAAACUAAUGAUGGUUCAAGAGGAAUCAAAGAACGACGAGCCGAAUCACCAUAUUGUGGGAAUUUGACUCUUUUUCCCUUAUCGAGGGUUUGUCCAAAUGGGUUUACCUAAAAAGGUUUUUAACGAGGCAACAUCAAGUCGUCAAGGAAUCAUUUACCAAGAAAUUGAUUCGAAGAUGUUACAACUACAUAUAGCUCAUGUACUUGCUGACAGACCGACUGAACUACUCGCUAAACUACUUGCUGAACUACCCUCUGAAGUACUGCGCCAAAUGAAGCCAAACAAGGAAAUCUUCCUUAUUCAGAUGUUACAAGUACAUAUAGGAAAUCUCCACUUGGACGCACCUCAAAGCUAAACAUGGAAACCAUGAGAACAUCUAGGCCACAUAAGACAUGUACCACAAGAAAUUUGGUACAUCUUACCACAUAAGAACCCGCGGAGUUACUACUUGCCAUAUAUGGAGCCGAAGGAGAUCAACUUGCAAUAGUUCUUUCCUUCUUUAUUUGUGCGCUUGUGUGAGACUCUUGAGACCUUCUAGAAGCUUCCAAGAUGUCACAACUUCCUCCCCUACUUGACAAGAUACAAGGCCCACCUCACUUGCCUUAUUUGGACAGAUUCUACAAUUAAUGUCCAAUGGCCAUAUAUUUUCAUUUUUGUUUGUGAUUUGUUUCUUUCUUUGUAGUUUUAGAACGUUGUACUCAGCUCUAUAUAAGCUGAUCUCUUAUCUCAUUGUAAAGCACCCUUGAUCAUUUUAAAGUAAUAGACACGUUUCUUCUUGUCAAAGUUUAAGUCUUUGUCAUUUGUUCUUUAGUUCUUUGUGAGUGAGUCACUUAGUACUUAAGAAACCUGCGGAUUGAGUUUGUUGAGUGAUCAACUUCCUUUAUUCGUUCAUUGAUCGAGUGAGUCGAUUAUCCCACUGAUUGAGCGAGUCAAUCACCACACCUAUCCAUCGUACCACCCCUUGAUUCACGAGAGAGUGCAUCAGAGCCAGCUCGUGAAUUCCACCCUUCCACGUGAAAAGCUUGGAAUCUCUUGAUCAUCAAGUGAUCUAAAGUUGAAGUGAUUCCAAUCUUGUAUCAAAAUGCAAGUAAUUUAAACGAUUAAACUUAUGAAUUUAUAGACAUUGGGCCAUACGAUAUUUUAGAGAUCAAUAAAUAAUGGAAACAUGAACAUGAACACAUUUUGACUAAUUCUCUUUCAAAACAUUAAUCACUAAAUUUGACUACUAAACUUUAGCUUGUACUUUUCUAGUCAAAUUCGAUUACCAAACAAGUUCAUUAAGUUCACAAUGCGUCCUAACGUCAACUUUCAUUGGCUAAGCAUACAUUGCUCAAUUCACACUGGUUAAUGCAUUCUAUCGAACACUUUUGAUGCAUAGAAAAAUUCAAAAAUCUACAACAGGAUGAAUAAUCCUAUUCGAGCAUUAAGAACAUAUGAAUCAAAGAACCUAAUAGCAAUCAAUCCAUUGAAUCUCCUACUAAGAAUCCUAAAACCCAAUUGGAGAACUACUCACACAUAACAAAAGAGAUAACAAAAAUCAGUGAAGAAAACAUGAUGAAAUUGUAGAAAUAACAAGAAAGAGUUUGAGCAAGUGUCAAGAGGAUGGAUUCCUUUGCCCAAAGUUGCUUACAAACCAAAGAACCAAGUUUAGAACUGAAAAAUAUCAAAGAUAAUGUCUCAAAAGUCAAGCAGAGAGUUUUAAAACAAUAGGAGACGAGCCGGGUCGGAUCUGGAGUAAAUUGGGUCAAAUCUGGGCAAAAGUACGUCUGGGAAGGGAUCGAUCGAUCCAAGAGAGGAUCGAUCAAUCCAGCAUGUCUGGAACUGAUUCUUGUCCGUCAGAGGUGUGGAUCGAUCGAUCUACAAAGAAAUCGAUCGAUCUGGAACUUCUGGUGUCUAAUUCUGCAACUACUUCAUAUUCUCGUCAGAAUGACUUGUCUUCACUAAUUCGAAUAUAACUCCUAAAUGAACCGUUAGAUUUCCUUCAAAUCACUUGAAAACUCAAGGUAAUAUCUUCAUCUAGCAUGUUUCCAAAAUUCAGAAAGAUGUAACGGUGGAAAGUGUUCCAUCUGAGGCCAACCGUCUGGUACUUCUAAACGAAACUGCAUUUCCAAAAGUGUGUUUAGAUCUCAAAACAGCUCGAUUUUCUCCGAAGCAACCAAAAACCUGUAAAGACUCGAUAAAGGACUAAAAAACGCUAAAAACGCAAUUUGACUCUAUAAAAUAUAUAAUUUAGAAAAGAAAACAAAGAUUCAAAACCGAUAAAACACAACAUAUCAAAGAACUCCAUGAAAAGCUUUUUCGUCUAGAAAACGCACUACUCAUCACCGCCCCUCUUAUGCCACAGUCUCUCCCAGUCACAACAAAUACAAAUCAUUACCAACUAUAGCCAUCAAUGCUUGGUAAUUAUCGUGGCUCUUCUUCUGCUUGUGGCAACUAUCGUAGUGGUCGUGGUUACCAAGGCAAGGGUCAACUAUGCGGUACUUUUGGCCACAUCGCCAGACGCUGCUCUCAACUUGCCUCCUUGAUGGUGACUCACCAAUCAACUGCACCUCCAAGUACGCCACACUACCGCAGUUCACCUCCACCAUCACAAUGGAAUCCACAAGCUCAUUACACCACAUCAACUCCAGCGGACUCAGCUCCAUAACUACUCGAUAGCGCUGCAUCUCACCACAUUGCCUCUGAUUUGAGUUCUCUCUCCUUACACUCGCCUUACACUGGCAGUGAUGAAGUCUUGAUUGGUGAUGGGAAUGGUCUUGGCAUCACACACACUAUUUCCACUAAUCUCUCCUCCGGUUCUCGAUAUUUACACCUCACUAAUGUGCUUUGUGUCCCUUCUAUGAAGAAAAAUCUUAUCUCAGCCAAUAAACUAUGCAAGAUUAACAAUGUUAUGGUCCAAUUAUGUCCUAAUGAUUUUCAAGUGAGGGAUCUCAACACGGGCGCAAAUACUAAGCGGCAAAGCUAAACAAGGUGUCUAUGAGUGGCCGUCAAAUUCCUCUCCAUCAUCUCUCAUUUCAGCUUAUUCCGCGGUUACUAAAUCAACUUUGGAUUGGCAUGCUCGUCUAGGCCAUCCGUCUUCUAAAAUUCUUAAUUUUAUUUUAUCAAAGUUUUCACUUUCUAGCUAUUCUUUUUCUCCUCAUUCUGUUUGCAACUCUUUCUCUAGUAAUAAAAGUCAUAAGCUAUAUUUUUCUACCUCAACUAUUUUUUCUCGUUUUCCACUUGACGUCAUUUAUUCCGAUGUUUGGACAUCACCACUUUAUUCCAUUGAUGGGGUUAAAUAUUAUGUUGUCUUUGUGGAUCAUUUCACACGGUAUAUAGGGCUGUAUCCGUUUAAACAAAAGUCACUGGUAGCACAAAUAUUUCCAAGGUUCAAAGCAUUGGUGGAAAAUCAAUUCAAAACUCGGAUCACUACAUUCUACUCCAACAAUGGUGGUGAAUACAUUGCACUAGCUACGCUAUUACGCACCUAACCACUCCUCCUCAUACUCUGGAACAUAAUGGGAUGGCUGAAUGUCAACACCGUCACAUUGUGGAGACCGGACUUGCACUUCUUACACAUGUUGACAUUCCUCAAACUUACUGGACGUAUUCAUUCAUGCCUGCGGUCUAUCUUAUAAACAGGCUUUCCACACCGACGCUUGCUAAUUUAUCACCGUUCCAGCUUCUUUUUCCAGCCGAUCCCAAUUAUCAGAAACUUCGAACCUUUGGAUGUUUGUGCUACCCGUGGCUUUGACCUUAUGGCCAGAACAAAUUCAGUCCUAAAUCCACUCCAUGUGUUUUCUUGGGUACUCUCUUACUCAAAAUGCCUAUAUUUUUCUUGAUAUGUCUACCUCACGUAUCUACAUCUCACGACAUGUGGAGUUUUUCGAGCAUGUUUUUCUCUUUUCACAGCUAGCACGUAACACUCUUACCUCUUAUUCGGAGUCUUCUUCACCAUCUCAUCCUAUAGCUUCCGUUUCUCCUACAUUUUGUCGGCAAUUCACUACAUCUUCAGCCCCGGUAUUCGAUCCCUCACCUGCAGCUCCAAUAACUGCCCCAUUAUCAAGUCAUGGACUCGACACGGACACUCACAUUGUACCAAAUCAUGAUCAAAAGGAGCCUCCAACAAACAUUCACCCAAUGAAAGCAAGAGCAAAGAACAAAAUUUACAAGCCAAAUCCUGAAUACGGUCUCAUUGUUCAACUUGGUGAGAUUGAACCAGUUUCUCACACACAAGCUCUUAAAGAUGAGAAGUGGCGUCAUACAAUGAGUGAUGAAAUUGACUAACAACUUCGAAACCAUACAUGGGAUCUUGUUCCACCAGACGCUAGUUCCGCAUUAAAAGAUUAACAGAUGGUUCUAUUGAGCGUUAUAAAUCACGAUUGGUGGCGAAAGGAUUUCAUCAAACACCGGGCAUCGAUUUCUCGGAUACUUUCAGCCAUGUCAUCAAGCAUGCAACCAUUUGUCUUGUUCUAAGCAUUGCCAUAGCUCGUGGUUGGCCAUUGCGUCAACUUGUCGUCCACAAUGCCUUCCUCCAAAAGACGAAGUUUAUAUGAAGCAACCCUUGGGCUUUGAAGAUCGUGACUAUUCUCAUUAUAUGUGUCAUCUUCGGAAAGCCAUUUAUGGUUUAAAACAAACUCUCCGGGUAUGGUAAAUGAGCUUCGAUUGUUUCUUCUCCAACUCGGCUUCACCAAUUCUCUUGGCGACACAUCCCUCUUUGUUUUUCACAAGGAAUCCGUCCUAAUAUACAUCUUAGGGGGGUGUAUUGAAAUAAAUAUUUGGAGGGGUUUGGUGGAAUUUCUAUAUUUUAGGUUUUGGAGAAAUUUGAGUAAAAUUUUAGGAUGGUUGGGUUGAUUUGUUUAAUUUCUAUUUUUUUUAAAAGAAAAAUCAUUAGUGAUUUGGUGAGAUUUAUUGAAAGGAUUUUGGAGAAUUUAGUAUAAAAAAAAAAAGAAGUCAACGAUAUUCCUUUUUUUUUUUAAUAACUAUGCUUUUCUCUUUUGUUAUCCUCUCCUUUGCCAAACGUACGGUGAGUCACAUGACUCACAUUUUUUUGGACGUAACUCUACCUUUGGAUUCAAUUUAAUGAUCAAUCAAUAAGCAAUAGUCUCAAGUCUCAACAAGUCAAUAGAAAUAAUAAAAAACAAUCUAAAGAUAUAGCAUAAAACAUAUAGCAUCAUGAUUCCAUAUUCAUAGCAUCUGUUCACAUAUUCUCUGCUAUUGUUUCUCUCCAAUUAUUAGCAAGUACUCUUUGUUGUUACAAGUGGAUUCGAUUGGAUACUUGAGAAUGCUUGAUAUGAGAGAGUGAUAGAGAACUUGAAAGUAAAAUCGAGAUCGGAGAGAUAGAAAGACAAGAAGGAAGAGAGAAAAUUGAAAGAGAUAGAAAGACGAGAAGGAAGAGAAAAAAUUGAACCAGUCAUUGGCAUGCUUUUUUGGACUUUUUUUUUUAACCAAAUACCACCUUUAGAGGUGGUAUUGUUUUGUUAUUAUUUUUGCACUAAAAAAGUGUCCAAAGUCUCUCCAAAUCUAUUUUCAGUAUUUUUCGUAAAAAAAUUGUGAAGUUUGAAUAACAGUGGAUUUGCUUUGAUUUUUCUAAAUUCAUAAUUGAAUAACAAGAGAUUUGGGAUUAUUUGAAGUGAUUUUAUAUAAAUUCCAGUUUUAAUAACAUGGAAUUUGGGAAGAGAUUUUAAAAUUACUAAUUGAAUAACAGGUGAUUUUAACAAAAAACCAAAAAAUUUAAAAAUCACUGUUUGAGUACACCCCCCUUAGUGUAUGUCGAUGAUAUUGUUGUUACAAGAAGUGGUGUUGAAGAAGUUAAUAGCACCAUCAAAGCACUCUCCGAUCGUUUCUCUCUUAAAGACCAUGGCGAGCUAUCAUAUUUUCUUAGCAUGGAAGCUACAAGAACAUCAGCUGGUUUGUCUCUCACUUAAACAAAAUACAUCACUGAUUUGUUAGUUCGAACCAAGAUGGCAGAUGCAAAACCAGUCACCACUCCAAUGUCCUCGAUAAUUUCUCUCACUGCCACUCACGGACUCAAACUGUGUAACGCCCCGACCGCCACAGCUCUCUUAAUGGGCCCCACAUCUCCUCUGGGGCUCAUGGACCCACCCGUGUCCGACGGUCGGUCCCCUACGUCCGGAAGGCUUUAAAGACUUGUUUACCGACCCUACAAAUCACCACAUGAUCUUUCCCUGUGUUUUGUCCUCACUCACACAGUUCCGACAAUCACUUCCCGGAAGGUCACCUAUUCUGAAACUAUUCCAACCCAAGCAUGCUUAACUGUGGAGUUCUCUCAGGAUAUUUGACCAAAAAGAUAAGUGCACUUUAGUGACAUAGGUGGCCAAAUCAAUUUUUUUAAACUUCUCUGCAAGCACCACCAUAUUCUUGAAACUGGGGUGCUACAAUUCACCCCCAAUAACAUAUCACAACGUCCUCGUUGUGCACCAAGACCGUAACCCCCGACGGUGUCAGCCCUCUUGACUCCACACUCGACAGUGUUCGGCUCUAAUACCACUUAUAACACCCCGACCGCCACACCUCUCAUAAUAUGCCCCACGUCUCCUCUCGGGCCCAUGGUCCCAGCCGUGUCCGACGGUCGGUCCGCUAUGUCCGAGAGGCUUUAUAUACUUGUUUACCGACCCUACAAAUCACCACAUGAUCUUUCCUUGUGUUUUGUCCUCACUCACACAGUUCCGACAAUCACUUUCCGGAAGGUCAUUCAUCCUGAAACUACCCCAGUCCAAGCACGCUUAACUGUGGAGUUCUCUCAGGACAUUUGAACGAAAAGAUAAGUGCAUUUUAGUGACAUAGGUGGUCAAAUCAAUUCUUUUAAACCUCUCUGCAUGCACCACCAUAUUUCUGAAACCGGGGUGUUACAAACUGUAUGAUCCGACGAGUUAUUGAGCCACUGUUGGUAGCCUUCAAUAUCUCUCUCUUACUUGUUCGGACAUCUCUUUUGUCGUCAAUCGCUUCUCGCAAUUUAUGCAUGCUCCAACCUCCGUUCAUAAAGAAGCAAUGAAACGAGUUCUCAGGUAUCUUGUAGGCACUGUUACCAAAGGAAUCUUCUUCUCUGCCUCAACGCCUCUCAAUCUCCAUGCCUAUUCUAACGUCGAUUGGGCUGGAGACCACGAUGAUUACUCAUCAACAGAAGUAUACAUUGUGUAUCUUGGCAAACAAUCUAUUUCGUGGACGUCCCACAAACUCAAAGAAGUUUCUCGAUCAUCAACUGAGGCGGAGUAUCGAGCUCUAACCGCAGCGGCGUCUGAGGUAAAGUGGCUUUCUUUACUUCUGGUUGAGCUUGGCAUACAAUCGAUCACCACACCUACGAUCUUCUGUGAUAAUAUUGGUGACACUUAUCUCUCGGCGAAUCCGGUCUUUCAUUCUCGGAUGAAGCAUCUUGCUCUUGACUAUCAUUUUGUUCGUGAACAAGUACAAGCUGAAACUCUUUGCGUCUCUCACAUAUGCUCUGCAGAUCAGCUGGCUGAUACACUUACUAAGCCAUUACCUCGAGCUCGCUUCACUAACCUUGCUGUCAAGAUUGGCAUUCGUGGACGUAGUCCAUCUUGAGGGGGCAUGUUAGGAAAAGACUUGAAAAUUCUAGAAUAUGCUUUUGUAUAUAUUCCAUAUCUCACAAAUGGAAAUUAUGUAUGUAUAAAUACCUUGCUUAAUUAUUAUUGAAUAGAAAUCAUUCAUUCUCAAACCCUAUACUAUCAAGUAUAAAAUCAUAAAUACUGGCAUGCAUUGGUGGUAUGUUUAGGAUUUUAAUAUUGGAACUUCAGAGUAAUUCACAGUAAUUUCUAAACAUAUAUAAUUUUAUAUAUAAUAACGUACCUAGUAUUUUGUUCUCUCCUUCUAUUAUGUUCUUUGGAUUACUCUAUCCAUGUUCAUGUUUUGGUAUAUGUGGAAUGUUUCAAAAGGGUUUUCUUGUAUAAAAAUGUCUCAAUUAGGUGCAAAUAAGGGCAUAUUUGUGGUUAUUCGUACAACCAGUAAGAAUCUCUUAUUAAAAGAAGGUUAUAAAAAUUUAAGAAAGAUUCAUGGUUCCACAAAACGAAGAAAGACGAGAAAUCAUAUAACAUGUUUAAUGAACUUUGAUUAAAUAUGGGAAUAUAUGUACAAAGGGUUCGAUACUAUUUCCACCAGAUAUCUCCAAAAUCUAUUUUCUUCUACAAUUCUUGAGGGUUUUUGAAGGUCCUACAUAAACUCCGAUAGGUGUCCACACAGUUGUGGUCCAGUAGUAGUUGAAAAUUGGGGAAAAGUUGGAAAGAACUAACCCAAGUUCGAUCCACGCUGGAAACAAAAAACACAUUUGUGUGGAAAGUCUGGGUUUGGACCAAAAUGCUAAAGCAAGUCCAGUAGCAAGCAGUCUGGCUACCCCCUGGCAUUAGUCGGAAAGCAUUUCAAACUCGGAACAGACAGUGUGCUAGCCCUUCGAAGAGUAGUUCACUCUGAAGCACUUCGGUGCAUUUCUAUCGGGACUAACCGUAUCAGCCGAUAGAAUUUAUCAAAAAAAAAAAAAAAACUUCGAUAGGUUCGUAUCGGAGAAAUGAUUACAACUUUAACUAAAGAUAAUUGCAAAGCUAAGUUUAUCAAAAAAAUCUCUUUUUCAUAAUACAUCAAUUUGUUUUUAUUUUAUUUUAUCGAUUUCACGACAGUAAUACGUCAAGGCUAAUUUUUUAACCGAAACCAAUAUUGAUGAUAUUAUUUUGGUUGAAAUUUUGUUUCUUCGAAUUAAACAACAACUAAAAAAAAUUUGUGGUUAAAAAGAAAAAUAAUAGUUGUAAAAUUGUGUAAUAAAGGGGAAAAGUGGUGGCUACGAAAUCAUGAGGGUUCGAUGAGAACACGUAAUAAAGAUAGCCAACUUGUCAAAAAAAUCUGCACCUAUCCACUUCAGACUGUACGGACUUGGGGUCCCUUUCAGGUGGCCUGAUACGAAUCUCACCUUUAGAUACUUUUUAAUAUUUUGGACAAUAAAAUCAAAUUUAAUGGAAAGAUAGGAAAUGUCGACUAGAUAAGAUAUGUAUUCCCUUAAAUUAUUUUUAUAGUCUGCUAAACUAUGAACUAAGAGCAUCGGCAGUGGCAAAACGAUGAGGAUAGAUGUUAAUAAUAGAUUUAUUAUAAAAUUUAUUGAAGAGAGAGGAGGAAAAUUGGCAGACGGACAAAGAGAGACGAGAGAUAUAGAGAGAGAUUUAUUUUUCUAAUUUUUCCAUCCACUCAAAUCUUGCCACGCGGGCUUUACACCCGAUGCAUACAACUUGCAACUUAACACCCGUUUCUCAUUUCUACACACUCAAUUCUAAUAUUUUAGGUUUUUUUAUUACUCACACUCAGGCAAAUGUAUUGCCAUUGCGCAUGGUCUAACAGUUCAUAUCAUUUUUGUAUAGAGGUGUUGUUUGGGGUUGGGGAUAUGAUAUAAACCGCUCAUGGCAUUGGUUAGGAUUACAAUUUUAAAUGCGCUAAACUUAUGCUGAGAACUGGCUGGCCAGUGUCAAAUGUUUUUCAUUCGAAAUUGUUUUGAUUUACAAAUCUUAUAACCAAACAACCAAUAUAGGAACAUAAAUAUGAAUGAAAUACCAAAGUUUGUUAUUAAUAAUCCGAGACAAAAAACAGAUUUAUAUCUAAAAGCGACAAUACGGUUUUAUUUAAAUACCUUAAAGAUUAUCCGAGUCUAAAUUACCAAAAUCUCUUGUAGCCUCAUGAGUCUUGCGCACACAAUUUUAAACAGGUACUUCUCUUCACCUAAACCCGAAAGAGAGGCGUGAGUAAUGAUUUACUAACUAUUUAAAAUGAUCAUUCUAGCAUGUAUGCUAACACGAUAACAACGAACAAUCCAAUGCAAUCAAUAUAACCAAUAUUAGCAUAAUAAACCAUUUUCAUGUAAUUCAAUUUCCCUUUUUCAUUUUCCAUCAGUUUUAACUUUCUAAAGAUCCCACACUCCGCAUGCUAUCUAAUGAUCCCAAAAAUUACAUACCUGCUUUAGUGGUUUGUAAGUUAUAACAACUAUACCAAAGAUAUCCACGAUUCUGAAUACCACAUACCGGCUCGGAAGUAGUCUCUGUAACAUUCUUUCAUUGAGUUUAAUGUUUAGAAAGAAGCUCAACUAAUUUUCAUACAUAGUUGGGGGGAUCUAGACCACUAAGUGAUCAACAUGUCAAGAUCGAAAUGAUAUAUACGCGUUAGUUUUUGGAAGGAUAUGCAGAUCCUAUCGCGAUUAUGGGAUGGAUUUAUUUAAAGUUUGAUCACGCAAAAAGCUUGUAGGUACAAAAGUCAAAUGACGCGCUUAUUUACUUUUGGAGCCAACAAUUUUAGUAUCUCAACUUUGAGAUAAAUUGUUCUACGUACGUUAAUCAAGAAGAUGCAGUACUUUGCCAAAUAAUUCACUUUCUUAUACUGAAUGAGUUUUCUAUACUUCGAGAAAAAUUUAUCGGAAGCUUUUAUAUUGUUCAUCAUUUAAAUUGUAGGGUUGAUUAACUAGUUCGAUUAGCUAGAACAAGAUUUAUGGAUGUUGUUUUUAUAAAUCUUCUCUUUUUGAUUGAGUCUCUAAUUAGGAUGUAUAUUGUUUUCAUUUAAAUGUGAGCGUGACAAAUAGUUUUACAUUUUCUUUUUGUUAAAUUAGUACUGUUUUUCUAUAUUAAAAUCUAGUUUAAACACAAUGACAUAACUUGGCAAGUGCGUAUUGGUAAUGACAAAAAAAUUCCCAUGAUAUUAUAGUUUAGUGUAAGUAGUCUAAUAAUAAUUGCGAUAAUCCUUUUUCCAAGAGUUUUUAAAUACUAUCUUUACCCUAAACCAAGUAAGCUUUAUCGGAUAGAUAGUGGACGAUUAUUUUAUAAAAGAAGUACUUCAACGAUAGAAUCCAGAGACCAGAUCCUCGUAAUAGCAUCAGAGAGUUCCUUGGGUUCAACCAAGUACUUCAAACCACCUGAAUAGUGAAUAGUGAAUAGUGAAUAGUGAAUAGUGAAUAGUGAAUACUGAAGACCAUACUUUCGAAUUUUCUAUAUUAUCAGUAAACAUAUACAAUACAAUAAUAUUAAUCUGGCUAUAGUUACUAGUUGAUUUUUCAAAAAAUUAGUAUAUAUAUGGAUUUGCUUUGCCUGCUAAUUGAAUAUAUAUAUAUAUAUAUAUAUAUAUAUAUACAUAUGUGUGUGUGUGUGAUUAGUGGGUAGGUUUAUAUAUCUACAUGCCAUUUGGAUCAAUAAAGAUAAACCUUUUACUUUCUUUACAUAAAACUCGAUUUAAUCCACUUUAUUUAUAUACUACCUCUGUUUCAAUUUAUUUGAUGUUAAACCACAAAGAGUAAUAAAUCAUUUAAUUCUUGUUUUAGUCUAAUUUAAACAUUAUUUUUAUCUGACUAAAAAUUAUUCUACCAAUAUUAAACAAUCAUCAGAAUUAAUGAUCAAAACAAAUAAAACAAUUGUAUUCACUAAAAAGUGUUUUGAACAAAAAAAAAGUUGAUUAACUAUCUCUCUUCAUUUCUCCAUAAUUAUAUAAUUAUAGUUUUGAAAAUUUUUAUUAUGUUUAUAUAACAUACAGUAUUAACUUUUAUUUUAAAUGCAUUUUUUUCCUUUUUUUUUUAAUUAUAAGUCGUGAGAGAGACAAAUUAAUAUGCAAAGCGCCAAUAUUUAAAUCCCCAACUUCGAGAGAGACACGUCCCGAAUCAAACACCACACCCCCAUUUUGUUGUUUUCUCUUCAACUCUUACACAUCUUAUGACAAACAUUAUAAUAACUAACCAAUGAAAAUGGUUUUUUACAUGACAUUUGACAGGUAAAGGAGGGUCCGUCUGCUAGUACUUUCUUUGGUAGAACGAUUAUGUUCUAUAAACUAAAAUUUCUACACAUGGUAGAGGUAAAUGCCAUUGAGAUUAUAUGUUUAGUUUCAAGCAUAACUAUAAAUGUUAUUAUUAAUUAAUGUGUUAUAUAUGAAGCUAAUACAUAUAUAUAUAUAUAUGUAUAUUUGGAAAUGUAGUUAUCCAACUUUGCGUGAUGACAAUAAUUUUCUAGAGUGAAUUUGUGCAGAGACGUUAUUUUUGAUAAUAAUUAGGAAAUCGGUAUAAGUGAGGAGCGUCAGAGACAACGUUGAAAAAAAAGUUGGAAUAAGGCUUGUAAUUGACAAUAAUUACAAGAAUAUCAGGCUGGAUUUACGUCGUGCACGUGGAGAGGAGAAUAUGGAUUUAUGAAUAAACGAAGGAACAUACUGACACAAAUUAAAUGUUCAAAUUAAAUGGGAAGUGAUUGCUAAUAAAUGCAAUAGAUCUUAACUCGAGCUAACUCAAAUUUGAAUAUAGACAACUAUUGUAGUUGCAUGAACACUCAAUAAAUACUUACUUUGAAAUUUUUAAACAACUAAGCUAGUUGCAUGGACACCCAAUAAAUAUUUUACACGAUUUUAACAUUUGUAUUCAGAUAAACACAUACAUAGAUCUGCAUCUAUACUUUGUAGAUCUAUUUGUGAAGAUCCAAAAAAUAUUUUAGAUCCUUAUUUGUAUCGUGAAAGUUAUCUUCUCCGAUGAAUAAACAAUGGCGGUGUGAAUAAUAAACAAGACGUUGUUUUCUUAUCGGUUGAAUAAAUUAUAACAGAAUGAAGAGAGAGAUGAACAUGAGAUAUGCAUCUAUAGUUUGUAAAUCUAUUUGUGAAGAUCAAAAAAAUGUUUUAGACUCUUAUUUGUAUUAGAAUAAUUAUAUUUUCCGAUGAAUAAACAAUGACGGUGUGAAUAAUAAACACGACACUGCUUUUUUUAUCGGUUUGAAUGAAUUAGAGCAGAGUGGAGAGAGAUGAACAAGAGAAAAAAAUAGGAAAUUGGCCAAUUUCCCAGAGAAGACAAGCUUCGAGUAGAGAUCGAGCAAUUUCCCAAAAACACGGCCGAAUCAAUUCAAGCUCCGUCGGUUCUAAAGUCUUCAAGACAGCUUGAAAUAAUCGUGUGUAGCUUGAAAUACUGGUUAACACGCUCUCCCACAUGUUCUUCACGAUCGGCGAAUAACCUAGCAGGAAGGUUUAGAUCCAACAUGUUCCUGAAGAAAAAAGAAAAGAUUUUCAUUAGUUAUUAGACUACCCGGAAAAAUUAUGAACAUGCAAACACGAAAUUAUAGAUCUAUGAUGAUUUGUGAAUAUCUAAACCAGAUCUAAAAAAUAGGUAAAGAAGUAAGUGGAUAUGGAAAGAAGAAACGACAAAUAUAGAUAGUUAGGAUUUUGUUGCAAACGACGGAGAAACAAUAGAUUUAAAACCAACGCCGGUGAGUAGAAGCACAAAACAACAUAAAUCGACCAAAGAUUUCAUUAGACUCAAGAAAACUCCGAGAGAACAGGCGAAAGAGGCGAGAUGUUGCAGAAAAGAAAGGUUGGACCGAUUAUUUUCAAAAAGGAGAGAGGCGAGUGAGGUUAAAAUCGGAAAAAAUGAUGGCUAAUUAUUAUCAAUGUCUUGGGUUAUAUGGUCUAACACCGAAAAUUUAAAUACUUCAAAAAGUAGCGUCUCUCACCCAAUUAUCUCAAUAUUCUAUGCGUGAUGCACCAAUCAUUUCAUUUUGUAGACCGACAUUUUCCAUUGACCACUUUUUGACACGUGAACUCUUCUCUCUUUUUUUUUUUCCUUUCUUUAGUUUCAUUCGAAAUAAAAAUGUUUGGACCAUUUUAUUCUGUUUGUAAAAUUUUUGUCUUGUAGAUCUUUUGGUUUAAAGUGACUGUACAUUUGUGUUUAUAUAGUAUCUAUAUAUACAAGAGUAUUAAACUGUACAUGUAUAUUAUAUUAUAUACAAGUAUAUAAGUUUGUGUGCAUGUUUCGGCAGGUUUUGCUAACCUGCAGUUGUUAGAGAAACUAUUGUUUCUACUUUCUACUAACUCGAUAGAUUGAAUUAACAUCUUUUGCUCCAGCUUUUCUUGAUCAUGUAUAUAAAAGAAACUUGUACAAAAGAGUUAGAAGGUCCCCUGUGUCCCAGGUUAAAUUCUCUUUGAGAGAUGAUUAAUUACAUUGUGUCAUGGUAUUAUAUGUGUAACUUCACUUUUUUUAAUGGACAUUUAACAAAACAGAACAUGCUGCUAGUUUUGUUAAAGAAAAAGCAAAACUUGAACAAAUGAUCUUUAAACCAGAUCAAAAACAUAUCUACAUAGAUGCCUCACCGAACUAUAAGACCCUAGAAAUUUGGAACUACACAACCGUUUGGACUACUUAAAAUGUUGGCAAAUUCUAAAAUGAAAGUGAAAAUAAAAUAAUAUUAUAUGUCAACAAUCAAAUAUUUUUUAUAUUAAAACAUUCAACUGAAUUCUUGAACCGAUAUUUGCAUAUAUAUAUAUAUAUAUAUAUAUAUAUAUAUAUAUAUAUAUAUUUUAUUUGUCUUAAUGAUAUGGGGGUCAACUUGUUUUGCAAAGACCAUGCUAACACAGCAUUCCUGAAUCACAUAAAAAUCUAAUUUUAAAGUGAAUUGGCUUAGCAAAAAAUACAGUGCAUCAAAAUAUUGGGGUGAAUUUCAGUCUGGCUUACCAAAGAUACUAUAACUUUGUUUGGGGUGAAUUUCAGUCUGGCUAAAACGUAUACACUCUUUUCCCAAGACAAGUUGGCAAUGUUUUACUUCUUAACCUAAAUAGAUUCAACUGAUUAUUACUAAUUACUAAAAUUGCUACUCUUUGUUUUGCUACUCUUUUUUUUUUCUUUACUCUUAAUCUUUAAUUUACUUAUCUAAUUUAAUCGUAGUCUUUUAAUUUUAACCACUAAAGUAUUAUCACUACACAGACAAAGCUUUAUAUUCGUAUUUCAUAGUACUUAGCUUUCCACCAAAUCUUGUUUAAUUUCACUCAACUGUUAAAACGUUGGUUAAACUAACCGAAUCCGGUGUUUUUCAGUUUUUCAAGACUAAAACUUUAGCUACUUUGGUAAAGUCUGGUAGCUCAGCCUUUUCGAACUAAGAUCUAACGGACUAAAAGGUUUUUGGGGCUUAGCCCAACCGAGUUUGAUUUUUAUACUUAGUUGGAUGGAAUUAUAUAUUAUAAUGUUAUUCAUAUUUAUUUAAUAUUUUUGAAAAACUUCAACAAACUUUUAAAUUUUAUUUAUUUAUUUAUAUGUAGAACUUGAUGACAAGAAAAAAUUUAGAAUGCAUUAAAGCAAAGGAAUAACUAGAAUGCAUUGAAGCGGAUUCAAAUCUUGGUUCUACAACAUAAUGUAGUUUGAAAUAUUUUGUUUUAUGUUUUAUUUGGUAUUUUAAUAAUUUAUUUAGUUUUUUGAGCUUUUAAUUUUAAAUUAAGUUGUGUUUAAUAAACAUUAGUUGUGUCAUUGGUUCAUUUUAUACUUAUAUUCAUUAUUUUUUCAAGAGAUGUUAAGAUGUUAUUAUUUUUUUUGCCUUUCAAGAAAUAUUAUAAACUUAUAAGUUUGUUUUUUUUCUCUCGAAGAGAAACCCGAAAAAACCCAAAAUCUUGUUAGAACCGGACAGAACUUUUAAAAUAUAGGUUAGAAAAUUUUCUGGACCAAACUAAAUCGAAGUCAAAUAUAUGUGGUUAAUAUACAGAUUUCGGGCUACGCCAGACUAGUCCGACUGAUUUGUCUACUUUGAAUUGCUACUCUUUUCCGUUAUUUUUACUGUUAUUUUUUUUUUAACCGCUUAACCAAUAUUGUUUGUUUUUCCUUUUUGAUUAUAAAAGGCAUAGAUCCAAUCCUUGUUUGAAAAAUCGCUAGGCGCUAGUCGGGCGCUCGGCAUGGGCCUAGCGAUUAAUUGGAAAAUCGGAUUAAAAUCGGGGAUUAGUUUUAGGGUUAUUUUAAUAUUUUUAAAACAUAUUAAUCCAAUAUUGUUUUCAAAAUUGCAGUAAACACAUAAAAAAUGUAUUUUUGAGAAUAAUUUUUAUGAUUUUGUUACAAAUUUAUGAUUUUUAUUGAAAUUUGAAUAUAAGUUAUUGUAAAACAUCACAAACUCCCAAUUCAAAGGAUUGAAUAACAAAAAUAAAAAAAAAUUUAUACUUGCAAUCUAAAAAUAAUCAGGGUAUGUAAGAUUAGGCCGGAAAUAAUCGGAUUAGGCGGGAAGUAAUCGGAUUAGGCGGAGAGUAAUUGGAUAACUGAUUUCUUUAGGAGAUUAAUCAUUAAUCGAAGCGGAUAGGAUGGACCUAGCGAUUAAUCGGAUAGUAAUCGGGAUAGGCGGAGAUUUUAGAACUAAUAGUUGCACAAAUAAGAACAUGUGAAAUGGGAAAGUGAGAUAUUCCUUCACGAGGUGGACUCCGACGUGGCAGCUCCUAACUCCAUUUGGCCCAACUCUCUUUACCAUAUAACUCAGCUUCUGCCAAUCAAACUCUCUAUCAGAAAAUAUUUAUGCAUAUAUUAACAUUCAAUAACAAAAAAUCAGCAUAUAUACACACACAUCUCUUACUGUGCAUAUAUAUUACAUAUCUCUCUAUCCCCCCUCUCUCUCUCUCUCUCUCUCUCUCUCUCUCCCUCUCCCUCUCUCUCUCCCUCCCUCCCUUCCUCUGUCUCUCUCUCUCUCUCUCAUCUGUGUUGUAGAUCUCACCAGGUCUUCUCUGGUUAAUAUGUGGCUUCCAAGAUCUGGUAACAUGUUAUAAAUACGUCAUACAUGUUUUUGCAAAUCAAAAAAUAGAAAUUGUGGGUUUGUCUCUCAUUUUACUAUUUUAGCAGUAUAUAUUUAGAAGUUCAGAUGUUAUUUGAUCAGCAUCUUUUUCUUCCCCUCUGCCAUCUCUAUCUGUUAGGGUUUCACUUCUUCUGCUCUAACACUUUUUUUUUUUCUGGUUUGGAUCCAACUAAGUAUAUAUAAGAGAGUAAAUUUGACAAUUAGUUACUUUAAAAUUCCUCCAAUCACAACAAGUUAUCUCGACUAUUCUGCCAUGUUUAUCCCUCCCAUAUAUGUGUAUAUACAUAAAUAUAUAUAAUAGAUAUGAAGGUACGAGUUUCUAGUGUCUAUAAAUUAAGAAGGCUAAGUCUACACCAUUUAGAUGAUAUAUGUUAAGUCGUGAGUUUGAGUUUGAGUUUGAGAGACAAAAGAUCACCACAUGAAGAUGGAAGACUAAUUUCCGGAGCCACGGUCGCUGUUUGCUGCUGUGGCAUCAUCAAGAUUCACAUCUGUUGAUGGACGGUGGUGAUUCGCUCUCCCCAAAGUUCUCUAUGAAAAUGAGAAUCUUGAUGAUGCUGCAUCGGCAAUCAACGGCUAUUCUUUUUCUCUCCCUCUCUAUAUAGAUUCUUUGGAUUCUAUCCAGAUCUUCAGGUAGGUUUGUUUCUACUUGAUUUUUUUUUUCAUUUUUUUUUUACCUUUAUAUUAACCUAUACUCCCGUUUAUUUUUAUUUUUAUUUGUUAAUAUAAAUAAAGAUCUGACAAAGAACUUUUGUGGGUAUCUUGUCUCAUGUGAUAACAUUGAGCAUUUGAUCUAGGAUCUCAGGUUUUUUGCAGUCUUUAUCAAGACAUUAAUGGAUCCACAAGCUUUUCUUUCAAUAAGUGAACAAGAGUCACAGCAUCAAGAUUAGUAAGGUGAGAGAGACAACAACAACAUCAUCAAAGGAUCUACUUAAGGUAAUUAAUAUAUGUGCCUUAUUUCUUAUGUUGCCAAUCCCAGCUUGCAUUUCCAAAACAACACAAUAAUAUUCUUUUGUUUUGUUGGAAAUUAAAAAAAACGGAUAUUGUAUAUGGAAGUUGAGAUAAUAUAAUGGGUCUAUAUGGAACUAUUGAUAUCUAGCAAAGAAAACGUUUUCAAGACACACUGUCAGUUCUUUUUUCUUUGUUGGUUGUUGUUGGCUAUUACAUUCAAAUUGAGAAUCAAUCAAGAACUUGUUGGUGGACCUUACACAUUGUAGACUCUGCAUAUUUAGUCCCACCUAUUUGUGUCCCCUCUAUUUACAUAUUUAGAUGUCCUUAUAACUAAUGGAACAAUGAAGCAAAUGUACUCUCUUUUUCUCUUAUUCUGUAAAAAGGUAAGAAAAAUUCUAUAUCAUCAUAUAUACCAGAUUGUGAACAAAACCAAUCCAUAGUUCUGAGUUUCUUGUUUUGUUUGUCAGCACAACAUACCAUAUAUGUUUCCAAAUCAAAUUUUAAAUAUAUUUUUUGGUUAUGUCUUGUAGUACAUCUUAUUAUAUGUGUUUAGAAAUGUCUUGUUUGUUAUGGAGAUGUGUGUGUGUGUGUGUCUAAAUUACUUUCCAUCCACUGAUCCACAUAUAAUUUAGUUAUUCUAGAAAUAAAUCAUAUCUUUUGAUCAUAGCUUCCACUAUAAAUCGAAUGGUUUUGAGCAAUGCCUUGGAUGACCUAAACUUCGUCUAUAAGUGGAAACCAAAUCAUUCUAUCAGUACCAAUAUAGCAAGUUGGCAACUAUUUUCAUAUCAUGAUGAUGUUUUGAUAAUCCCGUGAAUCACGAUUUUGCAUAUAUUUUCCAGUAUUUGUCAAACGGAAUUGUUGUUUUACAGAUAUCUUCAAUCCAGCUUCUUGACUCUAGAAAGCUAGAAGAUGGGCUACAUAUUCGCUUUGAUUCUAGAUAUUAUUUUUUCUAGUUCUUUUUUUUUUGCUAAAGAUAUAUAUAUUUCUUUUCUAGUUCCUCUCUUAAAUUACUUUCAAAACAAACUUUAAUUUAAAGAUGCAUCUAAUGUACAAAGAUUUUUUGAUUGAAUAAAUUUUACAUUCACCAAAAAAAAAAUUGUUGUGUUACGAAAAUUAGUACCUCAAUUAAUAUAUUGCUUAAUCACGGAAGCGGUACCAUUAUUUAUCUUUCUUAUCUCUUAUCUCUAAAUAUUCUACUAUUGCUUAUUGCUCUAUCUUUUUCACUAAAUGUUUUACCGAUUUGUGUCACCAAAUGAACUCUUUAUGUUCUAAUCGGAAGAAUUUAAUAUGUGCAUAGUUUGUGUUCUGAUUAUCUCUGUAUUUAUCGAAAUAGCUAGUGUGCUGUUUCAUCACUUUUAUAUAUAAAUGCAAAACAAAACAAAACAAAAAAGCAUUAGAAUCUUUGCGUAUAAUGGAUCUGACAAAAUGAGAUGGUAAUAUUAGCUUGAGGGGAUGAAUAUGUGUGUGUGGUCCAUUUACAUUGAAAUCAGACGCAACGCUGAGUAUGUAUGUAAGGACCAUUUCUUUAUAGUUGUAUCUAUUAUUCCCAAUUUUCUCAAACUAUAAGCUUUUAAUGUGUUUGUAUUACUAAUAUGACUCAGUUUACUAUUUAUAGGUUUAGACGAUAUCUUCUUUCAAGUAUUAAUAAACCAGCUGAAAAUGCUGAAUAUUAAUAAGUUGAAUAAAAAUGAGUUGAAAAAUAAAAGAAAAAUGAAGCUGAACAAUAACAAGUUGAAUACUCGUUCAGUUCAUUCAUCUCAUAGUUUAAGACUGAACAAAUUUCAGUUGAAAAUGCUAAUUUUCCAACUUUUUUGUAGACCCCACAAAUUUAUGGCUGGAAACUAUUUUAAUAUAAAUGGUGAUUUUUUGGCUGAACACAGUUAAAAGGUAUAUUCAGCUCUUUCAACUUCGAAAUAGUGUCAUCCAUUUUCACCAUUUGUAUGGCGAAGUGAUAUUUACAUUUUUUUUUUUAUCAAAUUUCAAACAGUUUGCUACAAAUAUAGAAUUCAGUGUCACAUUUUUACCCCUAUCAAUAGAAUUGAUGAGACAGUUUAUCUUUCAUAUAGAAAAAUAUAUUUCCCUGACUACAAACUCUUUUUAUUUUGUCUUUCUCACUCAGAAUUUUCUAAAUAUAGUUUCUCUUUCUAUUUAUAGCUCUCACACCAAUGCAUUUGGAUAAUAGAUAUGCUCGACCCAAAUUCAGAAGUAGAGUUACAAAAAAGUUAUGAAAGAUAAGAAGAAAUUAUCAUCCACUUUUAAAAUUUAUUUCACGCAUAUGCCUUAUCAAUAUUUUAGUAGCACCAACUAGCCGAAGUCAAUGAGUGAGCAUUACAAAAAGUGUAUAUAUAUAUUUUUCCUCUAUAACAAAAAGUAUUAUUUUUUUGUUGAAACAUUGUAAAAUUGUUGCAUAUUCAAUAAUUAUUCCAUAAUAUUAAAUUUAUACACUUUCUCGGCUAAACUGAAAUAUAAAACGUUAAACUAAUAAUUUCAAUAUAACAUGACAUUCAGUUUUAUCAACAAAAAAAAAAACAAGACACUAAGGUGUAUUAUGUCUAUGAACUAACAAUAAUAAGAAAAGGUGUGUAUAUAUAUUAUUAACAUGUGUGUAUGAAUAUAUGUUUUAUAUGACAUAACAUAAUGUUAACAUACGAACCAAAAACGUUUUCAGCAAGCAGUUAGUUACAAGGUGUGCCCAUCAAGCACUGUGUGAAGAUCAUUGGGAUGCUGCAUUACACAUUGUUUGAUAUCUCGAAGAUAGCCCUGGUCAACAAUGUAUUCUUCUACAUGCUAAUACUAAUUUCCGAAUCUUUGGUUGGUGUAAUAGCGAAUGGGCAAAUUGCUCAAUCACUCGGAAAUGAGUCACUGAUUAUUUUUUCAACUUGGUGAGUCGUGGAAAAGGAGAAAACAGUCCAUAAUAAUCAUGUUUUCCGCAGAAGAAUAGCGUGCAAUAUCGUUUCUAACUAAAGAUACGAGAUGGAUUAAGAAAGUUCUCUUUGAUUUUGGUGUCUCUCAUGAUCUUCCAAUGUUGGUUCAUUGUGAUAGUAAAUAUACAAUUCAUAUUGCCACGGGCCCUGUUUUUCAUAAGAAACCAAAACACAUCGAAAACGAUUGUCACUUCAUAUGAGAUGAGAUACAAGAUGAAAACAUUGAAACAGUACAUUUUGACAGUCGUUCAUAACUUGUAGACAUAUUUACCAACAACUUGGAAAACAAGCAUUUGAGGACUUUCAAGUUAAGCUGGCAUUUCCGAUCUCCAUGCUCCAACUUGAGGGAGAGUCUUGAAAUAUCAAACCCAAUGAACUUCACCGCAGCAGCACAACGUAUUAAGCCACAUGAUUCAUCGUAUCAAUCUCAUCAAAUCCCUCUUUACUCUUUCCAAUUCAUCUCCUUCUUUCUUGUAAUUAUACGAUCUUGCAUAUCUCCUCAUAUAAUUAGGUAUCUUCUCUAGUUAAUGUUGAUUGAUUGUGCUCUUCUCCUCCAAUCUAGAUGAUUAUAUAUAAUCGUUGGCCUUGUGCCCAUGAAUAUGAUCGAGAAAUUCUAAGCGCUUCUUUUUACAUUAACAAAUUUCAUAAAAUUUACAAAACACAAAAUCAAUUUAGUGGUGAAUUUUACAUAUAAAUCUACUAAACGCUGCAAAUAAAUCUUUGAAAACUAACAUACAUAGUCACUUUAAAAUGAUUUAAAAAAAAAAAUUAUCUAGGAAAACAUGAAUUUUAAAUAAACGUAGUUUUUUCAAAGUUUGCAAUUUAGGGGGAAUUUUUUUUUUUUUUUUUUGAAACCAUAUGACAAUCGAAUUUUAUGUUCUCUUCACAUUAAUUGCAUCUUCUGAUCUCAAAUAUAUAUUUAUGCUUUAAAUGAAAAUAACUUUGUCUCUACUUGUAAAGGUAUUUAAAUAAUUUGGAGUUAAAUCAGUUUUGAGAUAUAGAGGGUUUCAACUUUCAAUAUAUUUUUGUGCGAUUUAAGGUUUCAGUAGUUUAACGUGUCAAUGAAAAUUUCUUUGAAAAUUCGUCGAUAAUUCAAAAAAUUAGAUGCAUAUGUGUGAUUUUCUAACCAUGGAUAGGGUCCAAUGAUAUUUUUUAUUCUCUCUAGAAUAUUGAUUUUUUUUGUCAUUUUUGUUCGUUAUUUUUGCUUUUAGGAGUCUUGCAUGUUUUGUAGAGUCUUUGAAUCAAUUUCAGGUACAACACAAGAAUGAACGGAGAUUAGAUGACAUUUGAGCUUUAGACAGGCGAAACAGAGCAUGAGCAGAAGAGAGAUGGAGAAGACAUGUUUUUAAAGCUCACAAAAUCUUUGACAAAAAAUAAAAAAUAAAGCUCACAGAAAUUGCAUCGACUUUAUGCAUUGAGCUCAAAUAGGUCAAUGUAGGAAAAUUCAGAAUUUUCAGAAGCUACAUUAACGUCAUGAUUCAUUGAUCUCAAAUAUCUCAAUGCAGAGCAAUUUUCUUACAAGUUUAACCUUAAAAAGUAUAUAUAAUACAUGUUAUUAUGUUAACUUCUUUUUCAAAGACAAUUUAUUUUGUUUGCAAAAUUUAAGAAUUAAAGUUGGUGUUUGUUAUGUAAAAUUAGAAUGGUUAAAAUUUAUUUGAAUCCCGAGAUAUCAAAACCAAGUUCUGUAGGAGUAGGUGCACUAAAAUAUUUUAAUUAUAAAUAAUGCUAUAUAUAUCUCUGCAAUAACACAACCGUUUAAUGUACAAAUAAAACUGCAAAUUAAAUUUUAAAUAUUUUAAUGAAUUAUAUUGUACAAAUAAAGUAGCAAUUAUGUUAUUCAUAAGUUAUAGAUUUUCGGUUUCAAAUUAAAGUUUUAUAAUAUAUGAAAGAAUUUGUUGGUGUUGAAAUGAAUAUAUUAUAUGAUUAUAUUGUUUAAUUUUCAAUUGAAAAACACAAUGCAUUUAAUAUAAUUUUUUUUUUUUAUAGACGCUUUCUUGUUUAAAUAUUUGAGAUAUUUAAUUUUGGUAAUAUUAGUUAACAAGAAUAAAUAGUAUAUAGAAUUAAAAAUAUUUGAAAAGAUAUAUAGUAAAAUUAAAUAAUAAUAAUAAAAAAAUUGUGAACUUUUUUUUUUUUGGUAAGGAGAGGGGAGACAAUGUCUCCCCAAAUUUAUUCAAACUAAAAAUAAAAAUUACAACCGUAUAUUUCGCGGUUUUGUAGACCCGCUAACAUCCUCUAACAUAGUAGAAUUCACACAAUCCGGCGGUAAGUCGAACAUAUGAAAGCCCAAUGGUAGAGAGACCGCAUAGUUCGCUAAUCCAUCCGCCAGACGAUUAGCCUCCCUAUACACAUGGUUGACACGGACUGUUCAGUCCUUUGAUAAAAAGCCAUAGCACAAACGUACUAGGAACGAUAUGUGAAUCGACCUCCAACUCUACACGCGUUGCCCGACGCUCCCACGCAAUAUAAAGUCCGUAAUAGACUCCCCAUAAUUCGGCUACCGGUGCUGAACAAUAUCCAAGAUUUACUGCAAAACCGCCACACCAAUUCCCCAAAUUAUCUCUCAAAAAACCACCCGCUGAUGCUAAACCGGGAUUUCCACGUGAGGCUCCAUCCGUAUUUAGUUUCAGCCACCCAUCACUAGGCAUGACCCAGCCAAUAAGUCUCUCAACCCGCCUCCCACUGCUCGUCUCUCCGCUUAGAUUUGAGUGAGAUUGUGUCACCUCCUGCGCCAAGUCUUUAAUGAACUUCACCUUAUCCCGACAUCUCCCAUUUGUCCCAAAAAUGUUUCUACAACGCCACUUCCAACUCCACCAUACCGCCAUCGCGAAAACAGUAGCCCAUUGACUCUCAACCAUUAUAUUCUCAUCGCAUAGAUUCCCAUACAACCACUCAAGUAGUGAUUGUGAAAGGAACCCUCUCAGCCGCCGCGCAGGGACUAUUCUCCUCCAAAUCCCUUCCAUUGCGGGACAAUCCUGUAGAAUAUGAAUGAUAGACUCGUCUCCUCCUCUACAUAUUUGACAAAUGGUGCUGUCCCCAAGAUGUCUACGGUGCCUCUCCAUAUUUGUCAUCACAGCUUGGUUUGCUACUAACCAUAAAAACAGUCUGACUCUCUCCGGUGCUACCACUUGCCACACUUUUUUGAAAAAACAGUCCAUCCUCUGUUUUGGAGCCUCAUCGCAAGUCAAGAAGGCAUGAGCUGACUUAACGGUGAAUUCUCCAUCUGCACUACCCCACGACAGUCUACUUUUGCUCUAGUAACAUCAUCUAACACAACAGCUGCUAGUUUUAGUCUUGUAAUUCCCGUAACAUAUGGUACAAUCUGUGACAAGUUCCAUCCCAUCCCAUUAGUCCAGAGAUCUCUAGCCCGCAACUCUGUGAAUUCCCCAGGCAGAUCCAUGAUUAGAAAGUCUAGAAACGGCUUGUUAUGUAACCAUUUAUCAAUCCAAAAGCGAAUUGUUCUCCCAUCCCCGAGAACCCAAUUCACUCCUGGUGCUACCACCUCUCGCAGGCCAACACUAACACUCCUCCAAGUUGCUGAACAAUUUCCUUUUGCCAACAUCCACUUAUGAUCAUGGAUAUCCCCAACCUUGUAUUUUCUCCUUAGUACUUGUGCCCAAAGGCUCGUACCAUCCUUGAUUAAUCUCCAACCAACUUAGAAACUAGAGCUUUAUUCAUGUCUUUUGCGGCUCUAAUUCCUAAUCCACCCUCCGGUUUCGGUUUGCAAAUUCUCUUCCAAGCAAUCAAGUGUUGUUUCCUUUUUUCUUCGUGCUGCCCCAUAAAAAGUCCCUUGAUACCCUGUCUAACCGAUCCAAACUACUCUUUGGUAAGGAAAUGACACUCAUUGUGUGAACCGGGAUAGAAGAGAGUACUGAUUUUGUGAGUGUAAGUCUUCCAGCCAUACUCAGAAAUCUUCCCUUCCAACCCGCUAAGCGUGAUGUAACCCUCUCUAUUACUUCACUAAACAACAACUGGAGCAGCUAGCUAUCAAUUAUUAUCAGCGACUGUACUCUAUGCAGGAUGUUGAUGAGGUUGUGGAGAAGCUGCCCGUUAAUGGUUUUGUGAGACUGAUUCAGGAAGAGGAAGCGGGUUUGAACAAAGCUUUCACGGCCCAAGAGGUUGAGGCUUCAAUAAGGAGCAUGGGAAAAUACAAAGCCCCGGGGCCAGAUGGUUUACAACCGGUGUUCUACCAGCAUUGUUGGGACGUUGUGGGGAAUUCAGUUGUCAGCUUUGUAUUGGAUUUUUUUGAAACAGGGACAUUGCCACCGGAUAUGAACGCUGCAUUGGUUUUUCUCAUCGCCAAAGUGGCAAAGCCAGAAAGGAUAAUACAAUUCAGGCCAAUUAGUCUUUGUAAUGUAUUAUUUAAAAUCAUUACGAAGACUAUGGUAACUCGGCUUAAAGGAGUGAUAUCUAAGUUGAUAGGUCCAGCCCAGGCCAGUUUUAUACCAGGAAGAUUAAGCACGGAUAACAUCGUGGUUGUGCAAGAAGCGGUCCACUCUAUGUGGAAGAAGAAAGGUAGAAAAGGGUGGAUGUUACUGAAGCUUGAUUUGGAAAAAGCUUACGACCGAAUAAGAUGGGACUUUUUAGAAGAUACUCUCACGGCUGCGGGUCUUCCGAAUAAGUGGGUGAGUUGGAUAAUGACUUGUGUCACGGGCCCUUCAAUGCAAAUUCUAUGGAAUGGAGAAAAGACAGAACAAUUUACGCCAUCACGCGGGAUCCGACAAGAGAACCCGCUAUCGCCAUACUUGUUUGUACUUUGUCUUGUGAGAUUGUGUCAUCUCAUCGAUGUCUCAGUUACUGGGAAAAAUUGGAAGCCGAUAUCUAUAUCGCAAGGAGGGCCGAAGUUGUCACAUAUCUGUUUUGCAGAUGUUCUCCUCUUCGCAGAGGCUUCUGUGGCCCAAAUACGAGUGAUAAGGAGAGUACUUGAAAGGUUUUGUGUCGCUUCAGGGCAAAAAGUGAGCUUGGAAAAGUCAAAAAUAUUUUUCUCGGAGAACGUUCACAGGGACUUGGCCGAGCAGAUCAGUGAUGAGAGCGGGAUCAAAUCGACGAAAGAGUUGGGAAAAUACUCCACAAACGGAUUAACAAAAAUUGUGAACUUGACACAUAAACAUCAAUGACUUUCUUUAAUAUAUCACUUUUACAAUCAAACUUUUGUGAUCAAAUUUUUAAAAAAGUCAUCUCGUGUAUGCAUGGUACCAAUUACCAAAUAGAACCUAGUAAAAAUAAAAAAAUAAAAAGUUAAGAUAUGUUUAAUAUUAUUGAAUAGCCAAAUAAAACACUGAAAUUAAAAAAAUAGCAGAGAAAAAGUUUUUUGUUGCAAAAUAGUCAUGGUCCCACGUUGUCAGAUGAAGUGAAAUACCAAAACUAUCCUUUGUUUGUUGCGAGAUCAACGAUAUGCGAGACAGUUUCGUGAGAUUUUUUAAAAUAGCAUGUAACAUUUAAAUUUCACAUGUUAUAUUUAACUAAAAGACAUGAUAUUUCAAAAAACAUAGUGAAUUUUUAAGAAAAAACAUUGUUACGUAGUGUUUUUUAAGAAAAAACAUUGUUCUGGAAAAUUUAAUCUGAAUAGAAUAUUUUUAAAAAGAAAUCACAUGUAAUCUUAAAAAAAAUCGUGUAUUACUAAAAAAUAAUCAUCUUUUUUAAAAAGAAAUCAUGUGAUCUUAAUAAAACUCGUAUAUUAUUUCAAAAUAACAUGAUAAAGAGAGAUAUUAAACUGAAUAGAAUGUUUUUUUCAAAAAAUACCGUGUGUUCUUUAUAAAUAACGUGUAUUACAAGAAAGAUACAUGAUAAAAAAAGAUAUAUUAUGCUAUCACAUGUAAUUCGAAAAAAAAAAACGUGUUACAAAUGACAUUUACGUAACUACACAUGUAUUCCGACAUAUUACCGAUAUGUUACUGUAGUUCAUGGUUUGUUUGUAUAUUCUCUUUGAAUCUAUGGUUAAUUUGUAUAAAUUCCCUUUAAUAUAUAUUUUUUAAGAUAUGUUAAUUCUUUGUUAUCGCUCUCAACAGGACUGGGAUGGAUUGAGAUUUUUUAGAAACAGAAAUAUCUUUUAGUUGAAAAGUCGAAACCAAUUCUAAACUAGAAAUUUCAACUUAUAUCUGUAUAUUAAUUUAGUAAGGUAGAUUUUCUAACAGAAUUUUUUAAUAGAUAGAUAGAAUUAUAAAUUGUGACAGGUCAACCUUGUUUGUCACUCGAAAUUGCCAAAAAAAUGGGACCAAUAACAUCAACAUUUUGCACACUUACAAAAUUACAAUCCAUUAACACAUCCCUAUUUUAUUGUUGAAAAGCAAGCAACAAACCAAUCAUUUUUCGUUUUUUUCCAGUUGAAAAGUAGAAACCAAAUUUCCAAAUCAGAAAGUUCAACAGUCAAAUUUUUUUAUUUUAUUGUUUGAUAACUUCAGCAGUCAAAUUUUGAAUGGCAAUUUCGAGGAAACUAUCGUACAUUUAAAAAAAAAAAAAACAAUCGUACAUGCUCCAUGAUAAUAUGUUAUUUAAUGUUAUAUCUGGAACAAAACAAAACACAAAACAAAAGCAAAUAAUAAAAAUGAAAUAUUCUCCUGCGUGCAAGCUCCUGUUCUUGAUUCUAACUAUAACUUGUAAGAUCGAAACACAAGUGAAGUGCAUGAAGUUCAAUUUCUCUAAGUUUAACGGUGAUUCGAACUUGUAUCUAAACUACUCCGACAUUGCUUUUGAAGCACUCCAAGUGACUCCUGAAGCUCGUGGUGCUCCUAUCACGAACCUCUCGGGACGCACGGUCUACAAGGACCGUUUCAGGCUAUGGAGAAAAGGCAAGAAAUCUACUUUUAACACCACUUUCGUUAUUAACAUCAAGAACCAAACCGAAUUUGGAGGCGAAGGCUUAGCCUUUGUUCUCACACCUGAGAAGAACGUCCCUCAAAACAGCUCGGGUAUGUGGCUCGGCUUGAUGAACGAAAGGACAAAUGGGACUCGCGAGUCGAGGAUUGUUGCGGUUGAGUUCGACACAAGGAAGAACCAUCCUGAUGAUCUUGAUGGAAACCAUGUGGCUCUAAAUGUGAACAACAUAAAUUCGGUUGUUCAAGAAUCGUUGAGCAGUCGAGGGAUCACGAUCAAUUCCAGUAUUGAUUUUACCGCACAUGUACGGUAUGAUGGUAAGAAUCUUUCGGUAUAUGUCUCAAGAAACCCGGAGGUACAUGAUCAGCGAAACUUGGUGUUUUCUUGGCCUAUAGAUCUAUCAGCCUAUCUUCCAGAGAAUGUUUACAUUGGAUUUACGGCUUCAACAAGCGAUUUUACGCAACUGAAUUGUGUGAAAUCAUGGAGUUUUGAAGGUUUAGAGGUCGAUGGAGAUAGAAAUAUAUGGUUGUGGUCCUUGUGGAUCAUUACCCCUACUGUGUGUGCUGUUGUAAUAGGAGCUUUCUUAUGUGGACUAUACUUAAGAUCUAGGUCAAAGGCUGGGGAAACAAAUCCGGAUAUAGAAGCUGAGCUAGAUAAUUGCGGUGCACACCCGCAGAAGUUCAAGCUAAGAGAGCUGAAGAGAGCAACGGGAAACUUCAGCGGGGAGAACAAACUCGGGCAAGGCGGGUUUGGGAUGGUGUUUAAGGGGAAGUGGGAGGGUAGAGAUAUAGCUGUGAAACGAGUUUCCGAGAAAUCGCGUCAAGGGAAGCAAGAGUUCAUAUCCGAGAUCAAAACGAUCGGUAAUCUGAAUCAUAGGAACUUGGUGAAGUUAUUGGGAUGGUGCUACGAGAGAAAGGAGUUUCUUCUGGUUUACGAGUACAUGCCGAACGGAAGCUUGGACAGAUAUGUUUUCGUGGAAGACAAGUCAAGUUCAAACCUAAAAUGGGAGACAAGGAAACACAUUAUAAGAGGGAUAUCUCAAGCUUUGGAGUAUCUUCACAAUGGAUGUGAGAAGAGGAUACUUCAUAGAGACAUAAAAGCAAGCAACGUAAUGCUGGACUCGGAUUUCAACGCAAAGCUUGGCGAUUUCGGGCUUGCGAGGAUGAUUCAGCAAAGCGAAAUGACACACCAUUCGACAAACGAGAUUGCUGGAACACCGGGAUACAUGGCUCCCGAGACUUUUCUCAACGGGAGAGCUACGGUUGAAACGGAUGUGUAUGCAUUCGGAGUUCUAAUGCUCGAAGUAGUCUCCGGGAAGAAACCGAGUUAUGUCUUGGUUAAGGAGAACGAGAGCAAUUACAAGAAUAGCAUUGUGAAUUGGCUAUGGGAGCUAUACAGAAAUGGAACCAUAAUGGAUGCUGCGGAUCCAAGAAUGGGAAGUUUGUUUGAUGAAGAAGAGAUGAAAAGCGUUUUGCUCUUAGGACUCGCUUGUUGCCACCCAAAUCCGAACCUAAGACCUUCCAUGAAAACUGUUUUGAAGGUCUUGACGGGUGAAACUAGCCCACCCAAUGUGCCUACAGAGAGACCGGCUUUCGUAUGGCCAGUAAUGCCUCCAUCUUUUGGUGUUGUUGACUACUCUCUUACAGGGAGCCAGGACAUUACCGAGCUUACUGGCCGAUAAUAUCAAUAUGUGUGUUCUCCAAGAAAUACUUUGAGAUUUGGGGUUGCUUCGAUAUAUGCUACUUAUAUUUUCUCUAUGUACAUAGAAAUAGAAGGAUAUGAAUGUUAGGUUAUAUCUAUUGGCCCUUGUUUGUAUAAUAUUUCUUAAGUUUUAGCCCAUACGUAUACUUUAAUAUUUGUGUAAAUGUUUAAGAAAGAAUAAGAAAGAAAGCAUCUUCUUUUUUUUUACAUCUUUGGAUCGACAAGACCCGAUCCAUAGCCAAUCCCUAUUACGCGGGGUAACCCGAAUUAGUGGAAUCGAACUCCGGUGGGGAAGACGAAGUCAAAUGGACUUAACCACUUGACUAAAGGCACAUCCCCCAUCUUCUAUAAGUAUCAUCAUUUGUUAUUAUUAAACCUAAGAGUGUGUUUUCUCUUCUUGUUACAACUUUUGGUCAUUCGCUUUAAAUACAAUUGGAUUAUGGUUAAAUAAUAUUUCGGUUCAAUUAUAUUUAUUCAACCGGUUUGUUCCGGGUUAAUAGGUCCAUAAUAGAAAUAUUAUUUAACCAUAAUCUAAUAUCCAACUAAAUAUGUAUAUUUCUCAGUGUUCAAGAAAGCGCUAGGCGUUAAGCGAGCGGUGACCCAAUGCCUAGCGCCUAGAACGCCUAAUCGGAGCCUAGGCGAUUUUUUAGGCGGUUUAGACGUUUAUAACAUAAAACAUAAUAAAUAUGAUAUCAUAUAUAAAAGUUAUAUAAAAUAUCUAAUAAAACUAAAAAUUAUGAAAUUAUAAACAAAAACUAGAUAAAAAAUUUAAUUAUAUUUAUAUUCAAACAAUAUAUGAAUAUUUAUAACUAUAUAUAUAAUUAAAACUCUAAUUAAAAUUGAAAAAAUACAUUAAACAAGAUCUAUGUAAUUUUAGGCGGUCAAGGCGGUUAUCUAGGCGUCGCAUGAGAGCCUAGCGCCUAGUCGGGGCCUAGGCGACCGCCUAGACCGCUUUUUAGAACACUGAUAUUUCUACAAUUCUUUUGAAAUCACAAAAUUGAGUCAACAUUUACUUUUUAUGAACUUAUCUUUUCCACCCCACCCCAAAAGUAAAAUUGAAUGGUUUACUAUCCAUAACUUUUGUAAUCUCUUUAAUUUAACGACAGCAAUAUUUUUAAAACUAGAAAAUAUAUAUAUAUAUAUAUAUAUAUAUAUAUAUAUAUUAUUUUUUCGCCAAACACCAUUUUAUUAAGUUAUCGGACGGUGGAAGCUUUCCUCAAUUAGGAACCUAUUCGGAGCAGAUGUGUUUACAUCGAAAAACAUAUUUUCUUAUAUAAUAAAUCACAAGUCAAUUCACAAAAAACUGCAACCCUCUCCAUUUGACACGUGGCGUAAAUCUCAAAUUUUAGUCUUUCACUUUUUUAAACAUAAACCUAAUUAUUGGAGAAGAAAAAAAAAUCAAUUAAAAAAAAGAUGAAUAAAAAAAAAAAUAGUUUCUUCAACUGCUCCACGAUCUCUUCGCCCAUGAUCUCUUCUUCCUGCAACUAAUAUAAUUCUCACUUCAUAAAAAAUCAAACUAAAUCCUCUAUUUGUUUCGUCUUCCCAUCAAAAGCCAAAAAUUCAAUAAUCUAGAUCCACAGAGAAAACGAAAGAGGCGAGAUUGAAUCGAAAGAAAAGGAAAGAAAUGAAAUUGUUGGCGAAAAUGUAUGAUUCUUCACUUUAGAGGAACCUAAAUUAUGAUCCAGAUAACGUGGGUGUUGGUGUCGGAUCCCGCACCAGAAGUACGAGACCAACCAAAGAUUGCCACGUGAUCAAGAUAAUGGCCCAUAAAGGAUGAAGCCCAUUGGACCCGUGAGCCGAAGGGACGGUCGAAGUGGUUGUCACCAUUUCGAGAAUCCGAAGUGACUACACUGUGACACGAAUUCGGUGUAGAAGACACGGGUAAGUCGGUUCACGAACACUUGGGCCGAAAGAGGCGAGGCCCAUGAAGAUCAGAGUCAACUCAAAUUCAAACAUUGAGCAUUAAAGCCGAAGAAUCAAAACGGACACAUUUAAGAAGAAAUAAUUGUGCUUAAUUACUCAUUUUAAUGUCGUUUAUCGGUGUAUAAAUAUAGAGGCCGAUGGCCAUGUAAAGGGGAUCUUCCUCUGGAGAGAAAAAUAAUAUAGCAAUUUUCGUAUCAAUUUAUAAGUUUUCAUAUAUUCAUUUUUGUCCCCCAAGAAUAAACUUUCCCACCUAACAAAAAUACUUGAGUGUGUGAAUCCGACAUCCACAUUUUGGCGCCGUCUGUGGGGAUAUUUGGAUUCUUGGGUGGUUAGAUUUCUUCUUUUCUACAUUUCCGAGAUAAACAACAAUGUCCGGAGGAGACGCCGUUGAGACAUCAUUGGCCGAAACCCUCAAAGCUAUGCAGCAAACCAUGUCGGACAUAUCACAAAAGUUCUCGGAUGUGGAGAGGGCCGUCGAUACAUUGCAAACAUCCCAGGUAUCUCUUAGUCAAAACGUCAAUAAUAUACAAACUCGUGUUCGCUCUUUAAGUGCAGGAAACCCGGUGGGAACCCGAAGAGGGAUAUUCAACUCGCCAAGUUCCGCUGCACGAAAUGAAACCAGCGGGCAAACAACUCCCGGUGCUACUAAUAAUGUAGCUCAGACGUCGGAAGAAGAGACGCAGCUCGAGGAUGAAGAACAACUUGCAGCUCAGUACGAGCAGGAGAACCUCAACCAGUUCGAGACCAUGAGGAAGGUUAGCCAGGAAUUAAAGGAAAUGAAAUCAAAAUUUCAUCAGGCUACAAGUUCGGAGCCAGACAUCAAUCGAGUCAUUGAAGAAGCUAGGCGAACCCCUUUUAUCCCGCGAAUUGCAAGUUUGAGGAUCAAAGAUUCCCGGAAGCUCAAGUUGGACCCUUACAGCGGAUUGGAGGAUCCAAAAAGCUAUCUUGCAGCCUUUCUGAUCGCUGCAGGAAGAGUCGAGUUGGAUGAAGCUGAUGAGGACGCAGGCUAUUGCAAGCUGUUUUCGGAAAAUCUAUGUGGCCAAGCUCUAAUGUGGUUCACCCAAUUAGAGCCGAGUUCGAUCAGCAAUUUCGACGAACUAUCAGCCGUAUUCUUAAAGCAAUACUCUAUCCUUAUGGAUAAAAGCAUCUCGGAUGCCGAUCUUUGGAACUUAACGCAAGGAUCUAAUGAGUCACUUCGAGUUUUCAUCACCAAAUUCAAAGGAGUGCUGUCAAAACUCCCAAGAAUCUCCCAGCAAUCGGCUUUAUCCGCCCUACGAAAAGGAUUGCGACAUGAUUCAAGGUUUAAAGAAGACUUAAUACUUCAUAAACCAGACACAAUUCAGGAUGCACUCUUCCGCGCAAACAAUUGGAUGGAGGUAGAAGACAAAAAAGAAAGUUUUGCCAAACGGAAUAAACAAGAAAAGACGGCAAUCACCGUCCCUACCAAGAAGUUCGAGCCUAAAGAGAGCAAAGGACCAAGGAAGUUUGGGUCGCAACCCUUCAACAAUUCCGUCGGGAAGCAAUUCCAAGGGAAAGGAAGAUCAAACACUUGGGUCCGUGAUGAAAGUCUAUAUUGCGACAUUCAUAAAGUAACCGGACAUUUAACCAAGGAUUGCAGCGUUCUUAAAAAGCACCUCGCAGAGCUUUGGGCUAGUGGCGAUCUUUCUAAAUUCGAUAUAAAAGACUUUGUGAAGGAAUACCAUGAAGCAAAGGAAAACUCCAAAGAUCAAGAUUCCAAAAGACCAAGGUUAUCCAACGAGGAAGAACCAAGGAGUUCGAAGGGGAAGAUCAAUGUGAUUCUAGGAGGUUCCAGAUUUUGCGGAGAUUCAAUAAGUUCCAUCAAAAAACAUAGACGAAAUGUCUUACUCAAAGCAAGUUUGAGCGAAGAAGUUGAUUUUCAAGGUGCUUCAAUAUCAUUUAACGAAGAAGAAACGCGGCAUCUCGAAAGACCGCAUGACGAUGCUCUAGUCAUUACUCUUGAUGUCGCAAACUUCGAAGUAUCAAGGAUCCUUAUAGAUACAGGCAGUUCGGUCGACUUGAUCUUUUUAAGUACUCUAGAAAAAAUAGGAAUCAGCCGAGGAGACAUAGUAGGACCUCCGACUCCAUUAGUUGCAUUCACUAGCGAAUCAGCCAUGUCUCUCGGGACAAUCAAGCUACCGGUCCUUGCCAAAAAAGUAUCGAAAAUUGUGGACAUCGUCGUCUUCGAUAAGCCCGCAGCUUACAACAUCAUCCUUGGGACUCCUUGGAUUUAUCGAAUGAAAGCAGUUCCCUCUACAUACCAUCAAUGUAUCAAAUUUCCAACAUCAAAUGGGGUGGAAACAAUUCGGGGAGACCAAGAAGCUUCGCGAACAUGCUACUUAGCUAGCCACCGUAUGAAGAUUCAAUAGCAAUUAACGAAGCCCGCGAAAGAAGGGCAAAAAACAAAGUUUCCUAGUGGGCAGAAGAAAGAGGAUGUAGUAGUCGAAGUGGAACUGGAAGAAGACAAGCCGGACCGGAAAAUUAGAAUUGGAGCAACUUUGACUGGCCAAAUAAAGGAAGCCUUGAUCGAACUCUUAAGGAAAAACAAAGCAUCAUUUGCAUGGUCAGCAGCGGACAUGCCGGGCAUAAAUCCGAGUAUAAUCUGUCAUAAACUGAACGUAGAUCCAAGCUUCAAACCGGUGAAACAAAAAAGAAGAAAGCUUGGAGUGGAGCGGGCAAAAAUAGUAAACGACGAAGUGGAUAAACUUUUGAAGAUAGGGUCCAUAAGAGAAGUGCAAUAUCCGGAGUGGGUAGCAAACACUGUCGUUGUCAAGAAAAAGAAUGGGAAAGAUAGGGUCUGCAUCGACUUUACAGACCUAAAUAAAGCAUGUCCCAAAGAUAGUUUCCCGCUCCCGCAUAUAGAUCGACUUGUAGAAUCCACCGCUGGAAAUGAGCUGUUAACAUUCAUGGACGCCUUCUCGGGUUAUAAUCAGAUAAUGAUGGACCCCGACGAUCAAGAAAAGACGUCAUUUAUCACAGAUAGAGGUAUCUACUGUUACAAGGUAAUGCCUUUUGGUUUGAAAAAUGCAGGAGCGACUUACCAACGGUUGGUGAACAAAAUGUUUCACAAUCACCUCGGGAAGACUAUGGAAGUCUACAUAGAUGAUAUGUUGGUUAAAUCGUUGAAGAAAGAAGAUCAUGUUAAACAUUUGGAAGAAUGUUUUGAUAUUCUCAAUAAAUAUCAAAUGAAGCUGAACCCGGCGAAGUGCACAUUUGGAGUCCCAUCCGGAGAAUUCCUUGGCUAUAUCGUGACAGAAAGAGGGAUUGAAGCCAAUCCAAAUCAAAUUAACGCCUUUCUAAACAUGCCAUCUCCGAGAAACUUCAAAGAAGUACAACGUUUGACUGGGCGGAUUGCGGCCUUGAAUCGUUUUAUCUCGAGGUCAACAGAUAAGUCGUUGCCUUUCUACCAAAUUCUAAAAGGGAACAAAGGAUUUCUUUGGGAUGAGAAGUGUGAAGAAGCUUUUGGGCAGCUUAAGGCAUACUUGACCACUCCACCUAUACUGUCCAAACCGGAAGUGGAUGAAAAACUCUACUUGUACGUUUCAGUUUCAAACCACGCGGUUAGUGGAGUCUUGGUUCGGGAAGACCGUGGGGAGCAGAAACCAAUUUACUACGUGAGCAAGUCAAUGACGGAUCCGGAAACCAGAUACACAAUGAUGGAAAAACUUGCACUCGCAGUAGUAACUUUGGCCCGGAAGCUGCGUCCAUAUUUUCAAUCCCAUCCGGUUGAAGUAUUAACUAACCAACCACUCAGAACAAUACUUCAUAGUCCAAGUCAAUCCGGACGUUUGGCGAAAUGGGCGGUGGAAUUAAGCGAGUACGACAUAGAGUUCAAAAGCCGGAGCAGUAUGAAGGCUCAGGUCUUAGCAGAUUUCCUGACCGAACUACCAAUACCUGGAACGAUGGAUCAACCGGAGAAUCAAACUUGGAAGUUACACGUAGAUGGGUCUUCAACAAAGCAAGGAUCCGGAGUGGGAAUUAGGUUGGAAUCUCCGACUUCAGAAAUUCUAGAACAAUCAUUCCGAUUGUUAUUCAAUGCCUCCAACAACGAGGCAGAAUACGAAGCCCUUAUUGCCGGACUUCGACUAGCACAAGGAGUUGGAGCUAAGGAAAUAUUGGCUUAUUGCGAUUCGCAAUUGGUAGUUAACCAAUUUAAUGGAGACUAUGAAGCCAAAGAUUCAAGAAUGGAAGCAUACCUCGAAGUGGCGAAGGAUCUAUCUAAAAAUUUCUCGAAAUUUGAAUUAAUCCGUAUACCUCGGGGAGAGAAUACAACUGCAGAUGCACUUGCCGCAUUGGCAUCAACAUCAGACCCUGAGUUGAAGAGAGUUAUUCCAGUAGAAUGUAUCUCGGAGCGAAGCAUUCAGGACAGCAAAGAAACCCUCGUUGUUACAAGGUCUCGAGCAGCGGCGCGCGACCGUGGCGAACUAGAGACCGAACCGCCACCCAACAAACGAAGAAAGUCAAAGGGGUCAAACAUAUCUAACAAGGAACCCGUUGUCUUAGCUGAGGAUGUGAUUCCAGAAACAAUAUUGGAAACCGAACCAUUAAUCGAGGAGGAUAUUCUUGAACCAAAUGAACAUCCCGAACCAGAGCCAAGAAUAUUUCACAAAGUUGACCAAAUUCCGGCUAAAGACUGGGGGGCUGACUGGAGGGAGCCAAUAAAGCAUUACAUCACUACAGGCGAGCUCCCAAAGAAUAAAUGGCAGGCCAGGAAAAUGAAAGUCGUUAGCGCAAAAUUUUGUCUGUCAAGGGAUGCGUUAUAUAGACGAGGUGUCAGUGACCCUUACCUAUUGUGCAUUUUUGGGCCCGAAGUCGAGAUCGUCAUGAGCGAAGUGCAUGAAGGAUUAUGUGGGAGUCAUUCAUCAGGAAGAGCUAUGGCUUUUAAAGUUAAAAGAAUGGGUUAUUUUUGGCCCACUAUGAUCACAGAUUGUGUUAAGUUCGCCCAAAGAUGCAAGCGCUGUCAACUCCAUGCACCAUUGAUUCACCAACCGUCGGAAUUGUUUUCCUCCAUUUCCGCCCCAUACCCGUUUAUGAGGUGGUCAAUGGACAUCAUUGGACCAUUGCACAAAUCAACUCGAGGUGUACAGUACCUUCUAGUCCUUACGGACUACUUUUCAAAAUGGAUUGAAGCUGAGGCGUAUGUUGGUAUCAAGGAUUCGGCCGUGAAGACCUUUAUUUGGAAAAACGUUAUAUGUCGGCAUGGAGUUCCAUACGAAAUAGUUACUGAUAAUGGACCAUAAUUCAUUUCACACGAGUUUGAUGCCUUUUGUGCGGACUGGGGAAUCAAAGUUAGUUAUUCUACUCCACGAUAUCCGCAAGGAAACGGACAAGCUGAAGCCGCGAACAAGACAAUAUUAAGCAAUCUCAAGAAACGCUUAAGUCAUCUAAAGGGAGGAUGGUAUGAAGAACUCCAGCCCGUCCUGUGGGCCUAUCGUACAACCCCUAGGCGACCUACAGGAGAAACUCCAUUCUCUUUGGUUUACGGCAUGGAAGCGGUAGUACCAGCCGAACUCAAUGUGCCCGGACUUCGCCGAACAGAAGCACCGUUAAAUGAGGAAGAAAAUUCAGCAAUGCUUAAAGAUUCACUAGAUACCAUAAAUGAGAGGCGUGAUCAAGCUCUAAUUCGGAUCCAGAAUUACCAACAAGCAGCAGCCCGAUAUUACAAUUCUAAAGUUAAAAGUAGGCCGUUCUUUGUGGGAGAUUAUGUAUUAAGGCGCGUCUUUGACAACAAAAAAGAAGAAGGUGCCGGUAAACUCGGUAUUAAUUGGGAAGGACCUUACAUUAUUACCGAGGUGGUUCGAAACGGCGUUUAUAGGUUAAAAGACCUAGAAGACAAUCCAGUCAAGCGACCUUGGAAUGUGAUCAACUUAAAGAAGUUUUAUGUUUAAAAGCUACAUGCAUUGUUUAUGUACAUGAACUACGAUUUGGCUUGAUCCCGAAAUGGGUACGUAGGCAGCUCAAAAACGAGUUCAGCUAUUAAUAAAAUGGUUGUUUUAUUUCUUUAUUAAUAAAAGGUUCGGCUAUGCGAACAUACAAGAGAUUGGAAAUAAAGCGUUUAUUCAAAAAAAGAAGAAACGAAGUGUCCCUCAUCGUACACUUCGAACUACGAAAUCCUCGUUGACGAGCAGAACACUUCAACUCCUUGACCAGCAAGAUCGAGGAUCGGCAUCAUGCAGUCCGGAAUUCGAGCAAAGUCAGAAAUCCCAAGCUCAAUCCACUCUCCGGGGUGAGAUUCAAGGAUGUGAAGACUUCUUGACACUGUAGUAAGCCUGCGUUGCAUCCGGUUAAUCCUCUUCCGAAGUCUCCUCUUUUCUGACGUAAGCUUCCAGUGUUGAAGCUCGAGCGCCUCUAUGAACGCCAUCGCCGUUCCUUGAUCUCUGGUUGGGAGAUCCCUGAUCAAUUCACAGGGGGCUCGGAUCUGAGAUCUCAAGAAGCCGCGAAGUGGAGGAGGAUACCUGUUUGGCUCAUUUGGAACAUCUUCAUUCAUUAUUCCGAUUCUGGAGAAGUCGGGCAUAGACUCCGAACAGCGAAGAUUGAACUCCAUACCUGCUAAAAUGAAAAGAAGGGUGAGAAGUAAAGGGGAAUUGAACCUGUAAUUUAUGGGAACCCCAUAUCCUUAGCAAGCUGCGGAUUCUAUCCAAGGGAUGGAGUGAUUCGCGGAGAGAUUCAUGCCCUCAAACAGAUCCUGCAUUAAAAGGUGCAUCUCCGAGAAUAUUUUAAAAGAGAGGAAAGUUGCAAAUAUUUCCAUAAAUAAAAAGGGCCGAAGCCCAUCACGAGUUUUUUUUUUUUUUUUUAAAAAAAAAAAGAAGAAAGUGAAGAAAUUAAAAAACAUUUAUGGGAGAGGCUCAGGAACAGGCUCCUUCAUCGCCGAUUUAGUUCCCGAAGUGGACGCCUUGUUCGUGACAUCCACUUCGGAACGAUCCCGAACGCGUUUCCGGCAGUUGUUGGCCUCCUCCUCCAAGUCCUCUUCCUCUUCACUGUCGGACGAAACGGCGCAGACAGGGGCGUUCACGGGACCCGGGACUCCUCUAGCGCGGAGAUACAUCCGAAGCAUCUUCGGGAUCUCAGCAACGGAGUCAAAGUUCCGCCACUCCCAUUGAAAGGGAUCACUCUCCAGGGCCCGUAUCUUCCUUUCCACCCGGGCGAUGCGAGCCUCGAGCGUCUGCCUUUUGAGUCCCAGCCGCUGCCUCUCUUCACACAAGCGACGGUGCUUGUCGGCGAUCUAGCAUAAAAAUGGGUGAAUAAGGCAAAACAAAAAGUUUUUAAGUCAAAAAACUUUAAAUAUUUACCUUGUCGAUGAAGUCGCAAGCCUCUUUCUUCUCCUUUGAAGGGAAGUGAAAGACGGCGUGAGGAAAGAGAACGCCAGCCGGUUCAAAUCCGUCGCCGGACAAGAAAAGUGGGCUGCCGGGAGCGAUGGGAGCUACUUCUUCGUUUUCCAUUCUUAAAAUAUUUCUCAAGUGAGAUUCUAUAGUCAUGUUUAAUAAAGCCUAGAGGUAGGUAAGCCUUUAUUUAUAAUGAUUUAGGGUUUGUCUUGGAACCAUAAAUCCAUUAAUGGUAGCGUUUCCGAGUGGGUUAAGCCACUUUUGGAAAAUCGAGAAAAGGCAAUUAUUACAUUAAAAGACGAGCCGUUCUCUUUAAGAAGGGAAAGAGCAACCGUCACAUUAAUUGCAAAAAGUUUCUAAGGCCCAAGCCUGACAAGUUUACCGAGUUGACUAAACCCGAAGCGGGGAACUCGUUUUAAGCCGAGCUCAGCUCUCGCAUUCUAAAGAGAAAGGUCUGAUCAGCCUAAAAAUCUCGAAAGCAUUGCCACAAGGCCACAAAAGGUUAAAAGCGGACUUUGCAAACCCGCAUAUAAUUUUAACCAGACCCCCUUGGGCCACAGCCUAAGAAAGGUUUAAAAGCCUCCUCAGGCAAAUAUUUUGUUCAAAAGAAAAUAAUAAAGCCUCCUUAGGCAAAGACAAGUUUGAAAUUAAGUCUUAAAAAUAAAGGGACAGUCCCCAAUUUAAAGUGGACACAGCCACUACGGAGCAGCAGCCACCUCGGAAUCCGGCUCAACAGUCGAAGCUUCAUUCGCGUCCUUGGCAGCUGCUUGAUCAGAUGAAGCUCCUUGACCACCCUCCGCGGUACAACCAACCUCCGGAGUGACCUCUGGUACCAUUGGAGCUGCGGGCGGGACAACGUUUUCCGUCUCACUUGAACCUAGAAAUAAUGAUUCCAGUCAAUCAAAGGUACAAGGUAAGAAAAAGGUAAGCCACAGGAACCAAGCGUUACCUGCCCAGUCUAAACCCGAUUCACUGAUAGGAGGUGAUUCAGUAAAGAAAGCCUCGAAGUCAAGCGGGUUGAAGAUCGAAGUGGGAAGAGCUGCUAAGCGACUCCGUUUCUCAGAAAGGUUAGUCGACAGCUCGGUCCUUUCUUGCUCCUCGGAGAAAUCAGCUUCAUGGAUUUGGUCCAGCAGAAUCAAGUUGCUUUCGUGCUCCUUGAUGUCUGACUCCAAGUCCGACCUAGCUUUCUCGGUUUGCAUGAAGCGAAUGGCCCCUUGGAUCAAUUCCAUCCCGCGUCCCUUAACCUCCUUUCUGGCCUUCGAUGCCGACCUUGCCAACUCAGAAUCACGCAAUUUGGCUAGCGCCUUGUACUUCGCGUCGAGCUCGAUAAGUUGGUUGUUCAGGGUGUCGGCGGCUGAUUCGGAUUCGUGAAGUCUACCCUGAACACCAGACAGUUCGUCCUGGAGUUUGUAAUUCCGGUCAUAGUAGUCUUGCAGUUCCCCCUUUACCUGCGCCAACUCCGACGUUAACCUAUCGACCUUAUCCUCCAAAUCGUGCUUAGAGCCAGCAGAAGAGUUGAGGUCAGCCUCAAGCGCUGAGAAUUUCUUCUUCCACAUGUCGAUCUCCUUCUCCCGUCCAAUGACCAACCCUUCGUAAUGUUCGAUCAUGUCGUUAAAUUCGCUUUGAGCCUGGCGUUAUACAUGAACCCGGGAUGACGAGUCAGUUCGCAGAAUGGCAAUACAAUAAAAAAUAUACGCAAAAGAAAGCGGAACAAACCCGAGAAGAGUGAUGCGCGUGAAGCAAAUAACGUUCACGAAUCGCAGGGCGCCAUUUGUCAAAAUCUGGCAAGAUCGAACCCGAUCGGGUCUUGAAGCAUCGGAAGACGCUGCCUUCUUUCUCCAUAGCUGCGAAGAAGGAAGGGUUGUAAAAAUUGGAAUUUUAAUAAAGACAAAAAAUUUAAGUGUGUGUAAGUCACCGAACCUGAAAGCGAUUUGACUUGAGGUACAAGAGCAGGCUUCAGCCUCGAGGGAGCAUCUCGAGAUUCAGAAUCUCCCUUUUUCGGAGACGCACUCCGAGCAGUCUUUCCACUAUCAGGCUGGGAGGAGGAAGACAUAUCAACCGGACGUGGAGGACCCAUUGGUUCAGGAGGAGGAGAUGAUCGAGGUGAGCGGUCAGUCCGGGCCCUCGACUUUUCCCUCUGCGGAGAAGAAUCGCUGCGAGAAGACUUGUCUCUCUUCCGGCGAACCAAGUUCUUAAUCGGCUCGUUACUAAAAUCAUCUCGGGGAGGACGAGGUGAAUCACGGCGAGGAGAUUGAACCCUCCGAGGAGAACGCGAGUCGCGACGAUCGCGACGAGGAGUUAAUCUGAAGGAAGCGACAGAUCGAGCUCCCUCGGUGCUGCCGUCAUCAACUAGCAAGGUUCUACUGUAGUCCUUCUUGUCUAUGGAAGUCGCGAGGAACUUCUUCUUCUCCUCGCAAGCCUCAGCCAUCGGCUUGGAAAGCAACUUACGCUUGGCCGCAAGGGCCCGAGAUGACAUUCCUUGAGUUGAGGGAGGGGGAGGAAUUUGGUGAAGAUGACCAGGCGGACUCAUCCUGAGUCUGUGGUUAGCUUCCAGGAAUCGUUCAAGAGUGAAGGAAUUCCAAAGGGUUUCCCCUUCAAGAAUUAUUUUGAAGAAUUCGAUGAACUCUUCAGAUGGGAGGUUGGAAGCGAUGAAAGCUGCGAAAUGAAACAACGGUGUUAGUCAAUAAAGAUAAAGAAACAACCGGGAAAGAUACGGGCAACCUAAUCACUACCGGGUUUCGCAGACCACUUCGAAGGGAGAAAAUCAGCGAGAUUUCCAAUCGAAGCGGGGGUUUUCUUAAUUAGAAACCAAGGAUGAUGCCAAUUUUCAUCCUUGUUCGGAAGAUGUGAAAUGAUGUUCCUGUUGGCAUUAGGAUAUGCUGAGAAAUAUCCCGUUUUCUUCGAUGAACUUCUCACGCUCAGAAGCUCAUUCAGUUCAGCAACUCCGAUAACAUAACCGGCCUCCGCCGCGAUUAUUAUAAUUCCAAGAAUUGUACGGAGAAGAUUGGGGGUUAAUUGAGGAAGAGCGAUUUCAAGAGCCGCUAGGUAUAAAAUUAGGGCUUCGGGAAGAGGAAAGGUAAGCCCGCAACCCUUGAAAUAAAUCUCAUACACACAGAAGUAACCAUCGCGAUGGUUCUCCGGAGAUUCUGUGGGAGAAGCUAUUUGUGCUUCCGCCAUAAUUUCCGGCGGAAUCCGGCAAAGCUCUCUCAAUCGCUCGAGGGAUUGAAGAGUACAAGUGGACCUGUAGUGCGGACCGGCAAUGUCACCAGGGCGGGUGCACUCGUCGUUACUAGAACGCCUCUCGUCAAAAGACGGAGACUCGGGUCUAUCGGAAUCAGAAGUCAUUGGGAAGAAAGAAAAAUUCAAGAUCCGGCGAAGAAGGAUUUUGGUGAAGGAACGAAGAGAGAGGUUUUGAUUAAAGUACAAAAGUAAAAGAAGAGAGUAAUGGUGAAAAGAAGUUACCUCAAGCUAAUGAUGAAACCGCCUCGGAAGUCGUGUGGGAAGUGGGAAGGUUUUUCCCGUUUUAAUAGUAAUUAAUCAAUAUACGGUCAUAAUGAUGACAGAUGUCACUCGGUUAAAAAUGGAUAGUGCCAAAAUUAAAGGAGUGAUGAGAUUUUCGGCGGGAAAUCAGAAAGAUUCUCGAGCGCAAUCUUUGGCCACUUGAGCAUUUAAAGUCCUCCGAACUGGAAUAGCACUUCGAAGAACUUGGGGGGCUAAUUGUUGGUGUCGGAUCCCGCACCAGAAGUACGAGACCAACCAAAGAUUGCCACGUGAUCAAGAUAAUGGCCCAUAAAGGAUGAAGCCCAUUGGACCCGUGAGCCGAAGGGACGGUCGAAGUGGUUGUCACCAUUUCGAGAAUCCGAAGUGACUACACUGUGACACGAAUUCGGUGUAGAAGACACGGGUAAGUCGGUUCACGAACACUUGGGCCGAAAGAGGCGAGGCCCAUGAAGAUCAGAGUCAACUCAAAUUCAAACGUUGAGCAUUAAAGCCGAAGAAUCAAAACGGACACAUUUAAGAAGAAAUAAUUGUGCUUAAUUACUCAUUUUAAUGUCGUUUAUCGGUGUAUAAAUAUAGAGGCCGAUGGCCAUGUAAAGGGGAUCUUCCUCUGGAGAGAAAAAUAAUAUAGCAAUUUUCGUAUCAAUUUAUAAGUUUUCAUAUAUUCAUUUUUGUCCCCCAAGAAUAAACUUUCCCACCUAACAAAAAUACUUGAGUGUGUGAAUCCGACAUCCACAGUGGGCGUUAGUUUUGUCUAUCAACUGUUUGUCAAAAUGCAUGACAGAAAACUUUAAUUUGUUAUGUUUCUAAUAUAGAACACUUAGUUGACGAACUAAAUUAGAUCUAUUUGUUUUUGUAACCAGCUUUUUUUAUUUUUUCUGAUGCUUUUUGUUUUUUGUGGCCAAAAUUUUGCAGAGAGGAUUUAGAGGGUGACAUUGAAAUCAACAAAAAGUCUCAGCAUUCAAAUAUAAAACAAGAGGAAGUCUUAGCUUUAAAGUAGAUUGUUUGUGGCGAUAUUCUGUUAUAACACCAAAAUUUGAUUCCUUUGAACUCUUUUCUUUCCAGGUUUUCCAAUAAUGUUUUAUGUGUGUAUACUACAAAAAAUGCAGGGUUCUCAUUAAUAAAUCAUUUUUGCAUAUUGUAGCAAAUUCUAGAGUUAAAAGGCAUGCCUAAUUCUCCAAAGUUUGUUUUUAUGAAUCAAUCUUAACAGUUUUUAUUCCAUUUCUCCCAUGGACUUAGAUCUUUAGUAAGAAUGUUAUUCGGAUGUAUUCAUCUUUCAUACCUAAUUCUUAUUGUAAAAUUGUUUACCUUACGAUUACAAAAUUUAACAUUAAAAGUUUUUAAUAUUUACUAAUGAAGGCUUUGAUUUCAACCUUCACAAACAAGAGCAUCAAGAUUAUGAUUGUUUUCGAAAAAUUAUUCAAAACAUUAUUGUGCUAUCGUUGUUUGACCCGUACGAACUUAACACUAGUAGUUCAGAUAAAUGUUUGGAGGCACGAAGGUGAUAAGAAAUCGUGCCAUUUUCAUAUUGGAAAACCGAACAUCAAGCCACUUUUUGCCGGCCGGUCCAAAUUUGAAAUUUCCAGUUCUGACGGAGUGGUGAGUGAGCCGUAGCCGCCGACGAGACGAGACGAUUAGAUGACUCUGCAAAGCUUCUUAAAAACCCUAAAGACAGCUAAACAGACUUAUCCAUUCUCAAUCUACAAGCUCCUCCUUAAUUCUUCCUCUAUAAACCAAACUCUUGAUUCAUCGGAAAACCCACUCUCCGAUCUCAAUCUCUCCACCUUUCGCCGUAUUUUAUCCGACCCAGAUAUCAAAUCAUGGAAAUGCAUCUCCCUCUUCAAUUUCAUCCUCGAAAACCCAUCUCUUUUCUCAUUCCAACCUGAUCUCAGAACUCACUUGUCUCUCACUUCCCGUGUUUUGUCGGAGAGGAGAUUCUCAGAUGCGAAAGAACUCUUGAAACUUGUGGCUAUUGACGACAUUCUCAGGUACCCUUUUAAAGUAAUCGUCUCUAGCUUUGUUGAUGAGUGUGGUUGUGAGACGAGAGUUGUUGCUAGGUUCUUUAAUUCGAUGCUUAUGGUUUAUUCAGACAAUGGAAAGUUUGAUGAAGUUGUUGAGGUUUUUGAGUAUAUGAAGAACAAUGAGGUUAAGAUUGAUGAAAAGGCAUGUACUUUGCAUCUGUUGAAUCUCAAGAAAUGUGAUCAGAUGGAAUUAGCUAGAGAUUUCUUUCGUUUAAUGGUUGAGUCAGGGCUAGAUGUUGUAUCUGUGUACUCUUUGACGGUUGUUGUUACCGCGUUGUGUUGCAAUGGAGAGAUCACGAGAGGAAGAGAAUUGGUGGAGGAGAUGGUUUUGGUUAAAGGGAUCAAGCCUAAUAUUGUUACGUUUAAGUCGAUGAUAGAUUGUUGUGUCAAAAGAUGGGAUUUUGAAGAGUUGGAUUUGAUUUUAAAGUUAAUGGAGAAGGAAAGUGUGACGCUUGAUCUCGAUAGUUACAAGGUUUUGAUUGAUGGGUUUACUAGUUAUGGUAAGCUUGAAGAAGCAGAGAGGUUGGUUUCGACUAUGCAUGAUAAGAAGCUGAGAGUAGAGACUUAUCUGUAUAAUUUGAUCAUGAAUGGGUAUUGUCGGUUCGGACUAGUGGAGAAAGCGUUUGAACUACACAGCGAAAUGAGUUCUCGAGGUGUUACUCCCAAUAAGGAUACGUAUUGGGUGUUGAUGAAUGGACUUUGUAAAGCUGGGAAAGUGUGUGAAGCGAUUAGUUUGUUGAACGAGUUGCGAGUAAAUGAGUUUGAGAUUGAUAAAGAAAUGUAUAUUGCAUUGACUGAAGGGUGUUACAGAGUAGGAAUGAUAGAUAAAUCUUUAGAAGUGGUGGCUGAGAUGAUUAGGGAAGGGUUCAUUCCCGACGCUACGAUAUGUGAAAGAUUAGCUGAUGCAUUGUUUGAAGUAAACCGGAAAGAGGCACAAAUGAUGGUUACUUUGUGGUUAAGAGUGGCGUCAAACCAAAAUCUUGUUCUGAAUUUGGUCCGAAAUGAAGAUGACACACAUGUGCCCUACCAAGUCUCCAACUACAAAAACUUGGUGUCGAAGAUAUGGUAAUCUAGCUCAACUAAUACUCAAAUAUGCAAAUGAAGUAUAGUGAUGUGCACAAAGUUGGUUCUAUACCUCCAAAAGAUGCAUAUGUAAUAUACAUUCUUUGAAAGAUUAGUGGUUCCAGAUGAAGAUGAAAGCGAAUGGUGAUGAUCAAAAACAAGGUGGAGAAGGAUUGAUGAGGACAAUGAACAUGAAUUUGAUUAGGUCCAUGUUGCUGAAUCUUCCAUGACAACCGAAAUAAGAUCGAGAUUUCUUGAAGAUUGAAGGUAAAUCAAAAUUUUUGAAUCUCAUAACCUUUUUUCCUUUUUAAUUCUAGAACUAGAGAACCCAAUAUUAGCCUAUUCUAUUUACUUUUUGUUCGAAUUUGUUCAAACUUUUCAAGUUUGGAAUUUAAAAUGGGUCAAAAUUAUUAACAUAUUUUUUUCUAAACUUGUGGGAUCCGAACCAAAUAAAAUUUAUCAACCUAAAUUCAUAUUCGGCUCGGUAUAAAAUUUUCUAUAGCGCUCUUACUAUUACAAAAUUAGUUUGGUUUCACGUUGAUGAAUUUUUGUAACUCAACCGAAUUAAUCUUGAUUAAUUGUUAUUUUCAAUUAUUAUAUAAAAUUAAGAAAAAAAUAUCAUAUUUAUCAUAAAAUAAUCAUUUUUAUCCAAAAUUGUAUCAAAAUUAAACUCGACCCAAAAGAAAUUUUGGAUAUAGUUUGGAUAAUAAUAAAUAUUAAAAUCGAUUGUCCGAGCUUGUAAAUUGAAAUUGUUUACAUAAAAAAACUAUAAUCGUAACGAAACCGUUUUAUUAUAUCUCAACUAGAUUUAAAAUAACAAUUUUAUAUAAUUUUUUACAAGGAAACUAAAAAAUUCAAUUUGGAAAAAAAUUAUAAAAUAGAGUUUAGGAAAUAAGAAUGUUAAACCAAAUUUUAUUUAUUUAUUUAAAUUUUAGUAUAAUGGUUUGUUUGAUUUUAAAUUGAUUUUAUUGAUAUUAGGUGUUAUUUUACCUUUUACUAAAAGGCCAGGGUUUAAAAAUUCAUAAAAAAAAGUGAGGUUUUUUUUACCCAUUUUUCCCUCUAUUUCCUUAAAACAUUCACACAUAUCUUUUUUUAGUGGUUCACAUUUAAUUUUUAUAAAUCAUAACAUAAAACUAUCUAUAUAUCAAUUAAAUAGUUUAUAUGUUGUUAUUUCUAUUUCUUUAUAUUUUUUAGAAAUUAUAAUAUAAUUAUUUUUAUUAAUAUUAGUUUUAAUUGAUAUUCAUUGGGAUUGAUACAAAAUAAUAAACUAAUAUUUUUUAGUUAAUACAAUAAUAUAAUAUUUUUGUUUAAAAUGAAAUUUUAAAAAUUCAAAAUUAUGUUAUGACCAUUUUUAUAUUUUUAGUCAACAUUUUGAUAAAAUUAUAAUAGUUUUGAUAUAUUUUUAGUCAACAUUUUGAUAAAAUCUUGUAUAGUUAUUAUUAUUUUCCCUUAUAUAUAGAUUUCAUAUCUUCAUUAUUUUCCUUAAUAACAUUUCUUAUAUUAUCUUAAUUGUGAUAUUUAAGAAAACAUAGCUCUUUGAUUGUAUUAUUCAUUAUAGAUUGCAUUGCGUCUGAAAAACCAAAAAUAUUAUUUGAUAUCAAUGUCUCUUGCAACCACAAUGAUCGCUAUCUUUCUUCAAAUCAUUACAUAUUUUCUCUUUACCACCACAGCCUCAUCACCUCACGGCUUCACUAUUGACUUGAUCCACCGUCGUUCUAAUGCAUCUUCUUCUCGAGUCUCUAAUACUCAGGCCGGAUCACCUUAUGCUGAUACAGUCUUUGAUACGUAUGAGUACCUGAUGAAACUACAAAUCGGUACUCCUCCUUUCGAGGUCGAAGCGGUCUUAGACACAGGAAGCGAGCUCAUAUGGACACAAUGUUUGCCUUGUCUUCACUGCUACGACCAAAAGGCUCCCAUAUUCGACCCUUCGAAAUCCUCAACCUUCAAAGAGACAAGAUGCAACACACCUGACCACUCUUGUCCUUACAAGCUUGUCUACGACGACAAAAGCUACACCCAGGGAACCUUAGCGACCGAGACAGUCACAAUCCAUUCCACUUCAGGAGUUCCCUUUGUGAUGCCUGAAACAAUUAUUGGUUGUAGCCGCAACAACUCAGGGUCAGGGUUUAGACCGAGUUCUUCGGGCAUUGUUGGUCUAAGCAGGGGUUCUUUAUCCCUCAUCAGUCAGAUGGGCGGGGCAUACCCAGGUUUUAUCUCUUACUGUUUUGCUGGUAAGGGAACUAGUAAGAUCAAUUUUGGAGCGAAUGCUAUUGUGGCAGGAGAUGGGGUUGUAUCAACUACUAUGUUUGCCAAGACCGCGAAACGAGGUCAAUAUUACCUAAACCUAGAUGCGGUCAGCGUUGGGGACACCCGCAUUGAGACAGUGGGAACACCCUUUCAUGCCUUAAAUGGGAACAUAGUGAUAGACUCUGGAACCCCUCUCACAUACUUUCCUGUGAGCUACUGCAACCUAGUAAGAAAGGCAGUGGAACGUGUUGUGACAGCGGAUCGAGUAGUUGACCCGAGCCGCAAUGACAUGCUUUGCUACUAUUCAAACACCAUAGAGAUCUUUCCGGUGAUCACAGUGCAUUUUUCUGGCGGUGCGGAUCUUGUCUUGGAUAAGUACAAUAUGUAUAUGGAACUGAAUAGAGGAGGAGUUUUCUGUCUGGCUAUUAUAUGUAAUAAUCCAACACAAGUAGCUAUCUUUGGGAACAGAGCACAGAACAAUUUCUUGGUGGGUUAUGAUUCUUCUUCACUGCUGGUUUCUUUCAAGCCCACCGAUUGUUCUGCAUUGUGGAAUUGAAGAAACAAACCAAGAGAGUCUCUUUUCGAUCUUUAUUAUUAUUUUCAACUUCAGUUUGUUUGGUUUUUUUUUCCGGUUAACUUCAGUUUGUUAUUUAUAUUUUUCCUAACAAUAAAAGCAUAGAACAUGGAUAUGUUUUAAUGAAAAAUAUGCAAAGUUACUUAUAGGCGCUUGUGUUUAAAUUUAUAUUUCUAGGCAUGGAUUGGAUGUUUUGCUUAAAGAUUAGCACCUUCCAGUACAUGUUUCUAGGAAGUGUGAAGUUUGAAUGUGCAAGAGAUUCAAACUUGUCUAGCCUUCUUAAGAAUUAUUUUUAUGUUUCCAAUCUUUGCAAGUUGAUUAAAACAUAUAUUAGCAGAUAAAAAAUGUUUGGUCGCAUACAUUAGAGUCAAUAGCAUAAAUAAUUUCUUGGCUCCGAACUGGUGAAAACUGAAACGGGUAAAAGUCUCAUGUAUAAAUUUUACAUAUUAUAGAAUAAUUAAAAUUUUGAUUGUUAACGUGACCAAAUGUUUAGUUAGUAUAGCUUUGAUUAUUUGGUUGACUUUGUCUCUAUCACUCUUGGGAAAAAAAAGAUCAAACUGUUGUUUGAGAAUGGAAAAUACUCUUUGGGUAUCUUACCAAUGAAUAUAUUAAGUAGUGAAAUUCUUCACUUAAAUUAAAUUAAAUAUAUUAAUAUUAUAUAUUAUAUUGGUGAGAUAGCCACAGGUAUCUCAUAAAUGGAGAUGAUUUUAUGGCAAGAAAAUUAGGUUAUCCAAAAACCAUAUCUAUCUAAAAAAGUUUAUUUUGCAUUUUGGGUUCAUUAACAAUAACUUUAAACUAAAAAUUCCAAGAUAUUCUACAUUUUUGUAGGUGAUCAUCGAAUUUCCGUUAAUACAAAGUAAAUAAAAGGAACAAUGUAAAACCCGAAAACAAAAGUAAAACUUAGUUGUAACAAAAUGUAAAAUUCCCACAAGUUAGAGUGUUAGACGUAAUGGAAAUAACAAAAUUGGACGAAGUUGACAAAAUUGGAAAAUUAACAAUAACCACAAAAGCUCUAACAUGUAUAAAUAUGUGCAUGAAUGAAGAACAUUUCAUUGUGCCUAAAAAACCAAAAAUAUUAUUCGAUAUCAUAACAUGUUUUCUCUUGCAAACACAAUGAUCGUUCUCUUUCUUCAAAUCAUAACAUGUUUUCUCUUUACCACCACAGCCUCACCACCUCACGGCUUCACCAUGGACUUGAUCCACCGUCGCUCCAAUGCAUCUUCUUCUCGACUCUCUAAUACUCAACUCGGAUCAUCACCUUAUGCGGAUACCGUCUUUGAUAACUCCGUGUAUCUAAUGAAACUACAAGUCGGUACUCCUCCUUUCGAGAUCGAAGCUGUCAUAGACACCGGAAGUGAGAUCACAUGGACACAAUGUUUGCCUUGUGUUCACUGCUACAAACAAAACGCUCCCAUAUUCGACCCUUCGAAAUCCUCGACCUUCAAGGAGAAAAGAUGCCAUGACCACUCUUGUCCUUACGAGGUUGAUUACUUCGACAAAACCUACACCAAGGGAACCUUAGCGACCGACACAGUCACAAUCCAUUCCACUUCAGGGGAACCCUUUGUGAUGGCUGAAACUAUUAUUGGUUGUGGCCGCAACAACUCAUGGUUUAGACCUAGUUUUGAGGGCUUUGUUGGUCUAAAUUGGGGACCUUUAUCGCUCAUCACUCAGAUGGGCGGUGAGUACCCAGGUUUGAUGUCUUACUGUUUUGCUGGUAACGGAACUAGUAAGAUCAAUUUUGGAACAAACGCUAUUGUCGGAGGAGGUGGGGUUGUAUCAACCACUAUGUUUGUCACGACGGCGAGACCAGGUUUCUAUUACCUAAACCUAGACGCGGUCAGCGUUGGGGACACCCGCAUUGAGACACUGGGGACACCGUUUCAUGCCUUAGAAGGGAACAUAGUGAUAGACUCUGGAACCACUCUCACGUACUUUCCUGAGAGCUACUGCAAUCUAGUAAGACAGGCAGUGGAACAUGUUGUGCCAGCGGUUCCAGCAGCAGACCCGACCGGCAAUGACCUGCUUUGCUACUAUUCAAACACCACCGAGAUCUUUCCGGUGAUCACAAUGCAUUUUUCUGGCGGUGCGGAUCUUGUCUUGGAUAAGUACAAUAUGUUUAUGGAAUCAUAUAGCGGAGGACUUUUUUGUCUGGCUAUUAUAUGUAAUAACCCAACACAAGAAGCUAUCUUUGGGAACAGAGCACAGAACAAUUUCUUGGUGGGUUAUGAUUCUUCUUCACUGCUGGUUUCUUUCAAGCCCACCAAUUGUUCUGCAUUGUGGAAUUGAAGAAACAAACCAAGAGAGCCUCUUUUCUUUUCGACCUUUUCUAUUAUUUUUCAACUUCAGUUUGUUAGUUAUUACUCCCAAAGAGUGUCAUUUUAGAGUUUUGCACACAGAUUAAGAAAACAUUAAAUUUUUUGUUUUUUUCUAAACAAAAACAUCAUUAACUAUGUACCUAAACAUAAUCUGCCAAAUAGUAAAACAAUAUGCAGAAUACUAAUAGUCAUAAAACAUAAAAAAUCAUUAAAUUUUGCAUUGAAAACCUAAAACGACACUCUUUGUGAAACAAAAAUAAAACCUUAAAACGACACUCUUUAUGAAACGGAAGGAGUAUAUUUUUCCUAUCAAUAAAAGCAUUGAACAUUCAUGGAUAUGUUUUAAUGAAUAAUAUGCAAAAGUUGCUUACUCGCUUCUGUUGAAAUUUAUAUUUCUAGGCAUGGUGGGUUGCUUAAAGAUUCUAACUAAUGUUGUAUUGGCAAAUAUUACCACCUUCCAAAUGAUAAUUAAGUUUGUAGAAAAACAGAAUAAAACGUAAAAUAUCAUAUCCAAACCUCUUUAGAUCCCUAGCUAGGAGCCACAGAAUUCAAACUUUUUAUUCCUUGUUUUAGCCAUCUUCAUUAUUUUCAUGUUUCUAAUCUUUGCAAUUUGAUUAAAACAUAUCUAAUAGAAUUGCAGCCUUGCACAUUCACUGAGCUUCCAUAGAAUUUUCAUUUGAACAAAAGGUUAGAUGUUGUCGAAACCCUAGGAAUAUCUUUUAACUCUUCGAUGAUCACCUCUUGAUCUUCAAGAUCGAACGGCGGAGAGAUCGUUCUGGUCUUUACACGCUUAGAGUUGGCUAAAAUGUAUGUCAAGAAUUCUUAGCGUUACAAGAAAAACAUCGAUUUCCUACGGCUAAAAACAUCGAUUUCUUACCAAAGAGUAUUUGUAGGAAAUUUACUUCGAAUUUCCUAGUAACAAUUUCGUAAGAAUUUGGUAGGAAAUUUCUUCUACCAAAAUUUUGGUAGGAAAAAUCCUAUGUCUUCUUCUACUCUAUCUCCAUAUCCUCUCCACUCGAAUAUCUCUAGCUGUAAUGACAAGCAUCCGGGAACAAGACUCGGUUGGUUCCAUGAAAAUGGAAGAUCUUCGGGUUUAUAGAUAUAUUGCUGAGAAGCAAUGAUGGGUAUAUAUUGAGCAAAAUUUUAACUAGUAUUUUAGUCCAUCAAAGCUAGGACAAGAAGAGGAGAAAGAUACGUACAUAAUCACCUACCAAAAAUUAUUUUAGUUUUGGAGCAUUUCCAAGUAAAAGUAGGAGUGGUUCCAACCAGUAUGAUCCACAUGGCCAUAUGCUUAAAUUUUUAAGGCGAGAGAAGUUGAUAGAAGUUUAUGGUGGUCCAACGCAUAACCUGGAACGAAACAAACACAACUUAAGUAGGUAGAUGCAACAAUGAACAAGAAAGAGAUAUAAAUUAUAGAGGUACGUACCAUUGCAUCAGACAAAUACAUAUGAAGAGACAAGGCCAAAUAAAAGGAAGUUAGAAAGCUAUCAUCAGGAUACUCAACAUCAAAUGUGCAUCCUCCAUACAGGGCAUAUCCUCAACCGUUGGUCAUUGCAGGAGCAUCUACAACCAAACAGUUAUGAGUAUGAUCUACUACAUCAUCGCUACUAGACCAGUAAUUAAUAUACCACAAGUCACAUAAAGAAGGCACGUUAAUAGUAAACUUUUUCACAUUGUCAUCUUCUUGUCAUCUUCUUUCCGUAUCACAAACAAGAUCUCGUGAACAUGGCAGCUUGACCAGAGGAGCUUGAUUUUUAGGUUAAUCACCAAACAAUCAACAGCUUUUGCAACAAACUUUCCGAUAUCAACAUCAUCAGUAGUAGGGCAUUUUGGACCAAGUGCCAUACAUGUACAAGCUAUCUAUUAUAGUGCCUUGUGGAGAUGCAAUGAGUUGUUAAGAAACAACCAAACACUCAGAGUGUAGUUACUAGUUACCGACAGGCCCGGCCCAAAUGGGGUAUGCAGAGGGGCAGUGGCCCAUGGAACAAUAGACUUUUGUAAAAGUUUAAUAUGAAAAAGGCUUAUAUCUAAAAAUAACAAAUUAUAAAUUGGCAUGAACUUUCUAAUAAAUGGGCACAAAAUUUACAAAAUUAUAUUCCUUUUACAUAUAAAGGCCUAUAUAUUUUAAAUUUUUUUUAAAAAUAAAGCAAAAGUUAUUUACAAAAUAGUCCCGAUUUUAACCAAAAAUUUGAAAAAAUCUUUCAAAACAAAUUAAGUAAAAAAAUCCAAAAUUUAUUUUUUGCCCAAGGAUCCAAAUAUAUGUUGGGCCGGGGCUGGUUACCAUCGUCCAAAUAUUGAGCCAUCGUUUCGACAGAAACAUGGUGGUCGUUACUGCCUCUUUCGUCGGGAUAAGAUCCAAUAUCAUUACGAGCCACUCUUCUGGUAAAAACACUGAUUAUGUCUUCAUAAACGGUCUCUUCAAUUUUGUCAGCCAUCUCCACGCCGUAAAACACAAGGAACAAUUUGUUUUAGGUUUUAUUACAUGUAAAAGUAGCACUAAAUAUUUCAGCUGUGCCUACAAGGAAAAUAUUAAGAACGCUUCUGUCAAAAUAAGAAGAUGAAGUUGUAGAAUAGAUUUCUUAUUAUUCACGUAGAUGGAGGCAAUGCCUUAUAUACACAUACAUAGUUAACCUAAUCGAUCAUAUUUGAGUUAUAUGGGCUUAGGGGCUUUAUCACAGCCCAACACCCUCCCGCAAACUGGAGUGUGGAGAUUACAAACACCCAGUUUGACAAGAAAUUCUUCAAACUCUCGUCGUCCUAAAGCCUUGAUCAUGAUAUCCGCGAGCUACGACGAUGUGGAAACAUGCUUUGUAGCUAUGGUGCCGUUGAUGAUCUCGUCACGAACAAAAUGGACAUCACGACCCACAUGUUUGGUGCGAGCAUGAUAGACGGGAUUGGCAGCGAGACUAAUUGCAGAGAGACUGUCCGAAUACAACAUGAUGGGAGCGUUGACUUGAAUGCCAAGGGCAGGAAGUAAAGCACGGAUCCAUAGAAGUUCACUUACCGUGUCAGCCAUGGCACGAUAUUCUGCUUCAGCGGAGGAGCGAGAGACUACAUCAUGUUUCUUUGUUUUCCAAGAUAAAGGAGAGCCUCCCAAUUGAAUGAACCAACCGGUUAAGGAACGUUUUGUAAGAGAACAUUUGCUAAAGUCAGAAUCACACCAACCCGUAAGAACCAAAGACGUAUUUGAGCGGAGUAGAAUACCUUGCCCUGGAUUCGAUUUAAGGUAGCAAACAACGCGAAGAGCUGCUUCCAAAUGGGCCGGUUUGGGAUCAUUCAUAAAUUGGGAAAGAAUGUGAAUGGAAUAGGAGAGCUCAGGUCUAGUUGUUCCAAGGUAAAUGAGUCUACCAACAAGACGGCGGUACCGAGAUGGAUCAGAAAUAGUAUCACCCGAAGUUAAAGCCAGUUUAUGAUUCUGUUCUAGCGGAUGUGAUACGGGUUUCACGCCAAGCCAACCAGAUUCGGUAAUAAUGUCAAUGGUAUACUUGCGUUGACACAAGUAAAUACCCGCAAGACUUCUAGCAACCUCAAUACCCAAGAAGUAACGAAGAACUCCAAGAUCCUUCAUAUAGAAACAGGAACUCAAAUACUCUUUAAACUCAUUGAUGACAGCAACCGACGAACCCGUAAUGAUCAGAUCGUCUACAUAGACAAGAACAUGAAGUCUGAUUCCUUGUCUUUCCAUAGUAAAUAAAGAGUAAUCAGAGAUAUCCUGGAUAAAACCAUAGUCUUUGAGAGCUGAAGUAAGCUUAGCGAACCAACAACGCGGAGCUUGUUUUAAACCGUACAAAGAUUUCCUCAAGCGACAAACUUUUGUUUUGUCAUUUGUUCGAAAACCCGGAGGAAACUUCAUAUAGACCUCUUCGUCAAGAUCGCCGUGUAAGAACGCAUUAUGGACGUCCAUUUGAUGAACUUCCCAAUCAAGUGAGGUGACUUGCUGAAGAAAGGCGCGGAUAGUAACCAUUUUUGCAACAGGAGCGAAAGUUUCCGAGUAAUCAAUACCUUCAGUUUGAUUGUUACCAAGAACAACUAGUCUUGCUUUGUGACGUUCAAGAGUUCCAUCAGAUUUGCAUUUGAGACGAAAUACCCAUUUACAACCUAGAGCUUUCUUUCCAGGAGGUAAAUCUUCUACUGUCCAAGUGCCAAGAUUUUCAAGAGAAACAAUUUCGUCAGAAACAGCACAUCUCCAAUUCUCAUCAAGAACAGCUUCUUGAUAACUAUGAGGCUCAUUUCCAGAAGUGAUGGCGAGAAGAUAAGCUUGAUAGUUUUCCGAGAAUUGGGAACUAGAGAUAUAGUUAUCCAAGGGAUAUGGAGUAGCAGAUGGGUAUGGCUCAUGAAGAAGAGUAGUGACAUAAUCAGCGAGUUUAACCGGAGGAUUUUUUGGACGUUUCCCUUUGCCAAGAAGCUCAGGCUCAACCGUAGGAAUAAUCGGAGUCGACGAAGGAGAAGAAGAAUCCGCAGCAUUGGAGGAUUUUGACUUGUUAACUUCUGUUGUGUUCUCAACUUGACUGAAAUCAUGAUCAGAAUCGUUGUCGGAAAUGGCAUCAUCAACACUGUCAAUAAGUACCGACGGAGCCGGAGAAGACAAGGAUGGGACCGGAACAAUAGCUAACGGGAGCGACGGUGAUUCUGUAGGGAGAGGAGCCGGAGUAGAUGCAGCGGGCUGCAAAUCAUCAAAAUCAACGGAUGGCGACGAAACAGAGGAAGGCAGAGUCGGAAUGUCAUUUGCAGUGAUAGGAAAAUGAAAUUCAGUUUCUGUGAAAACGACGUCACGCGAAAUAGAGACAACGCCGGUUUCGAUGUUGUAAACUCUCCAUCCUUUCUUUGCAAAAGGAUACCCAAGAAAAAUAGAUUUGUUACUGCGGCUUUCAAAUUUGUCUCCACCAUGUUUUUGGUUAUGUGCAUAACAAAUGCAACCAAAUACUCGGAUAUGAUUCAUGGGAGGAGGACGGUUAUAGAUUAGCUCAAACGGUGUCUUGCCUAGAAGAAGUUGUGUAGGCGUGCGAUUGAUGAGGUAUGCUGCAGUGAGAGCGCAGUAACUCCAAAACUCAACAGGAAGUCUUGCUUGGAAGAGAAGCGCACGGGCGACGUUAAGAAUGUGUCUAUGCUUGCGUCCAACACGACCGUUUUGUUGAGGAAUACCAACGCAGGAUGUUUCAUGUAUAAUCCCGUGUUGAGCAAAGAAGGAAGACAAGCAAAUAAACUCCGAACCGUUAUCACUUCGAAUCGUUUUGAUUUUGGUAGAGAAUUGCCUUUCUACAAGUGAGACGAAGUUCUUAAAGUGCGUAGGAGCUGCUUGUUUGGAGGGUAAGAGAUACACCCAUACAGCCCGUGAGUAAUCGUCGACAAGUGUAAGAAAAUAGCUAGAGCCGCAGAUAGAAGGAGUCCGAUAAGGGCCCCAAAGGUCACAGUGUACCAUUUCAAAAGCAAAACUUGUCUUAUUACUGCUCAAAGGAAAGGGAUCCCUUGUAUGUUUAGCACGAAUACAUAUUUCGCAUGUCUUUGAAUCACAAACUGUUGGGCUGUUGCGCAGCUUCUCUUCAAGCCAUGGAGGGUAGCCGGUUAGUUUGAAACAAUUUUCAGCAAGGUGACCUAAACGACCGCAAUUAGAGCACACUCUGUUAUCGGAAGUGUCUCUGUUUUCAUUGAAGCUUCUGGUCCGUGAUGUGGUUUGAACAACGAAGCUUACACCAUCAUUCCUUUCUUCAUUCAAACGACUCAAUGCCUUUGAUUCUUCGUCUUGAGUCAAGACAUUGUAAGCUUCCUCGAGAGAAGGAAGUGGCACUCGAGAAAGAAGAGCUGACUUAAUUGCUCCAUAAACAUAAUCAUCAAGCCCCAUGAGAAACUGAUGCAAUUUGUCUUCUUCACGCUCUUUGCGCACUUCCUCCAUGGUUUUAGCUUGUUGAUAAUCUGCCAAACUUCUCCAUAAUUGAGAGAGCUUGCCGUAGUAAGUUUCAAUAAGCAAACCUUUUUGACGACAAGUUGCUAGCUCUGUUUUAAGGCGUUGAACACGCUGCCCGUUUUUAACACCAAAACGUUUUUGAAUAUGAGUCCAAAGUUCGUAAGAAUCAUCAAGAUGAGACAUCAAAGUUGAGAUGCUCUCAUCAAGUGUGAGUUUCAUCCACGAGACUACCAAGGCGUUAUUUGCAGUCCAAUCUUCAAAAUCCGGGUUCGUUGCUUCUGGUUGUGGUAUGGAUCCAUCGGCAAACCCAAAUUUCUUUCUAGCUUUCAAUGCUAACCGGAAGUUAGUAGCCCAUUCGUCGUAGUUGGGACCUCGUAGCAAUGGUUUGGAGAUCAAAGUGCCUGGAUUGUCGUUGGAUGUCAGAUCAUAAGGUGAGAUUGUACGUCUGGUUUCAGCCCUAGCUUGUGAAGUGGUGCUAGCAAGAGCUAAUUCCGUACUCAUGACGAACAGAAGAUUUGAUAUAAGUGUUUAGAGAAAGAAUAAGAAACGAUCUCUUGUAGCGGAAGGAGAGAUCACAGAAUCGAUUACAAAACCCUUUAGAAGUUAGGUUUUGUGCUCUGAUACCAUGUCAAAAUAAGAAGAUGAAGUUGUAGAAUAGAUUUCUUAUUAUUCACGUAGAUGGAGGCAAUGCCUUAUAUACACAUACAUAGUUAACCUAAUCGAUCAUAUUUGAGUUAUAUGGGCUUAGGGGCUUUAUCACAGCCCAACAGCUUCGGCUAAGAGCAACUGAAAACCCAUUUAAUAGGUUUCGGUUGGAAUUUACAGAGGUUGGACAAACGGGAAUUCGGGACGCAAUUUUACGGGAAUAGCCGAAUAGGAAAACAUGUCCCAUUUAAUCUUUGAGACGGGAACGAGACAGGAUGGAAACGGGAUAUAUUUAAAGAUUCUAAUGUUGUAUUUACAAAAUAUUAGCACCUUCCAAAUGACAAAAUUCUGUUAGUAGCCUUUAAUUAACCUUGGAAGAAGAGAAAGAAAUCUAUUACUCUCUCCGUUUUGUUUUAGUUGUUGUUUAAAGUUUUUUCACACAAAUUAAGAAAAGCAUUAAAUUUUCUGUUUUACCCUUUAUUAAUAUAUCUUAUAAAAUUUUUCAUUGGCCAAAACAUUAAAACAAUAGGGAUAAUACUAGAAUUUUUACCAAACAUUUGCAUUGAAAACCUAAAACGACAACUAUUACGAAACAAAAUUUAAGUCCUAAAACGACAACUAAAACAAAAUGGAGGGAGUAUAAAAGUAAAAUCUCACCUUCUAAAUCUCUUUAGAAAUCUUAGGCAUGACUGAUCCUGAAAUAUAGGAGGCCCAAUAAAAAAAAUUUGGAGAGGGGAAGGGGGUUUAAUGAGAUCAAAUUUUCAAACUUCAAAAAAAUUAGGAGCCUAAUUUGCAAUUAAAACUUAAUUUGGCGACCGAUUUAUACAUAUGAUGGGGCUACAAUAUUUUGUCGGCCUUAGACCCAAGCUUCACCCUUUAGAACCCUAGGAUCCACAAGUUGUGAUUAUUUCACCGAACGAGCCGUUUGAGCCCUUCUCAUACGGUCAACUAUAGACUUUCUAGCACGGUGUGAAUCGUUUCCUCUACCUUAGCGUCUGAAGCAAGUAACUUACCUUUUCUCUUCAAAUCUUCAUGUUUUAGGGUUUUUUUUUUUCUGGUUUAGGUUUUUAAAUAGAUUUUCUAUCUCUUAAGUUUGGUUAAAAUUUAUGUCUCUCACACAGUUUUUUUUUUCAGAUUUUGCUGUGUGGUGAUUAUCUACUUUGGCGGUUGAUGCUUGUUACCUAAUCGCUGAAAACUCUAUUCAGAUUAAUCAGCCUGUUUAGGGUUUCGUAAAAAGAUGGAUAGGAUCAACGGUCUAUCAGAUGACAUUAUAUGCCACAUAUUAUCUUUCCUUCCGAUUAAAGAGUCUGCUUUAACAUCUGUUCUCUCGAAGCGUUGGCGUAAAUUGUUUGCCUUCACACCAAAUCUUCUUAUAGAUCAUGACCUUGAAGUGAGUAGUGGACAAAGUUUCGGCGAUUUUAUGGAUAGAGUAUUGGCUGUGUCAGAAAAUUUUCCCAUAAGGAAAAUCUCAAUAAAAUGUCGAAACUAUAGUAACUACUUGUGUCAUGUCACCCGCUGGAUGUUUGAUGCGCUGGAACGUGGUGUUGUUUAUCUUGAUAUAGACAUAACCGGUCAUAAACCAGGUUUGAUUUUAUGUCCUCUUGAGAUCUUCACUUGCAAGACAAUGGUUGAGCUGAAACUAGCAAAAGGAUUUCAUGCUAUGAUUCCUGAUGAUGUUUCUCUUCCAUCACUUAAGAGUCUCUUUCUUGAUUCGAUUUAUUCCUAUAAUAGUAAGUAUUAUGUUUUGGGAAAGCUUAUUUCUGCUUUGCCUGUUCUUGAGGAAUUAACCAUUCAUGGUGGGAGCUGGGAGAGGGAUAAAUGCGGUCCCACCGUGUCCUCUUCAACCCUUAAGAAACUUACUAUCAAGUGUCCUAAGUUUAAUAUGUCAAGCAAUAGUUGGGACGUGAUUUUCGAUACUCCGAGUCUUGCCUACUUAGAAUACACUGAUGUAGUUCCAAGAGAGUAUCCAAUUGUGAAUCUUGAAUCCCUUGUCGAAGCUAAGCUUGAUCUUCGUUGUCAUCUUGGUAUUUGCAAUCCAACAAAUCUGAUUAAGGGUUUAAGAAAUGUGGAGGUCUUGGAUUUAUCAUCUAUUGAUACUUCAACGGUAAAGAAUGAUCUCUUCUCUUUUUCUUUCCCUAUAUGUAUGAGCUCUAAAUCUUGUUACAUAUAAAAACGUUCUUGUUAAUUACUAUUGACUAGUUGAUGUUUUUUUGUUUUUUUCAGAUGUUACAUUAUUUCCGUGAAGCAAUCCCAAUGUUCAGCAACCUGAUUCGUUUAUCUAUUACAACUAAUUUAAGUUUCUACGAUUCGGAAUAUUUUCCAAUACUUCUAAAAAAUUCUCCAAAUCUACAGACUCUCAUCAUCAAGGUAUAUAUAACCGAAACCCCGAAAGAUUUUUGGACAAACUCAAAUCUCUAAUAUUUCAUCUUGUUUCAGAGUUCAUUAUUGCACGUUAAUAAAUGUGAAGAAGGAUAUGGAUUGUCAUGUCCUGUGAAAGUAUUGAAGAUAUCUGAAUAUGGAGGAAUCGAUGUGGAGCUAGAGCAAAUGAAACAUUUCCUAGAGAAAUUGUCAUGUCUUGAGCUUGUCAAAGUUCAUGCUUGUGCAAUAAGCGACAAGGAAAAGUUUCGAAUCACCAACGAUCUGCUAAUGGUUCCUAGAUCGUCCAAGUGCAAUAUCCAGAUCAAGUUUUAUGAGAAAACUAAGUAAAUGCAUGAAAAAACAUUGUUCCCUCCUGGUUUUAUAGUUUAGUAUGUUGGAACAUUAUUCAGUUUGUAUGCAUAUUUGGUGAUUACUCUGCUAAUCAAUAACGUUACCAUUUUUUAGCCAACUCGAAACAUAUUAUUAUUGAUUUUUCCAAGUAAGAGGUGAGGUGAAACGCACAAUGCGGGAUUAGGACUCCAUCACCUGGUGCAACGGGUCAAAGUCUCAUGUCUAAAUUUUACAUAUUAUAAAUUUUUUGAUAGUUAAUCAAGUGACCAAGCUUGAGUUUGUCAUUUGUGAAAUUGGAGAUUAGGGCCUCAAGUAUUCAUCAGUUUACCGCCUUACCGGGGAAAAGACCGUGUUCAUUAGUUACCGGUGAAGAGACCUCAAUGUGAAUGUGUUCAACGACAACAUUCUGACUUGUCUAAGUUUUAUUUUUGCAAUUUCUCUUGUAGCAACAAUCAUAAUGAUCCUUGGACAAAAAGAAGAUUAUUAUUUCUCGUUAUUGUUGUUAACAAACUACUCAUAUUCCCCCAAAAAAGAAAAACAUUGCAGAUAAAAUGGGGGAUGACAAAUGUGCAAAAAGACAAAAUAUGCCAUUGUGAUGAUAAGAUGUUGUGUUUUGAUUAUACCAUGAGACCCUCAGGAGCAGCAGCAGCAGCAGGAGCCUUGGGUUUCGGCUUGUCGACAACAAUGGCCUGAGUGGUCAGUACCAUUCCUGCAACGGAAGCAGCGUUCUGUAGCGCACAUCUCGUCACUUUUGCGGGAUCAAUCACUCCAGCUUCCAACAGAUUCUCAUACGUAUCAGUCAUCGCGUUGUACCCUUGCUCCCAUUCGCUGAACAUAAUCUUUUCCACAACAACUUCUCCUUCAACUCCAGCGUUCUGGGCAAUAAGUGCAGCUGGUGACAGCAAUGCCUGAGCUCAAAACAAAAACUCAUGUAAGAUCAAAUAGUCACAAUUGAUUACAGAACAAACACUGAACCGAAAAACCAAAUGCUCUAACUUAGGAAUCUUACCUUUUGUACUAUAUCAGCUCCCAAACGUUCAUCAGCAUCCUCGAAAGUCUCCUUAAUGGCGGGAAUAACAGUAGAGAGAUGCACCAAAGCAGCACCACCACCUGGAACUAUGCCUUCCUCGAUAGCAGCAAAUGUUGCAUUCUUUGCAUCCUCGAUACGGAGCUUACGGUCCUCAAGCUCCGUUUCAGUUGCUGCUCCGACUUUAAUGACAGCAACACCUCCAGAUAGCUUAGCGAUUCUCUCAGCGAGCUUCUCUGAGUCAUACACAGAAUCAGUCUCGGAUAGUUCUUUCUUUAGCUGAGCAAUCCGAGCUUGUAAUUCGUCCUUGGAAGCUGCAUCUGCAAUAAGGGUAGUCGAAUCUUUGCUAAUCGUGACUUUUCGGGCAAUACCCAAUUGAUCUAUGGUUGCGUUUUCAACCAGCAAGCUCAUGUCCAUGGCUAGGUACUCAGCUCCUGAAGAACAUACGAAAAGAUAGAAAGUUUAGACCACAACAGAGAGAAGGUAAAAAUACUAAACCCAAGCAAAGUCUUGCAUAUACCUGUCAAGAUUGCAAUAUCUUGAAGCAUGGCUUUUCUUCUUUCUCCAAAUCCUGGAGCUUUAACUGCAACGACAUUGAGGACACCACGGAGCUUGUUCACGACAAGGGUAGCUAAGGCUUCACCCGUAACAUCCUCUGCAAUAAUCAACAAUGGAGCACGAAGCUGAGUGGUCUUCUCCAAAAUAGGGAUGAUGUCUUUGAUUGCAGUGAUCUUCUGAUCAGUGAUCAAAACCCUAGCAUUCUCAAACUCAGCUAGUAGUUUCUCAGGGUUUGUAACAAACUGAGGCGAGAUGUAACCUCUGUCAAUCUGUAAUUCAAGGUAAAUAAUCAAGUUGGUCAUUGGUAAUUAAUGGUAAAUCAAAUUAGAGUUGAAGAGAAUCAAGACUAAAACUCAUACCUCCAUCCCUUCUUCAACUUCGACCGUGGUCUCAAAAGAGGAUGAAGAUUCGAUGGACAAAACACCAUCAGGUCCAACUUUGUCAAUGGCAUCAGCAAUCAUUGACCCUAUAAGGUCAUCAUUUCCAGCAGAGAUAGAAGCCACAGCUGGAAAAAAUAAAACAGAUUGAUUAGUAAAGCAAUCAACAUUGCUGCAUCACAAGGAAGGUCAUUGCAAGGUUAGUACCUCUGAUGUCAUCACGACCUUUCACAGGCCUAGCUUUCUUCUGAAGCUCUUCAAUCAGACCUUGCACGGUCUUAUCAAUUCCCCUCUUGAGAGAAACGGGAUUUGCACCAGAAGUGACACUCAACAAUCCAUGUUUGAUUAUCUCCCGAGCAAGGAUAGACGCAGUGGUUGUCCCAUCACCAGCCGAGUCAUUAGUCUUACUCGCAACCUACCACAUAACCACACCGUAUAAAUAACAUUAACAGAAACAAUAAGAAAGCUGCAUGCUCUCUCACACCAACCUCACGAAUAAGCGCAGCACCAGCAUUUUCCAUGGCAUUAGGUAACUCAAUAGCCCUUGCAAUGGUGACACCAUCAUUCACCACCUUAGGACUUCCAAAUUCAUCCAACACAACAUUCCUCCCUUAAGAAUAACAAAUGAAAACACCAAGAUAAGUCGAUAACACAGAUGAAGAUAGUGAAUGUAAAAGAGCUACUAAUAAUAAAUACCUCUAGGACCAAGAGUGAGACCAACACAAUCAGCAAGCUUAUCAAUACCAGCUUGAAGAGCAGCUCUAGAGUGCUGGUCAAAAGCUAUUUCUUUUACAUUUGCUCUAACGCUAAAACGUCUGUUUGUCCUCUUGUUGUAGCUAACUCUCUGACCUUGCUGCUGAUUUCCUCCUCCCAACUUACUCUGUGUACCCACAAAAUGAAUAAAGCAGAUUCAUUUACAUCAUUAUCGAUCAAUUUCUUCUAUUUCCCAAAUAAAUCAACCAUUUUUACACCAACCCAGAAACCAAAUAGAUAAAAGCAAUCGAAACAGAACAAAGUAAAGGGUCAAAUUCAAUUUCUUCAAAAACCCAGAAACCAAAUAGAGAAAGGUAAUUGAAAACAGAACAAAGUAAAGGGUCAAAUCCAAUCAAAACAAAGUAAUGUAAGAUGAUUCAUUUUCUUCUUCAGUAAGUAGCUAGAGAAGAUAAAAAGGAACAAACUUUGCUACCUGACGGGAAGAGCAGAGGACGGAGGCGGAAGAGAGAGCGUUAGCGGACGCCAUUUUGAGAGAAAAGGAGCGAGCUUUUUGAGGAACGUUCUGGAUUGGUGUGGAUAAGGAAGUGGUUAGUGAAAACGAAUAGUGAGAGGGUUAGGGUUUAGAUAAAUGGAGUAGCUGAAGAAAGGAUCCAGAAGAUUCUUUGCAUUUCGUAACGAGAGAACCGUUGAUUUUAAUAAGGCUUUUUCACCUACUUUGAUUUUUUUCUAUGGGCCUGUUUGGCUCACUGUUUGUGGCCCAAAACGAAAAACAGUACUCAAGAAACUUGUAUAGAUCAUUUUGUCUAAACUUGUAUAGAAGCCCUUUUGGACAUUUGGAGAAAAAGAAAAAAAAACAAAGACAAAAUUAGAUCUGGGCAAAACAAUCAAAUACUUUAAAUAAUCAACAUAUCCAAAUGGUGUUAGUUUAUUUGCCAAAGAAAAAUACUCUUUAACGAAAUUGAACCAAAUUUUAAUUUUCUUUCUUUUUUCCUUUUUUGUAUUUUUUUCGAUUAAUUUUGGUUAAUUUCGGUUAUAUUCGGUUAAUUUUGGUUAUUUUGGAUCCGAACAUUCGAACAGAACCGAAUCGAUCCGAACCAAAAUUACUAAAAUAUCUGAAUGGUUAUUAUAUUAUCAUAUCCGAAUUAUUCGAAACCAAAGACAGCCGAACCGAAACAAAAUGGUUAACCGAAUGUCCAGGCCUAAACAAAAUGAUCUAUACAAGUUUCUUGAGUACGGUUUUAUGAUGCUAUAAAGUAUAAACCAUUUUAAGCUAAAAUCCAGACAAAGGCAGACAUAUAUGUUGCGAUACGAGGGAGAUUUAGACUGUGUCCGGUGAUGUGAGUUGUGAGAAAACAGAGAAGAAUUUAAAUAUAAACAAGAGAUCACACACAGGACUUAUUUAUUGUGCUUCUUUGAGUUUGUGAUUUGGAGACAAAUAGGUAUGUUUGUUUCUAAUUUCUAUUUAUGAAUACUACAUGUUGUUUUAUGUCAACGACAACACCUAAUGGAAUUUUGUUUUUCUGGUUUAUCCAAUUGAUAGUUUGGGUAUUCCAAACUCGUUUUAAUCCAUUCUCUUACUCGUUUGAAUGUAAUAUAAUCAUAAAAUUAUAAAAUCUAUGUUAAGGCUUUGAGUAGAUUUACCCGCUAAAGUAAAAAAGAAACCUUAAAGACAACACUUGCUAAUUUUCCAAAGAGAGAAUAGACUCCAAAUCACCUAACUACUACAUGAUUGAUAUAGUUAGCCAAGACAAUUUGUUUCUAAUUUUUUUCCUAAACAAAUGAAAGGAACCUUUCAUAUAAUUAUAGUUUAUAGCUUGUUUGUUGUAUGCAUCAUAUACUACAUGCAUUAAAUUAGUCUCCCAUGAAUAUAAUAAAUUCACUAGUUACGGGGGUCUUGUCCUCGCAAAAGCAAAGUUGGGAAGUGAGAUAAUAAAUCUGACAAUAGUGGCAGUUUCAACUCUGAAGCGUCAAUCACAUAAAUAGUUUCAGUUUGGCGUUGGAUUUGAUUUGAUUUGAUUUGAGUGAAUUGACCAAAUAAACACACUUAACUAGUUGACAAAAAAAAAAAAAAACACACACUUAACUAAUAACAAAAAAUAUGUUACGUAACACAAAAAUUACAAAUAGAGAGAGAGAAGUGUACAUGUAAUGUAUUUAUUCCUCAAAAGAUGCAGCUUACCAUAAGAUGACGUCCAUAUCUUAAUGGAAACCGUGCCGUAAAUUUGACUGCCAAUAUUGUACUAUGUAGCAAACAUGAGUAAACUAACAGUUGUCCGAUGAAAAGAAAGAGACUCGUGUAAUUUAAAGCAUUACGACAAAAUAAAAAGGAGUGAAUAAAUAACACUCUUGUUCUAGUAAAACUCUCAUGUAAUGAUUUUCUUGAGUCGUUAUGAUUCAAAAGAAACAAUUCAGUGGACAACUAAGCAAAAAUAAUUACGAUAAGCAGCUAGAACAAGCAACAAAUCAUAUUAAAGAUGCAAAAACAUAAUUUGGUUUGAUGUUUGCAUAUGCGUCUAUAGUUUUCUAAAAGAGUCCAAUGAGAAAAGUUAAAAAAAAGUUGGAAGUGUAAGAAAAAUGUGAAAUUAUUAUGUUCUAUUCUAUAUAAGUAAAAAUAAAAAUAAACCACCAUGAAAUUUGGUUAAAUACUUCAUAGAUUUAUAUUUAUAUAUUUACUUAAGGAUACUUACCAAAAAAUAUAUAUAUUUAUUUAAGGAUUUGGGAUUAGUUAAAAUAUAAAUCGGAAAAGAUAAUGUGUUUCAUUUUGGAUAUGCAUGGUUGAUACAUGUGGUAUCAUUUUAAACGACAAAGUAUUAUUACUCAUGUCAUUUUAAAAUAAGUACAAUACCGUGUAAUAAAAAGACUGAUAAAACCCACCUUAACAGAAUUUACAGCUUUACGCAAUCAUUAUUCUCUCUCUCUCUCCCACGGUCGGUUUACAUCCAUAUCUAAACCCACCGGAGCUCCGACGAGUUUCCCGGCCACUUUUCGAUCGGUAAUAAUCCCUUUUGUCUUCUGAGAUCGGUAAUAUAAAAUGAUCUGUCUUUAUCACUUCCACUUAUAUUUUUUCAUUUUGUUUUCUCCUCGCCAAUAAUAUAUUGAUAGUGAUUGUUUCGAUUAUGGUCCUACUUAUAAUUCCAAAUUGAAAUCUUGACGAUUAUGAUAUUUGUAAGUUAUAACCAUCUAAGUCCGAGUAUUAGUUAUAUAUAUUCUCAGAUCUUUUUUGUUUUUCUUGUUCUUCUUCAUUUGUUGUUCUUGAAGUUUCUUAGGGUUUUGUUCUUAUAUAAAAAAAUAUAUUAUUUUCUGGGUGUUUUACUUCGUCUAUCUCUGAUUUCAUAUUUUUCCCUGUUUUUUUUUUUUUUGUAGUUUUGCAAAUUUAAUGAAGGUUCUUUUCCUUUGUUGUCGUUGGUUAUAUAUAAAUUAAUGCAUAUAUUAUGUAGCUAAAAGGUCCCUGUCACAUGAAUCUCUAUCUUCAUUUAAACUGGGUUCGGUGAUCUUUAUGUUCAUCAGUUCAUGUAACAUGAAUCAUGUUGGUAAGAACUGAGAAUUUCAUUUCUUAAAUUGCUUUUUUGAGCAUCUAGUGAUGAUUUCAUUCUCAUAACUAACAUUCGUAGGGUGUUCCAAUUAAAAAAAAAAAAAAUAAUUCUAUGAUCACCAAAAAAACGUCUUCAGAUUUAUAGAUGUUUAUUAAUUAAUUAAAUGGAACUCAUGCAUGUUUGUUGUUAUGACAGAAUAUCGAAGGUACAAAGAGAUGGAUAUGAUAAAACCAGAGUUGCAUGUAGUUCAACAAAUCCAAAGAGAUAAGUUUAGAGUUGAGCAAAUGAAUGAUUUUCCCAACACUUGGAAUCAUCAUCAUCAGCAGCAGCAGCAGCAUCAGAACAUCAGAAUUCCCAACAACCUUGAUUUGAUUGGUAUUUUGCAGAACCAGAUUUCUGUACCGGUUCAGACCGAUUUGUAUCAAGAUUCUACCGCAACCUUUAUGAACAUGCCUCAGUCGAUACAUAGAGACCCACAAGGCUCUAGUAAUUGGAGAACUAGUGAUUUGUCACAACAGAGUACCGUGAAUUGUUCGGUGGUGAAUUACGGGUAUGAUGAGGCUGGUAUUAGGCCAAGCAACGUUGGAGAUUUGUUCUCAAAUCAUUUCAAUUCUCGGAACCAAAUAUUGGACCGUCCUCUUUAUGUUGGCCGGGAAAUUAUUGCUCAGUCUAGCAUGACAAGGAGAAGUGAAGUUUCUUGUCUAGAUGAUAACCAGAAGGGUUGUGUAACGGUGGCUUGUUCGGGUACUGGUAAUGAGAUUCUAAAGAGCAGUUAUGAUCAAGGUUCUUCUUCUGGAAGUUACCGAGGAGAACUUGAGUUUCUCCCACGUUUGGAGAAUCAAUUAGUUGCGCACAAUGCAAGCCAGUGGAACCACGAACAGCUGAAUUUUACUGCCACUUCUCAUACUAAUAGGAAAGGCUUUCCACUCUCACUUUUUUCUGGAAUACCUUCAUCUAGAGACGUUGGAAAUGCCGCUGUUUCGUCUACGAUGAAUAUCCACGGACAUUUGGGCCCGCUCGGGCCUUUUACGGGAUAUGCAUCGAUACUGAAGAGCUCGAGGUUCUUAGAGCCGGCUCAACAAAUGUUAGAAGAGUUCUGUAUCUCUUAUGCAUCAAAGAUUAUUAGUAGAAGCGAAUCUACUUCCAUGGAUGAUGAUGAUGAUGAUGAUGAUGAUAACUCGUCAGUGUUUAGUAGUUCUUAUGAGCCAGUAGAGCCCAAGAAUAGACUAAAGAGGGCAAAACUUCUUUUUCUACAAGAAGAGGUUUGUGAAACUAUAUUCUUAUACAGUUAUGUUUAUAAUGUUUAUGUUUGUAGACAUAACUAACAUGUUAUAAAUUGUGACAUUGAAAAGGUUUGCAAGUGGUACAAAUUAUACAAUCACCAUUUGCAAACAGUUAUGUCUUCCUUCAAUACAGUGGCUGGUCUAAGAACCGCAACACCGUAUAUCUCGUUGGCUCUCAAACGGACUUCGAGAAGUUUUAAGGCCCUUAGAACCGCAAUAUCUGAACAUGUGAAGCAAAUCUCAAGUCACCUAUCAAGCGGUGACAACACCGUAUUCCAAAAGAAACAAAGAUCUUUGAUUGGUCACAAUGUCGGGUUUGAAUCUCAACAACAACAUAUGUGGAGGCCUCAAAGGGGAUUGCCCGAACCCGCGGUGGCUGUUCUCCGAGCAUGGCUCUUUGACCAUUUUCUUCAUCCGUUAAGUCUCAUAAUGUUUUGAUGUGAUUUGAUUUUAUUUGAUUUGAUGUUUUGAGAUGAUUUCUCAUAUCCUUUAUUGAUAAUACUGUUAUUAGGUACCCCACUGAUUCUGAUAAGCAGAUGCUAGCCACUCAAACCGGUCUCUCUCGUAACCAGGUAACUCAAUUAUGUAAUUCUUUGUUAGGUGAAAUUUAAAUAUGCUUGUCUCUUGAAUUAUUGCUCUUGGCCGGUCUUGUUUUCUUCUAUUGGUUAAAGCAUAUUUGAUGGGACAAUAACCUAAUGUUUUUAGGAUUUCUUACUCUCAAAUAACAUCAAUCUUACAUGUUAAAGUAAAGCAUAUAUAAUCAUAUAGACGUAGUCUAGAUUAAUAGAAGACAAGUUCAUGUGUAAAAAACUGAAAUUGUUCAACGUGUGAAUAGAAAAUUAACUAUUUGCAAACAUUUUCCACAAUGAACUAUAUGUCUGGACAAAGCUAGGUUCAUUAUCUACAAAUAAAAUUCUUAGUAGACUUUGCUUAAUUUUAGGUUUGGUUUUUGACAAGAUUUAUUGACUUGGUUUCCUGUUUUUUUUGUAAAGGUAUCAAAUUGGUUCAUAAACGCCCGUGUUCGAUUAUGGAAACCAAUGGUGGAAGAAAUACACACACUUGAGACCAAAGCCAUUAAAAAUCCAGAUACUAGUCACAACAUGGAGCCAUCAAAUAGACCGAAUACUGUUAGUAGUACUCCGAGCCAUGAACAAACGUUAACGGACCUCUCUGGGACAAAACGGUCGAGGUUAGAGUACAUGGACAUGAUGGGGUUCAAUAGAGGGAACGUGUCACUCACUUUAGAGCUUAGGCGUGGUGUGGACAAUGUAAUCCAAACGCAGACGCAGACACAGGAUCAUCAGUUUGGAACUGGAGACCAUAUGUUUCAUGACUUUGUGGGUUGAAACCCGUUUGCUUUUGUUUCACUUAAAUGUAUUUUGGGUACUCCGAUCCAUAGUUUAACGGAGAGAGAGAGAGCAAGAAAGACAAAGUUGUCUUGAAUUGGUUACUCUUAAGUCUUAACUUAGGGCGACAAAGUUAUCUGGUCACCUUUAUGUCCUUGAUAAUAUAUAAUGAUGUGAUGUCGAUAAAACCAAACCAUUCAGUGUUCCAUUCAUCGUGAUAACCAAUACAAUUCAUAUACCUCUUUUGCCGACUUUUUUUUUUUGGGUAAGACACAUUUACCGGCUUUGCAUAAUUGCAUAUAUAUUUAUUUGUGAAUUUCACAAACUUAGUAUUAGAUUUUAGCGUAAAAAACUGAUAACAUUAUUUUAACAGAUCUUGUUUACUAGUAUAUAAAUUAUCAUAUGAUUAUGGGAUAUUUUUCGUCAAAUUAUGGUUUUCUGGUAGUUUUUUUACCAACACGUAAUUCACCUAUUUCAAUGGAACAAUCAUGUACGAUUUAACAAUUUCACGUUUAAUACAAAACUAGGUACACCGGGAAAAUAAUUCGUAAACUUUUCAUUUUUUCAUUUAAUAUAUUUUAUUCAGAUUUAAUGACAAAAUUUAAUAUUAGAAUUUAAAAAAUGGUUGUUUUUAGCAAGUUUGAGAAUAUUUUUGGCAAUUUGAAUUAGAAUAAUCAAAAUAUAUAAAAAGUAAUAUUUGAAAAUAAAUGUGUGUGACCAUGUUAUAUUAGAAUUUAAAAUAUGAAAAUAAAAUAGGUGAGAAAAAUAUGGACUUGAGUACUUGACACAUCAGCAAAAUGAUUCUAAAAUCUUUGGUUUGCGGUUUUAGAUUGAACUCUUAUCUUUAGUUUUUAAAACAAUUAUUUGUGUAGGCACAAAGCUAUUGACAAAUACCGAGAUAUGCAAAAUACCGGUAUCUAACUUAUCUCGAACAUAGACACCUAGACGAAGACGGCUCGUAUGCCAAGCAUGAUAUUACGAUGGAUCAACUUUUCUUUAAACUAGGUUGUAAGAGUUUGAAGAAGUCGGAUUCGGCAUGAAAUCCAAAUCAAUUUUGAUUAUAUCCCUUUCCAUACUCACUGAUUUUUUUUUUUUACAGCAAAAUAAGAUCAUCCAUUUAAGCUAGAAACAGACGGUUUUCUAAGGAAGAAAAUCAGUUCGGUGUUGAGGAGCUUACAUGGGAAAAUAUAGAAUCACGUGGCUUGCUUUUUUAGCGAGACAAUCGGCAUGGACAUUGUUUAAACGUGGAAUAAAAUCAAAGGAAAAGCGAGAAAAAACAAGUUUUAAAACAUUAAAAUCUUCUAAGGUCCUGUUCGUUUCUCCAUUCAGAUGGAUCAUCUGGAUGGAGAUGAAGAAUGAUGUUCGUUUUUGACAAUUUAACAGAGCAUUUGGAUGAAUCAGCUGGAUCGAUCAUCUGAAUGAGUUUGUAAUUUUAGACAAAUUUGUCAAACUCAUCUCGAUGAACAUGAUUGGAGCAUUUGGAUAGAGAUGGUCCAGUCAAAAAUAACAAAUGACAAAUAUACCCACAUUUACAAUCAUAUAUCAAAUAAUAUUUAUUUUACAUAGAUUUCUCAUUUUAUAUUCUAAAAAUCAUAUUUUCCGGUUGAAACCGCAAAAUCAUGUUUUCCCUCAAAACCGUAAAAUCAUAUUUUCUCACCAAAACUAUAAAAUCACAAUUUUGGCGGAAAAUUACGAAAUUCUAUUUUCCCGCCAAAACCAAAAAAAUUGAAGAAUUGUGUGUUUCCACUAAAACCAUAAAAUCCUAUUUUCCCGCCAAAAGCACAAAACUUAAUUUUCCUGUAAAAUCAAAUUUUCUCGCUAAAUCAAAAUUUCCCGCCAAAACCGUAAAAUCAUAUUUUCCAGCAAAUCAUAUUUUUCCGUCAAAACAGUAAAAUUAAUUUUUUUAUGUUAAAAUCAUAUUUUGAAAUUAUUUAUUUGUAAAUAUAUUUUAGAGCAAUAAUUAAAUUAAUAUUGCUUAGAUUAAAAUUAAAAUAUAAUUAGAUUAAAAUUAUGGGUAUUUGUUAAAGUCAUCUAGAUGCAUAUUGUUUGAUUUGUUUGGCAUAUUGUUUUAUUAGGAAUUAAGAAUUCUAAUUCUAAGGGAUCUUAUUUCAAUUAUGUUUGAUUUGUUUGGCAUAUUGUUUUAUUAGGAAAAUCUUGAUAAAGUGGAAAUUUGGCUUUCCAUCUAAAUGAUAUAUUAUUCUCUAACGUUAAUUGUAUUAAGUGGUGAUUGAUUUCUUUUUAUAUAGAAAAAAAAAAAACGUCAGUGUCGUAAAAAAUUUCUCUAUAAAGAAGAAGAUGUAUUGUGUCUUCUAUAAAACAGAGUUUGUGAUAGCUUGUCUGAGGCUUGUGUUGCUGUUGAGUUUAGAGAGAAAUCACCUUGGGAAGAGAUUGUUCUUGGUGCGACUGUGCGAAGAGCACAAAGCAAAGACUUCUCAAAGAAAAAUUCAUACAUGAUUGAGGAGAGUAAAAUGAGUUUACUUGUUAACCUUAGUUCAUGUCCUUAGAUAGAUAUAUUAGAAUCUUAUUAUAUAAAGUAUGGUUUUCAAAGUUAGUAACUCAUAGGAUCGUGACACGUGGCAAAUCUAUCGAUCUUAGAUUUUGACACAUGUAAAACAAAAAUUUCCUUUUUAAAAUUAAAAAAAGAUCAUUGUAAGUAAUUAUAAAUUUAAAUAAUUUUAAAAAUGUAAAAAAUAAUUAUAAGAAUAAUUUUAAACAUUUAAUAUUUCUAUAAACAAUUUAAAAAUGUCAAAAGAUAAUAAUAAUAAGUAAAUUAUACGUUUUUUAUAAUUAAAAAUAUAUAUUUCAAUUAAACAAAAAAUAAAUCAAGCAAAUUUAUUACAAUGGAAACAUAUGUUAUCAUAUAACUAAUAUGAUAUAUUUUUUUCUUCUCAAAGUUAGUAAUUAAUAGUAUCAGGAACCGUCAAAGAUUUUAUCAUGUGUCAUGAUUUAAUUUAAAAUUUAAUAUUAUUUAUCUCAAUUUCCUUUCCAGUUAGAAAUAUGUGAUGAUUUAAUUAAGCUAAUCCUUAUAUUAUUUAUUUGAGUUUUUUUUUUGCAAUUAGAAAUAUGAAAGAGCAAUUUGUUUUUCUCUUUUGUAAUAUUUUUUUACUUAACUGUAUUUUUUGUUUGUCCUCGAUUAUGAUUGUAGUAUUGUUAGAUUGUUUAUUUUAAUUUCUCUUUUCAUAUUUUAAUUAUUAGAGAUUCAUAUCUCAUCGUGUUUAUAAUUUAUUAUUUUGAGUUUAACUGUUGUAUCUUUAAAUUAUUUAUUUUGAUUUCUACGUUAAAUUUAAAUGAUAUAAGAUUUUUAAUAUAUCAUAGUCCUAAUGACUUUAGAUAGCGACAUGUGUCAUGAUUUAAAUUACAAAUUUACAUUAUUUAUAUCAAUUUUAUUUUUUAAUUAGAAAUAUGUAAUGAUUUUAAAUAAAGUUUUAUAUUGUUUAUUUGAUAUUUUGAAUUUAAUUAUACUAUUUCAAAAAAUUUAUUUAAAUUUCUAUGUUCAUAUUUGAAUUAGAUAAGAUUCAUAUAUCAUCGUACUUAUAAUUUUUUUGGAUUUAUCAAUUUUUAUUUAUUUAUCAUAAAGUAAUUGCAAUAAAGUCUAUAGAAAUCGAACCCGCAACGUUAGAUUGGAAGACUAAAGAAUUUAUUCGAUUUAACAUCUUUAUAUUUUUAACGUGUCUAAUUAAAUACUACUUUGGUUUCACUCGCCAACUUUAUAAUGAAUAUUUUUAAUUUUAGUUCUUCAUAUAAGUAUAAUAUGAGUUAUUGCUAUGUGAUAUAUCUUUCAUUCGAAAUAAUUUGAAAUUAAUAAUUUUAGUGGUUAAAGAUACAAUGCAACGGUGAAAAAGUAAAUAUUUUUUUUUACUUUUGAAAUUUUUUUUUUACUUACGACGUUGUUAAUUAAUUUUUAGUUAAAUUUGAUUUUAAUUUUUAAAAAAUUAAACCCGUCCAUUGGACGGGUCCUUAUCUAGUUUAUGUAUAAAAUCUAGUUUAUCUUGUAUUUCUUAAAGUGAUCUAAUAAACUCUUGUUGCAGCCAAAGUUUAGUGGUUGGUUUGAAAGAACCAAUCGAUAUCUCGAUAAGUUUCGUGUCAUUUCUUUAUUACUUUAUUGUUAAAAUCGUUUCCGUUAUUUAAUUAUUAUAUCUAGUAUAGAAACUCUAACAUCCUAUUGUGGGAAGAAAAAUAAAACAUUUUGCCAGAGUAUUUUUAAAUUUCUACAAAGCUAUGCAAGUAAGUAUGCAUGAAAGUUAAGACAGAACAAAAAAAAAAACAUCCCAAAUUUUUGACAAGACACAUUCAAAUCCUAUAAACAGUUUCAUCGCAAGAAAAAAAGGAUUCCAAACUACACAAUAUACUUCUAUAGGGUUAAAUCAUUAAACAAUUAAAGUAAAGACGCAACUAAGAAAUAACUCAAAACUAUCGGAAAAAAAAAACAAAAAAAUCAGAUAAAAAUUUCAAAAAAUAAAAUAAAAAUAAGUCUUCUUCCGAAGAUCUAUAUUUUCUCUCUUGCCAGAAAAUCAAAACAGCUUUUUUCUCAACAUCUUUAUCUCCUCUCCCUUCUCUUCUGGUGAUAACUUCGAAACCCUAAUUUCUUCUCCUUCUUCUUUGUUUAGGAUAAGCGAAACCCUAGAAAAUUGAACCUGUAAUCGUACUCGUACAUGGAUAUGAAUCCAUAACUAUAUCGAUGCGUUUUCUAGGUUUUUCUUGAGAUUCGACAUUUAUAGGAAGUGAAGGGAUUUUACAAGUUUUUGCUUAAAUCGAUGGCGAAAGGUACGGCGACUGGCGAAUUUGUGGUUCGUACUGGGUGUAAAAGAGAGUUGCAAUUUGUUUUGAAAUCUCAGUCUGAGAUCUGUGGUGGUGAGUCAUUAGGUCGGACUCGGGGAAGCAGAAACUUGAAUGGUGAGUCUAGAAGUGUGGAGGUUAAGAAAUCGGUACGUGGGUCUGGUUUGAAAAGUGGGAUUAAGAAGAUGCGUUUUAGUAAAGAUGAGGAAGUUUUAAUGUCUGAUACUGUUGGUGUUGGUUUGGAAGAAGAUGAAGGUAAGAGUGAUGUUGUUGAUGUUGAAGAGACAAAGGGUUUUGUUAAGGACGAGGGACAAGAAGAGAAUGUGGAGAUUGGGAAUGGGGAUGAUAAUGUGGUGACGAAUGAGGAUCACUUACUGGAGCAACCUGAGAAGGGUUCACUGGAAGUUACGGAGGCUGAGAAGGUGUGUUCGAUUGGGGGAGACAGUGUGAUUGACAGAGAGAUAGUUGUGGCAUGUCCUGCAGGUCUUAGUGUGUUAGAGAAAAUGGCUUCUAGAUCUUGCAAGGUUAAGUUGGAAAGAGGUUUGGUUUAUGCGAAACCCUGUAAAAGGUUGACACGGUCGAUGUUGAAGGUUGAGGGUAUUAAGUCUGAGGUUAAUGUUGAUGAAGAUCAUGUAAAUCCAGAAAAGGAUGCUAUAGAUAGUGAAGAUAAUUGUGUUGGUGUUUCUGGUUCAGUGGCAUGUGAGAUGGAGGAGGAACUUCAUGAGCAAAAUCAUGCGGAGAUAUGCCUCGGGCUUCCAAGUAGAUCAUCCCAGAUGAGUGGUCAUUCUCUAUGCCUUGGGCUUCCAAGUAGAUCAUUCCAGAUGAGUGGUCUUUCUCAACGUGUUGAUAAGAAGGCAGUGAAUGAUGUGGUAGCUAAGCCGUUGAGGAGGUUUACUAGGUCAUUGGUCAAACAAGAAAGUGAUUCAGACAAUCCUAAUUUGGGAAAUAAUACUGAACUAGCAGACUUGGGCGAGGUAGAUAUGCAUGCCAAUGAUGUUGAAAUGGAUGAUUUUCAUAGUCCUUCAGUUACUACUCACAACAGGCGUGGUAGGCCCAAGAAAUUUCUAAGGAAUUUCCCAGCAAAGCUGAAAGAAAUUUUUAAUUGUGGAAUACUUGAGGGACUAACUGUGUACUAUCUUCGAGGAGCAAAGGUAUAUGAUGACUUCUUAUUCUAUUCAUGUAAAACAAAUAUUAUUUAGCUGAUACGUAUGUCACCAUCUUCUUGUAGGUGAGAGAGGCGGGGACUAGAGGGCUUAAAGGAGUGAUAAAGGGAUCAGGCGUUUUGUGCUUUUGUUGUGCCUGCAAAGGAAUACAAGUUAGUGAUCUCUAUUGUUCUUAAAAGUCUUGUAAUUGGUCCUGCCAAAUGCUAGCUGGUUGAGGUAACUUUUUAAAUUUCAUUUCACAGGUGGUGAGCACUGCCAUGUACGAGGUGCAUGCUUCUAGCGCAAACAAGCGCCCUCCUGAAUAUAUCUUACUGGAGUCUGGAUUCACACUUCGUGAUGUCAUGAAUGCAUGCAAGGAAACUCCCUCAGCUACGCUAGAAGAAAAACUUCGUGUGGUAGUUGGACCAAAUUUAAAGAAAUCUAGCCUGUGUUUGAAUUGCCAAGGUAGUUGGACCAAAUUUAAAGAAAUCUAGCCUGUGUUUGAAUUGCCAAGGUUACUGAUUGGUUCAUUGGUUUGUGCAACAUUAUACAGACUGUUUUCACUUGUUUUUUUCCUCUUUAUAAAGAAUUCAGACUGGUUACAUCCAAUUGAUUGCAGGUCCAAUGAUUGAACCUUGUGAUACAAAAUCAUUAGUUGUGUGCAAAUCGUGUUUGGAGAGUAAGGAGCCAGAAUUCCAUAACAGUCCUUCUAAAGGAAAUGGUGCUCUUAACGGGUAUGGCUCAUCUGUCUUUAUUUAUCGCUACAAUCUUUUCUUUGCAGUUGAAUCAUGUGAAAGUAAGAUGAGCAUACAAUUAUCCUGUUCAGUUAGUUUUUCAGACUGGGUGGAAGGUAAAACAAAAAAGCCGCCGAUCUUACCCCGGAAAAUGAUUUUCUAAUUAUGUAAUGUGGAUUACGAGCUGUAUGUUCCUCUAUUAUAUGGUUGCUUAUGUAGAAUUCUGCAAGUACUAACAUGCAUGACUUUAUUUUUGGAUAUAUCUAAUACACCACGAAAUAUGUUGACCUUUAUCUAAUUGAUUGAUUCUAAAUCUGUCCCAAUUUUCAACAGUUCGUCUAGGCCAAGUGUGGAUCCAAAAUCUAUCCUUAGUAGGUCAAAAUCCAGUCCUCGCCAAAGUAACAGGCAAGAACAACCAACCAGAAAGUGAGUAUUGUUGUUAUAUUGAUGGUGCCAACUGUUUGAUGGUGUGCUUUCUAGUUUUGUGUUUUUGCUGCCUUUUUAUAUUAUAAUUAGUUCACAAUCUGCCGUUCAUCAUUCUGGAAAAUGAGUAAAUGAGAAUAUAAUAUUGGAAAUGUGGCAUAUAUUCUUUAGUUAUACAUUGGGGUUAUUGGCUAAGCUAAACUUAUCUUGGGGUUCUACAGGUCCACUGAGCCAGGUGUGGUUCCAGGAACUAUUCUGAGCGAGUCAAAAUCCAGCUCAAUCAAAAGCAACAGCCAAGGGAAACUAACCAGAAAGUGAGUAGUGUUGUUAUAAGUGUGACAGCACUGAUCCGAUGUAUAUAUGGUCUAGUGCUAGUCUGCUAGAUUGUCGCCUUCCUUGCCGUCUGUCAAACUUAUAUUAGUUCUGAGUCUAUCUUUUGUCAUUUUGAAAGGGAUGUGCGGCUGCAUAAACUUGUUUUUGAGGAUGAUAUACUGCCAGAUGGGACUGAAGUGGGUUAUUUCGUUGCUGGAGAGGUUAGAUCUGCAUGAAAAUUGGCUUUUCUCCAGCCCUUUUUUGAAACUUUUUUUCUCCAACCAUUUUGUUCCUUGUGCAGAAAAUGCUUGUCGGCUAUAAGAAGGGAUUUGGGAUACAUUGUUCUUGUUGCAACAAAGUGGUAAGCUCUCUUUAAUGUCAAUUAGUUUUACUGGCAUUAAAGUAUAUAGGGGGUCUGAAUCAGCCUUUAUAAUGUUUAUGGGACCAGGUCAGUCCUUCUUCGUUUGAGGCCCAUGCUGGCUGUGCAAGUCGUCGGAAGCCGUAAGUUCCUUGCAACUGUUUCCAUAUAUAUGCUCUAGUAGUAAUGGGUCUAUACCUGUUCUACUACUUUUUUUCUUUUUUUUUUACCGGUUCUGAUAUAAUUAAACUGUAGUAACGUAAUAAAAUAGUUUGCUGAAAUAUCAGAGAUUGAGGAUUAUAAUGAAGCUACUCACAUUCUCCUGGGAAACCUGAUAACCAGAACCAUUAUUUCUUCGCUCGGCCAUGUAUUGUCAAAGAGUAAACAUAAACAUUUUUACCCAUGGUUACAAAAAGUAAACAUAAAACUUGGAUAAUUAGUGUAAAAGUCGUGGAUCCUUAAGAUCAUUGAUUGUACGAUUCACAGAGAAACUGUUGAAACAACUCAUUUAUUUUCUGUUGAUGAUCAGGUUUCAGCACAUUUAUACAACCAAUGGGGUUUCUCUUCAUGAGCUAUCAGUAGCACUAUCAAUGGACCAGAGGUUUUCCAUCCAUGAAAAUGAUGACCUUUGCAGUAUUUGUAGGGAUGGGGGUGAGCUCUUGUGUUGUGAUACCUGUCCAAGAUCAUAUCAUAAAGGUUUGGUAUUUGCAAUUUUCCAUGUUUGUUUAUUAGAAUUCUUGUAUUGCUACUUUGAAAAAGUUUUUGGAGCUUACCUUUGAUAGAGCUUAUCUGUCUGUUUUGGUUUUAUCUAGUAUGUGCUUCUCUAUCAAGCCUUCCGAGUGAGAGGUGGUCCUGCAAAUAUUGUGUGAAUAUGGUUGAGAGAGAGAAGUUCGUGGAUAGCAAUCUCAACGCCAUUGCAGCUGGGAGAGUUCAGGGAGUUGAUGCAAUUGCUGAGAUAACCAAUAGAUGUAUUCGAGUUGUCAGCUCCUUUGGGACCGAGCUCCCAAGUGUAUGCGUGUUAUGCAGGUGAAUAUCAAGCUUUUCUAUUAUUUCAAGUAUCUUGGUGGUUUCCUUUAUAGUGUCUCAUUGAUGCAUUACCUAAUUUUCUGUAACAACCUUAUAAAAAUUGGUCGUUGUAGUUUAAUGAGUUCUUAUUUGGCUAAAAUUUUGUUCUAUUUUUUUUUUCAUAUUUCUAAUCCAUAUGACUUUAAUGUUUUUUUUUCUAACUAAAGGAACUUGAAAAUGUUUGGUUGAGAAGAUGUGUAUACAUUGGCUAAUUGAAACCAUUUCCUUAUGAGCCUGACCUUUGCUUAAUUUUCUUUGCUGUUGCAGAGGUCAUAGUUUUUGCAGGUUGGGCUUUAAUUCUCGCACUGUGAUUAUCUGUGAUCAGGUACUUUGUUGGUCAUUGCUGUAUAGGGGUCCAUGCCUCUUAAAUCUGCUUCUGGUUUUCACCAUUUUUGGUUUUGUUGUUGUCUCCUCAGUGUGAAAAGGAAUUCCAUGUUGGCUGUUUGAAAGAACAUAACAUUGCUGAUCUCAAGGUGAUCUACCUAUUUUGCUCUUUCAUUCUCUCGGGCGAAAACUCAGUAUCUAUCUAUCUCAUUCUUGUUUAUGUCUUAACAGGAGCUACCUGAAGAAAAAUGGUUCUGUUCCGUCGACUGUGAAAAGAUCAACACUACAUUGGGCAAUCUGAUAAUUCGCGGAGAAGAGAAGCUUACUAACAACAUUCUGAAUUUUAUAAGGACGAAGGAAAAACCUAAUGAAGAAAGCUGUCCAGAUGACAACACCACUCCCGACAUAAGAUGGAGGGUCCUUAGUGGGAAGUUGACCUCUUCGGAUGAAACAAAAAUAUUGCUUGCAAAGGCAGUUUCCAUUCUUCAUGUAAGUCAAGACCAUAUUUCAAACGCUUCUGUUCUUUAUGAAGGCCUAACUUUGUUUGUCCCUUGUAACCAUGGUAUGCUAUAGGAGCGGUUUGAUCCUAUCAGUGAAACUGGGACCAGGGGAGAUUUGAUACCUGCCAUGGUGUACGGGUAAGCAAUUUUGUAGUAUCUUCAGUAAGUCGAGUGGAUUAUUCUUUAUGCUUGUGAAACCUAUUAGCUGAUGAACAUCUUUGUGUGUGGAACAGAAGGCAAGCAAAGGGCCAAGAUUUUAGUGGCAUGUACUGCACCAUGUUGGCUGUGGAGUAUGAGUCUUCUUCUUUUCACUCUAAUUUAUUCUCUGUGACGCUUGUUUCAUCCUUUUUAUGUUGUCUUUUUUUCUUUUGCUUGUGCAGUGAAGUGAUCGUUUCAGUGGGAAUCUUUAGGGUUUUCGGGUCAGAACUUGCAGAACUCCCUCUGGUUGCUACCAGCAAAGAUUGUCAAGGGCAGGUAAUUAGUUUAUAUUUGGAACCUUACAUUUUUUUUUUCUUUACAAGAGGUGCUUACUCCUAGUCUCCUAUAGAAUGGUCAAUAAACUACUAGCUCUUACUGUCAAGCCCAUACACUGCUAAUAAUAGAGUGAUACAUCUACGCACACAUGUUUUUGUCUCUGUUUUUUUUUUUGUUUCGAAUAGCUUAAGAGUGGAACAAUGUGUAGCAUAGAAAUUGCAGAAGGAAUUCUUGUGCCAUAUUUUACCAGCCAUCCCACACAAUAUAAAUCUGAUUUCUUUUUCUUUUUGCUGUAGGGUUACUUCCAAUGCCUGUUUGCUUGCAUCGAGAGGCUACUUGGGUUCCUAAACGUAAAACAUAUCGUGCUACCAGCAGCAGAUGAAGCCAAAUCCAUAUGGACUGACAAAUUUGGUUUCACCAAGAUGACCGACGAGGAGGUAUAUAUCUAGAAAAGCUAGUCAAGAAACUUAUAUACACUCCCAAUGAAUCACAUCUCUGAUACACAGUGUUUGUUGGUGUUAUUAGGUGAAAGAAUACAGAAAAGACUACUCAGUGAUGAUCUUUCAUGGAACAUCUAUGUUGAGAAAGAGCGUGCCUGCACCGAGUGCCCCAAGUAAAACCGAGGGCAGUAAGGAGGAGUAAGCUCAAGGUUGUCUUUAUUUUUUGGUUAGUCGAUGAAACGAUUGGAUGCUCUUUUUUAAUCUAAUUUCGGGUAGUAGCCACGUUCGUGUACAGGUUUUUCCCCUAAUGCGUCUCUCUUUAUAACGGAAAGAGAGAGGAAAAUACACAAAAGGGUAGAGAAUUUGGUUUUGGUAGAGAAGAGUAGAGAGAUGGAAGUAAACAUGGGGCAUUCUUUUGGUGGUUCAAUUGAUUAUGUAUGAAGCUAAUUUUUUGUAUUAUAGUGCCCAGAAAUGAAAUUUAAUUUUCUGAAAUCUAUAUCCAAGUUAUAAUUAAAACUGAAAAUAAUAUUUUGAAUUAGUGUUAAUUGGGCUCUAUAUGUAGGCCCACAGGGCCAGUUAAUUUUCUCGGUAAGUAGAAUUGAUCCGCUAAACCGGGAAAUUGUACCGGUUUAGUUAACGUCGAAACGUAAUCAAAAUUUAGGGCACCACUAAGCGGGAAGGAGCGCCUCUAAGAAAUUUCAAACUCAAAAAAAUCGAAAACAACCGUUGAGAAAAUGCCCCUAUACAUCCACAUAAUUACAUCUCUACCCCACAAUUCCUUUUUUUAAUUCCCUUUAGCUUUCCCUCUUCUCCGUCCCCAAAAUCCAUUUUUCGUUUCCGAUCGCAUUUCUUCUUCUCAAGGUUUGCUUCUCUUCCUGAUUCUUCGAUUAGGGUUCGAUUUCUGAUUUCUUUACUUUCUCUUCGGUGUUUAGGUUUAGAUUACUGAUGGAUUACCCUAUUUUUUUUUUGUAAGCUUGAUAGACUUUUUCUGGGUGAUAUAAGAAGAUGGGUCAGAUCCAGUACUCCGACAAAUAUUUCGAUGAUACUUUUGAAUACAGGUGAUUCUCAGUUUUAUUUUAUCUCUCCCAAUUGAGUUUCAGUUUAUGAUUCUCUAAUCGCGUUUUUUUUUUCUCUCUUAGGCACGUCGUACUUCCUCCGGAAGUUGCUAAGCUUUUACCGAAGAAUCGCAUUCUCUCCGAAGUAAGUUAAAUUAGGGUUUUUCCUCUAAUUCUUUCGUGUACUGUUAUUGAAUUGUAAUUUUGAUAUAAUUCUUGAAUCAUCGAAGGCUAUGAGAUUUACAUGUAUGCGAAUGUCAGUUUAGGAGAAUCAUCAUGCCUUUCUGGGUUUCAUUUUCCCUGUGCAAUGCCAACUUUUUUUACUGAUCAGAUUUUUCAUGAUUUGUAAUUUUGUAGGUUAUUUUAUAGUCUCUUGUGAGAGUCUGGAUCAUGUUUUUUCUUACAAGAUUGUUUGAUUGAGAUCAUAAACUUGUUUAUAAACGUUUAAUUAUGUAACUGUCAGCAGUGAUGAAGAUAGUUUAGACAUUCUUUUGUGUUAUCAGUCACUUCUCAAUUUCCUGAUUUUGAAGUUAACAGUUGUAUUGUUGUUUUACAAUCUGGUUUUGUAGAGUGAAUGGAGAGCUAUAGGAGUGCAACAAAGUCGUGGAUGGGUUCAUUAUGCGAUUCAUCGUCCUGAGCCACAUAUCAUGCUCUUUAGGAGGCCUCUUAACUACCAGCAGGAGCACCAAGCUCAGAUUGCUAAGUAGAAUUAUGCAAAAUUCUCCCUAAUCUCUGUUUAUGUUUCUCGUAAACGAGUUUUUAAAACACUACUCUGAUGAUAUAUUCCUUUUUCUAUUGUGUUUAGGAAUUCUCUUCAGUGGAGAGAAUCAUGUGAGUUUGGUAGAACAACUUUUUAUGUUAUGUUAAGUCUGGUUCUUUGCUAGACUUUGUUUGGAUCCACGUUUGAAUUUCUUCAUGUUUAAGCUGUUAUUUCUCAUGCUUAUUUGCUUGUUUCAUCAUUUCACAACUCUUUUUAUUGCUCCUCUCAGAUGCUUUUGUUUAGUUGUUGAGCAUCUUAAUCUGUGAGUAAAUCAAUCAAAUGGAACUCAAAUUGGAUGUGCUAGGUUAUGUUUGAUAACUAUUUAGGCUAACUGAAUAAUCAAACGGCUGAUUUUGUUCAAAGAGCAAUGUUGAUACUAUGUGGUUAGGCAAUGUGAAACUUAAUUUUGUGUGGUUCUUCUGUGAAGAGAAUUUUGUGUCGUCUAGAAGUUAUGAAUUGAAACUUUGGGGGUUGUUGUUUGAGCUUCAUUGUGAAAGUUAGGGCUAUAGAUCGAAGCUCCCAAAUAAAACUUCAAUGAAGAAACAUUAGUUGAUGUUCUUACACACUUGACUCUUCUUUUGUUGGCUCACUGAUUUGAAAAUACCACAGUAAAGAAAAACUCAAAGCCUAAAACGAUAAACUUGUAAUCAAAUCAGAGAAACUGGUGUCGUCUUGCUCACCGCUACAAUCCAUUAUGAGCGGACACAUGACCCGCUUUCUCUAGUGUUGGAGCCGCAAUGCAUGAUCGCCAUCAAUUGGCAACGAUGCCAUAUAGCCAUAUCGGCCAAUUUUUUUUACUGUGGGGCUUUAAAACCAGAAUUUUAGCCAUUUUUAGAGUUUAACCAGUGUGCUACAACAUAUUUUUGUACGAUUGUGAAUUCAUACACUAUUAAGUAUUAACUUCUGUGAACGUUUUAUUACAUAAUAAAGAUUUUGUUACAAAUUUUAGGCCUUUUUUUUUUUUGUGCAAAGAAAACUUUCAUUCAUCUAAAUCCUCACAAGAGAUGGAAGGUGUGAGCUGCAAUGCUUCUGUUUUCUCUAAUGCUAUCAACCUUUCUGCCUUUUAUGCUCACAACAGAAGGCACUGCUCCAAGAACCUGGAACUGAUUGAACCGUAUGGCCUCCUUGUGUGGACUUAGUCUUGAUCUCUGCAGAAUCAGUGUCUUGUCGAAAUUCCCUAUCUCCUACCUGAAACAGAAAGAAUAUAAUGUUAAUUGUCAAGUUCAUGUAAACAAGAACCUGCAGGAAUCCUACGUUGAUAGCUUGAUCCACAUAAGCUUCUAACGCUUAGGUUCUAUGGCUAAGGCAAUCUACAUUCUAACCAGUAUCAAUUCUCUAACACCACUCUCCAAACUCAGUUUCAUAGUUGUCCAAUUUCCUGCUGCUGCUAUCCUCAGCUUCCUCUGUCAUGAUCUGUACACCACACUCUAUAAUCUUGUCACCGAUGUACUUGUGGUUGAACUCAAAUGUAAUCUCGCUCAUAGUCACAUCAACUUCAUAGCAAUUGCUUCGUUGGCGAAACAAGUCACCAUGAACUAUAAACAGAUGUUUUGACCGAAAACUCAAAUCAUGAUAUGGAAGCUUGCAGCUCUGAACCUUAACACCUCCUUUGCUUCUUAUACUACAGCUUAUACCUUCAUAUCCGUAGUCAUUAACUGGGAAAAUGACAAGGCAAGCCUUAAACCUUGAGGAAGCAGAGAGUGUACCCGGAGCCAGAGGGAUGGUUAUGGAUCUCCCUGUAGCUUUGUGAGUGAACUCUGCAGGGAUUUUUUUACCUGGUAAGCAUACAUAAUCGUAAAUUGAUUUUUGUAUGAUUCCUCUUCUUGCUUCUUCAUCCAGUUUAAAACAGUUUCUGAAACUGAGUCUCUUGGUUGGGUUAUGGAAAGAGAAGCUUUUGAGUGAUACACAAUUGUCUGCUUCUAGGAGACGGAGGGAGGGGGGAAGACCCGGAAUUGACUCGAGUUUUGUGCAGCUUUCGACAGAAAGCCAUUCUAGACGAGUGAGACAUAUGACGCAAUCUGGAAUCGUCUCUAUAUCACUGCCAUCAAGAACAAGGUUAGUUAUAAAAAGUGGUACAUGUGUCAAUCUCUUGAGGCUUGUGCUGCAAAUGUUGAGGUGAUCAAGACGAGACAAACAUCCAGCAGCUGAUGGAGGGACAUCUUCUAUAUCUGUAUCUCCGAGAUUGAGAAACUCGAUGUUACUGGAGAUAUCUGGAAAAGUUGUCAACCGUGAGCAACCACCCAUGUCGAGUCUCUCAAGAGAUGCUAAGUUGAUGUUGGUGGGAAUAACUUGUAGCAUAGAGCAAUAAUCAACAUUUAGAAUCUUUAGUUUUUGUAGAUUCUUAAUAGAAGAGGGAAGCUCCACCAAACUUGUGCAGUACUCAAGUGUCAAUUCCUCGAGAUUAGUAGAUUUUGAAAGAUUUGGGAUUUCUUUCAAUUCACUUGAUAGCUUCAGAUCUAUGAUCUUGAGAUUAGGAAGGGACUGCAUGUUAAACACAACAAAUGAGAAACAUUUCUUAUUUUCAUUAGAAGCACUAGAAAGACUAUCAAAUACCAAACCUGGAUUCCUCCCCAGAGCUUCUCGAGAUUGCUGUGUCGCAUACGGAGUUUCACGAGGCGUUCCGGCUGAAAUCUUAAAGGCAGACUUUUUCUUGGGUAAUAUUUCCAAUGUAGUAACCUAAGAAGAGGUAAAUAAUCCAAAUCUUCUGGUAUUUGCAAACUCCUAUAGAUUGUUAGGAAUCGGAGAUUACGCAUUCCUUCAAAAGCCCCUUUACCUACAGAAACCUCUCCGAUAUUGGAUGUAUCAAAUGAUAUCCCUAGGACUGAUCCAGUACCCUACAAAAUAAUAUUGCCAAAGAAGACUGAUGAAAUUGUUAUCACUAAAAAUAGGCAAUAUACAUAUGUAAGAACUUAAACUUACUGUUUCGGUUGUCAGUACAUCACAAAUCUCAUCGGCCUCAGUUAAAAAUUGAUGUUUCCCGGGCUCGUCAGACUGUUCAUGAACUAUCUGUCUACCCAAUUGUUGUAGUAGAUGGUGCAUCACUAUAUGGCCAUAAGUAGAUUUAUGCACGAGAGACUUAUCGGCUAGGGUCUUCAAACCAUUUCUGACAUCCAAGUUACUGUCAGCUAGCAUGGUUGUCACAUAAUCAACCUUUUCAUAGUUGAAGAAGCAUGCAAUGUGAAGGAAUAGAGAUUGAUUUUUCUUCGUUAAUCUGUCAUAACCCACUUUUAAAAUGUCUUCAAUUCCUCGAUCAAGACUAGCUUCGAUGCUAGAUAAUUGAAGUUCCCACUCUUGCUUGCUCUCCCCACACAAAGAUUUACCCACGACACAAAGGCCUAAUGGAAGAUUGCCGCAAAGCUCUGCUACUUUAUUGGCAACCUCUUCAAAGCCAUCUGGUACAGAGCUUUGUUUGAAAGCAGAGAGACAUAAGAUCUCAAGAGCUUCUUCCUCGGAUGGAAAAUCCACAUGGUAGAUAUCCUUGAUCCCAUGUGCCUCCAAAAUCUUCUUAUCUUCUGUGGUAACGAUGAUCCGGCUUCCAAAACCAAACCAAGAACGUUCUUCAGCCAAAACCUCUAAUUUCUUUAGAUCAUCUACAUCAUCAAGAAUGAUAAGCACUCUUUGGUCGUGUAGCCUUUCUUUGAUUGCACCUAAAUGAUGUAUCUUCAUAUUCUCUUGGUUCAAAAUCUUAGACAGAAGAUGGUUUUGCAACCACAACUUGGAAUCAUGCUCAUCAACACCCAUUCUGCUCUUAAGACUUCCCUUGAGGUUCCCCAUAAUUUAAGUUGAAAACUGCUAGAGAGUUGGUUGUUUAAAGCUCUAGCAAUGGUGGACUUACCAAUCCCUGCAGGACCCCAAAUCCCAAUCAUCUUGACUUCAUCACUUUCCAAGCAUAACAAAGAGUUCAAUUUUGCCAAGUGAGCUUCAAGUCCCACCAUCCCGUCAAAAUCCUUGGACGGUGUAAGAUUAAGUUUGUUUAAAACAUCUGUAGCAAUCUUUUGGAUCAUCUCUGCUUCAUAAGGCCUAGCAAAAGCAAAACAAAUUCAAUUUGGUUGAGAAAAAAAUUGCUUGAGAAAGAUAAAAAGCACUAAAAAUACCAAUUAAGAGAGUGUUCCCCAGCAAUGGUUGCGACAUGUGCCAAAGCUUUGCUCCAUCUCUGCUUCAAUUCCUCAGUUUUCCCUUGACAAGUCUUCUCGAAAGCUUUCCCGAACUCUCCCCUCUGUUUUUUAACAUGAGAAGGAUUAACGUCGUAAAAAAUGGUCAUCAAAAUCUGCCCAUCAUCUUCUUUGCACUUCAAGAUUUCAAGCAGUUCAUCUAAACACCAGCUUGAAGAAGCGUACUUCUUCGAGAGCAACACAAUCGAGACUCUAGAUUCUCUAAUAGCUUGUACGAGCUCAGGUCCGAUCGGCUGGCCUCUAUCGAUCUUCUCAUCAUUGAAAGUCGUGAUACCUUUGCUUGCAAAGAGAUUGUGUAAAUGACUGAGAAACCCUCUACGGACAUCUGGACCAUGGAAGCUCGAAAAGACAUGGUAUCUCUUGAUGCAAGACAAAGAAGAAGAAGCCAUGAAAGAUCACAAAUGCUUGAAGUUGAAGAAAGUAUUUUUAGAAUGGUAUUGGAAAAGCAUGCUCCUUUGGUUUAUGUAGUGAAGCAAAAAAACGCGUAAAGAGAAGAGAAAUUUCGAAGAAGCGUGUUUCUUUAUAGUCGUCGAGGACCCAUCAUGACUCAUUAAAGCUUUGCCAUGUUCCGGUGAAAUGAGCACAGAGUUAUUAAGUAUCCGAUAGUCAAGUUGGUAGAGACGACGAAUCACCAAGUUUCGAAUGAGCUCUACCACAUAUCACUUUCUAAAUUUGGUUUGAAAAGUAAACCGGGUCUUUUAUUUGUUUUAAAUUCAAUAACAGUAAUAUCGAAUUAAUUUCUGCUUUUGGGAAUGAUGAUUUUGGAUGUUUAAUUUAGGUUUAUUCCUGCCAUUGUUUUUGUGUGUGUAGUGGAUGUAUUGAAAUAACGUGUGGCUUCUAUUUUAACAGCUUCUGUUUCAUUGGUGUGGAGGACACUCAGUUUCAUAAGUAAAACAAAAGUUAUCACACAAAUUAGACAUGGGCAAAUAAACCGAUCUGAAUGUACCAAAACGACACCAAAAUAAAAAGAAUUGAACCGAACUGAACCGAUAAUUUGAAAAUAACCAAAUGGAUACUAAAUUCUAUAACCGUAAAAAUCGUAACCGAAUCGGUAACGAACUGAACUAUUUCGGGUAACCAAAAAUACUCGAAAUACAAUUAUAUUUUCAAAAAUAUUAGUUAUUUAUACACCAAAUAAUCAAAAAUACUUGAAAAAUAUAUAUAAAUAGUAAAAUUACUCGAAAAUAACCAAAAAUAUCAGAAGAUACUCAAAAAUAACUGAAAUAUCUUAAAAUAUACAAAGCAAAAUAACCGAAUGGAUACUAAGGCCUUGAAUGUUUACUAGUUUUUGUAAUGGUUUUUGGUUUUUGUUUUUGAAAAACUCAGUUUCACCCAUUCAAGAUUUUGUGAAAAUGGUUUUCCUAAAAAAUAGAGAAUCUAGUUUUUGCAAGAUUUUGAUAAUUUUCAUUGACAAUCCAAAAUCCAUCUUAUUUGAGUUUUUCACUUUUUCUAAACAAAUUCUCAACGUAACAUUCUUUUUUUUUUCAUUUUUCUAAACAAAUUCUCAACGUAACAUUCUUUUUCAUUUUUCUAUUUUUUUAUUUCUUUUAUUUUUCCAAAAUCCAAAAACCAAAAACCAAAAUCUAUAAUCUAAAAACUAUUUAAAACCUCACAACCAUUUAUGGCCUAAACUUUAAAACCGAAACCGAAUCAAAAUUUCAAAAUGCCCUAAUGGGUACUAAAUUUUAGAAUCGAAAUAGCCGAAACCGAAUAAAAGUUUGCUGUUUAUUCUAAGGUUUAUUCUUCUUCUAUCCCUAAUAGUUUGCUGUAAAUGUUUGAGAGAAAGACUAUGCAAAAUUAUAGGAAAAUCAGACUUGGAUAUGGGCCACAAGGGAGUUAUUGGGCCACAACAUAAUUUUUUUUGUAGGCCUAAAAUAUGUUCUUCUUGUUCAUUUGUAUUAUAUUUCUUACUGUAUGUUAGUGUAUUGUAACCAGAAAUUGAAAGCCAUUUUUACAAUUAACCAUAUAUAUAUAUAAAAAAUAUAAUGUAUCUUAUAGUGUUAUGCACUGAUUUUUGGAAUCAAAUGAAAUUUCUAGAAAAUCAACUAGGAAUUCGUAGUUUAAUGAUAAAAAUAACAUUAGUAACCAAACAAAUUUUUGAAUGAAACCAAACCAAACCACCCAAUUUCCAAUCAAAAUUGGUUCAACUUUACCGGUUAAUAACCAUCCCGUCUUCUUCUAAACAAUUUCAAAAAACACUAAAAAGUUAAUUAAACACCCCUCCAUUUUCCUCAUAAUUACAUCUCUACCCCAACCACUUUAUUCCCUUUCACUAUCUUCCCCAAUUUCAAAUGAUCAGAUUACAGAUUCUUCAUUUUCCUCUUUACCUUCUCCAAUUUUUGAUUAGGGUUUCACAUUACAGAGAGAAAUGGGUCAGAUCCAAUACUCUGAGAAAUACUUCGAUGACACUUUCGAAUACAGGUAAGCUUCACAAUUUCGCUUCUUCUUCUUCCUCCAAUUUUUACUCUCAAUUCUCUAACCGUGAUCGAUCGAUACAGGCACGUUGUUCUUCCCCCUGAAGUCGCUAAGCUUCUUCCAAAGAAUCGUCUUCUCUCCGAAGUAAGUUUUGUCGCAUUGUUCUCUGAUUUCUGAUUGAUCAUCGAAGACUGUGAAAAUUUGUUGCUCUUACGAAUCUAAGUUUCGAUAAUCGAAAGAGACGAGAUAAUUUCUGGCUCAGGAUUUGAAUAUUUGCUCUGAAUCUGGGUUACAAUGUUGUUCUCUCUUCUUAGAUUUUGGAUUCUUUUGGGAGAUGUUGUUGAUAGAAGAUUAUGAAAUGGAGAUUAUAAGCUUGUUUGUGAGUUUUGUAGUUGUUAGUGAUGAUGAUAUUGUAGAGAUUAUUAUGUGCAAUCUCUUCGAUGUUGUAUUGGAGUAUUGUAUUGAUUAGUGAUGGUAAAAUGGUUGGGAUUUGUAGAACGAAUGGCGAGCGAUAGGAGUGCAGCAAAGCCGUGGAUGGGUACAUUACGCGAUUCAUAGGCCUGAGCCGCAUAUAAUGCUAUUCAGGAGGCCUCUUAACUACCAGCAGCAGCAGGAGAAUCAGGCUCAAAACAUGCUCGUUAAGUGAAUCGUCGAGUGCGUGUUUACAGUAAGUAAGAAUAUUAUGCAACAAUUCUAUGAAUAUCGAUUUAUGUUUCUUGUAAACAUGGUUUGAACCUUUGUGGUCAUGGAUGAAUAUGUGACUUGGUGGUGGAACAACUUCUAUGUUAUGUUAGUCUGGUUCUAGUGGCAUCUCCUGCUUCUCUGCUUUGUAUUUACUUAUUUCUCACACAUUUCAUGGUUGUUUACUCUUAUCCAAACAUGUGUUUGGUUUUAGAUAUUUUGUUAAAUGGUCACUGGAUAGUCAUGAGAACAAUGUGCCCUAUGUUUCUACUCAAUCAAAAAUCUAGAUGAAAAGAGAAAAAGAAAGUAGUUGCUAACGUUUUCGAUUCUUUUAAGCUCUAGUUUUUCAGUUUUGAGGUCUAUUGGUUUGUAAAUAACCAUUGUUUUUAUUGAUUAAUACAUUUUACAUUUCAACAAAAGAAAAGAGAAACUAGUUGCUGUAUAUAUUAUCAAAUUAGAUCUGAUUGUGUAUAUACUAUGGUUUUAUUCCAUUUUUUGGGGGGUCUUAUAAGGGUUAAUUAAAAUAGAUAGCCCAAAUCUGGAACUUAUUUCCAACAUAGUUUGACUAGCAAAAUUGUAAAGUAGAAAAUAGGGGUUUCCACUGUUUGUUGAUAAUUUUCGGAACUUUUUGUAUAUAGUGUGACAACACUAUUUUACACGAUGAUAGCAAUAUAAUUUAAUUAAUAAGGUUAUUAUUUUAUUGAUUAAAUCCUAUUAAUUAAAAUUUUUGUAUAUAAUGUAUCAUCGUAUAAAAUAGUGUCAUAAUGUAAAAUAGCACUCGUCAAAUAAUCUAUAUUAUUAAUUGGAAAGCAUUGGAUAAUAAAUAACCUUAUAAAGGGUAAAUAAUUACAAAAAAUGUCAUAGGUUUUUAGUGUUUUUAAAUAACUUCAUUAAGGGUACAAUAGUAAUCACAAAAUUAAUAUAUUUAAAUAAAAAAUAGUUUAAUUUUUUUAAAUAAUUAUUAAUUUCCAAAAAAAAUAAACUAAUUUUCUCUCUUAUUAAUUAUAAACGAAAAUUUGAAAUUAAUUUUUUAAAAAUUGUUAACCAAUAGGAAUUGAAAAACUAAGAUUUGAUAUCCAACUAAGAUUUUAAUUCAAAAAUAAAACAAAUUUCAAUAUACUAUUCUAUAUCAAAAAUACAACAGAACAAUAAUAUCAUUUUAAUUCAAAAUUAAAAACACUAUCAUUUAAAAGAUUUACCAAUGGAGGACUUUAAAAUUAUAUUUAAAAUUUUGUAAGAAAAUUAAAUACAAAUAUUUUAAGAUUCAGUUUUGUUAUAAUAUUUUCACAAAUUUUAAAAUAAUUUCACAAUUUCUAAAAUACAAUAUUAGGUAUUAACAACUCUUUAUAUUUAUAACGAAAUAAACUCAAAUAAUAAUAAAUUUAAAGUAAUUAUCAUUUUAGCCUUCGUUUAAAGCAAGUUUGAUAAAUAUCUAACAAUAGAUUGUAUAUAUUAAUUUCUAAAUUAUUUUGCGUUUUAUUUUUUGUUUUUCAACCGGAUCUUCCUUAAAUAAAUUUCUAAUAUAUUGCACACAGUUUUCAAAUAAUGUAAACUAAUUAUAUAUUUUGAAUUCAAAACAAAUUAUGCAGCAAUAGCAUAUCUCUUUUAAAAAUGUAUCUCAAAUUUUUAUUUUUAGUCCAAAAAUCAAAUUAAUUAUGAUUAAACAAUAAAAAGAAGAAUAUGCAAAAUUUAGCUAAGGAAAGAAACAUUAAUAAAUUUGUUAAAAUAUAUUUGUAACUUUAGCAGCAUAUAUAUUAAUCUACAAAACUCACAGUAUGUAUAUGGUAUUUAAAAGUACGCAAAUAAGAAUUUGGAACAUGAUUUUAAUGGAAUGAAAUGAGAAUAUGAAUUACGAGACGGAAUGAGAGGAGAACAUAAAUUAAAAAUCAAACUAAAUACCCAAUUGGUAUGAGUUCAGGUUAUGAGCACUAUAUAAAAUAAAUUUGUUUACAUACAUAACCCUGUACGUACGUUUUCAGUUACACAUAUUCUAUUUAUGCCGGAUACUGGACUGUCAUAUUUUUAUUUCACGUAUACAAGACGGGUUAUGGGACCAAGAAUUUAUGACAGAUAUAGGACGGAAUAUGUUUCCCGUUCUAAAAUAGUUACGCCUAGCUAAUAUACAUGAAAUAACCAAACUCAAACCGAAUCUAUAUCCUAUUUAACACAUGUAAUCAAACUAUUAGAAAUGUUUUGAUUAGUUUAGAAAAUAAAAAAAGUAACAUCAUUUAACUUUUGCAACUAAAUUAUAUCUUAGUUUUAUCUUAAAUAUAAUUUCGCACGUACUUGUAGGUCCGGAUCUUAAAAUAUAACUAUGCACUAACGCAACUGAAUUUUAUUUAUUACUCUAAUUUUAUAUUAUUUGUACUAUUAUAAAGUUCACUAACACAACAAAAUAUUUUAUAUUUUUAAAAUCUAUAUAACAAUUUCUAUAAAAAUAUCUCUACACGUACGUGUGAAUCCAAAUCUAAUACACUAAAAUAUAUAUCAUAAAAACAACAAAAUAAUUUAUAUUGAAUUAAAAUUUGUUAGAACUUUUUAAAAAAUAUGAAACCCCGCACGUACGUGCGGGUCAUGAUCUAGUGUUUAUAUAUAAAAGAGCAACAAUUACUAUGUAAAAACAAGGUGUCAUCAGAUUAAAUAUAGUGUGAUAUGUUUAUACAUUGCCAAAAAAAAACUAUAAUGUUACUCUUAAAAAAAACUAUAAUAAUAAAUAAAUAAAUAAAACAAGUGCAAAAAACUGUAAUGUUCUCUAUGAUUAUUUUACAUAAGAAAAUAUUUAAUCACUUUGCAAAGUGAAAAGUCGAACUUGUACCAAUCCAAUCUAUAAUAGAUUUGGUUUUAUUAAGGUUAGUAGUUUUUAAAACAAAAAAUAAAAACACAGAAAGAACUAAAUCUAGGUUGUACAUUCCCCCUACUUCAAACUGAUAUGAUUGGAUAUUUGGAUUGGAAUAUAAUAUAUAACCAAAUGAUAUCAAAUCGACGAAAGAUAUUGAUAAGAUUCAUAAUUUUGCCCUACAAAAAAAAAAAGUAAGAUAAGAGAGUUCAAACACAUGGAGAAAAAGAAAAGUACAUGUUCCAAUAAAAGACAAAUCAAAGUUAUACGAACAAACCUCUAGUUGAUGUUCGUAUUCACUUGACGCUUAUGUUUGCUCUUUGAUGUGAUAAGACUCAAAAAGACCACACCAAACAAAGACAGCUCAAUGUCUCCUUAAAGCCUUUAACCUAACACAUGCACAAUCUUUCUUCCUUCUUUGUUUUGAUGAGGUAAACAUUUGCUUUCUUGUUCAUUUGUUUUGUGUUUUCUUUAGUAAUUGUAUUGUGCCCAUCAAUCUUUUUAACCCUAUCAAUUUUUUUAUAUCACUCGUAUUUACAUCUAUUUUAACUAUAGUUCACAUAUACAUUUUUUUUUACUGAGACCUUUUAAACCCUAUGUUAGGGGAACAAGACAUCUUAGAAGAAUUUGUGAUAACUGUUGUCUAAAUCACUAAUUCAUAAUUUACAAAAGAUAAGACUUAAUAUGAUCAAAAGGGUGGUGGCUUGGGGGUAGUACAAGGGGGUUGGAUUUUUUUGUACCCCGAUUCUUUUGGUACAAAAGGUUAUUCUUUAAAUUGUAAUAUCUAAAGACUGACUUAAGAUACAAGAACUCACACAGUUCAUUUAAAAAAAAAAACUUAGUAUGAAUUGGCAUGAUGAAUUAAAUUUAAGAUCACUAGGUAUGUAGGUUAGCUAAUUUAAUUAGAUUUUUUUUUUUUUUUUUUUUGUAUUGGGGUUAUAUUUGAUUUGGUUAUAUUGCUUGCUUUAGAUUAACCACUUGAGACAUAAGUAUUGAACGUUGCUUCUAUCUAUACUAUUAAUUGGGAAUCACUCAAACAUAAGUAACCUUAUUUUGGUAGAUUAAUUACAAAGAAUGCCAUUGGUAUUUUUAAAUUUGAAAAAGAAUAAAAAUAUAAUAUCCAUUUGAUAUUUGUUUUCUUAUAUAAAACAAAAUCCAAAAUUAAAUCAACAAAUUAAUAACUACCCAAUAUUUAUGGAAAUUGUUUGAAGUAGUUCCCAUAAAAUAAACAAAUUAAUAACUACCCAAAAUUUAUAGAAAUCUUUUAAAUUAGUUUCCAUAAAAAAUCUAACUAUUAAUUUCAAAAUUGUAUAUAUGUAAACUUAUUUAAUUUCGUAAUAUAUUUUGAAAUAUUUCCGGAAAACAAAAAAAUCAAUUUAAUAUCAUCAUAUAUUUUCGAUUUUAAUUUAUUUCUUUAAGAAAAUAUAAAAAUAAAUUAUGAUUAAUGGUUUGACCAAAAAAAAAAAAUUAUGAUUAAUGGAAGAAUUUUUUUUUGAAAUUGUAGAUAUGUUAACUUAUUUAAUUAGGCGAGGUAAUGUUAGAUAUUUCCGGAAACGACAGUCCAAUUUAAUAUAAUUGAAAAAUAACAAACAAUAGUUUAUUUUUGAUUUUUAAAAUUUCCAUAAUAAAACUAUACUAAUUAAUUUUGAUUAGUUUAGAUGGAAGAAAUAAAAAAGCAAAUUUGAUUAUUCCAAUGUUUUAAGAAACAGUUAUUAUAUUUCCCAAAUAUAAUAUAAACUAGAUAUUUUGUAUUUUGAAAUAUAGAAUAUUCCUCGAAUAAAUUAGAGAUUUUAGAUUCGUCAAAAUCUCGAAAUAUUUUCUGAUUUGAAUGCAAUUCAUAAGCUCUAGACAAUCCAAACUUUCAUCUCAUGUUUUGAUUUAUUUAAUUAAAUAUAAUAAUUUAAAAAAAUCAGUAAAUAUAUAUUAGGCUAAUAAGACUUUAUUAGUAACCUAUAAAAUGUUGCCCACUACAUAUAAAAUAACAUAUGUAACACAUGUAUCACUACAUUAAAAUUGUCGGACCAUAUAAUAAUAUAAUCAGUUUAAAGAUUAAUUUAGAAAAUUAUUAUUACAACAAUUAAAAAAUUAUCAUGUGUUUUCCCAUGGUUAACACACUAUUGUUUUAAAACAUCUACACACAACUCUUCACUAACCAUAAAUUUUCCAUUUACACCAAACUAUUAAUACACUACAUAAAAUAAAAUUGUUUUUGUAACACUACUGUAUAUCAAUCAAAACUAUAAUAUUUUCACAUUUUAUAUAAUUUUUAACUAUUUUUAAAAAAAUUUAAGAUUUAAAAUUUUUUAUAAUUUACCCCGCACGAACGUGCGGGUCCAGAUCUAGUACUUAUUAAAUUAGCCAUCCACAUAAAAAAAUACUCUCUUUGUUUCACAUUAUAAGAUUUUCUACUUAAACACACACAAAGUUUAAGAAACUAUAUAUGUAUUGUUACUUUUACAUAAAUAUAUAACUUUUUUUUAAUCAAUAGAAAAAAAAAGAUAAUACAAAUGGUCAUAAUAUACUAAAUAAUAAACAUAAAUUAUGCAUAUAUAUUUGAGAAAAUCUAAUAAAAUGAAACAGAAGAAAAGUCUAAAACAUCUAAUAUAUUACCACAUACAGAGUAUUUGUUACCACCUCAUUACCAUUUAUUUAAUUUGUCUAAUAUAUCACCUCAUCUAUACUAGUAUAAUCGCAGCACUUUUUGUGACAGGUGGGUAAAAAAGCUUUCGGGUAUAUCGGAUAUCCGACCCAUUUUAAAAAUUCCUUCACAAAAAAUUUGUUGGGUCGGGUUAUAUUUAACCCAAUUCAUACACCGGAUAUUCCAUAUUUAAUAAUUUAGAUUUUUAGAAGAUUUGAUUAAGAUUUAUAAUUAUGAUUCUCCUAUCAUUUUUGUUUGAUUUGUUUUUAACUGUUUUGAAUCAUCAUAUAAUACAUAAAGUAAAAAAAAAAAAAUCAAUUUUUUUUCUGCAUAUACUGUGAUUCGAAAUUUUAAAAACGGACAUAUAUUAUCCAAUUGACGAAAAUGUGUGUUCAACGUUCUACAUCGAUUAAAAUAUUUAGACAAUGAUUCAGAAUCAUAUCAUAAAUAAGAACAUUAAUAAAAUAAAUGAGUUUUUUGGCGGGAUGGGUUUGGCGGGACGGGUUUUUGAAUCAACAAUAAUAAAAAGAUUAAAAUAUCAUUAAUCCGCCGCUUCAAUACGGAUUUAAUCCUUAUUUUUUUUAAUACAAAUCACAGGACGAGUUAAGAAAUUACGGAACGGGUUAUAUUUCGGAAAUGAUUUAUAUGGCGGACGAAUUUGAAUCAAUAUUUAUAUACCGCUUUAAUACGGGUUAAAUCCUCAGUUUAUUAAUAAUUAUCUCAUGGACUCGUGGUAUACCGUUACUUAAUAACAAUUGUAAACUAUAAUAUAAAUAAAUAUGUUAUAAGGAGAUACAAUUUACAAAAUAUUUUUAUACUAACUUUAAAAUUAAAUCAUCCCACGAUGUACCGCGGGUUAAAAUCUAGUUAUCAUUUAUUUAAUUUGUCUCAAACAAAACUUCAUCUCACGUAAUUACUUGUUUUAGAUAAGCGAAUUAUAUAUGCUUCCUCCAAAUUAGUUGUAACUGAUUAUUAGUUUUAACUUUGAACAUUAAAUGCAUGUAUAUUUGAAGUUAAUGAAUAAAUACAUAUACGUAACUCAUUCACCGCACGGUCCGCACCCUCCUUUAGGCCCCUCCAGUAUGUGGUUGAGUGGUGCUACGAUGAUUAACACGCUCAUCUUAAAUAUGACUUUUAAAAAGGCUUUAUAGAAAAUUUAAAGUGUUCAUGAUUAUCAAUCUAUCCAACAUUAAAACAAAAAAUUAUGAAUAUGGACGGCGAUAAGGUGAGAGAGAGGACUUUGCAAAACAUACCUACAAAAUGCGAACGACCAAAGUAAAAACUUUAUGAGAUAUAUAUAGUGGUCACAAAUUCAUAAAAUCUAUACAAAUUAAAAUUUCGUGAAUAUGGGGUCAAGUUCAGCUCUUUGUUUACUGUAUUACUACUACACCGCACGUAUUUGCAUCAAAAUCAUGGAGAAAAAAAUUCAGAAACUGAGGUAUUUAGAUACUAGUCUCAUUUUUAUUUUACUUUUUCCAUAUAAAUUGGAGAAAUUAUUAGUUUCUGAAAAUAAAUUGUUAUGAAUUCAGUCAAGAUUUAGUUUUACUUAAGAAAAUUUUAAUAGAAUAACAUAAACAAUAUUAAUUCACAUCAAUACUCUAAAAAUGCAUCAACUAAUAAAUAAUAAAAUGCUUUUGAAAAAGGUAUUUGGAAUCCAGAGAAACACUUUAGAUAUCUUAUUAAUUAUCCCUUUUAUAUUUUGAAUGAGAAAAGAAGCUCUAAAAUAUUCUAAGGCAUGGGCCCAUGAUUUAGCCAAUGUGCCUAAUGAUAUCUAAGGUUCUAUUAACAUUGGCCAUAUUAGCGAAUGGUCGGGCUAUUAAGCAACAUUGAAACUUUAACUAAAGAAUAAUAUGAUUGAGUCUAUAUUGAACCAAUGUGGUUCAUGAAAAUAGUCUUAUUUAGACUAUGAUUGAGGCCACUAACAAAUUCCGGCGGCAGAUCAAAAAGUCAUUCAAACUAGUUAACAUGUUUUCUUAAAUUUUCAGGGAAAUUGGAACCAAGCUUUAGCUUUUCUUUUCUUUUAAUACUUUGUUUUCAAAAUCAUAUGGUAUUAUAGAUUUAUGUAUCGUUAGUGGUCUUCCCUUUUCUGUUGUAAUUAAUCAUUGUUUUGAAUCUUUCAUUCUAUAUGGUCACGCCAUAUCACAUCUUUUCACUUUGUUCUUCUUCUUUUCUUGAUGGAGAAAUAUAAGAAAUUAAAGAAGAUAAGUUAUAUAUACUCAUUUAAAUUAAUAUAUAAAACUUUCGAUUUUUCAGAGCGAGAUGCAUGCACUUCUUAUUUCGUUUUUUUUCUUAAAGGAAAAGUAAUUGGGUUUUGUUGAACUUGUAGGUGCAUGUAAGUAGUUUCAUUUACAUACAUUAAUUAGAAAGUAACAAGAUUUUGUAAGGUAUGAGUAGCUAGGAUUUAUGAAAAAACAAAACAUUUAUUUUAGACUAUACUCAGAAAUAUAUAGCUUUGGUGUAAUUAAAUUUCGAAAAGUCUGUCUUUUUAUUGAAUACAUGCAUGCAUUCGUUUGUUUGAUCGACGUCACAUGAAUUUUUCUCUUCUUUUCUCAACCAACCAUUUUUUUUCCAUUAAAAAAAAUUCCAUAAUAUAGGCAUAUAGCUUGAGAGAAAUUUAGCAAAAUUUAUGAUGGAUUUUUGACAAUAUAACAACAGAAUAAUAUAGAUUUUUUAAUAGAUUAUUAUAAAAAAUCUAAUACGGGAUAUUGACUAUUGGUCUUCAAAGUUUUCUUCUAUUCAGUUUAUGUUCGUUAGACGUUCGGGCAACAGUGUCGCUCAUAAUCUAGCAAAGUUCAGUUCUUUCCAUGGUGAUUUCUUUUCUAGUUCUGUAGAUUAGCCUUUGUGGCUUAAACGAUUGGUUUGUAAAGAUUAUUUCAUUACUUAAUAAAGUAUAACAGUUUGCAGGGGAAAAAAAAAAAAAAACAGAAUAAUAUUAAUAUUGUGAAAAUUUGGGUGAACGACCUGUGUCCCCCCACGAAAUUUCAUAUAGUACCAUAACAACACAGAUUUCGGGUCUCGUCUCCAGUUCACAUAAAACGAAAGUUAAACUCCAGUUUCCCCCUAAAUUGAAAGUUCGAGACCUCAGUCUCCAUAAAUUUAAUUUUCGUGGUUUAUCAUUGGUUUACUGUGCCGAACUCGAUGCCAAACCAAAACCCAGAAUAAUAAACUGAUUUGAAACCCAAUUUGAGUUAUCCCAACCCGAAAUAAAUAAACCACUCUUAAAUCAUCUCUCUCGCCGAAAUAAAUACUUGGUCGGUUCAGUCACCGGCGGCGACCGACGAAGCUGUCGGGUUUGGGUUCGUCGUCGCCUUCAACCCAACGAGAUUAAACCAACGAAUCAUCAAAAUUUCCUAGUAAUGAAGAAAAUUUAUGCAAAUCAUGUAAGACUAACAAGAAAAAAGGAAGACUUUGUUAAACUCAAAUCUGUUUACAAGAGAAAAAAUACUAUCUUUUUGAAGACGAGAUGAUUAAUAAACCUUAGCACAGCUCUCAAUCUUAAACUCAAUUGUUUGUCUCACAAUGUAAUAGUUUGGUUGAUUUUGGUCAACGAUGUUAUCAAUCUCGUUUAGAAAAGCAAAUCGGCUUCUUGGCGUUGACCAUAUUCCUUUCUCUUUCUUUAGCUAUGGUUGCUCUGCGUUUCUUCUUCUCCUCGUCUCUUCUUAUUCUUCUUCUUCUUAUCAGGCUUACCUCGACGUUUGCUAUCCAAGAAGCCACCAUUGAAGACAUCAGACUUGCUUUUAAGGAGAAACGACUAACAUCAAAGCAGCUUGUUGAGUUGUAUCUCGAAGCAAUCUCCAAACUUAAUCCAAUACUCCACGCAGUCAUCGAGACGAAUCCUGAUGCGUUGAUUCUAAAUACUUAUUUCAAGAAUCCCCAAAUUGAGAACUCACUGAUAAUUUCUUCUCCGGUGAACUUCCGACAACGAUCCGUCGAUGUUCUCGAUCAGAUUUACCUCUCAAACAACUGGUUUUCUGGCGAGAUUCCACCUGCGAUCGGUAAUUUCCCCAAUUUACAGACUCUGUUCUUAGAUCGGAACCGAUUUCGCGGGAAUUUACCGAGGGAAAUCUUCGAAUUGAAGCAUUUAUCGAAGAUCAACACAAGUGCGAACAAUAUCACCGGUUCAAUCCCUACCAGAAUCGGAAACAUGACGAGUUUAACAACUCUCGAUCUCUCUUUCAAAGAUCUCUCCGGAAGAGUACCACUCGGUGGUCAAUUCAUGGUUUCACGAUUUGUGGGAAUAUCGGGGUUAAUGGGUCAACUAAUUGGGUUGGUUUCUGGGUAAAUCCGGUUUACUUUCGAUGUGAAGCGGUUAAUUGGGUUUUCGGCACAGUAAACCGAAGAUAAACCACGAAAUUUGAAAUUAUGGAGACUGAGGUCUCAAACUUUCAAUUUAGGGGGAAACUGGAGUUUAACUUUCGUUUUGUGUGGACCGGAGACGAGACCCGAAAUCUGUGUUGUUAUGGUACUAUAUGAAACUUCGUAGGGGGACACAGGUCGUUCACCCUGAAAAUUUCGAUGGUUGGAAUGUGAUUGUGAAAGACCAGUCACGAACAUUGUAACACACUACUCAUUUCUUAAUAUAAAUUGUGGUCCAUAAGGAGAAGCUUUUAAAAAUUGAAUACAUUACGUCAUUACCUAUAUCACUUAUACACAUUUAACUUUUUAGUAGUCUAACAGAACUUAUAACACUAAAAUACAUUUAAAUUUUUGGUAGCCAUUAAAUAAAAAUUAUUUAUUUAAACGUAUUUAAGUUGAAACAAUUUAUUCUAUUUAAAAAUCAUUUUUAAUACCAUAUAUACAUGUCCGAAACUACACUGAAAAUGUCUCAUGGUGUUUGCAAGCCAAACUUUCUUUCAAAUUCUCAAAAAUAGAGAAUGAAAAUGAAACCCACAUACCCAAAAUAAACUGAGAUACAUGGGAUCCACAUAAAUGACAUUGUAGGUGUUACAAAUAAUAUGCUGCAUAUAUAUCUCCUUUCUCAUACUUUUUGUAGGUGUUACAAAGAAUAUGGUAUAACUCGGUCUAAUAUUUCUCUUUGUUUUUAAUUUUUCUCGGUUUUACAAUAAGUAACAUGAUCUUCUUUAAUAACUUGAAUUAACGUUUAGAGUAUUCGAGAAGGGAAACAAAAACAGCCCAAAUGGAUUAAACAAACAUUGAAUCGGUUAAAUUGGUAAAUUUUAAGAGAAAUUGUUAAUAAUGUCCUGUUUCACGCACCCUUUUUUAACAUUGCCCCUUUUUGCUUGCCAUUUUUAAAAAUACCCCUUAAUUAAUUCAAAUAUGACCAAAGUACCCUUGCUUUCAUAACCUAAGAUCUGCACGGUUCUCUCAACCAUUCUCUCUCUUUCUCUCAUUUCGAUCGGCGACGAUUUUCCGAUCUCGAUUCCGAUAUCUCGAUUCCGAUAUCAAAUCGGCGUCUCCUUUCGAUUUCGCUUUCUAUCGGUGGUAAAAUCUCGUUGUUCGUUUUCGAUUUGAUCUGUUCGAUUUCGAUCGGCGUUAACAUCUUUUUGUUCGAUUUUGAUUUCUCAGCGUCUCCGUCUCCGUCUGUGUUUUAUUUCGAUCUGUCCCACAUCGAUUCCAGGUUAGAUUCCUCACUAUGUUUUAGAAGCUUUUUUGAAAGGUUUGUCUUUUGGAAGUUAGAUUCUGUGGUUAGAUUCUGUGUUUCUGUGAAAGUUUGGUCUUCUUGAAGCUUUUUUGAUCUCAUUAUUGACUGAUAACGCUUGAUUUGACUGCUUGAUUUUGAACUGUAGAUUUUACAACAUUUUUAAAGGUUCGUUCUUAACUUGUAAAUGCUUCUUAAUGCUUGAUUUAGGGUAUAUCCUCUCUGAUUUAUUCCAUUUCUUGAUUUUAUAACCGUUAACUGUGGAUUUUACAACAUUUUUUAAAGGUUCGUUCUUAAUGCUGAAUUAUUCAUUUGCUGUAAUUUACAACCGUUUUAAAAAGGUCUUAAAUGCUGAAUUAUUCCUUUGCUGUAUUUUACAACCGUUUUAAAUGUUUUACAUUCUUGAUAUGGUUUUUAUGCUUGGUAUGUGAAUAAUUUUCUUAAAUCCUUUUCAAUCAAAAUUCGGAUAGCUUUUUACAAGUAUUCAGAAUGUUUUUAAAAAGUUUUUAUAACUCAUCUUAAAUAAUUUACAAGGUUUUUUAAAAAGUUCUUACAAAGGUAUUCAAACUUUUUUUGAUCCGUUAAGUAUUAUUAUUAUUAUAGGAUCCAUAGCUGGGCAACACUCUCUUGAACCAAAGUUUUUAAAAAGUUCUUAACUGUUCACACACACACCUCUUGAACCAAACUUUUUUGUUACAUAUUGUUUUUUGUUUACUGAAUAUGAUUGUUUUGAUUCUGUAGCAGUCUGACAAAGCUUGUCCCAAUAUAGAUGGUGAUAUUGGUGUUGAUGGUGAUAGCAGAGAAGGUGAUGAAUGUGGUCCAAGUAGAGAUGGUGAAAUUGAUGUCGAUGGUGAUAACAAAGAAGAUGAUGAAUGUGGUCCUAGUACAUUUGAAGAUUCCAUUCGUGAGCCUAACACAGAGGACGGGAGCUAUGCUGGAGAUGAUGAAAACAGCCAGAAGAUUCGUUCUGAAGAUGAUACAGCUGAACCUACAGCAAAGGUAUAUUGAUCUACUUUUGUUUAAAAAGUCCUUGAUAUCUGAGUAUCAUUUUUGGUACUAAUCCUAUGGUUUUACAAGAGGUUUUAAAGUGUUUUAAACGGUUUUACAAGGGUUAAUAUGUUUUACAAGGGUUUUAUAAGGAUUUUACAAGGGGUUUUAAAGUGUUUUAAAUGGUUUUACAAGGGUUUUAAAAAGAUUUUAUAUAGAUCUUACAAGUGUAACAACUUUUUGAAAACCCCUACCCUAAAUUUCUCUACUCCAAAUUUCAUUAUUAUCUGAUAAUCAUUUUUGGUACUAAUCCUAUGGUUUUAAACACUUUUAUAGGAUAAAACCCCUACCCCAAAUUUCUCUACUCCAAAUUUCAAUAUUAUCUCUGAAGAUAGUCAGGAUAAGGAGAAGGAAGGAAUUUCAGUUUCUGAAACAAACAAUGAGGCAUGUAAGAAAAGUUCUGAAAGUAAGAAGUACUGUAGAAAGAAGAGAUAUGUCAGAGAAAGAAAAGAGGUUAGUAUUCAAUAUUAUAAAAGAAGAUUUCUUACAAAAUGAAGGUCAAUUUAGAGAUAUGUUUUAAAUGUUUAUAAUGAAAUAUAUUCAAAGUACUUACAGGGGACUUUUUUUUACUUUUUUCACCUGCAGACAAAUAAGCGUAAACAAGGGGAUAAUUCUUAUAAUGAUAUUCCUACAAGAAAACAGGUAAGAAUUCAAUUUUGUAAAACAAUCUGUUCGUUUUUAUAAACUAAUUUCACAAGGAAUGCAUUGUUGCAUUUCUUUUGUACAUAUAUAAGCAAAGACAUUACAAGUUUUACAAAUUGUAAUGUCUUUUAUUACUUCACAAGGAAUGCAUUGUUUUAAACUGAGUAUUCGUGGCAUUGUUUGAAAUUUUUACAAGUUGUUUUUAUAAGUGUUAUUUUGUUUUUUUUGUUUGCAGCCUCAGAGAAAAAAAUGCAAAAAUACUGACAAAGUUGCUGCUGAUCUUGGAACAAGAACAUGUGAUCAAGAAUUAGGGGAUAAAGCUGAUAAUGAUGUUCCACUAAAAACUAGUCAACAAGAUGUAGAUAAUAAAUCAAAAGCUGAUGGUCCAUCAAGAAGAAGCCAGCGAAGUCAAGUGCCUUCCAUUUAUUCUCAGCCACCUUACACGGCAGAGAAGAAGAAGCACCCAACACUUCACCCCUUUGCAAAAGUUGACACAAAAAGGUUUGAAAGUUUAUGUGAAUGGAAGAAGUCGACAAAAAACAAGUGAGUUUUAAGUUUGUAAAACUCAAAAUAAUAUUCAUAACGUAUUUUAAAGGUUUUACAUCAUCUCUGACUUUUACAAUGUAUUUUAAAAUGAUUUUACAACGUAUUUUAAAGAUUUUACAUUGCCUCAUUGGAUGUUACAUUGACUCAUUGGAUGUUCUUAUAAUUAUAUAUAUAUAUAUAUAUAUAUAUAUAUAUAUAUAUAUAUAUAUUUGUUGUAGGGUGCUAACAGUUGGGGGAAUCAAAGUAGAUUCCAAAUGGUUCACAACACUAGAAACGCAGGGGAAACCAAUAUCAGGAUCGGUAUGUAUGAUUUUCUUUCAAGUAUUCUAAUCUUGUAAAACUUUAAAAAACCAUUGUAAAUUUUAAAGUUCAUAUAGACUAGCAAACAUGAGUAAUUUGUUUUCCUUUUUGUGUGUGUUUUUCUUAGCAUGUUGAUGCAGCUUUACACUUGAUCAAAACUAGAAGGGAAAAUCAUCCAGAAAUGUACCUUAACAAAACUGUUGUUUUUGUUGGAUCAUCUUUCUUAAAUGCGAUUGACGAUGAGUAUGCUGAGUUUGUAGUCGCAAAAGAUGAUUUUCAGUUUAGUUCUGAAGAGAUAAGUAAGCUGGAGAUUGGAAGCAAGACAAAUUACAUAUAUGCUCCUAUGUGCUUGAAAGGAAAAUGUUGGGUUCCAGUAGUGAUCAAUAUCGAGAGAAGGUCUUUGAUCAUUCUCGAUUACGCGACAUCAUUUGUUUCAGAAAAUGUUAAAAGGAUGCAUGUGGUUGCAUAUUCUGUUGCGAUGCCGUACAUUUUGCGCAAGCUCCUCAACAAAACAGAUAUGGAUGUUUCAGCAUUCAAAAUAUCUGUAGUGGACAAUAUAUCACAGGUAAAUUUUGUGAUAAGUGAGAUUGUAGAUUGUAUUCAUUAAAACCUUUUUUAUAUGUCUUUUUUUGUUUUUGAUGCUAGGCUGAAAAGAUUGAAGAUACUGGGAUGUACAUGAUGAAGAUGAUGGAAUGCUAUGCUAUGCAUAUUAAUGCAAAUGAGAAACUUUCAGAAGGAAAAAUUGGAGACAUGAGAAAGAAACUUGCGGUUGACAUCUUUACAGAAAUAACAGAUUUCUAGGUAAGACUUCUCUCAGGUUUUAACAUGUAAAUUAGAAACCUACAACUAAGCUUAUAUUUCUUGAUUUAUUACUUUGAUCAGGGGCUAAUUGUAAGAGCUGGGAAGAAAAGAUUGCUGGGGGAAAAAUGAUCUGUUCUUUUUGAAGAAAACGUUGCUGUUUUACAAAUUUUUAAUUUUUGCUGAGAAUAUCUGUAGUGAUUUUCGCAUGAAUUUUACUUUGUAUAACUCUCUAGUUGUGAAUUUAAGUUUUUUUUUUCUAUGUACCUGCAUCUAUAACAUCCAAUCUUCAUUUAUACCAUUUUAUCUUUUGAUGUUAAUUUUUAAAAGCUAUCUAAACAUUUUACAAUGUUAAGUCUUCAUCUAUACCAUUUUAAUGUUUUUACAAUGUAUAUGAUUAUAUAUAGAAAGAACUUUUAAGGUUUUACAAUGUUUAUAAGCUUAUGAAAAUAAAACCAUCUUAUUUAUAUUUUUAUCAAAUUUUUCAUGAUUCUUUAAAUUUACAAUUGUUUUACAAAGUAUUUUCAAGUUUUUAAAAGAUUUUUCAAAAUUUUGCAAGGUAAUUUUAGUUUUAUAAUAUAUUUUUCAAAGAUUUACAGUGUGUUUUAAAAGUUUAUAACGUGUUUUAAAAUGGUUUUACAACCUGUUUUUAAUCGAACUAAGAAUAAGAUAGUUGUAAAUAGUUGGGCCGAAAUAAAAAAGAAAAAACCUUUAAAACACUUUAAAACCCAUUUGAUAGAGAAAAAAAAAAAUAGAAGGGGAAAAAAACCGAUUCUCUCAGUCUCCUUCUCCGUUGAGUACAAGAAGAAUAAAUUAAGGGUUUUCGCUUAGCUUCACGGCUUUAGAUUCUACAGUUUUGGUUCCAUCUCGGCUUCUCCGUUUUCAUAAGGUUCAAUCUCGUCUUCUCCGUUUUCAUAAGGUUCAAUCUCGACUUUUCGGCUUCUUCGAUUUCAUCUGCCUAGGGUUUUGGGUUCCGUCACAUCAGUCGAUUUUACGGUUAAAUUACUUUAAAACUUCGUUACUUUUUUGAUUCAUAUGCCAAAUUAGGUUAUUUCCCCUUCAAAAUCGAGUUUUUGUGACAUUGGAUGAUUUUUGAAAUUUUGUGAUUUUAUAAGGGUUUUACAAGGGUUUUUAUAGGUUAAUAGGACUUAAAAGGACUCUAGAAAUUCAAUUAAUUUUACCUUUGUUUUAAAAUCUUUUACAAUCGAUUUUACAAGCAAUUUAAAUGGUUUUCAAAAGGGAUCUAAAUGGUUUGAUUCUUUGAGAAUGUGUUUUGAGUAUUGAUGAGACUUUUCACUUUUCACAAAGCUUCCAAGUAGGUAAUGAUGUUUGCAAUGUACUACUCUAUUUGCAUUUCUAGAGUUGUUCGUUUACAUGAUUUAAUUUUACAUGCGUUUUAAAGCUUCUUAAAGCUGUUUUACAAGCAGUUUAAAAGCUUACAAAGGGGUUGUAAAUGGUUUGAUUUUUUUGAGAAUGCUUUUUGAUGGAGAUGUUUUAAUUGUUUUUCUAUCUUUCCUGCAACAGAGUGAAAAAUGAGUCAACCUACAAAGAGGCUGUUUCUCCCAAAAAGAUUGAUUGACCCAGGGAAUGAGGUGGAUAAUUUGAAAAGAAUAUCAAAGUAUUCUUCAGAGAAACUUGUAUUGAAUGUUGUCAAGGAUUCACUUAGUCCCACUGAGUUCAAUCGGAUUCAGAAUUCUUUCUUGGGACCAAUCAUAGAUUUUGCGGAACGUGAAGGGAUCUGUUUCUCAUCACAGCUGGUCCAUCACUUUCUUCAGAGAAGAAUAAUGGUUAACAAUGAGGAGUUGUGGUUUGUCUUCUCAGAACAACCCCUCAGAUUUUCUCUGAGGGAGUUUGUUAUUACUACAGGGCUGCCUUUGGGUGAUGAUGCAUCACAAAGCCAGUCAAUACGAAAAAAGAGAAAGAAAGAAGAUACAUGGAUGAAGGAUGGUUUAAGUUUGAAAGAUCUCCUUAAUACCUCGUCUACAAAACGCAAUGCGAUGGAUGCUGAUGAGAGGGUUAGGUUAGGUGCUCUGAUUCUAGUGGAGGGCAUCUUAAUUGCUUCAAACCCUGUAAACAAUAUAGAGAAAGAACAUCUGGUAAGAGCUAGUAGUUUCACAGAGUUCUGCAAGUAUCCGUGGGCUCGCAUUGUUUACGGGUCUUUGGUGGAUUGCUUGAAGAAGAUAACUCCGACUCAAUUGUUUAGAAACCAAUGUGGGCUUCCUGGGUUUGUUUUUGCAAUCCAGAUUUGGGCUUUAACCGCAGUUGCAGAGUUGGGACAGAAUUUUGGCAGUCGGGUCCUAGAACCCAACGACAAUCGUCCACUGAUUUCGCAAUGGAUGACAACAAAAUGCCCAACUAAGAAAGAUAUAGCAAAAGUUACAAAGGUUGCAACGGUAUGACAGUUUUUCUCUACUACUUUUUUCCAACUAAUAAGGUUUACAAUUGUUUUACUUUGUUAUACAAGAAUUUUAAGAAGUUUACAAGGGUUUUAAAAAAAUGGCAAGAUUUUUACAAGACAUUUUUAAAGGUUUUACAAGACAUUUUAAAAGUUUUUACAAGCUUUAAUACAGAUUGUAAAACCUUUAAAAUAGAUAGUAAAUGCUUUAUGAAAUAAUUGUGGUUCACAUUUCUAACUUAAAUUCAUAUUCUUUUUUAUGCAGUUUGAUAUUAAACAUAUCAUUGGCGAUCCUGAACAAUAUUCUCAUUUGGUUCUCCCCCCAAAUCCAGAAGACAAGGACUGGUUUGAAGUCUUUGACCUUGUAGUCCAAGGUUAUAGGAUGACCAGGCAACAAUGGAUUCAUGGAUGGAUUGAGGUUGCAGAAUGGAAAACGCAAAAGCCUGUAAAUCAGCCUAGACAAAGGCAACCAAAGUCUGAGACUGUAAAUCAGACAAAACCAAGGAAAUCAAUGUCUGAUAGUGAAACACUAGAAUUGAUCUACAAGGCAUGUUUAGAAUUGAACAAGAGAAUGUUGGUGGUGGAGAAACAUUUAGGGAUCAAAGAACCUGAUGCCAGGGAUGAUGAAGAAAAGGAAUUCCCAGCUUCGUCAAGUGGAGUUGUAAGUGGAAACAAAACGAUAUCUUUUUAAAUAUAUCUUUGAUCUAUAGGAUGGUCAAAUUUGAUUAUGUUUAAAUAUAUUUUUGGUGUUACAACAGAACAAAAAGACUAUCNNNNNNNNNNNNNNNNNNNNNNNNNNNNNNNNNNNNNNNNNNNNNNNNNNNNNNNNNNNNNNNNNNNNNNNNNNNNNNNNNNNNNNNNNNNNNNNNNNNNNNNNNNNNNNNNNNNNNNNNNNNNNNNNNNNNNNNNNNNNNNNNNNNNNNNNNNNNNNNNNNNNNNNNNNNNNNNNNNNNNNNNNNNNNNNNNNNNNNNNNNNNNNNNNNNNNNNNNNNNNNNNNNNNNNNNNNNNNNNNNNNNNNNNNNNNNNNNNNNNNNNNNNNNNNNNNNNNNNNNNNNNNNNNNNGAUUUUUUACUGAUUUUCAAAGAAUUUGUAAGGGAAUUGAAAAUACUUCAUUCAUGACAUGACAUGCAGGAGCUGAAACAAAAGUUAUAGGAGCAGGGUUUGCAGAAUACAUUUGUACCUGUAAUAUAAUUUUUGCAAAUUUACAAGUUAUUUUGAAUCUUUGUUAACUUAUUUACAAGCUAUUUUAAUGAUUUGUUUACUAAUUUACAAGGUUUCUUUACUGUUUUACCUCAUUCAUGACUUGAUAUGUAGAAUAAGUAUCUGUAUUGCUCUCACUACUAAUUGAGAUGUUGCUUGUCCCCAUCAUUGGAUUACUGCUUGUUUUCCCCUGUAAAGAUAAUUAAAACUGUUUACAAAUUUGUUAAACCAGUUUACAAAAUUGAAUGUUGGUAAAAUACCUUCUCAACAGUUACACAUAGCUGAAUACCGCCUCUGAAUUCCGCAAGCUUUUUCAUAAAUGCUUGCACUUGCCUAUCAUUUCUAAUAUACAUAGGAGGCAUGUCUUUUGUAGAGGGUAAUGAAUAACUGAGUUUCACUAUAUUAAUACCGACAUCAAUUCCAAAAUCUUCUAUAACAACAGCACACAAAUCAGUGAAACACGUAUCCUCAUUGAUAAAAGUAAGAGACCCUCCUCUUUCAACAUCAAAUUUAAAAUCCCAACAAUUGUUAUUUUUCAAUUUCCAAACACCAGAUAUGCAAUUCAACUCAAUCAUUACGACCUGAUAAAAAAGAUAAUGUAUUAUAAUGUUAAACAUAUGUAUCUUUAUGAUAGUUCACAAGGUAUUUAUAAAGUUCUUCAUGGUUUUACAAUAUUUUUUAAAGUUUACAAUCUUCACAAAAAACACGGUAAAUCAAAAUUAUUUCACUAAUAGUGUACAAUAGUUACUGAAGAACAUAAAUACAGUGAGAAGAUGAAGAAGAAAUUUUUACAAUGGUUUUAGAAAGUUUUUAAAGGUAACACGAAUUAUAAUUUUCAAGCAAGACAAAUUCGAGAAAAUAGAUAAACACAGAAUCGAAGCUCUUAAUUAAUCAAUUCAGAUUUGAAGACGAAUUCGAUGAACUUUUGGAUCUAAACGGUUCAGAUUUCAGAAGCGAUUCGAACCUAAUUGAUGCAGAUUGGGAUGAGUCACAGAUUUUUGAUUACAGACUCGAUUGAUCCUCAUCGAUUGAACUCGAUUGAACUCGACGGAUCUAAGAUGAAGAUAUCGACGGAUCUAAGAUCUCAUCACCUUUUGUUCGUCGGCUGUGAAGGUGACGAGAGCCGCCGAGAUUUUUGGUUCGUCGUUCCCCAAUUUUGUCUUCGUCAAUUUGGUUCCUCAAUUGGUCAAUUUGGUUACUCAUUAAAGGUAAAAUGGUCAAUUUCAGGGAAGCUAUUAGGGAGGGGGCAUUUUUGAAAAGGAGUAUUAAAAAAGGGGCAUUUUUGUGAGUCCCCCAAAUUUUAAUCAUCAAAACAUAUCUAGUCAAUACCACUACUAAAAGGGCACAAACACGAAACCGUUUAUAAUGAUUAUAAUAUUUAGGGUUAUACUAGAUCUACCUUUUACUACAAUCAUGAUAUUCAUUUAUUAUUAGUUAAUACAAAAAAAAAAAAUCUAUACCAACGAAAUCCCCAAACUUCCUCAUCAACAACUUAGCUUAGAUGUUGCUUGUCUUUUUCUUUAAACUCAAGAAAUUCAAUUACAACACUUGUAAAUUUAUACUAAUAGAGUUUUUUCAUACUUACCGACAAAGGAAAAUUUAGUAAAAUGUAUACUUAUGAGGCAAAUAUUAGCCAUCUCCAAUACUUAGAAAAGCUUAAUGAGAUAAACAAACUAAUUGAAAAACAGUAUAAUGAUUUUAGGUUCUUAGGACUCUACCUGGCAUCAAUUAGUUGGAAUAAGAAUUCAUAAAAUGUAAAAAUUACCUUUACAAAAUGCUACUCAUGGAAUUGUGUAUUAUUUUUUCCUUUUCCGAAGUUGUACUAACCAAUAUUCCUCAAAGACAAUGUUAGUCCAUUAAUCAUGCAUUCUCAAUUUUUGUCAUCUAAUUAAAUUGAUGAUAAAGAAGAUAAAAUUAAACACAUGCCAUGUUUUUAGAAAUUCUAAGGAUAUUAAUUAGUUUUUGUUCUCUUCAUUUCAAAUUAAUUAAUGUCGUUUUAGAGUAACAACUAUGUUUUCUUUUGUUAAAUUUUGACUCUUGUUAUUUUAAUGUACUUUUGAAUUUUUGAUAAGGAUAUGUAUCUGUUGCCCCUAAGUGAAAUCAACAAUAGUGUAAAAUAUAAUACAAGUACAAAAUCAAUUUUAUUUUCUUAGGACAUAACCGAAUAUUUAAAGUGAUUCGUGUAAACAUGACACUUAAUUUGAAAUGUAAACAAAAUAAUUAAAUGAAAAUAAAAAUGUGUGUGAGUACAUUAGUCUUAUUGCCACCAUGGUUAGGGAAAAUACAAGAUCGGAUUCAGAAUCCAUAGGAUGCAGUCCAAAAAUUAGGUUAUAUAGAAUAUCUAGUUUCACGAUUUUCUUUUUCAUAUUUUAAAAUUUUGACGGAUUCAUAUCAAUACAUAUGCAAAUACCAUAACAUUUGGAUUGAUACCCAAAGUCCGAUAAAUGAUAAUCUAGAGAGCUCAUCGAUUAAUAGUCACAUUCACAUAUGAGAUCUUCUACUCUAGAUUUGGAUCUAAAUGUUUAGUUACGCUCGCUGAUGUUAUAAUUAUCGGACGUUCGAACAUCAAUCUAAUAUCUGUGUAAUCAUUUUUUUUCGUAAAAUCUUUCGUUUCUCCAUAACGCCGGCGCAAUCUUUCGUUAUUUUUGCCACAGAUAUGUCGCAAGCAUUUAAUGCUCAAAUUUUGUUUCGCUAAACUCGCAUUUUGUUAGAUACUAGGAUCGGACCCGCGGUCCACCGCGGGAGAAUAUUAGUUUACAUACGUUGCGUUUAAUAUUGUGUGUGUUUUUUAGUAGAACGAAUCGUGUAGUAUACUUAUAAAUAUUCAUAAUAACGAAUUGUAGAGAAAAUGUAAAAUUGUUUAUAAAUAUACCCAUCGUAUUAAUUAUGAUUUACAAAAUAGAAUUUUGUGUUUUAAAAUUCUAAAAUUAGACGAUUCAUGGAAAUUAGAGCAGUCAAAAUAGGUCAAAAACCGCGGGUCGAGCCCACAUCAUCUCACUAUGGGGCAGAUUUGGGAAAAUAUAUUAAACCCGCAAAUAAGCGGGCCACAUGGAUUCAUUCGCAGUGGGUCAUAGGUUUAAUCGGUUUUCAUCCGCGGGUUGGCGGAUCAGCCCGCAUAUUAGUAUUUAUUGAUAAAAUUAUAACUUAUUCAACAUGUGGUAAUUUAAACAAACUUUUAAUAGUAUUUUGAUUUAUUUAUUUAUUUUAGUAGUAUUUUAAAUUUUGGUUACUUUAAAAUUAUUUAAACAAAAUCCAUGGACAAUCCCGCAAAUCCGCAUACAUUCGCGGGACGGGUUUGUAUUUCAUAUAUGCUACCCGCGGGUCAUGCGGACCGACUAACUACAAGUCAAAAUAUUUUUUGUCUAUCGCAAAACGGACUUAACGGGACGAAUCAACUCGCUUUGACAGUUCUAAUGGGAAUAUUAUUUAGUCAUACAAUAAAAUGAAGUUUGGACAUAGUAAUAAUAGAAGGGUGAUUUAGGUGAAUAACCCAAAAAAAAAAAGAAAAAUUAGUUUUUUAGAAAGAAGGUAGAGAGAGAUAGGAAGAGAAAGAGAGUGAAUAGGGGGGGUUAGAGGUUAGAUAUUUAAUUUUGUUGUUUUUUUAGGUUAUAGGGUGCAAUUUCUCAUAAUAGAAUAUGUAUCUUAUUUGUUAGAUGAGAGAUUGAAAGAUGAAGUAUAAUGAUUAAAAAUUAAUUAUUAUUUUUCAUGAUUCACAAAAUUUAAUAAAUAUUUAUCAUCUUGUUGAAUAAUUCUAAAAUCAUAUUCAAGAAAUCUUUAUAAAUUGAAAAUUAAACUUCUUUGGUAAGCUAUAGGUAUGAAAAUAUCAUAAUUUCGAUUUAAUCUAAUUAAAUUAAAAUUAGUUACAUGGAUUUCAUAUCUAUUUAAUUUACAUGAAAAAAAUAAAAAUAUCUAUUUAAUUUACAAGACCAAAAUAAAAAUAUCAAUUUAAUUUAUAAAACAGAUGGGUUAUUUGUGAUAAAUUUUCUAAAAAUCUUUAGAAGCAAGUAAAAUAUCUUUCAAUUAAUGAUAAUUGGCUAAAAUGAGCGAAAUUAAUGACAAAAACGUUGAUUGUUAUGGAAUUAGUCCCAAAAAUAUAUGAACAAAUUUAUUAUACGUAAUUAAUGUAUAAUAUUGUUUGGAAUAUGCUUUUAUUAUUAGUUACCAUAAGUACAAUCAGAUUUUAUUUGAUUUCCAUAAAUAUUUGAUUUUAUUUCGAUUUUUCAUUAUUAAUUCGAAUUUAUAUUCCAAAAAAAUUUCAAAAAUCCGAUUUCAGAAUUUCGGGUCAAUUUUCUGAUUCUAACCCGACCCAUUUUCAUUUGUACUUCUCUUUUAAUAAUAUAGAGAUAGAGGUGAUAAGGGUGAUUUGAUCUUUUUCCAAAACUAGAGAAGAGAGAGAAUUAAAUACGUAAUUACGCUUCUCAGAUCUUACAAUAUAUAUUCUUCUGUGGUUUUAUAUUUCGUUCACCCAAAAGAGAAAAGGAUAGUAUAAAAUUAUGUUUCUUUAAUUUAUCUACUUAAAAUAGAGAGUUUCAAAUUAGAUAUUCCUUAAAACUAGUAGAUUUUUAGCUAUACAUAAUUAGUUUCAUAGUUGAAAUUUUUGAUUUUUUCUUUAUUUAUUAUUAGUAUUAUUUUUAAAAAAAUAAAAUACUAGUUGAAUCCAAAAAGAAAAAACCAACUUUGGGAAGCAGGGAAGUAUGGUACGUGUCAAGCAGGUAUUAGUCGGUAGUCAAUUUUCCCCAGACGUUCGUGUUACGGUAAGAUUUUCUUCCCAAAGAAAGCAGAGAGGUCCACAUGUUCCUCCUCUGAAAAUCUCUCUUCUCUUCUUCUCUCUUCUCUCUGGUUAUAUUCUCUCUCGGAGGUGACCGUUUCUUCACUCCUAAAUCGAAGCCACGAGAUUGAUUGUUUCACUGGUAGGUUUCAUUCAUGCCGUCUCUCUCAUUCUCUGUUUUUCCCCUUUCAAGUUAGGUUUUGAUUUUGUUAAUGGCGGAUUCUUAGGGUUUUCUCUGGAGUUUUUGCUUCAUCACCAACACUGAUUACUCCUUUUUCCUUUCUGGAGCUCUAAUUUGGCUAUUUUGUGGAUUUGAUUUUGAUCGGAUUUUGUGGAUCUUUGAUUAUUUUGGGAUCCGAUUCGAGGUUUUCGAGCGUUGAAAUCUUUGACUACGUAAACGGAUUAGAAUGUGAGAUUUAGGGUUCUUAAUCUACAUUUUUUGAUCGGGAAUCUGAUUUUGAAUUUUUUUCGGCUCUAUGUCGAGCUUAGAGUCGGUGAUUUGUUGAUAUAGAGAUCAUCUAUUUGAAAUUUGGAUUUGAUUCAUUUUAAUUGUGAAUAUUUUGGUUUUUUUUUUUCCAGGUGCUUUGCUUGGAGUUGAGUUUUAACCUCGAGGAGGUUGCAAUCACUGCAAAGAGAAGGAAUCUUUUUUUUUUGUGGAGAAUGUUGUUGGACGAUAAGCAUAUGAUUUCAGUGCAACGCGGCUUUAAGUGUCGUGGUCAGAUGAAAUUUCUGAGGUAUUGAAAUUGAUGAGCACCAUAGGAGAUGAUCAAAAUCUAUCUGGUGAAGCCAGUUUUUGUGUAUAUUUUGUAGAUAAUUAGGCUUUUUGCUAAUACAGUUAAAGGGUUUGUUAAAGAUUGAUCAAAUGGCUAUUGCUGGUCUGCAAAAUAUUUUGGCGAUCGAUUCCUCUUUCCGUCGGGACUCUGAGGUUCGGCCAUCUAGACAGAGGGAAAAUGAAGGAAGGCCAAGCGUCCGGGCAUCCUCACUCCUACAGAUGUGGAGGGAACUUGAGGAUGAUCACGUGAUGGGUCAUGCUCGUGAGAGGAGGAGUGGUUCUUCUCCUUCUAGUGCUUUGAGGGGAAAUGGUUGUGACAGUAAUAUUAGUGCACAUGAUAUUGUUAGAGAUAGUGUAAAUCUGGGUGAGAAUGAACUUGGUGGAUGGUCUCCCACCCAGAGUCAUGUUGGGUCACAUAACUCGAGUGAGGAUCUCGGCCCUUUUCAUAGCGAGCAUUUUUCUGAUCUGGGGAUGGGUGAAAGGGAAAGAGUUAGACAAAUUUUUCGUGAGUGGACGAGCUCUGGGACAGGUCAGCAUACUGAUUCUGCUUCCCACGCAACCAACAGCUCAAGAGCAGAAUGGCUUGGUGAAACUGAACAGGAAAGGGUGAGGAUCAUAAGGGAGAUGGUUCAGAUGAAUAGCCAGCAGAGGCCUGCUCUUGGUGAUCAAAGGGAAGAACAACCUAUUGAAGGUACUAAUCAGAUUGAAAGAGUACUUGAUGGACAGGUUGAAAAUGCAAACUGCAUCCAGAAUGAACAUGCUAGAAGAGGCAUACGCAAGUUGUGUGGUAGGCAAGUGUGGGUAGAUAUGUUAAAAAUGGCUGAGAGAGAAAGGCAAAGAGAGCUGGAGGGUUUGAUGCAGCAUCAUGCUGUAUCAAACUUCGCUCAUCGUAACCGCAUUCAGGUUUGCUCAUUAGACUUUUUGACUGUUUCUUGCCGUUCUGUUACUUGUCUCUGUGACAUUGAAUAUGUUAUCUUUAAGUAACUAUUCCGAAAUAAGCAAAAAUUAACCUUUGCUAUAUUGUCCGAAACCACUGUCAGAUACACUUACAGGCUACUGAAUUACCAAUAUAUUCUUAAAGACUGAAGAGGCCCCAACCUUCCUAAUUCUAUUUUGCACUAUUUGUGUAGUUGGAAUAAGAUACAUGAACAACAAUUAGCAUUAGUUCUAGAUACAGUUUUGAGCCUGUUGUCGUAGACGAACAAUGACUGAGAGAUAAGUAGUCACAUUAUUUUCUAACAUGAUUAAUGAAAUUCAUAAACAGAUGGAUAAUGUAAACAUACUUGAGGUUGAGGGAGUUUACGAUUGUUACUCUUUUCUUCCUGUAUACCUUCCAUUCCCAAUUUGGUCAUUUUAUACUGUUUGUUUGAAGAGAAAAAUUCUAACUUGACGUUUGUGUCAUAGGAGUUGAUUGAUAUGCUUAGCAAUUCUUAGUUGUUUCUUUAUAUUUCCUUCUGUUAUAUAUUUGCUUAUCAGUACUGGUCAGUUUAAGGUGGCACAUUGGUUGUUUGAAGGUUCUAGAAGGAGUUGAGAGUUGGAUCUAUAUCUCAACUCUAUAUCUUGGGUUUGUGGCUGACAUAGCUUGAAAUCAUAAUUUUAAAUUGCUUUUGCAGGCAUUGCUAAGGGGGAGAUUCUUGCGAAAUGGGGACAACGAUGAUAAAGAGAAACCAACAUCAUCCGCAGCUACUGAGUUGGGCUUUCUAAGAGAGAGGCACACUGUAUCUGAGCUGAGGUAGUUAAUUCUUCUGUAAUAAUCAAUUUGUGCAAAUCUUUGUGUAUUAUUGGAAGGUUUUUUUUUUUUGCCCUUUCAUAGGCCAUAUAUGUGGGUAAAUAUCCUGUGCAGCUUUCAAACCUUUUAUGCUGGUUAUGGAUAAACAGAUCUGGUAAAUCUUGGAAUGCUUGCUUUCUUUGUUGGUCUUGUUCAUCCUGAAGUUUAAUGCCAGCCCCAUUUUGUAUGAGUUUUUAGUUUGAAGUAUAUUUUCUGUUUGUUAUAAGUGCAGCUUGACCCAGAAAUGAAACUUCUGUUGCUUUAAAGGUGUUAAAAACGUCCUUGCUUACUGAGUGUUUGUCCAUGCCAGGGAGGAAUUUAUAUCUAGAUUGGACCGGUCUGUCUCUGGUCAAGCGAGCAGUAGUCAUUCUGAGACCUCAUCAAAUGCUGAAACCGAUGAUAUUAGAGGUGAACAAAACGAACUGAAUUGUCUCGAUAGCAUCAAUGGUGCAGACGGUGGUUCAGGUCAAAAUGGCAGAGAGGCUGACAACCAAAUUUCGCUGGAUGAGAUAACUAAUUCUGAACACUUUUAUAAUCGGAGCACAAGUUUGGAGGAAAGGACUGCACGUGUAGAAGGCUGGCAACGGUCAGAAAUUGAUGUUUUUUCUCAAAGAAGAAAUGAUGCUGAAGUCGACAUGAAUAACCAUCAAAGAGAGGAUGCUAUUGGGUGUUCAUCCUCUUCAAUUCAUGGAGACAAGAUCAGAUAUGGCUGUCAAUUACGAGGACCUAUCGAGAUACCUUAUGAACAGUCUCUGCAAAGUUCCGAAGAAAUUGCCACCAUGGGACCGAUAAACAGGACAAUCAAUUUCCAGGAGAAUCUGGUUGAAAACAUUAAUCUAAAUGUCACUCCAGAGGAACAACCCGAGGAGGAGACUAUGGAAAACGAAGAAUCCGGUUGGCAACUUAUCAAUGGUGAAACCAGUGCAUGGAGAGAUGACGCUAAAGAGGAAGCAGAUACAGAUGUUCCUGAGAAUUUUCCAAAUCAGUUAUCACAGAUAUCAUCCGUGGACGAGGAGAGAGAAGCCCAUGUUCUCACAGAACUCGCGGAGAUGCAACCUGAUGAUACUGAUCUUCAAAGCACAGUACAAGACUGGUCGGAAGAACAUUCUGAUCAGGACACAGUUUCAAUUGGAAGGGCAGCCACGUUCUUUCCUCCGGAUGAUGAUACUGAAAACAACAUGGAACUCCGAGAACUCUCGAGCAGGUAAGAAAUUUAGUAAAUUUCUGCCGUAAUGGCCACACUUUUCAACCUCAUUCUAUGUAUCUGAUGGCUUGCUGUUGGCACUACAGGAGACGUGUCUCAAAUCUUCUGCAGAGCGGGUUUAGGGAAAAUCUUAACCAGUUGAUACAAUCUUACAUGGACAGACGAAGUCGAAAUCCUGUCGACUGGGAAGAACACGAGACUUAUUCUGACCAUACAAUAGUAGGUGAAGAUACAGAACAGCAGGAUGAUGCUCAGACUGGUGGUCAAGAACUUGAUGCUGUUGAAUCUCCUCCUUUGUCUCUACCCUCCCCAGUGAUCCCUAUUCAGCCACGGUGGGACCAUGAUCGAUCUCAUUCAAACUGGCCGGCACAUGAUUUGCAUCAGGGCAUCGGAAUGGUAAGACUAGUCCCAAAGUGGAUCCUUAUUGAGAAAGCAAUUGUCUUUUCCAAUAGAUGAAGGAAAUCAUUAGUUGACAUAUUAUAUGCUGUCGUUUUUAUUUGUUAACUUGAUCAACAAUAUCUCUGCAGGAUUGGGAUUCGAUCAACGAUUUGAGGGUUGACAUGGGUAGAAUACAGCAAAGGAUGGAUAACUUGCAGAGAAUGCUGGAGGCUUGCAUGGAAAUGCAACUCGAGUUACAACGGUCCAUAAGACAAGAGGUCUCUGCUGCAAUGCACCGCUCUACUGACCAAUCAGGUUUUCUAUUAGUCCCAAGUCACUUUAUGCUUUUACAUAUGAUGAUUCACAACAGUACACAACAUAGAAUGCAACUUUUUUUUCUUAUGGAAGCACCUUAAUCGAUUCACAGGUCCAUCCAAGGACACUGAGAGUUACGAGUCAAAAUGGGAAUAUGUAAGGAAAGGGAUCUGCUGCGUAUGCUGCGAGAGCAACAUCGAUUCUUUAUUGUAUAGGUAUGUAUGAACUAUGAAAAUACUAGAGCAUUUGUGUUAGUUAUGUUCCCCAAUUGAUAUCGCUGUUUUUCUUGUUUUGUUCGAAAACAACAAUAGAUGCGGACAUAUGAACACCUGCGAGAAGUGUGCAAAGAAGCUAGUCGAAGCGGGAGGAAAAUGUCCCAUGUGCCAAGCCCCAGUGAUUGAGGUAGUUCGUGCUUACUCUAUUCUUUGAAACUCUUCUGCUCUCCUUCGGCUCCAAGCUCUGCUUAUUUGAUUCUGGGUUUUACAAAGAUAUCAAAUGUCUUUACUGUGAUGUUUUAGCAUAGAUAUUACUCUGAUUCACUCGGCUCUUAAUUUUAUCCGUGGUGUAAGAAAGACACAAACACACACUACUUCUUAACUAUUUUUAUACACAUGAAAACAUCAAAAGAUUCAAUAGAAGAAAUUGGUGAAAGUAUCUGUGACUUUCAUACAUUUUUGUGCAUAUCCAACAAUAAAAACAUCUAAAAAGUGCAACACUUUGGAUGAUACAAAGAAUUGAGCCUCUAGGCUCUGGUUAACAAGAUAUUCGACGAAUGCUAACAAAACUUUAAGAGUAGAUGUGUCUCAGUUAUGUAAAAAUCUACAUAAAAUACAUAGUGAAGAAACUGCGUGCGGUCUCAUAUCUAAAAGGGUAAUCAUGUGUUGUCUUUGUUUCUACUACAAAGUAGCCAAACACAAACGAUAUUUUUGAAACAAUCAAAACUAGUAGUACCAAAUUUCUCUCCGAAAUCAACACUACCAAAAAUUCUAGUACUCAAUGUCAUUUUACAGAUUCCUUAUUUCAUACCCUUUCCUUGUUACAAUACAAACACAAAAUCAAGAGUAAUAAAAAAAAAAAAAAACGUGUCAGAGACUCAACGACCGUUCCAAUCCAGUCCUCUGCCCCAAACUCGAACAGCUACUACACCUUCUGACACAAGGGUCCACAACAUCACACGUGUCAUGUUCUUCUGACGAGCCCUGAUCAGGCGGUUCUUGCAUGCCCAAGUCCUUAUCCGAGAACAGCUGGUUGCUCCGGCACAAGGGACAUGUUACGUAUGAGCUCAGCCACGUGUCAACGCAAUCCACGUGGAACACGUGACCACAGUGUGGUAUCACUUUAACUGUUUCACCUUCUUCGAAUUCACUCAAGCAGAUAACGCAAUCUUCGUUCCGCUGCUUCGUGGCUUUCGUGUAAUGGUACACUGGCAGAGAUCGAACGGUCUGAAAUGCCCCAACCUUGCUGGUUAACGUUAGAACGGAGAGAGAUGUAUAAAAAUUAGAGAAAUGGAUUUACCUGAGAAUCAAGUCCCCUCCGGUAACUAUACGGCCGUGAGACAACGACGGAGGUGGAAAGGCGACGUGGAGACAUCCUAGAGGAUCUUGUUCUUGGUAUGGAAGAAAUCUCAACCGUUGAAUCAUCUACGAAGUGGUGAAUGUAAACGGAGAAGAAACCCAUGAAGAAGAGAGCAACCAAGAGGACAAAGAUGGUUAGAGCCAUGGAGGAGUCUAAUGCCGAAGGUGGUUCUGGUGGUGGCGGUGGUAAUGAUGUGGCGUUUUGGACGUUUGUUACGAGCUCUUGUUCGCCACCACAAGCUUGGUAGAGCUGGAGAAGCUUGCGGAGGUGCAGGUGCUUGGUCUCCAUUAGUGAAGUCUAUCAAGAAACAAAAUGAAAUUCUCAUUUAUCAACUUUUAUUACUUAACAAUGUGAAAAGACUUAUCACAUUAACGUACACGUACACAUGUUAGUAUUUAAAUAUCAUUUUAACUAUAUGAAUAAAGUUGAAAAGAAAGAAAGAAAGAGAGGAAAGGAAUGCAGCUAAUAGGAAAGACCCGCGGCGACUUACUGUUAAAGGAAAGAAGAAAAAGUUUGUUAAUGCAGAGGAAAGAAUCAAGUACAAGCUUGAAAAGGUUUGUGAGAGUCUAGUCUAAUUCAUUAGGGCCGGUCCGGAGGGCAAGCAAGUGAAGCCACCACUUCGGGUCUCACAUUAUUAAGUGAAGCCACCGCUUAGGGUCUCACAUUGUCAAACAUUUUUUUUGGAAGAAUUUUUUUCUUUUAUAUUAACAAAAAGGCCUAAAUUGUUAAUUAUGCAUAAGGCAUUAAAGAAAAUUUAGAAACUUUGGACCGGCAAUAUGUGUACCAUGUUUUGAGAAGACGACGUAAAUGAAUUAAUGUUAAUGAUCAAAUUGUGUAGAGAUAGUAUUUACACGUGAUAGUAAACUUAGUAAAAACUUUUUUUCACUCCAUCUAGAUUCUAUACAGAUUUAAGUGUGUCAAUCGGGAUAAUCUGCUGCAUCAAACCACAAACGCUUCAGCCGAAUCAUGUGAAGCACUUCCUUUGAUACUUUCUUCCAUUUUCUUGAUACAAUAGACUUCUCUUUAAUCCAAGGUUGAUUGAUAUCUUCGAGUUUUCAUUACUUUUCAUGGACAAUUCAAUUCAAAAACUCCUCGGCUUUAUGUGCCCAGCCCCGGCCCAAAGAAACUAAGGCCUUCUGGGCAAAUAUAAUCUUUUUUGGCCUAUUGUUAUUGAAAUUGAAUAUAUCUUUGAUCUCAUGUUAAAUAUGCUAUUGGCGGAUAAGGAUCUUGAGGUAUAAACUCUUUUUUGUUUAUUUUUUUCUUUUGAUAAAAGUCUUUUGUAUGUUUUAGUACUAAUUAUAUAUUUAUAUAUAACUAUAUACUGAUAUAAUACUUGGCAGCUUGAUUGUUGGGUUGUCUGCUGAUUCAAAAGCUGGGCCAUUGGAUUUUCGGUACGUAGCGGCUGCGGUAGCGGCGGCGGCAACACUACCGCAGGUUGUUGUUCGUUUCGUCGCCGCAGCCGCAGCCACAGAUCGCAACUGUUUAAUCGUUUGACGUUAAAAUUAAAUAGCGUCCAAAAUUUUUAACCGCAGGUAGCUGCGGCGACGAAACGAACAUGCUAAUUGUAUGAAAGUUUAAUUGAGUUAAAUGUUGUUCUUGAAAUGUACAAAACUCUGUCUCACUUAAUCUUGAGGCUAUAUAAAACAAACAUACAAAUAGAGGAAAAAAAAUCACAUAGAGUUCAAAGCUUUUAGACUCAGCCGAGAGAAAAAAAAACAACAACAAAAGCGAGAGAGAUCCCAAGAGAGAUAAAAACUAAAUAAGUGGCCUAAAAUUAAUUGACCAGUGGUCUUUCCGUGCUAACAAUAAUUUAACUUUCUUUACUGACAAAUCUUCGAUCGUAAAUCUAAAAUCACCAUCCCCGCUUAUAAGCAUCACCACCCGAGGCUCUUGAAAAUGAAUAACUUGUUCAAAAAUCCAUUUCAACAAAGCAGCUAUGAUUUUCUUGUCUACGAAUUCUUUUAUCCUUCGAGGAGUUGGUACGUUACAUAUCAUAAUAUUUUUAUUUUGACAACUUAUUUAUGAGUUGGCUUUUAGCACCAUAACCAAUUUUACAUGAAUUUUUCCGUUAUAGUUGUUAUUUCUCAAAAAAAAUCGAUGCCAUUAAUCACAUUUUCCGCAUCAGCUACUUGGGAUAACACAAUUCUCGUAAUCCCAUAAAACAAGAAUAUUGGCUGUUGAGUAACCUGGUAAGUUCAUACACUAAAAGAAAAGACAAACUUUGUCAAUGUUUAGAUGGACAAAUGAAUUAAAAACAAAUAUUGAAUUGUUUGUUCAAACUCAAAAUCACGAUAAAAAAAAUUGUUCUGAUUAUUAGCAGUUCAACAAACCCCUCAAAAGCAAACAUAGCCAUUGCAAUACCCAUCAAAGGGGUCUUGAUUAUUCGCACCUUAGUGGUAAUGUAUUGAGGCGCUAAAAUUUUAUUAAGUCUUUGGAACAGUUAUGCAUCUGGAAAACAUAAAAACCAUUGAUAAUUUUUAUGGAUUUUGUAGCAUCUUAUGACAAGAUAGAGGUUUUAUGAAAUUUUAUAAAAAUUUGUUUGAUAAAUCGUCGUGAUGAGGUUAUUUAUUUAUUUAUUCAGUAGUUCUUUUUGUGCAGGUUUCGCCCGUUAAGACUUUACCCUACUUGGAGAAGCCUAAAGACUGGUUGCUAAAAGGGGAGACGACGAUGAUAUUGCACUUGUCAGAGAUAUUUUGGCCUAUGCUCUUGAGAGGCAACCACCAGCGUAUUUAUUAGUCAUGGCUAGCGAUGGUGACUAUACCUGUGAUCUUGAAGAUUUAAGACAAGUGGGAUACUAUGUUAUUCAAGCUUACUCCCUUGGAGGUGCCGGAGAUGACGUCAAAAAUUCUGGAUGUGUUUUUUUACAAAGACGAAGUGAUAUAUAAAUUUUAAAUUUACAAAUUCUAGAUGUCAAAUUGCAUGAAACAGAAAGAUUUGGGUAAAUGUGACACACACACAUAUAUAAAGGGGUUGUUCCAAAAUUAGUACAGUGAAUACAGGUCAUAGAGAAAAGUAAAUUUAAACUUUGUAAACAUGUGUUGAGGUUUAACAAAGAAAAAAACUUAUAUUUGUAAAUUUUACUUUUACUUUUACUUUUAACUUUAGAAUACUGUUUUUAGACUAAACCAGUGAAAGUUACUUAUUUUAAUUUUCUCAAAACCCAAGUGCAAAAAACUAUCUAUCCUCUUGUCAAGAUUUUGGAUCCUUUUAUGUAAAAAGAAAUUAAAAUUUUAUAUAUUUAAACAUGUUUUUAAAGGUGUAUUAAAUAAAUAAAGAAAACUUUAAAUUUUGAGAUGAUUUUUUUUUUUUUGAAAGUUUAAAAUAUUUGGGUUUCAUUUUAAACCUUUCUAAGAUUGGCAAAAUGAAUCUAAAAAAUAACAACAUUGAAAACUUGGGCAUUUUUCUUUGUUAAAUUCUUUUUUUAACGGGGCCUUAUACUAAUGAUAUUUUUUUGUGAUUCAAUCUUAGGCCUAUGCCCCUCUGCUCUACCCCUUUGGGCCGGGCCUGUAUAUCCCUAAGCUCUUGAUUUCAUUCUCAAUGACUUAAAUCAUGUUCUAUUUAGUUGUCUUUUUUUGGGCCUAAAGACUCCUUAGCUAAGCCUAGCUAAUUGUUGUAUACACACACAAACGUUUCGUUUUCCGUAAUAGGAAACUUAAUUUUAUCCCAAAAAUAAAACAUUUCCUUAUUUAUUUUCUGAAUCGAGUUUUAACAUUUGUGAAAUCCCUAUUUAUUUUACAUAUUGGACCUCUAUAUAAACCCUAAAUUACAGCCUACGUUAAUUAAGUCUGGAACCAAAACACACGAACGAUCUUCGAUGGCAAGAGAAGGAAACUCAGAUCCCAUCCCGAUCGACAUCAUUCUCGACAUACUUUCGAGAUCCUCUACUAAAGAAAUCGCUAGGUUUGGUCUCGCAUCCAAGUUCUGUGCAUCAAUACUUAACUCUCAAAAUUUCACCGAGUUGUUCCUGACCAGAUCCUUAACUUCUCAGCCACGUCUCUUAUUCGCCAUCAAAAACUCCGGUGACUGGUGCUUCUACUCGUCGCCUCAGCUCCAUAAUCUAGAUGAGAACCAUUCUCUUGUAGUAUCAGCCGACUUGCAUAUGCAGUUACCUGGAGACAUGGGAUCAGAGAUUUGUGGUCCUGUCUCUGGCUUGUUCUAUUUCCCUAAUAUGCGGAGAAGUGAAGUGCCGGUGAUAUGUAACCCUAGCACAGGACAGUACGCAAGAUUACCUCAAUUGAAAAGGAAAAGGGAUUCAAGAAGCUUAUUAGGUUAUGAUCCUAUUGGCAAAAGAUAUAAAGUAUCAAACAUAAGAAAUUCAAUUUAUGGAGCAUCUAAUGAAGAGGGACAUAUUAUGACAUUAGGAACUGGGAAAAUGUCAUGGAGAAAACUGCAUUGUCCGGAAAACCAUUAUCCUAUAGGGGAAGGGGUAUGCAUCGAUGGGGUUUUGUAUUACAUUGCUGGACAAGCAAAAGGUGUGAAGUUAGCUUGCUUUGAUGUUAGGAAUGAAAAUUUUAGGUUUCUUAAGACAGAUUCUAUUAUUAGGAAGUUAUUAGUUUCUUCUUCGUCUACUUCUUCGUCUACUAAAUUGAUAAAAUACAAGGGUAAAUUAGGUGUAAUUAGUUGGCGUUGGGAUAGUUACGUUUAUGGAAGAGCUAGGUUGUGUUUGCAGAUUCUAGAGGAUGCCCAGGAUCAAAAAUGGUUGGAACAUCGAUACACUUUUCCGGUGAAUAUUGUCGUUAAGGGAGAUGUUUCCGUCGUUGGAGUGACUGCUACUAAUGAAAUUAUUUUGUCCAUGGACUAUACAUCUAAAGCUUUCUUUGUUUUCUACUUCAAUCCCGAAAGGAGAACUCUUGAGAGAGUUAGAGUCCAAGGUUUUGAAGCGUUUGAGAAGCCUAAUAGAGUUUACACCUUUGUAGACUAUGCUGAGGAUUUCAAGUUUAUAACAGAGUCUAGCUAGUUUGCCUCUAAAUGGACAUUUUCAGCUACAUGUUUCAAUGUAAUUAAGCUCCAUAUUUUUUUGACAUGUCAUUUUUUUUUUCCAAGUUUUAUUCUCAAUGCCCUUAUUUUGUUGCACGUUACUUGAAAGCAAAACAAUGUUUUAGUUUUGUCCCACAUUAAUUGCAUUUUCAUGGAAUAUUCAUAGAACUUCUUGUUUCUUUGUAUAUGAGAAAUUACUGGAUGAAACCACGAACAACAAUUGGUUUAGUCCCCAACUUAAACAAGUUGCAAGGAAAAACGUCAAAACAAAAUAACCUAAAUUUGGUGACUCACUCUUCUUGUUUAUAUAUACAUGAUUAAGGCCUCGUUCUUUUCCACGACGCAUCUUCUUAAUUGUUUAUAGUAUACACUCUAUCUCUAAUUUAUUUGUGUAAUGUUGCUGAAGCUGAAAAAGAGAGACUUCGAUGACUUAAAUAAGAAAAUAUGGGUGUUACUACAAUUUACAGAGGCAGUUCUAAUGGCCUAAAAUAAAAACUUAAUGUGGCAAACGAAUUCCUCUCCCUCGUUUGUAGGUUUUGGUCGCUACCUUUUGUAGGCUGUAGCUGCGUCUAGAACGAACAAGGCCUAAAUUAAGAGUAUUAAGAUAGCUUAAUUAAGAAAUAUCAAAGACUAAACUAAUUUCACCUCUUUAACUUUUUUUUUCACUUUUUCUCUAAUCUAAUUCUAAAUUCUUCUUUUUUUUCACGUUCCUAUUAUCAAAUAUAUACAAAUAAUUUUUUUUAAUACAAAUUAUUUGUCAAAUUAACUAUCACGCAAUUUAAAAAAAAAAAAAAAAACUAUCAGGCAAUUAAAGCAAUAGUAUUUAUUUUCCAAAUCUUCGAGACCAUAGCGAACCCAUGUUGAUUAAAUAGUCUCCAAUGAAUGGAGUAAUUUUGACAAGUGAGAGCGACCUUCCAUGAGAAAAUAUCAAUGGAAAUUGAACUACCUUCCUUAAGUUGCACCAUAUAUAUCAAAGUUUUUGGGUAAAUUCUAAAUGAGAUUCUCCAAUAUGUAUCUAUACUAGUAUUUUUGCAACAUUUUGGUGACGGAUGGAUAAAAAUGCUUUUGGGUUAAUCGGAUAUCCGACCCGUUUUUUAAAAUCUUUCACAAAAAAUUUAUUGGGUCGGGUUAUAUUUAACCCAACUCAUACACCGAAUAUUCCAUAUUUAAUAAUUUAGAUAUUUAGAAGAUUUGAUUAAGAUUUAGAAUUAUGAUUCUCCUAUCAUCUUUGUUUGAUUUGUUUUUAACUGUUUUGAAUCAUCACAUAAUACAUAAAGUAAAAAAAAAAUCAUUUUUUUUCUGCAUAUACUAUGAUUCGAAAUUUUAAAAACGGACAUAUAUUAUCUAAUUGACAAAAAUGUGUGUUCAACGUUCUACAUCGAUUAAAAUAUUUAGACAAUGAUUCAGAAUCAUAUCAUAAAUAAGAUCAACAUUAAUAAAAUAAAUGAGUUUUUUGGCGGGACGGGUUUGGCGGGACGGAUUUUUUAAUCAACAAUAAUAAAAAGAUUAAAAUAUCAUUAACCCGCCGCUUCAAUACGGAUUAAAUCCUUAUUUUUUUUAAUACCACCAAUAUUAGACAUAUUAAAUCAGUCUCAUUUAGAAAAAAUUGUAUAAAACCAAAAAUUGUCCCGUGGUAUAAUGUUACUUAAUAACAAUAUUUAUAAAAUUUUAAAUAUCAUUAACAUGCCGUUUUAAUACAUAUUAAAUCUUCAGUUUAUUAAAAUAUAAAUGUCUUAGAGAAUGAUAUGAUUUGUAAACUUUUAUAUAUAAUAAAUAAUUAUUAAAUUUUAAAAUAAAAACAAAUCACGGGACGGGUUAAGAAAUUACGGAACAAGUUAUAUUUCGGAAAGGAUUUAUAUGGCGGACGAAUUUGAAUCAAUAUUUAUAUACCGCUUUAAUACGGGUUAAAUUCUCAGUUUAUUAAUAAUUAUCUCGUGGACUCGUGGUAUACCGUUACUUAAUAACAAUUGUAAACUAUAAUAUAAAUAAAUAUGUUAUAAGGAGAUACAAUUUACAAAAUAUUUUUAUACUAACUUUAAAAUUAAAUCAUCCCGCGGUGUACCGCAGGUUAAAAUCUAGUUGAUGGGAAGAAAUUUAAAUUCGGUCGCUGCAUCUCCAAAUUUACAAAUCAUAAGUUUUUUUGUUACCUGCAAGUGAAAGAUCGAUGUCAUAAUGCCUAAGUAUUAGAAUUGAGUCUAUGUUUUGGAUGGAAUUGAAAAAUAAAAAGAGGAAACAUAUUAGAGUUAUUCACAUCUUUGUUAUUUUAUGUACACUUUUCACACACACACAUAUAUAUAUAUAUAUAUAUAUAUAUAUAUAUAUAUUUAUUUAUUUAAUUUCAUUAUAUAGUUUUCUCUCAUUGAUCUUAAGUGUUAGUGUACCAUUUCGCACAAUAAAUUCAAUUUAUUUCAUUGGAAGCUCCUCAUGUCAUAAAGACCAAAAAAAAUACAGAUGGCUCAUGAAUAGAUCAAAUAGUCAAAGGUCAAAGAUCAAUAUUAAAAAUCAAAUAGUUAAGUCUUACCAAUAAUUUAAGAUUUAAUUCACAAAUUAAUGACCAUGAAUCACACACUAAUAGAAAACAAUUUUUCUCUCAUCUUAGUCCACAAAAACAUGGCUAUUCUAAUGAAUCCAAGCUUUUUCAAGGAUCUUGAAUCUUAAUAGAACAUACGGUCCUAUAUUAAUCAAGAAGGUUGCACUAUUGAUUACAUUUGAGGUAAUCUACAAUGGAUUCGCAGGUUUUUUUAACGCUCAUUUAGAAUUCUACUCAUCAUCUCCGCUAUUCCAUUUUGACGGGGCGUUCCAAAAAUAGUCUUCUCCAUCUUAAUCCUAUUAUCAGCACAAUAUUUUUUAAACUCGGCACCAUUACUAGAUUUUAGGCACUUCAACUUGAGAUUUGUCUCAUUUUCUACCUUUUCAUGAAGUAAACCUAUACCUUCUUUGUGGAGUCAUCAAUGAAAGACACAUAAUAGUGUGAUCCUCCCAACGAUGCAACAUAAUAGUGUGAUCCUCCCAGCGACGCAACAGGAGCGGGUCCCAACACGUCACUGUGAUUUCAAUUUCCUAUCAUCCAGCUUUCACACAUGUAGUGAUUUACUAUAUUCAAAUCUGGAAAUUCACGAUUUGUUACCAUGAGUUUCAUAUCUGGAAAUUCACGAUUUGUUACCAUGAGUUUCAUACAUUUUUCGCUCAGAUGCCCCAAUCUAAAAUACCACAUCCCAGUUUUCUUGGCAUUUUCGGCAACAACAAUUGUAUCUUCAUAGUUUGUCUUUAUAUAAAGAAUGCUUCUUUUAUGACCUUUUGUACCCACCAUGGAACCCUUUGUCACUAUCCAAGCUCCACCACCAACAUUGAUAUUAUGUCCUGUAUUAGCAAGUUAUCUAAUCAGAUUUUGCAUCAACUUUAGCACAUUUCUAACCUUUGUGAUUUUCCACACACGGUCAUCUGGCAUCUUGAGGUUAAUGUCUUCAACACCAACAAUGUCCAAAGGUAAUCCAUUUUCUAGAUCUAUCUUCCAAUAAUUUCGGGCAACAUAGUUCUCCAUUAUGUUCUAGUGAGCAUUAAUGUGGAAAGAGGCUCCUGAAUCUAAGACCCAAGAAUCGAUCUAAUUAUAAGCCGAAGAGAUCAAUUUUUUCUGCGGUUUCAACAACCGCAACAUGAACUUGACUUCCUCUUGGAGAAUCAGCAGACACUACUAAUGCAUCAAUUAUUUCUUGUGUGACUUCAUUGGCUCCAGCUCCUCUGUUAUCUAACUUCUUCGGUGUAGUACAAUAUUUUUUCUUAAUCUUGCUUUUUUGCCACAAUUCCAGCACUAUGUAGGAUGUUUGGUUUUGGAUUUAACCCCGUUAAUUACUCGAUUCCUCUGCCCUGAUUAUGGUUUGUUCUGUUUGGAUUUUUCCCUCUGUUUUCUACGUUCUAAGCAGAACUUGUUGAAGCUUCUCAUGUAUCUAUUCUUUGAACUUCCUCGCCAAGGAUUCGAUCUCGUACAUCAACAAAUUUAAGCUUCUGAUUACCAACAUAAUUACUAACCGCUGCCCGCAUGGGCUCCCAACUAUUUGACAGAGAUGCCAAAAAAAUCAAAGAACAAACCUCAUCAUCAAACUUGAUUUCAAUCGAUGACAGUGGUUGACAAUCGUAUUGAAUUUAUUAACGUGCGCUGCAACAGAAUUACCUCCUUCCAUCUUCGAUUGGUAGAGUUUCUUCAUGAGAAAUACCUUAUUGUUGGCAGAAGGUUUCUCAUAGAUAUCUAAGUAAACUUUCAUCAACCUCUCUGUAAUCUUUUUUUUUUUUUUUUUUACCCUAUCGCCUAUCCGGUCGGUCCCGGUUGGAACGCACCGAGGUGCUAUAUAGUGGACUUGUCUACCGUGUUAACGGCUAGGCCCUUCGGGCUACCACUCUGUCUAUCCCGAGUUUGGUGUGCCUUCCGACUAAGUGUCAGGGAUAGUCAGGCCGCCUUCAUUUCUAACUACUAGGUAAACCAAUAGGGCCAAAGCCCAACUCACAGACUUUCCACAUAAUGUUGAUAACAGCAGGAGCAGGAAAGGAGGGACUUUCACCCAAACACCCCUGGCCCACCAACCACCCGCCCACCACCACAUGGGCCUCUCUGUAAACUUACGUUUCGCGGCGUUGUACGUGACUUCCUUUGAUCUUGUUUAACUUAAUAACACCUUAAACUUGUUUAUCAAAAAAAUCCAGUCAUCCUAGCUCAUCGUCUCAUGCUUAUUUCCCAACAAUUGAUGAAGUUUUUCCCAUACAAAUAAUCUUCUAUCUGAAUCUCCAAAAUUGAAUAAUUUGUACCAUUAAUCUUGAACUUCACUUUACAAGGUAUAUGAGAUGUUAAUAUAUGUGGACAUCAUUAAUAAACUAAUAAUAAUAUAGAGUUGUUAAGAAUUUAUACGUUUUGAAAGUCUUCGUUUUUUUUUUAGUUUCCAAACAUUGGUAUAAGUUUGUUUUAGGAUAAUUUCCUUUGGGUUUUUACCAAAAAAAUGAUUUCUAGUAUAAUGGCUUGUGCUAGUGUUGUAGUUAAAAAAAAAAAAAAAUUCCACUAGUCAAAAUAUAAUAGAACAAUCUAAAAUAAAACAAAAUUAUAAGAAUGUAAUAAAUAUUUUACAUGUUUAAUUCAUGAGAGAAAUCUGAAAACGAUAUUUACAAUGAAACAUAAGGAGUAACAUUAAAAAUAGUACUCCCUCCGUAUUUUAAUAAGUGUCGUUUUAGGAUUUUCUUUUUUUAAAAAUUAGAUGUCGUUUUCAAAUUUCUAUGCAAAAUUUUUUACUUUUUAAUGUUUUAUGAUAUCAUAAAACAUUAAAAAGUAAUAAAUUUUGUAUAGAAAUUUGAAAACGACAUCCAAUUCAAAAAAAUAAAAAUUCUAAAACGACACUUAUUAAAAUACGGAGGGAGUAAGACUUAAGAAAUCAUAAUCCCCCUAAAAAGCGCGGCUGCGGCCAAAAAUUAAAUAAUGCAUUAACACACUAAUUAUUCUAGAAAAACAACAACACGUAAUUCAUAAAGUUAUGACCUAGUUAUUUUACAAAAUGACAUAAUAUACUAUGUAUAGAACGUGAAGGAAAUUACGGUCGAUACGUACUAAAAUAAGACCAUCCUUUACGUAAAAUGUUACCACUAAAAUUAUUUAUGUAAAUAUAUGAAAACGUUCCUUUCUUUUUUAAGUAACUGUACCUUUCCAAUACCUAACGCCUACGACAAACUAUUUUAAUUAUAUAGCAGCAUAGAAAUUAUCAUCAAAAACAAGUAGAGAAACAUUUCAUGUGUCUAUACAAAACAUAUACACAUUCAUGUCCCUUAACCAUUUAGAUACACAAUUAUUGAGCCCUAAACCCCACACAAUUUCAGUCUAAACUAAUGGGAAAAAACCCUAAAAAUACCUCAUCUAUUUUUUUAUUUGAAUGUUUAAUACCUAAAUUUUUUUUAUUGGAAGAAAAAUAUCUCAUUUAAUUAUAUUCGGUAGAAAAAUAUCUCAUUUAAUUAUUGUUAGUAGAUUCAAACCUCUGAUUUAGUCGUUAACGGACGUUACAGUAUUAGUAAGCGACGUUAAAUUAUAACGAGAAAAAUAGCCGAAAAAUACUUCAUCUGUUUAUUUUUGGACUUUUAAUACUUCAAUUUUUUUUUGGAAGAAAAAUACCUCAUUUAAAUAUUUUUGUCUCAAAAAACUUUGUUUUUGAAUUGUUAGUAGAUUCAAAUCUGUGCCUUAACAGCCGUUAACGGGCAUUUUAGAAUCAGUAAACUACGUUAAAUUUUAACUUUCCAUGUAAAAAUAAAUAUAUACAAUAUUUAUACAAAUUUUUACAAAUAUAUUGUUUGAUCUGGUGGUAACACGUAUUUUAUUCAACUUGCAUAGAACUUCUUUUGAUGUCUUAUUUUCUUUAAUGAAUGACGUCAUACAAAUUUAAAUACAUCAUUUUCUUCACUCCUACAAAUUUAAAUUUAAAUACAAUUAACACAUGAGAGAUUGAGACAAAGAUGACGACGACGAUGGAUAUGUCAUGUUUGUGGUCGUGGAGUAGGUUAGUUGCGGAAGUGGAGAGAAUUUAGGUAAAAGUGGAGAAAUAAAAGAAAUGGUUCGAGAAAGAUGGAGUUUUGAUCGUAUUAACGCAAUAAUAUUAAAUAAACUACUUGUUACCACUAGACCACACCAAUAUAUUUGUAAAAUUUUGAAUAAAAAUUGUAUAUAUCUAUUUAUAUACACAGGAUUAACAUUUAACGUCGUUAAAUGAUUUUGUAAUAUCCGUUAAUAAUUGUUAAGUCGCAGACUUGAAUCCACCAAUGAUUCAAAAUGAAGUAUUUUUAGACAAAGAUAUUUUAAAUGAGGUAUUUUUUUCUAACCAAAAAGUUGGGGUAUUAAAAUUCCAAAAGUAAAUAGAUUGAGUAUUUUUCGGCUAUUUUCCUGUUAUAAUUUAACGUUGUUUACUGAUACCGUAACGUCCGUUAACGGCCGUUAAAUCAGAGGUUUGAAUCUACCAAUAAUUUAAAGAUAAGGUAUUUUCGACCGAAUAUAAUUAACUGAGGUAUUUUUUUUCAAACAAAAAAAAGUUAGGUAUUAAACGUCCAAAUAAAAAAUAAAUAAGGUAUUUUUUCGGGUUUUUUCCCCUAAACUAAUAUAUAAGAUGACGACGACGAUGGAUAUGUCAUUUUUGUGGUCGUGGAGUAGGUUAGUUGCGGAAGUGGAGAAGAAUUUAGGUAAAAGUGGAGAAAUAAAAGAAAUGGUUCGAGAAAGAUGGAGUUUUGAUCGUAUUAACGCAAUAAUAUUAAAUAAACUACUUGUUACCACUAGACCACACCAAUAUAUUUGUAAAAUUUUGAAUAAAAAUUGUAUAUAUCUAUUUAUAUACACAGGGUUAACAUUUAACGUCGUUAAAUGAUUUUGUAAUAUCCGUUAAUAAUUGUUAAGUCGCAGACUUGAAUCCACCAAUGAUUCAAAAUGAAGUAUUUUUAGACAAAGAUAUUUUAAACGAGGUAUUUUUUUCUAACCAAAAAGUUGGGGUAUUAAAAUUCCAAAAGUAAAUAGAUUGAGUAUUUUUCGGCUAUUUUCCUGUUAUAAUUUAACGUUGUUUACUGAUACCGUAACGUCCGUUAAAUCAGAGGUUUGAAUCUACCAAUAAUUUAAAGAUAAGGUAUUUUCGACCGAAUAUAAUUAACUGAGGUAUUUUUUUCAAACAAAAAAAAAUUAGGUAUUAAACGUCCAAAUAAAAAAUAAAUAAGGUAUUUUUCGGGUUUUUUCCCCUAAACUAAUAUAUUUAGUAGCUAGAUGGAUAUAGCUAGAGACAGGUAACUUCAAACCACCACAUCGAUUAGUUAUUAGAUCAUUACUCGAAAAUAAAGUAUACAAUAUAUCUCCACCGACAUUCUCGUAGUCUAACUCCUAAUUUCCAUGUUAUUCCUUCCUUCCACAAAGAGUCUUUUUUAACUCUUGAUUUUGUAUAAUGUGUUUCAAAGAUGAGACUUAUAUAUUUCACAAAAAUUAUUUAGUGUAUCAAAUAUAGUCCAUCCUACAAUCCCACUCAUAUAGAUAUGAUAUAAAAUUAGCUAGAAAAGUAUUUAAUAUUUUACAGCAAAAAAGUUGGGAAAUUAGGAUUUUCUUCUAUACAAAUUGUUGUAUUUCAAUGUGAGAGGAUUGUUAGAAGUGAGCUGGACAUUGUACAAAUUGGGAAUAUAUAAAUACACCCACCCAAUACGCAUAUACUAUGCUAAUUUGGGUGGACCAUUAAAUGAGAUUUUAAAAAGAUAAAAUAAGUUAAAGAAAAGUUUUAUUUUUUUAUUUCUUGAAAAAGAUUGAUUAAAUUAGGAGGCCAAAGGAGCUCUAUGAGGAAUGCCUUUUCGUCGCCUAGAAUUAGAGGUAUGAGUUGGAGGAUGCGUGCCUUUGUGCGUUUCUUGUUGUCUUUCUUUACGCAAUCUUUCUUCUUCCUCUUCCUUAUUCUUCCUCAUUCCUUCAACCUGACAUUUUUAUGAUGAUCACAUCAUACAUUUCCCUUAUGCAAAUGUAACAUAUAUAUAUACAUAUAUACACACAUCUAACCUCGCAUAUACAAUUUUAUAAGAUACAUUAUAUGAGGCAAACAACAUGCAUUAUACGAGUUUGAAUAUAGACGAAUCAAUGAAUUUACCAUAUAAAUGAAUAUAAACGUUAUACGGUGUAUCCUAAAACCGAUUCCUCAUAUUGGACAAAUAGAUGCGAAGGCAUUUGUAAUAAUGAUGAAAAUAUGCAUAAACCAAUUUUGUUGGUCCAGUUGUAAAGUACUUGUUAUAUCGAUUGACUCCACAUUGACUUCUAUAGACGCAUUAAAUGGUAACUAUCCAUUGUUCUAUAGAUACGAAAAUUGACAGAGUUUUGGCCUAUGAUUUAUCCGACUACAAGAAAAAAAUUGUGCAUUCAGAAAAAGUGUUGGUGAACGAACCUUGCAACCCAAGGAACAGAAGCGAAAGGGAUCAAGAAGGGUUCUGCAACAUGUCUCACAGAAGUAGGAAAUGGUUUUCGGGGUUGAGGAGGCGGCGCCAUGGGAGGAGUUCUUAGGCUGAGGUCUCUCGUUUAAGAAGAGAACCCUCGCGCUGUUGAUGACAUAAGUUUGCACUCCUCUUAUGUCCAAUGCCUUCUCUAUCUCCGACACUCUCACCACAUCAUGAUAUGAAGAUCUUCUUAUCUGUCCCAAUGUCAAUGAUAAAGAACUGGAGUGAGUCAAAUUGAUAUAUGUAUAUGCAAUGUGGUGUGUUGAGAAAAUGAAGGACCUGAAGAACGGGAUGGUCAAUGUGAAAGGAGGAGCGGCAGUAGAAGCAAAACGCAGCGUUUUGACAGGAGAGACAGAACAUGUUGCACUCAUUUCGCGGUGUCUCACGGUGUUGAGGGCAAAUGCUGAAGAAGUUUGUUCUCAAGAGACCUUCCAGCCAUUUUGGCUCCUCCAUUGAUCUCUCUCCUGUUUUGUUUUUCUUAAACAAUAAUUACAAUAUACAAAAAGGGAAUUAUAUUGAUCGAGACAAAACCUUGUGAGUAAUGUAAUAAAUUACGAAGAACAUGCUUUUGCCAUUUGCAUUACCUCUGUGAAGAUGAUCAGUAGAGAGAGAGGGAGAGAGAAAGGGUAUUAGAUAAUUGAUUUUUGAGACAAGAGCAGGAAAAAAUCAGAUUUUCAGGGUAAGAGAGAAAGGAAGAUAUAAAUUUUAAUUUAUUGUUGAUAAAUGAAGAUUUUAUGUUUUUUCUUCUUAUUUAGGAUUGGUAGAUAUCUUUUCUUCUCUUAAUUAUUAUUAAAUAUUUAUUGUUAAUAGUUUAUUGGGGAGAGAAUGGAAAGGAUAUAUAAUUAGAUAUGAUGUUUGGUUAAGGUUGAUUCCAAACCGUUGGAUUGGGCCAUUAGGUAAAUGAGUCUGAUGACAAAAUUACAAGCUAAUCAAAAAGUAUAGAUCAAAAUUUGUUGCAACUUGGACUUUAAUAAUAACCAAAAUAUUAUAAUGAUAAUACUCUAAUAUUGACAAAUAUAUAUAUAUAUAUAUAUAUAUAUAUAUAUCAUUAAAUUCAAAAAAAAUACUUUUUGAAAAAUAUAUUUAAAUAACAUUUAUGAUUUAAGUGUGUAUAGACAUAGAUCAAAAUUUGUUCCAACUUGGACUUUUAAAAUAACCAAAUGUUAUAAUGAUAAUACUAUACUUUAAGAAUAUAUUUAAAUCAAUACAAUAAUAACACUAAGAAUCUCUCUAGGCCUGACACAUCAGCAUUUUGGGCUCUUCUCAUGUUGACACCUCAUUAAAAUCGUCGUCCAAUGAAAACAUUUCGAUUAAUACAACUCAACAUGUUUUAGCCUAUAAAUAAUUUUCUUUAUGCCAUGUCAUUAUAUUUCAAUUUGUAGGGCUUUAUUGUUUGGAGAGAAGUGGGCUUAAAGAACCAUAGCUGAUGUAAGAUGUAAUAAUUUUCUUUUUUCCUAUCAGGCGCGUGAGGAUAUAUAAGUCUACCGAGAACAGUGCUGCGACGGUAGUAGAGGCAGAAGCUGCAGAGGUUGAAAUCAAUGAAGAGGUUGUGAGUACAUUGUAGGAAGCUUUUAUUCUCCAAUUAAGUCGAGAUUGAAAAGGUUUUGAUUUUUGAACGAUAAAAAUUUCUGACAUUUUUUUUUACGACUAAACAGUUUGAUUCUAAUUAUGAUUAUAAAUUUGGUUGAAAGAUCAUAAUAACAAUGGUUCAUGAAGAAUUUUGAGAUAGGGUUACCAAUGUCAGAAAGCAUAACUUGAUUUUAAGGUGAUUUUGAUUGAAUUUAAAUUUGCUUAGAUCUUCCACUUUGUUUUCGUGAAUCCAGUCAAGCUGGGGAUUUGAUUUGACGAUUUUGUCGACAACUUGAUUGAGAUGGAAGUUCAGUUGCAAAGAAGAAAUAAUUUGUGUGGGUAGUUAUCUAUUUCUUUUAAAUGGUGGGUUGAUGCUUAUAUUAUCUUGAAAUCUUCAAAUGUGUUUGUCUUUCUACUUCGAUUGAUUUGAUCAAAUUAGGUGAUGGAUCCAUCAAUUUUUACCCUUGUUUAGUAGCUUACCAAUGUUUUUAUAAUUCGCUAUAUUUAUAUUUUCGUAAGGUUUUUUGACUCACUGAUCUUUAAAAUUUCAUAUUUCUUAUGACACAUGUAUAAGAGGAUCAGGAAGUUAACAACUUCAACACAGCCAAAAAUCUUCAAAUCUCGAGCAGCAAAAGUUUCUCGAAUUCACGCAAUGAAUAUGAGAAUGAAACUAGAGAAACCAAAUCCUCAACAGAAUCCGUCGCUUUAUUAGAAGCUGAAGAAGGUCAUGACUGAGAGCUCGAGUACAUAACCAAGUUCAUAGUCUCUGGCCAACUGAUGAUAAAAGAAUUCUCCUUGGGGAUGGCUACUGAUAUUACCUCUGAGCUUUUUCGAUGAAAUUGAAGGUAAGAGAGAUGCCCAGAGUAAGAUUGAGAGAAAAACACUGGUCGACUUUGUGCUUAUCAAAUGCGAGCAAAUGUUCAUGGGAAGCUAUAGAGGAUUGUUGGGGAGAGAAGUCAUUUUUCUUGAAAGAAGAGAGAAUUUGACAGAAGAAGUGAAUAAAGAGGUUCAGGGAUUGAAGAAACCAUGGUCCCAAGAGUUCGCUCAUUACACACUUGCAUCGAAUUGGAAUUAGAUUUGAGAAAAACUUUUCAAUCCCCAAAAAUUCUAUGUAUCAAAAAAACACACAUUUCAAUUUUCUAGCUGAGAUUGAACCUUAGGCUCGCCGAAGAAGAAGAAAACGAUCAACGUUGUGACGGUGGAUUGAAAUUCAUUGUUGUGGAGGUUCUCGGUUCUUUUUUUUUCAAUCUCUCGCUAUCUCUCUUUCUUAAUGAAGAGAAGAAGGAUGUUCUAGUGGAUUCAGAGGUUUGACUUUACUAAGCCAAACCGAUAUGGGCCAUUCAAAUCCAACAGAAACCUUGGGCCAUUCGAAACCCAUCACUUCUCAGUCAUUAACGCCUGCAACAAGCAUAAAAGCGACACACAAAGUGUGUGUUCUAAGUAGUAAAUGGUUUUGGUAGUCAGAAAUUUAAACAAAUUAUAUAAUUAACCUCUUCAUAUGUAUGUAUUAAAUUAUUAAUAAAAAAACCCCUUUUUUUUUUUGACAACUGAUUUUAUUAAAUAACUGAAAUGGGAUUUACAUAAGGUAAAUCGGAACCUAUAAUAUCAUAUCAAAAGCCCAAUUAUAAACCCAAAACAGAGGUGUCAAUGGAAAAACAAAGGUUAAAAACUCAACAUUGGUGGAUUAGAUGCAAUAACUGCAAAUUGGAUUUCUUAUUGAUUAAGAACAUAAAAUAAUGUGUGAUAUCUAAAGAAAAGAAUCUAACAGAGGUUGGCAAUUUUGAACACAAUCGGCUCAUGCGAGUGUAUCUCACGGUAGCGAGAAAGAUCAAAUUUUCAUUUGUGUUCAUGAUUAACUAAUCUCAUAAACAUGUAGACAUGUAGUGGAAGUAGAGUGGAUAAAACACAAUUAAGCAACUUCUUAAAAAAACGUUUUUAAAAAAAUCAUGCGGCAUAGCGCGGGUUUCGCCCUAGUAACAUUAAUGAUUUGAUUAAUAGAUUAUACUCCUUAGAACUAUCGAAACGUGUACAUCCAAAAGAAACAUACAUAAAUUAUCAAAAUAUGUCAAAUAAAUGAAAAUUCAAUUUUUUUUUUUUUUUUGAUAAACUCUAUCGGCUGAUCCGGUCAUCCUCGGUAGAAAUCCACUGAAGUGCUUCAGAGUGGACUUCUCUCCAAAAGAAAGGGCCACUACAAUAUCUAUCCCGAGCUUGGAAUGCUUUUCGACUAAUGUCUGGAGGUAGCCAAAUCGCCUGUUACUAGAAUACCAGGUAAACUGUUUGGGCUCUUUGGCCCAAGUCCAGAUCGAACUUGGAUUAAUUUCUUCCAACAUUUCUCUAAUUCUCAACCACCACUAGACCACCGCAACUGUGUGAGCAGAAUUCAAUUUCUCAAUCAAUGAAAAGAUGUUGUUAUCUUUAAAAUAUUUUCUCUAUUCAUUUUCUACAUUUGUAAAUAAAACACUAAUAUUUUUAGUUCUACUCGAAUUAUCUCCUAAUUCUUAAAAAUACAUUAUAUACAUGUCUAACAUAACUAUAUUAAUUUUAUUCAUCAGUUAUCUUACAAAAAUAUGAAAGAAACAAUUAAAUACUGUGAUAAAAAUAUUUUUUGUAUUAUCAUGCAUAAAUACACUAAAUCACAUAUAACAAUAUUUAAAUAAAUUUUUAUCUGAAUACUAUGAGCAACUGAUUUUGACCAGAAAUUAAUAAUAAAAUAUAAAGAUAAGUAACGGUAUUUCAUAGAAAAUAUUUGUCCAAAGAAAUUAAUUAAAUAUAAUCAUGAAUUCAUAUUUUUACUAGAAAACAUUGAAAGUCUUACAUAAAAAAUGUUUACAAAAUAAAAAAGUCAUGCUGCCUACCAAAAAAAAAAAAAAAAAAAAAAGUCAUGCUUUUAGGAAAGUAGAAGAUAAUAAUAUGUUCUUUGAUCAAAAAAAAAAAGAAAAGAUAAUAAUAUGUUUAAGAUGUCUAACUAGCAAUGCAAUUGCAAAACAACAAAUUUACAUGCAAUUAAAAAGUUUUACUUCAUUAGUUUUAUUCAGCUAAUACAAACUUGUAGUGGAACGUCCUUUCAUUGACCAAAAAUUAAUUAAUGCUUCUAAACCUGAUUUGGGACUCGGUUCCCAAAAAUUGCGGAUUAUUACAGAUAAAUGGAACAAGUUAAUAAGAGAUCUCAAACGUUGUGCAGAUAGAAUCGUUAAUCGUGAUCCGGCCUGACAAAGGGUAAAACUGUCCACAAGAGCGGCUCAUAAAAAUUAAAGACCUUGAACUGAAAAAAAUAAUUAGCCCUUAUUUCUUAUGUUUUUUUGUAUAAAAAAAGUUUUGGACCCUAAUUUUGAUAAAUUUAGUUAGAAAAAAAAAAGAUAAAAUUAGAUGGAUCUUGUGUAUAAGCACCUCCAACACAUGCAUAGAGCCAGACCUGACUGUCCAUCAUGAUGCAUAGAGAACCAUCUAAUGUAGAUCUUUGUAAUGUAGGUAGAAUUGUCAAUUGUAAAAUUGUUCAUGAAAUUGCUCACUAUGAAAAACACAUGAAUGAUUUGUUAGUCGAGAAGGUUGAUCAUUUGUAAUAGGAUAGAACUAAAUUAAAAUAUAUUCAAAUGAUAAUGUUUCAAACAAUUUAAUUACAACACGUAAAUUAAAUUUCAUGUACUACUAGUUUUAACAUUAAUAAACACACUAAUCGGUGGACAUUACUCGUGUAGUGGUAAGUGACAUGGGGAAAAUGCCCGCUAACUAGUCUUUAGGGAGGGUACUAGCCUUUGUGGUUGGGCGUGCCGUUUUGAGACCAGUGUCAAUGAUCGAGUUUGGAGCCCAUAUCUUCGUAUUCUUUUGAGUUUAUAUUUUCCUAGUGGAUUUUGUUAUUGGGCAUUCUAAUAGACCCGGUUUCGAAUCUUUUUUGCCCUCAGUUUAGUAUGUUAUUAUGGUAAGACUUUAUUGAUUAUUGCAUAGAUGCUGAGUUUUGCAUAUUUUUGCACUUACUAUAGUAUAGAGCAUAGUUCAUAGAUUUGAUUGUAUAGAAAUUAUUGUUUUCGUACAUCUGAAUUUGUGUUUUCAGUAAACUCUAAAUGAAAUAGUAGAGCCAGCACUAAGUCCAAACAAGAAAAGUUUGAGCUUGUAGCCUAUGUUAUAAUAUAUGUAUAUAUGUUUUAACGGCCAAUUUUCUGUUGAAAAGUUCAAUAGGCUGGUGGUAAAACCAUGAACUACUGAUAUUAAGGUGAUAAGUUCAGUCAUCCAUGGCAUCAUCUCCUUGUUUUUAUUUACUUCGUAUUCGUAUCCUUAUAAUUUUGUUCAGAAACAAUUUUUUUGUUUGAGUUCUAUAUGGUGCCCAAACAUGAUAAUUUAAUUUAUAGAUAUAAACGUGAAUUUGUUAUUAGUAAUAUUUUAUUUUGAGAUAUUUAUUUUUAAAUUGAUACGCGUAAGUAUUAUUUGAUUUAUGGAAUUUGGAGAAAUUUUUCUUUCAAAAUUAUAAUGCAUAUAUGAAAUUUCAUCAAAUUAAUUAUGAGAAAUUGUUGAAAAUGCCCCUUUUUCAAUACGUCUUUUCAAAAAUGCCCCCUUUGAGAGUUCAUUUUUAAGUUUGUCCUCUUUUAAUUUUUAAUGACCAUUUUACCCUUAUUUGAAACAAAAUUAGGUCCACAAAAUACAAAAUAUUUUUUGGCGGGAAAAGUGAUCCCGCAAUUUUCCCGCCAAAACACUUGUAAAAACUUGUAAAACCGUUAAAAUACCUUGUAAAAUUUUCCCGUAAAAAUUUUUCCCGCCAAAAAUUUUUUUUGUGGGACAAGUGAUUCCGCAAUUUUUUUGGCGAAAUUGUUUUGGCGGGAAAAAUUUACAAGGUAUUUUAAAGGUUUUACAGAGUAUUUACAAGUGUUUUGUAAGAUUUUACAAUGUAUUUUAAAAGGUUUUACAAAGUACUUAUAAAGUUUUAUAAGGUAUUUAUAACUUGUAAAACUUUAUAAAAAACUUGUAAAACCUUAUAACUUGUAAAAACUUAUAAAAUAGCUUGUAAAAUCUUAUAAUAUCUUAUAAAUACCUUAUAAAUACGUUGUAAAACCUUUUAAAAUACAUUGUAAACCCUUAUAAAUACCCUGUAAAAAACCUUUAAAAUACCUUGUAAAUUUUUCCCGCCAAAAAUUUUCCCACCAAAUAUUUAACGCCAAAAAAAUUGCGGAAUCACUUUUCCCGCAAAAAAAAAUUUUUGGCGGGAAAAUUUUUUGGCGGGAAAAAUUUUUACGGGAAAAUUUUACAAGGUAUUUUAAAGGUUUUACAAGUUUUUACAAAAUCAAAUUUGUAAUUUUGAUGUGUGCACAUUCUCAUGUUUUCCUUAUAUAUUUGUGAUAUCUUUUAUUAAAAGAAGGGUAAUUUAGUCAUUUUGUACAUAAAGGGGGUAUUUUUAAAAAUGAACAGCCAAAAGGGGCAUUUUUGAAAAAAUAUAUUGAAAAGGGGCAUUUUUGUGAGUCUCCCAUUAAUUAUUGUUCCAUGAAUAUUGUAAGUCUUAUAUUAUUAUUUUUUAUAUAUUUUUUUUAAAUUUACAUUAUUUUUGACCAAGCUUACAGUAAUUAAUGUGUUGCAUUAACAAACAAAAAAUUGAAAGGAAAAUUAAAGUCACAUGCUUGAACAAUUUUACCAACAAAAUAUAUAUUUAAACUUUUAUUUAAUUAUUUACUAAAUAGUUAUGUGGAAAUAAUAGAGAAUGAUAUGUCAUUCUCCUUGGCAUUCUAUGAAGAGUCCCCAUUCCGCCAUGAUAUUUUUCAGUCAUAGGAUAAUUCAAAAGCAAACAAUGAAUUGUAGUUUUGGUAGCAGUGCAAACAUGAAGUCAAGCGGUAUUUUUCCAACAACUGAAGAUAUUACUUUUUAUUUUAUUUUAGACUCAUCUCAACAAUAGAAGAAAGUAGUCAACUCCAAUAAUUUUCCAACAUGUAAAAUAUGUGUAUUAAAGACUAUUUUCUAGUUAAAGAUUAAGUUUUAUAUCAUUUUUGAAAUUUUUGACAAAAAUUAUAUGGAAUAAAAAGAAAGGAGAAAAACAGAAAACUACAAAACAAGAAAUUUACAACAACAAAAAUGAAAGCAAAGCAAGGACUUAUAUGUUUGAGCUAAUUACGGAAUUUACCAAUUAUUCAUAUAAUCAAAUAUGUUAUGAACUUAUAUUUGGUAUAUAAUAAUACCAAAUUCAAUCUAUGUGUGGAGUCUAUAUUUUCAUUUUACAAUCUCAAUGAAAAUAUUGCAGCACAAUCUAUUAUUUAUUAUUUUCAAAAUUACUUGCAGAAUCAAAUUUUCAAAUAUUUAGAAGUGUCAAACCUUAUUUAACUCAUCUCAUCAUAAAAAUCUUAAAAUGAGUCUGUUAUAAGAAUCAUAACUUUCUACUAUAUAAUACAUUACAUUUAACCCGCCGUCUACUAUAAAUAUUUUAAACAUAUUUAAAAAAAAUCAAAUUAAAGUAUUUAUAAUUUUUUUUAAUUUUUUAAUUUAUUAAAUAUUUAUGAUAUUCUUUAAUAUAUUAAAUUAAACUUUUUUAAAAUGUUCCAAAUUAAAAUCUUUAAAAAAAUUAUUGUAGUAUGUAAAAUUAUGAAUUUUUUUAAAAAAAUGAUAUGAAAUUAAAUAUAAAUAUUCAAAUAGUUAUAAGGAUCAUAACUCAUUUCAUCAUAUAAUAUAUUAUAUUCAACCCGCCGUCUAUUAUAAAUAUUUGUUUCAAAAAAUCAAAUUAGAGUAUUUAUACUUCAUAAAUUUUUGAUCUAUUAAGUAUUGAUGAUAUAAAAAAAAGGAAUAUAUUACUCAAAUAUGAAUUUUUGACCCGUUAAAUUUGUUCUUUCAUACAUUGAAUAAUUUCUAUUCGUUUUUAAAAAUCCAAAUCUUAGUAUAUGCGAAAAAAAUGUACUUUUUUUUUUGUUAUAUAGAUGAUAUAAUGAUUUAUUUAUUUAUAGAAAUAGAAUCAUAUAAAGAGGUGAAGUAUAAUGAUUAAUAACAAAUUAAUAUGGUAAGUUAGAUAUCAAAUCUUAUAUGUUCAUUUUGAUUGGUCAUUUUUUUAAAAGAAAUUAAUAAUAGAUUUUUGUUUUUAUAAUUAAAUUAAAUUAAUUAAAUUGCAUAAAAUAGUAUUUGACUUGUUUAUCCUUAAUGAGUUGAAUUAAUUUACUCUAUAAAAUUUUAUUUCUAAUGGCAUUCUUAAGUAAAUUCUUAUAAAGGGGAAGGUUAAUUAAGGGUAAUUGUAAAUUGUACUCUACAGUUUUGAGCACAAAAAAAAAAAAAAAAAAAAAAAAAGAAAUGAGCACAAAUUGGUCUUAGAUUUGCCACGAGUGCAGCGAGGUAGGCCAAUCCUCAAAACUUUAGUUCGGCAUAGCUUACAGCUUCUCCUUGAACAAACCACACUCAUACAUUGAAGACAAGUAAAGCUUCCGAGAUUGAAAGGUCCAAGAUCGUCGACACCGCCAGCGGGGACCUCGCAUCAUCCUAGCAAUCUUUCUCUAGAACUAGCUCAUUCGGUAACUCCAAACUGCUAAAGGAGAUCUGUCAACAAAGCGUUUCUCGUUAGAGACCAAUACCACAAGACAAUAAAAAUGCAACAACAAAGCGUUUAGUCCUUGCUCCGUUUUCGUUUUUGUUUUUCUGGUGUAUUAAAGAUUUAAUAGCCAAAUAAUGUGUACUAAGAUAUUUACCAAAAAACAGUUGCGCACUAAUGGACUAAAUGUAAUUAGGAGAACCCUAAUUUUUCUCUUUGUGUAUUUCAAUAAAUACUUGUACACAUUAUCUAAUCUGUCUUUUCCCUACUUUAGUAUAGAUAAGAUAAUGUUUACAAGUAUUUCUUGAAUUUGUAAGAAGUUUAUCUCUUCCUCUUCUUUUUUUAAUACAAUCUUUUGUUUAACAUAAUAAAAUAAAAGAGGUUUAACAUAACAAUUUCUAUUUCUGUUUUCUAUGAAGUAUUAACCCUAUUUUCUUGUUCAAGAGGUGAGAUUUAGGAAUGCCAAGUUAGGGUCAGAACAUCACAUCAACAUGGAAAUAUAUUAGAAUUACUAAAUCAAAAAUACUAAUGUAAAAUUCUGUGUCCAAAUUUAAUUAAAUAUAAUUUGAAAAUCCAUCGUGAUACUUUAUUUGAUUGCUCUUACAGAAUAAUGUACUAGUUAUUACAACUUAAGAUAUUGAUACUAAAAGAUUGAGUUAUUUUCAAAGUAUUUAACCGAUUCAAAAUCUUAGUUGAAAUAACGUAUGAACCUUUUAUUCAUAUAUCCUUUGUUUGAUACCUAAGAAAUUAUGAAUUUUAUAGAAUUUUGCACCAUUUAGAGUUUUUUUUUAAAAUAUUUAUAAAUAAAAAAAAUUAUUGAUAAAUAGAUUGACCAUUUGUGGAAGCCCCCUUGGCACAUUGGUUGACCAAAUGUUGAUUAAUGCUUCUACACCAAGAGGUCUGGGGUUCGAGUCCCAGAUAUUGCGAUUUAUUAACAAAUUUGCAGAUUAAUGGGGGCAAGUAUGCAAGAGAUCUACAGCGAUGUACAAUUAUAGCCGUUCACCAGAGUUCUACGCAGAGAAGGAAGUGUCGCCAGGUCAUGGAUCAUUGAAGGUAUUCAUCAAGAUCACGAAAAAAGAAGUGUAUUCUGUCGUGGAUCUAGUAAGGGUCAAGAGGAAUUGUCAGUUAUAGAAUCGUUUAUGUAACAAUUAUCAUAAUUUGCAAUUAAUAAUAAAUGUAGACGACAAAAAAAAUAGGUUGACUAUUUAAAAUGGAUCAAAAAUAUAAUUUUUAUAUGGUUUACAAAGUAAUUUACUAAUUUUCUUUGACGUGGAAUAGAAAACUUGAAAAUAGAUUUAAUUUUUUGAAAAAAUCAAAAAUAUUAGAAAUGCUAAAGUAUGUAUUCAAAAGUUAACAUGAUAAAAUAGAUAAAAGUCAACAUUGAUGAUGCAUCCUACAUAUAUUAGAAAGAAUGUGUACUUGUUUUUUUAAAAAAAAUUCAAAACUUGAAGAGAUGAAAAAGACUUCACAUAAGAGCUAGAAAUUAAGGAGACGAGAUUGAAAGUGUCACGGAGAAGAUUAGUAACAUGGAGGUUAAGUUACGUUUAUCGAACAAGAAACUAAGAGGAACCAAACAAGUACUACUUGAGAUAUAAGAAGCUUGUAUCAGAGAAGAAGCUAAGUAUUUAGAAGAAUAAGCAUUGCUUGAUAAAAGUCUCAUGGUUAUACACAAGACUUACAAAGGUAUGAUCAAAGUGAUAGCAGAGAAAGUGAACACAACACUAAAUUUUCAAUCCAUGUUGGGGGUGCAAAGGGUAAAUGAAGAAAAACAAAUAUAAAAUAUAUAUAUAUAUAUAUAUGUAUAAUAAAAAUUAAUGAAGAAUUUUUCAUCGUAUUUUUCCUGUGUGUUAUUAUUCUCUAAUAGAAUUUCAAACAAUGUUAAAAAUGUAUAGAACAAAAGACAAUCAGAGAAGUAAAGGGUAAAUAUACAUAAGAUGUCAAUAUUUCUAGAAAACUAAAAAAAAAAAAAAGGAGAAAAAAAAGACCAUGUAAAAACUUCUUUCUAAUACAUAUUUUUGGGUCAGUUUCAUUAUUUUUUUUUCUUUUUGCUUGUUAAAUAAGAAAAUUUGUAUGUUAAUUCAUUAUAUAUGAUGAUGAUAGUUGGGUGGUUAUUUUUAGAAUCGGAAUGUUUUGUGUGAAUAUAUUUAUCUUCGAAUUGAAAUUUUGUGUGAAUAUAUAUAUCCUCUGACAUGAAAGCUAAGAUUGGCCAUGUACGUAUGAGUUAAGAUAUUAAAUUGCCUGAAUAUUCAGAUGUACUUUUUUGAAAAUUUAUUUUUCUCUUAUCUGUUUUUUAGCUCAAGAAAGUGACGCAAUACUGAUAGCCAACAUGUGCAGUAGUUGUUGCAUCGACCUUACGUCAAUUCCCCGAAUGGCUAAAUAUCAUAUUGCUUUAUCAAAUCUUCUAUUUGGGAGUAAAAUUCAGUUACGGUAUUUAUUAUAAAGGAUAACAAACUUACGCAUGAAUCUAUUCGUAAUCAAUGUCGAAACCACUUUUUUGGUGUCAUAGGAAAAAACAGUUGCAUUCGUGCCCGCAUCAUCGAAGGAGCAAACCAAAGAUAUUGUUUUUUGAUAAUCAGUCCAAAAGGUGAUCUGAGGUUUUUACCGCUUGGAAAAUAUUUCAACAAGUAGAAAACUAUCCACCCAUAAACGCAGCCCCGAUAUCCAAAUCCGGUAUUAACAAAACACUAUAAGUAGCAAUUAAUCUACACUUCAUCAACAAAAGAGGCUAACCAAAUCUAAUUUCAAUCCCGUGGGAGAUGGUUCAUCUAGCUUCUUGCUCGGGAAAUGGUGGUCAGAGGCUAUCCGUAGAUGCUUUCGUGCAGCCGGGUGCGGUUAAGCCUCUCUAGCGAUUUCAUUUUUGCAUUAGUCUUCGGAGAAGUUGUAGACGGUCUUUUUUUGGAGGUUUUGAGGACGUGCCAUUAGAAGAAAGGUUUGUAUGUGGCAACGACGACGAGGUUUUGAGUUUUUUGGAGAAUUGAGGCAAUUACGCAAAUGUUCGAGCUUUGCGGUUCGGAAUCGGUGUUUCCUCUUCAGGCCUCUGCCGUUUGUUUCGCUUUGUUUUUUUAUCGUGUUUUAUCUUGUAUUCGUAGUUCUUUUAGUCGUAGUUUUUGGUCUUUCUGCUUUCAUUGUUUCCUCUGUAUUUUCUGUUUCAAACUUGAAAACGGUAUAAAUACUUAACAUUGGUACCAAAAAAAAAAAAUCUAAUUUCAUCUAGGAAAAGCAAUAAUCUAAAACAACACUCGCUAAAACACAAUAAAGAACCGCAUAAUUUACUUGGUGUUCUUCGCUUUCGCUCAAAUCUAAAACAACACUUGGAAGUAAGAACCAUUUCAAAAGUGUUUUAAUGGAAUUUUCUCGUUAUAAAUAAAACUGAACUGUAAUAUUGUGUGAUUACAUGUUCAUUUUUAUUUACAUUGAGGUGACUAUACUAAAAUGGUGAAGAUAAAUAUAAUUAAUAUACAAAAAUAUAUAUAUUGAACUACGAUAUCAAUGUAUCAUUAAAUAAUAUGAUAUAAUUUACACAACAUGGAUCAAUCAUCUUGUUAUUAUACUAAAAACCAAAAAUAUUUUUUAAUAAACACAUUCACAUUGUAAAUGUAUAACAAUUUCGAUACUUUUCUCACAAAUAUUUGGUAAUAAUAUAUUACUUAAAUGUUAGUCAAAUUACUUUUUGAUAUAAUUAUAAUUUUUUACUAGCAUGUUUUCUAAUCAUAUUUUCUUAUCAAUUUAUUAUAAUACAAUAGAAGUUUUUAAAAAUGAAAAACGAAAAUCCUUUUAGUCAUAAUCUAAAAUUGAAAAAUAAUCAAACUAUACAAACAAUAGAAAUAAAAUAUUAAUCUUAUCUUAUGGAAUAAAAUAUUUCUUUCAUUCUUUGGUUAAUAAUUUUUACAGUAAGAAUUUUUCUGACAUUCUAUAUUUACUAGUAUUUUCAUUAUUUGGUAUAUAUAUACCAAAUAAGGUUGAACCAAUAGUAUUGACUUAAUGACUUGACACUCCAAAAUAUAUUACUUCUCCUAGAUCUUUAUCUCUCUCAAUCUUUUUUUUCUCUCUCCCUCUCCCACAAUCACAAGAUAGGUAAAUUGAUCCAAAAAGAGUCGUCUGAAUGAAGAAAUCCGUUGUUCAUCUUGUGAUUCUAUGCCUCAUUGUGUCAUGUACCAAUGGACAAACCAAACCUGUAAGAAGAAGUAACUCCAAUGGAUCCGAAGCUUGGGGAUACGUCGAAGUUAGACCAAGUACGUUCUUUAUCUCUAAUUCUUCUACCAACUUUUUCAAGAAAUCAAUUGGUUUAUGUUAGAUAUGACUAAAUGGGUUUUGUUUUGACUCUUUUUUCUAAAUCAAAAUCGGAAAAAUAUAGAAGCACACAUGUUUUGGUGGCAUUAUAAAAGUCCAUAUAGAGUUGAAGAUCCUUCUACGCCAUGGCCUAUCAUCCUCUGGCUUCAAGGUGGACCUGUAAGGUUUUAUCUUCUUUUAUUUGUCUUUUAUACAUUUGUUGUUUAUUGAUCAUUAAUGUUUUCAAUUAUUUGGUUUUGGUGAGAACAGGGAGCUUCAGGGGUUGGAAUAGGGAAUUUUCAGGAGGUUGGACCAUUAGACACAUUUCUCAAGCCCAGAAACUCAACUUGGUUGAAGAAGGCCGAUCUCCUGUUUGUGGUAUCUAUUUUUUUUUUAUUUCAUUACCAUCAAUAUUAUUAUUAUUCUUUAUCUAUUUUAAAAUAUAUAAUUAAUUACGGUUGCGUAGUUUAUAUUUUGAUGAGUCUUUAAGACUCGUUUAUGUUGAAUUUAAAUUUUGUUUUUUUUUUUUUAAUAAAAGGAUAGUCCAGUUGGGUCAGGUUAUAGUUUCGUGGAGGGGAAUCAAAAGGAUUUGUAUGUGAAAAGUGAUGAAGAAGCAGCACAAGAUUUGACCAAACUGUUGCAACAACUCUUCAACAAAAACCAGACUUUAAACCAAAGCCCUCUCUUCAUUGUUGCUGAAUCUUAUGGUGGCAAAAUCGCGGUUAAACUCGGUUUAUUGGUUUUCGACGCGGUUCAAUCUGGCAAAUUAAAGCUUCAACUUGGAGGUAAAGGGAUACUUUCUUUUUCUUCUCUUUUCUUCAUUGAAUAAAAUGAAACUAAUAUAAUGUAGACACAUAAUUCCAUUAUAUAUAUUGAGUGAAUAGGAGUUAUUUUGGGAGAUAGUUGGAUAUCCCCUGAAGAUUUUGUGGUGAGUAUUUUUCAUCAUUUUUUUUCACUUGUCACUUGUUAGAGUAAUCUCAUUUAUUUGUGAUUAAAUGAUAUAUUCAUAUGAUUUUGAUUAAUUAAUUGUUACAGUUUUCAUGGGGACCUCUUCUUAAGUAUGUCUCUAGGCUUGAUGACAAUGGCUUGGAUCUCUCUACUAGGUCUUUCUUAAUACAAAAUCAAUAUUUCUAACUAAUAUAUAAUUAAUUUACUUCUCUAAUCUAUUUAUUACACUUUUUUUUUUGGAGCAGCUUAGCCGAGAAGAUUAAAACACAAAUUAAGAAUGGUGAAUACGUUGAUGCCACACAAACAUGGAUGGACCUCGAAAACUUGAUUAGUUCCAAAUCCAAUUCAGUCGUAAAUUUUUUGUCCUCUUAUUUUUUAUCCAUUAGUAUUUACAAUUAUAAGGAUUUGAUGGUAAAGUGAAUAAUUUACAUGUUGGUUUAAUGUAGGAUUUUUACAAUUUUCUACUGGAUACUGAAAUGGACCCUGUCUCGCUUACGACGAGUUUAAAAAUCAAAAAAGAAGAGAAAAUAAAAAAGUAUUCAAGAUAUUUAAAUGAUUUGAGAAGUUCAAGUGACGUAGAAGAUGAUGAAGGAGACCUUGGUAAGUUAAUGAAUGGUGUUAUUAAGAAGAAGCUCAAGAUUAUUCCCAACGACCUCAUGUAAGUAACUUUUUUUGAUAAAAAAUUUAAUCGUAGUAUCAAACUUAAUAUAGUCAAUUUUAGUUGUUAAAUGUGUUAUUAUGUGGUUUUUUUUUAAAUCAACAGAUUUUUUUUUUUUUUGUCAAAAUUUUAAAUCAACAGAUGGGGAAACAAUUCGAAUGAUGUGUUUGCAGCGAUGGAGGCUGCUUUUAUGAAACCUGUAAUUGAAGACGUAAUAUUUCUUUAUAUAUAUAUAUAUAAACUAUUUAAAUUAGUAAAUUAUCAAAUGUAUAAAAAGUUUCAAUUAUUUUGAAGGUUAGAUUAUGAUAUUUUAAUAAUAACUAAAAUAUUUUUAUUUUUUUGGCAGGUCGAUGAGCUUCUUGCCAAGGGGAUAGAUGUGACCAUCUAUAAUGGACAAGUAAGACCAUCAUUAUCUAUAAAAAAAUUAUAUUUGAUUGAUAUGAAAGAUGAGAAAUCAUUUGCAUUGCAAGAAAAAAAUUGUUAAUUGAAUAUAAAAUUUAAAGAAUGAGAUAAAUUGACAUGUGGUUAUACGCAGCUUGAUGUUAUCUGUUCAACAAGUGGAACUGAAGCAUGGGUUCACAAACUCAAGUAAGGCCAAACUACUUUUCUAAUUUUAGUCAUUACAUCAUCAUCAAAAUAUAGUUAUUUUGUUAUGAAAAUAGAAUCCAAAAAAUUACUGAAUAUAGGCACACUUAUAAAAAAGUGAGGAAUGACUAAUCAAUGAUAAUAAAUAAAUUAAAAAAAUUAAAAAAAUAUUCCCUCGGUUUUAUGUCAUUCUACUAUUUUCACACAAAUUAAGAAAAAUAAACAAAUUUGUUUUCUACCCUUUAUAAAUAUACUAUAUAAUACAUUCUCUCUAAUUAAUAAGCUAAAAAAAUAGGGAUGAAAAAGAGAAUUAGUCUUAAAAACUGCAUCGAAAACAUAAAACGACAUUAUUUGUGAAACAAGAUUAAAACCUUAAAACGACACUUUUUGUGAAAGGGAGAAAGUAAUAAUAAUAGAGGGAAUAAUAUUAAAUAGCUUAAGAAAUGUUGUUUGUAUUAAUUAUAAAAAAAUAGGUUGUUGGUAUAUAAAUUUGUCAUUUACAUGAUAAUGAUGAUGAUGAUGUGCAAGGUGGGAGGGGCUAGAAGAAUUCAAGAAAAUGGAAAGGAGGCCAUUAUUCUGCGAAAGUGACAGAACAACAAGAGGCUUUACCAAAUCAUACAAAAAUCUCCAUUUUUAUUGGAUUCUUGGUGCUGGUCAUUUUGUAAGUACAUACACUCUCACUUUUUAUCCUUUAGUAACUUCUCUUCAUUCAUAUAUAUAUAAAUAAAUUAUUUUGCAUAAGUCAUAAAUAUUUCUUGCACAGCCAUCACAAAUAUUGCAUAUAUAUACAGUGAAAUAUUGCAUCGAUAUUUAUUGAAUAACGUGAGAGAUACGUGAUGAAUCUAUUAAACGAAAGCACAAGUCUCUUUUGUGUCUGUUUCAUGCUUUUUUCUGCAUUUUCUUUAUAUCAAAACAAAUUGUCGACUGUCUCUUUAAUACUUUAAAACACUGACUCAAUCUUUAUGAUUUUUUCUUUUGUCAAUUUUUUUUUUUUAACAUCAAUAUUAAAUAGCUAUAUAUAGAAUUCUCUUUUCCUUUACACGCAACAUAAUAAAAGAAAAAUCAGACAGUGUGUGUGUGUUUUUUGAUGGAGAAUAUGGUAAAUAAUUUGGAAAACUAAUAUGUUGAAUAUUUUGUUUGGAAAAAAAACAGGUACCAGUAGAUGAGCCAUGUGUUGCAUUAAAAAUGGUUGGAGAAAUAACGAAGUCACCACAACUUUGACCCAUUCUUUCUUCCAAACUUUCACAUCACAAUAUGACUCCUUUCACAUCUGAUUGAUUUUAUAACUCAAAACGUUAAAAAUUAAUAAAAGAAGUCAACAGUGAAACUACCUACACAUGCUUUUUUUUUAUUUUUUUUUUCCUUUUAUUUUUUUCCGGCAAAUCAAAUAUAUUGAUAUCAAAAAGUGUUUACAAGAUACACAAUCAUUUCUAAACAACCGUUUACGUAAAUACAGGAAAUUAUUACAAUUUCGAUGAAGGAGUGGAGAGUAACCAUGCUAUCUUUAGACUUAUAGGCUAACAGAUAUAAUCUGUUAUGUCCCCCCUUCACACACUUUUUAUUGGCUAUCAGCUUAUAGCUGAAACUCCAAAAUGCCAUUGGCACUACAUUUUUUGAAACAGUGAAAUUAAAUGUCGUUGGAAAUGAUUCUGGAACUUGUUGUCUCAUUGAAAUCAAAGUACUUGAUGGAUCCAGCAUAGACCUUCUAUGUUCAUCGGGAUAUAUCCAUUGUUUUCUCUCCCGCGGUUGUUGCCAUAGUGAAUGUUUCCAUUGUAACCAAUAAAUAUUUGAAAGUAAAUCCAAGACGGGACACAAGUAUAUACCAUGUUCAAUAGCAAAACGUGGGCUCAGUAGUAUCUCUUUCUCUUGUAUCUUCCUUUUGUUAAUACCAAAGAAUUCUCUAUACCAAAGAACAACGAUAAUGGCUGAUUCUAUGAAAUGGCCUUUUGAAUACGUUGCCUUUAUGUGGUGAAGCUUCUCGGCAACAAGAUCAUGAACUUCAAUAACAUGUUGGUCGAAAUUAGAGAUAAAACUAUAGUCUUCAAUAGCCUGAUUUGCUUUCUCUAUGACUCCAAUAAUAUGUUCUCUGAGAUACUCAUCAUGAAUUCUCCAUUCUUUAAUCCAUAUUGAAAUUAACUUCAAAACUUCAUCUUGGAUAUUUGGAGGCCAUCGAUGGAUUGUGAUCAUCCAAUCAACAAAAAGCCAUAAGCCUCUCUGAAUCACCAAAUUCAACUCUUCCUGUGAGGAUUGGGGAAGUGACACCGGUUCAUCGAGUCUGCGAUUAAUCCUAGUUUUGAAGCCCAACAAAGUCUCCCUCAAUCCAAAAGAAACAAUCGGAGAAAGUAAAAAAAUAUCACCAUCAAUACUGAAACUUGUUGACGUCUUCGCGAGAUGGAGAACUAAGAUCUCAAUCGUCAAAACAAACAUAAAACGGCUUCCCUUGAUUCUAUCCGUACGGAGUCGUCGUAUUCCACCAUUUGCAAAUCUGUAAAUAUGAACUCCUGGAUCCCAAAUCUGGGUUUGAAAGUUCUUUCUCAAUUUGAAGAAAUUAACAUCAUAGUCAUGAAUUCGACGAUGAUGAAGACGAAGAUAUUCAAUAUUGAGAUAACAGAGGCCGCUUUGACGAAGCUUCAGCGGAAAGACACCACCACUAGUCCAAGACCAUUGUCGGAUUGUGGUCGGAAAGAAACUCUCGUGAGUGGAGAGAAAAACGAUGAAUUGGAAAUCUACCACCGAACAAAUUUCUUUGAGAAUCAUAUGCCGAUGUUAUUAUUUAUCUAUAGAAUAAAUUUAAAGUAAAGAAAAAAGGAUGCAACAAAAAUUAAAGCCGAGCUAGUUCAAUUAAUUUGGGAAAUCCAAGUAAGAAUCUAAUAUAACAAAUAUUUAAGAUACUAAUUAAGUAACUAAAUGGAGGAAAAAUUGUGUGUUACAAUCUUGAAGAAUAUACAACUUCAGGAGGAUCUUUUAAAGAAACACAUAAGCAAUGACAAGUAACUACUAAGAAGGGCCUAUCCUCAAAUUUACACCACUCAAUACAAAUGCAAAAGUAAGAACAGACAGGACAAGACCAGAGAAUUACUUGAUGUUGCUGAAGCUGCCAGAAGCUUCUAGUUGAUCUACAGUGAAGCUGAUUCGAUCUUCUCGAUAACUUCCAGCCGCGUUUUCCUUUUCCAACCUUUCAUGGUGGCUACUAAAUUCACCAGUCCAAGGACCUGUGCUUUUGUAUAUCCCUGCAUAUUUACAACCCAUGUUUAUACAUUUUUCUCAACUCUUCUAGAAGUAAAAUAUAGGUUUGGUUUACGCAAGCCAGAGAGAAAAAGAUUUGUUUGUUUACCGGAUGAGCCCUUGCCCAGUGAACAAAUUCCGUCUCUGGCAGAUAGUACGCCUGCAAAGAGGAGUGAUGAUUUUGGUUUAAGCCGUAACAAAUGUUUCUGUUUUUGAGUCUGCGCUUACAUAUGAGUUUCUGUUUUGCUUACCUUGAUAAAUGUUACGACUAUCUUUAACUUUUCCUUCACAUCUGUUUGCACAAAGUGCUGUAGCCCGUUUAUUAGAACCUACAAGAAGAUAGAUUCAAUAUAUCAAUUGCAGCUGUGUUGUUUAUUUGAAGUUUCUAUAUUAGUAUUGGAAUGUCUUUCAAUGUUGAUUGAAAAAUUUAUUACUCAUGUAUACAAUUCCUGAUCUCGCGUAGAAGAGAAGAACACUGGAAAAGAUUGGGAAAAGUACCUGAAGAUCUAAUGACAUGAGAACACGUCCUUCAUCAGUACAUCUUUUUAUUCGAGAUAAGCCUUCAACAAGUAUCUCCGCAAAUAUUUCAAUUCCAUAUUUCAGUAGGCGGUUUUGGACCUAUAUAUGAAAAGAAGUUUAAAGUGGAUACAGAUUUGAGAUUUCCAUAUAGUAUGAUAAGAAAACAUUCUCAAUCUGAUAUCUUAAUCAAAUUAAGUUGCAUGCCGUUUGUCAGUUGACUGUUUAUGCAGCAGAAUUAUGUUCAGUUUGAUUGUGACACACAAAAACAUAGAAAACCAACAAUCUCAACAGGUGCCAACUACUAAUAGAGGGCUCAGAAAAACAGUCGCCACUGAUGUCCCAAUCCAAAGAUGCAAGUAUUGAUGUUUUCUGGCAAUAUUCUCAACUUCUGGAAAUGAUGAGGUCUUAGAGAAAUUUACCUCCUGUGGAAUGCCUCCAUGAGCAAGCCUUGUUUUGUAGUGUUUGAAUUCCCCGAGCAUCAGAUCAACAUACCUGUUAGUUCAAAGAGGUUAUUAUAUAUAAGAUAGCAGUGAUGCAACCAAUGGUCCAGCAUGCCAGUACUGAAUAUCUAAAAUCUGAAUUCAGUAAUGUGGCUUGCCAAGUAUAGCUUUCUUUAUACAACACGAGCAAUAUAUAUAUAAACAAAAACAGUAAGUAUAUUGCAUGAUUCAGUUAGGGGUCAUCCGGUAAACAAACCCAUUAUGCUCCAUUCCAAGCUCCUUGAUUUCCCAUUUAGAAUUAGCUAUCCGGUCAACAUAUCUGUAAAAUUAGUUGAAGCUGAAUGAAUAUGCAUACCCCCAGUUAGCGUACCAAUUGAAUUCACAGUAUAUACAUUCAACGUAACAGUUUCAAAAAUCCUGAGGUCAGUAAGAAUAAGAACGAAGGCGCAAGGGAAGAGAGAGGUGCAAUUUAUCUAAUAACUUCUUUCGAAAACACAAGCUCAUAAGUAGAUCGGCAAUUUACCCAUUAACAUGCAGCAGUAUCCUCGCAGUUGUCCUAUGUAAGUGCUUUGUCAGAUCAGGUACGGAACCAACCUGAUGAAUCAUUCCUUUUAAUGCAACUCCUUCAAAUAUAUUGUAUUUAAAUAGUUCUUUUGUAUAUAUAGGAGAAAUUAGUUUAGGAAAGGAACACAAUGAAAGUACUGAUCAUGUCCUGCAUAAUCCAUUAUUAUUUAGAGGCAAAAGACUAUUGGAUGCUACAGAAGUCUUUGUAUAAUAAGAUUGUAUGCAUGUUGUCAACAGCACAGCCAAGUAAGGCAAUACAUCCAACCAGACUUUCUCUUAAGGACUCAGAACUGAAAGAGGUGCAUACCAGUUGAUCAAAGAAGUCUUCAACCAGAGAGCCAUUUCUUGACAUUAACAUUGAUUGGAGAUGAGCCUUUGAUUUAUGCAAUACCCGAGCCACAAGAGAUACUGUGUCCACAGCAGCACAUCUUUCCUGCAAGUAAAGAUGAUAAUCCUUUUAUUCUACAACUUUGAGAUGAUAAGAAGAAAGUAAGGCAGCUGCUCUUCUUUUCUCACACAAUAUAUCAAAUACGCUAAAUAUAAAUGAUUCGAUUAUAUUUAGAGUUACUAAUGGACAGAAAAAAAUAUUAAUUGUAGUUCAGAUUGAUGAAAACCUAGCCCUAGGUUAUACCUUGAGACUAAAAGAUACGCCUGAUAAGUGACCAGAAGUAUUUAAGGGACUUGCUGGAGUCACAUCCGCAAGACUAACUGUGUUGGGAAAGGCAAGUGAAGAAGAUGGUGAUGAUGAAAGGUGAGGUUUUAUCCAUUGCUCACACUCUUGUGAUAUCCGGGAUAAGCAGCUUUUCAAACGAGCUGCAUUUCAAAAUAUAUCUUUGUUGAGCCUUAAAAGUCAUAACACGACUCAUACUGACAUUGGUGGGGAGUAACAUUACAAACAAAGAGGAGGAUCAAAAGUAAAAGAAUCAGUAACUCACGAUUGAAAGAGUCGGCAACUCCUUUUCCACCUGAAUUAGUAUUUUCUUGACCAAAUACUUGAAAAACGAAAUAGAAAAAGACCCCAAACAAUUGGCAUAUUCCCUAACAAAAUUUCAAACAGGUGUAAGAUAAACGUUAGAAAAGAUAAUGAGGAAGAAUAGUACAGAAAUAUGCAGAAUUCCAAGAAUUAGAUUGGUACCUUAAAGAAUUCAACAUUAACAAUUUCUAGUUUCUGCAUAAGCCUCGCGUACUUAUCCAUGGAUCUUAGACAUCAAAAACAAUGAAUGUAAUUCCAUGUCACACAGUGACUCGCAGAAAAUAUGUAACAGGAAGGCUGCAUUAUAAAACAUUUACUAAACUGCAUAUUACCUUAGAAGACAAAGGGACGAUCCUGUUUGAGCUGUCAAAUCAUCAUUAGUAUUGAAAUAUGAAGAAGAACUCCUUGAUUGACUACGUGUAAAACUUCGUCUUGGAAGCUGACUAUCCUCAUCAAUAAAGUCAGCAAGAAGGUCUUCGUUUUCAUCUUCAGAAACAGGACUACCUCCGUUGAUGUGGUUUUUGUCUGUUAUCUUGGGAUUCACAACAUCAUCGUGAAUACUAUCAUUACCUUCAUGAUCUCCUCCAUUGACCGAGGAGUAGUCUUGAUCUUCUCUAUAGUGAGUUAACUUUGCUGAGAAGGGGUUUCCACUUUUCAGCCAAUAUGAAAAUCCACUCCUGUUGCCACUUGGAUCAAUUGAGUCAUUUGACUUAUUAGAGUGAGGGAAUCUGGAAGAACCCGAGGCACUGCGGGAAGAAAUAAUUAGGGGAGCCCCAUCCCCCACAAGACCAGCAAAAUUAAUAGCUUGCACAGUAUCUGGUGACAGUUUCGUCCAUGUCUCCUUCUCCAGGACCAUUUUAAGCGCCUGUUAGGAAGAAAAACCAAACAAAAACUUUAUCUUCAUGUUAUCAUGUAGGAGAGGUGAUGCAUGAAAUUAACUAGGUAUGUGGUAUUGGCAAUGUUAGUCCAACAGGCAUUGUGAAACUGAACUUACAUGCAUGCUUUGCCUAUGAAAUGCAGUGAAAUAAUUUUCGCAUACACCCUUUAGCUUCUCCCUAAAAUCAACAACUUCAAAUCCACAGAAAGCUUCCCCAGCAAGGAUAAAGAUGCUCAGGUCUUCAUAAUUUUUUAGGAACUGAUGUAUACUUGUCGAAGAAGCACCUGGGGAAGAGAGCAAAACUGACACACGACUUGUUGUAAGUUGCCAAAGAUUUCUGCGUCCUCUCUGAAGAGUUUCUGAAACAAAAGCUGCACUUUCUUUUCGUAGAUAGUACCAUGGCGACUCGCUACUUGAUACUGUAUCUCCAGAAUUCCUAGACUCAUCUAUUGCAAUAUCAGACGCAUGUUGCACUGAACUGGAUGUUCCACUUCCAUCAGACUCUUCAGCAGAAAUGGUACAAGGAGGUAUGCUUCCUGAAAAGAGACCACCAUCCUGUGGGUUGCAUGAACUUUCGGUCACUGAAUCAACCUUUUGAGUUGUUGCAGGACUUGGUGAGAUCAAACUUUCUACCUGUUCCAGUUCAGAAGCUUAGCCCUUAAAAACCAUUAGAGAUAAUUUAAAUAAAUUGACAUUGACAACAUACAGAAAAAAUCUAAAGGAAGUUGACAAUGUAUAAGAUACCGAGCAAUGAAGCCAUCAAAGAGAAGAUUUUAGGACCCAUUAUCCUUCAAGCCGACAGGGAAUAAAACAAAGAAAAAAAAAUUGUACUAAAAUUAAAGAACAUAUCAAAAUUAUUGUACAAUCAAUUACCUGACAUGGAGUACUUAGAUAGAAAACCUCGUAAUUUUAUGUUAACUAGGAAAUCAAGUAAUAACCAAGACUUGCAUACAUGAUGAUAUAAAUUUUGACAUAAAUCCCUAUCAAUAAAGCUGGUAUUCUUCGAGUUCUACACACCACCAAACUAAACAAGCACACAGAAAAUUAUAAACGUAUGCUAAGAUUUCCUCUAAUUGCAGUGUUAAAGAGAAGUGUUUAUACACUGAGUUUAGGUAUAGUUUGGCUCAGACAAUAGGUAAAAGGUUUGCACAGAGGUGUUUAAGACUAUGAAAUCUAAAAAAUAUUAUAGCACUGAAAUUAGAACCAGAGGCUGUUUCAAGAACCCUAUCAAGUAUCAAGGUAAUAAGAAAAUGUUAAAUACAAACUAAAGCAGGGAAUGGAACCUACCUUCUUUUCUGGCGUGAAACUCAUUAUCUCAUGGUAUGAAUAUAUUAACUGAAAGAGCACAGCUAGUGUUCUCAAAAGACAUUGCCUAAACUUGGAUUCUGGUGUCUGAAGGCAUAGAUCGCUGUAGGUAAGUCUGAAAUUAAUUAAAAAAGAAAAAAACAAAUUAGAAAGAAUACUAGAAUCCAAAGAAAAAGGGACCAGAUAUAAAUACUAGAUACUGUAAUAGGUACCAGUAAUAAUAACUCAAGUGCAUAGAGCAUACCUACUAUAUUGGGUGGCAGCACUGUUAUCCUACAAAAACAAAUAUAUAUACAGAAUGGAUCAACAAUCUGAUUGGUUUGAUAUGCUGACCUUAAUAAACUCAUUUCGUGCUCAGUAUGAUGAAGUAAAAACGCAUUACCGCCUAUGACAAAGAUUGCAUGCAGAUUGAAAUAAGAUAAAUCAGAACGUGUAAAAAACUUGUAGCCAUCUUUACAUUUGCAAAAAAAAAAGGAGUGAUGUCAUCUAUUAAAAAAUCAAACUUGUUAACCAUUCAAUAUAUCUAUCUAUAUUAAUGCUCAGAUUUCAAAUUUUCUACUUUCGUGUAUCUGCUAGGAUCAAAAGUGACAUCUAAGCAACACAGAAAAGAGAUUGCGGCUUGCACAAAAAUAAAGGGGAAAAACUACGAUUGCAUCAUACACCAGCAAGCUCAAUACAUUCAACCAUCCAAGCAUGCACGACUACAUCCUACAGGAGCAACAAAUGAAUAUUUAGCUCACAUACCUCCCCAACAAUGCUCUUUAGCACUGAGUGGGUUUCUGAGAUAACUUCCUGCAUAAAGAAGCUUUGUAUCUUUUCUGCGAGACCAGAGACAUCACCGAUCAGUGCAUAAGCGUCGAGGACCUAAAGGUAUGAGCACAUAAACAAGUUAAAUCACUGAACAAAAUGUCUAGUUCUCCACUAAACUGAAGGCCCACAAUUCCAUCCUUUUAAUUUCAAAAGGAGAAAGCUAUAGAGAUGCAUGAGAAUGAGUUGGCUUACUAACCAUUACAUAACUAUCUUCUUUGAAUUCCUGGCAAACGCCCAACAAAAGUGAAUCCAGCUUAUGAAGAGUUCUUCCUAACCAAACCUUGAAAAGAGUAUGAGAAGCUCAACCGACUGGCAAUAGAAAAUUAUGAAGACAAUGGUUGGUCAUAAAUAAGCCAUAACUACCUCAACACCACGGGUCAUCUCUUGGGCUGCUGAGAACUCAGAUAGACUGUCAAGCAGCUGCAAAUACUCAGAUAGAACUUGAAAUGCCUGCAUAAUAAAUAAGGAUUACAUUCCCAUCUCUUGUUAGUUCCAUAACAUAAUAUCACCAUAAUUCAUAUAAGAAAACCAUGGAAGUAGACAACAAAGACGAAGGUAAACUACCAACCUUGCAAUAGUUUCCUUCUUCAACAAGGUCUUCAAGAGUUGACUGCAUUACUCUUGCAUGGCGGAGGUCAGUUAGUAUAGGAAGCAUAUCCUGCAAGUAGAAUAAUUAAACAUUCAUGCCUCUCUAAUUACAUGGUAUCCAGAAGCAAAAAGGCAUGCUAGAAAGAAAAAAAUCUUCACAGUAUGUUUAGAUAUAUUAAAACAAAAAAUUAGGCGAGAAUACACAUUAGAUUGUAUCUAAGAAAGUACUUGCGUAUAGAAACAUCCUGAAAGUAUCUUCAGAGAUUAAAACAAAAUAUAUACAGAGUAAUUUUCUACACAAAGUUCUUGAGCAUAUUGAUGGGGGUUUCAGAAGGAAACUAUAACUCAUGAAAUAUUUCAAGAAAGCAGAAUAAAGAAACAAUCAGUGGAGCCUAGAUGUCUGAAAUAAAAAGAGAAGCCUACCAGAAGAGCUUGUUUCUUUUUGGAAUGAGUGUGUACAAUAAGAUCUCUUGAAGCCUCAUUCAUAGAAGAGGUCAAAUUUCGUCUUCCAUUCUGGCAAUAAAUACACAAAAUAGUCACACCAAGGUCAAACCAGUAACAGAUAAAAUAGAAAAUGAAACCACUGUACUGUUCAUAAAAAUUUAGGUUAAAGAAUAUGAAACUCAUACCUUGCAGAUGACAUUUGCAAUCUUCAAAUCUUUUUCCAAUUCUCUUACCAAAUUCAUCCCCUUCACUGGCCAAAAGCAAAUAUUAAUACUCACAAAACAAAACAAAUAUGGUCUUCUCAAUCGAUAUCGAUUUUCACAAGAGGAAAAAGACAAAGUUUUUUCAAUUCAAGAUACUUACCCAUUACUUCAUGAUGCUCCAUAACAUGGUGUGACAGAUUUUCCGCCACUCUAUCCAGCUGUACCAACCUCAAGGUAGCCUAGACAGUAAACAAAACCUAUCAAACUCACUAACUAAAACAUUCAUCACCAUUCUUAUACCUUUCACGAUAGACGCAUCAGUCAAUAUUCAAUUCCUUGAGAGAAGUUACUAGUUAGUACCUGCUUCUCAAAAUAAGCUAACUCACUUUCAUCUUCCGGCACAUUCUCCAAAAUAUGCCUUACCGGAUCAAAAUCCUACACAAAAACAAAACCAAAAUGUCGCUAGUGGGCUUAGUGAUAAAAAACGAAAUCUUCCAAUAUCACAAACACUAAGAUAAAGCAGACAAACACACACACACACCUCUUCAUAAAAUCCCUCUUCAAGCUCUUCAACUUGUUGAGGAAGAGGUCUAUUUCCAUAAAUUGAGUUAAGCUCAGUAGCAGUAGAAGAUAUACUCAACCUCUGAUCAGAAGGAAGUCCCGCCAAAGCACGAGCAACCGCAGCAGCUGCCGCAGCACGUGCCGGAAUCUACACAAAAAUCCCAAUUCCUUAGAAGCUCCAUUGAUGUUAAAAAUUGAACAAAACAAGUUAAAGUUGAGAUUUUUAUUACCUCAGGACGAUCAGAGAUAGAUGGUGAUGGUAAGAGACCAAGAGAAGUAGCGGAUUUAACAGAGCUGAGGAAUUUUUCACCAACCUUCGAUAAAUCCAUGACACCAGUGCCUUGAGAUAAUAAGAAAGGAAGUAAGAAGAAAACCCUAGAGCUUUCGAAUCCAGCACCAGAACCAAGUUCGUUUAGAUCUCCACCGCCAUUGAAGAGAAAUGGAUUACCCAAAACUGAACCGAAUGGGAAGAGAUUUGGCUGCAUCUCUCAUCUCUUCUUUAUACCAGUAAGAUCAAUAAUUGAUCCAUCCAAUUUUCCAAAGGAGUAAUCGAUUUCACGAUCGGAGAAAAUGUCUGUGUUUUUUAUUUUCCGGCGAGUCACAAAUCGGAUCGGGAAGAGAUCUAGAAGAAGGAGACUUUUGUUGAGUCUUUUGAUUUGUUUCGACAAUGGUGUGUGUUUGAUUAAAGCCACUUCUUCUUUUUACACUCUUCUUCCAAAUUUUUUCUCUAUAGUGUUAAUGUUUAUAUUAUAUUCUUAUUUUUUUCCUUAUGUUUUGCUUUUUUGUCAAUUUUCUAAGACUAUCUUUAAUUACUCUAUUGCCAUCUCUUAAUGUAUAAAACAUCUUACCACUAUAUAUGGCUAAUCAAAUCCAUAAAUAGAAUUUUGUUGUUGAAAAAAAAAGAAAUAUAUAUAUAUAUAUAUAUAUAUGAAGUUUAUUAGAUUAUAAUAUUAUUGAAUUAAAAAUAAAUCCACAAAAGUAAUCCAUUGAAAAAGUAAAUAACAAAAAGUUUAGAAUGCUAUAUACUAUACUCCCUCCGUUUCAAAAUAUAAGUCGUUUUAGGUAAAAGCACGCAGAUUAAGAAGAUCUACUUUUUAAAAGUUCAGCCAAUCAUAAAAGAGACUGCAUAAUAUAAAUAAUCAUAAAAUAUUAAAAUAAUAUAUAAUUUGCAUUGAAACUCGAAAACGACUUAUAUUGUGAAACAAAAUACUUUACCCAAAACGCCUUAUAUUAUGAAACGGAGGGAGUAUAAUAAUAAUAAUAAUAAUAAUAAUAAUAAUAAUAAUAAUAAUAAUAAUAAUAAUAAUAUAGUUAGGACUUAUGUUUCGUCUUCCAAAAAAAGAAGAUGAUCACAACCUAGGAAGCACGGAAUCUUCGUCGGAGGUCCGCUUCCCGCUUCGGAAUCUUAGUCGGAAUCGGAAGCUCUUGGAAGCUUUCGGAAUCUCGCUUCCAUCGCGUUUCCAAAAAUUCAACUUUGGAAGCUCGUUGGAAGCUUACGAUUCCGGUUUGGAAGCUUGCGCUUCCAUUUUAUAAAUUCAAUUUUACAAAUAAAACAUGAAAUUAUUAUUUUUAAUCAAACAAACUCAAACUAAAAAUUUUGCAUACUAAUCUUUGUAUUUUAUUUUUAACAAAAUCAUGUUUAGAAAAUAGCAAUGACAUGAAUCUAAUAUGUGAGAGAUAUUAUAAAUGAUUAAUUAAUUUAGAUUAAUUUCGAGAGACUUGAGUUUGAUCAUAUUUUUACCUAUAAUAUACAUAAUUUGAAACGAUUUUGUUUGAUGUUAUUUUAAAAAAAGAAUGAAUAUAGUGUUAUAAUUUUUUUCUUGAAUUAUUUGAUUUUGUUUGUUGUAAAAAUUGGUUUAAUUUUUAAAUUUAGUUUUUAAAAUUUAUUUAUUAGAUUUAUGGGGUUAAUAUAACUUGUAAUAUGAUAUAAUGUUUAAUAUAUAGUUAUAUAUAUAUAUACAUAUAUAUAUAUAUUCUUUAUAUGUACUAUACGCUUCCAUCGCGUACCGCUUCCGUAAAAUUUUCUAAAAAAUCGCUUCAGCGCUUCUAAACGAUUCCGUUUCCGCGUACCCGCUCCCGUUUCCAUGCAACAUAGAUCACAACAAGCAAAAUGGUGCCCCCUCGAAUAGAACAAACUAUGAUGAAUGCAUUUUUUCUAUUAUCCCCGUGUGAUAUCCAAGUUUGUGAGGCGGUACUCUGUCAUAAAGAUCAUGACUGCUUUUAGUCAUAGCAUAUUCUUCCUCAUCAUACAAGGUCGAAAAAAAAAAAAAAAAAAAAACCAUACAUCGGUAGUGUGUCAAAUACAGUUUUCUGUAUCCUAUCAUUCUAAUUAUUGGGUUCAAAAUGGUAGAGAUAGCUGUCACUAAUACAACAUGUGUUAACUUCAAAAAUUGUGUUUGCGUUGAGUUAUGGACCGUUCAUUUUAAACAACUUAAAUUUGGCAUGUUCAUUUACUAGUUGCUCGCGACAAGCCACUGCGACUAGCGACUUCUUCUGUUGUUCGUUUGACAGUCGAUGCAACUAUUCUAUAUAUAUAUUUCGAAGUUUUGAAUUUUAAUAUUAUUAGUUUAUGAAAAUUUUAAGGAAACCUUAUGUUUUUAAGAGUAAUUUAAACCCUCCACUAGAUUCAGAAGGAUUCAUGAACUUGAAACCACAUGAAUCAUCAUAAGACAUUGAGUCAAAUUAUAUUUGAGUUUAUCAUAAAUGUUUGUAUUGGAGAUUAACAAAAGAACUGAAGCAGAGGUCAAGUUUGAAAAAUUAAUGUUUUUGUUUUAACAAAUGAAACUGAGUAUUAAAUACAAACUUUCCAAAACAAAAUUUAGACUUAUACUGUUGUUUACAUUCAAACUCUGUUACGGCUCAGUUUCUACCCAAGCGGAAAGAAUUUCCAGCCAAAGAACCCAAAGAAGCAUUCUUUCAUAUUAAAUUUGAGGUUUUGUAUGAUCGACGAAGAAUCUUAGUCUCUUUCAAAUGGAGGUUCUGGAGACAACGUCACAAGAAAUCCCCCUCAGGAGCUUUCUUUAAACGAUUCAUAGCUUAGAAAACGAAAAAAGAGAAUUCUUAAUUAUCACCUCUCUCAGAUUUAGCCGCUCGAAUUGUUGCCUCAAACAAAGAACUCUUGCUUCUACGUCUGUUCUCUAGUCUACUGUGUGUUUGCUUAACUUUUUAUCCCUAUCUAAUCAGGGUUUCAAAGUAACAAAAGAGGAGAGAAUUGGAAGAGUGAUCUGAUUCUGAUGUGUUUAUGUGAAGAUUGAGAGAGAGAGUUAGACUUUAUAUGCAAGUUCCAGGUAGGUUUUGUCAUGUUUAUAUACUCCUUUAUUAAACUUGCUUCCCAAGUUUCCCAGAACUUUCCAUUUUUGUUUAUUCAUCCUAUUACUGUAAUGGUAUUACACAUAUACAUUUUUGUUUAUUCUUGUUUUUUUUUUGCUGAAAACAUGGCUUGGAUUUUCAAUUUCAUUGUGAAAAUUACGAAAACCCAUGGAAAGAUAAAAAGCAGAGGCCGACAAUUCUCAAAGCAAAAAAAUAAUACCAAGAUAUUUACGCAAAAGACCAUUAGUAAAAAUACUGAGGCAAAUGAUCGUCCAAAAACCCAUAAUUAACCAUUGGUGUGUUCACAAACGACAAAACUAGUCAUCAGAUCAUCUGUCUUAAACCAAAACGCAUAAUAUAAGUCCUAAGAGAAAAAGUUGGCCGAAUCCUUCAAAACAUUCACAGCCAAACCCAAAAGUGGUCAAACCCGAGCCGCAUAUAGUUUUUUUUUUUGAAGUAUUAACGGCUUUUGAAACUGGUAAAGAGAAGAAGAAGUAUCAUCAGCAGUAAAACAUAACGUCCUUGACGUUAUCUUUUAUUGCUGGGAGCUGCGAAAUGACUUGACCCGCACCUGUUGUUGUGUUCCUCGACCUGCUCGAGCCUCCAUCAGACAUCUCACUCUCCAUGUAGUAGCGGGCACGGAAAGCAGCCAAGUGAGCGUAGUAGGCUGGUGGCACAAUUGACACAGAUCUUGUGCACCUCGCAAACCUGUAUACAGUUUUUAUGUUUUGUUAGUUUCAGAGAGUUAACACAUGUCAAAGGAAAAUGUACAAUGUUGUUGUUUCUUACGUGUAGCAGAGGUUGUUGGUGAGCAUUUGCAACUGAUCAGCAGUGAAACCGUUCUCGUCGAGAAGAACAUGGUAAUGAGCCGGCCUGCUUGUUCCCUAUUACCAUUCAAACAUUCAAAGAAACUUAGAAUUCUGCAGAGACAAUAGAGAUCAUUAAUUGGUCUAAGAUUCUGGAAGUAAUACCUGAAUACCAGCGUGGCUGUUCAAAUAGAAGUCGAACUCAUUCGGGUGACAGAUUGUAGUGUCAACGACAGUACCUAAUAAAGGAAAUGCAAAUAUGUUACUAGCAUUUUCGAUCAUCAACGGAAUUAAGUUGAUAGAGAAGAGAAGCGAGUGAGAAACCUGGUUGAAUAUUGCCACUUUUAUCAGUCGUAUCACGAUUCCCGUGUUGCUCAGGGAACAAACGAGUGUGGUGACGUUUCUGGACAAUCACGAAAGUGACACGAGGAACAUAGUUCUCUUGGAGAGAGUUACAAGCCUUUCGUAUAGCUGUCAUCUCAUGCAGCAGAACCUGACUAAACUGCCCUUCGCUUACUCCGUCGCUGUAUAAAGGAAAAACAAUUAGCUAAACCUGCUCAUGCUAUUAAAUGUUCAAGCAUGGAAUGCAAAAAACACUUACCGAUAGAAGAUAAUCCUUUGAGGUAUCUGGCCCGUAGCUCUCCUGAAUGCUAUGAAAUGUUCCCUGCAAUCACAAACAGUGUCCAUUUUUUUUGUAACUGUGAAAAAUCAAAGAAAACAACAAGUUGUAGAUGUUUUGUUCUUACCUUAUCAAACCAGAGUGGACUAGCCCACGUUGUGGAUCCUGAACCAGCUUAUACAGGUCCUGGAUAAUUUCUUCCCUAUGAGCUUGAGCAGAAACCAGUCCUCGGUAUUUAGUUAUCUCAGGCCAGUCCAUAGAGGCCACAACCUGCAGUUCAAAAAGGAGAAUUAACUUUUAUGAUGAAUCAAUAGUAUAAUGAGAUACAAGUAAAAUUAAUCAAGAUAUACAUACAGCAGCAAUAGAAGGACUCGAGUCCUCUCCAGGUUGCGGAUGAGUCACAUCAGCACCCAUGAUUAUGGUUGGGCGAUCAGUAAUAAGAGGUAUGUUUCUUCUAAUAGCAUCAUUAAGAACAGUGUUCCUUCCCCCAGUCUGUAAACAAAUAACCGUUUUACACCGUCAUAUAAAACAGCUGAAUGAUUAAACAAUAAGAAGCAUAAGAUGAUUAGACCUUGACAUUAAUCUUCAAGGCAACAUUUUCCAUGUACUGCUUAUUGAGUUUAGAAGCUUGUCUUGGUUGGCAACACUGAGAGACGAUCCCCAAUUCUGUUUCACAGAUCCUUUUGAUUUGUCCUGUGGACAGAAGAACUUCAUGAACAGAUUGUUGGAAUAAAUUUUGCACCAAAUAUUACAAAUCAUUUGCACAGAUUUACCAUAUGAUCCAGUCACAUCAGGCAAUAUUACAAUCAACAGUUGGAGACCAGGUGCCCUAUUGUGGAUAUCAUGAAGAGCUUCCUCAAUUCUUUGAGGCGGAUAAGAGAUGAACGGAAUAGCAGGUUGUGGAUUAAAUUCCUGGCACAAAGAAUAAGAAACAGUUAGUAACUUUUCUGGUAUGAAAUUGUGAUAAGCAUGAGACAAGACAGACCAUUCCUUUGCUGACGCACAUCCCAGUCAAUUGUUUGCAGAACUCUUGGGGUAAACCUCGGUCAAUCCGCGUAGAGAAAUUUACGCAAGUCCAAGAUGCAACUCUUGCUCCAUUAACCAUUUUCUAGACCACAAAAAUAUCACAGUCAAAAGGAGGUAAGAGACCCAAAAUUUGGUAACACACAUUAAACCACAAUAGAAGCAUUAAGCACAAAUCUUCAUCACUAACUUUUUCUUUCAUAUCCACACACACACACAAAGAGCCUACAGAGAGCAAAAAUAUUAUGAUAGUCAAUUACAGUUUCACUUUUACCUUGUUAAUCAUGUUCCACUGUCCCAGGCUUGGAUUGACCAUCUUCUCUCUACCGCUUUCAUGGUACUUCAACUAUUAACAGAAAGAACAUCGUGAUGAGCAACAUUGCAAAGAAAAUGAAUAACAAUAAAGCAAAUUAGUAACAAAAGUAGAGUCAGAGAAUCACCAUCGGUGGAGGAAGUACACGAGCUUCAAUCGAGGCUAGUUGGCUAGUCACUGACAUCCCAAACUCCUUGCUCAGACCAUGAACAUUGUUAUAAUUAUUUUUCACAACCAACUAAUAAUAGAAAGAUUAAACGUGAUGUUAGUCAAAAUAGAAGUGCAAAAAUAAAGACUCUUUUUCCCAUGGAAGAACAAUUGUAUAUGUGAUGUAAAGAGGACUAAACCUACGUUUUUGAUCGAGUUCUCUCUCUCUUGAGGUCGUUGGCAGGUAGCUCUUAGCAACGCAGUCACUUGCUUCUCAUUAAGCCUUUUGGUGUAUCUUUGCCCUUCGUCAAUUUGGCAGAGCUGCAAGAACCAGGAAUAACCAGAUCUUUAAUGAUACAAAAUGAAUCCACGAGAAUGAUGGGAGGUAAAAGAGUAGAUGUUUAAAUUGAAAUCAUACUUCCAUAGGUAGGUAGACGGGUCUUGUGUCACUCCCAGUUUGAAUAGCAGGUAGAGCCGGGUAUUUCACUCUAUAAUUAUAUUUUUCAGCAAAAUAUUGUAUAACCGUCUUCUCUGAUUUGUCCUCUAAAGUGAACCUGAAAUGAUUAGAACAAAGGCAACAUCAGCUACAAUAUAACCAAAGAUUCAGAAACCUCUUGAAAGAAAAAGCAAGAAACAAAGUUCAACGAUUCUGCACUUUGUUAAACUUUGUUAAGGCUUAAUGAAGUAAGCAUCUUCACCUUAGCUGACUGAUGGGACAGCUGGAAAUCCCACUAAUCUUGGCACUUUUUGUGCUGUUCCAAUGUAGCAACUUAACUUUUAGUGUCCUCAAAACUUUCUUCACCUAGAUACCAACAUAUGAUUUUCAAGAUAAGAAUCAUAUAUGACAUCCUCUUUAAUAAUAUUAAUAAUUUAAAUGGUGGAGUAAAAGUCAGAUAGAUACCUUAAGUCGAUCUGAGUCUCUAAGUGGUCUGUUUAAGUCUCUUAUAUUCAGAAACUUGCUAAUAAACUCAGUGACAACGAUUGGUUCAUAGAAUGAUCUUGCUGAAACGUCUGCAUUAUAAGAAAACAACACAGCUAUAAUGCAUCAAAAUCAUCUCCAGUCAAAACCAUAAACAAGUAGAAUUAUUCAAAUCACAAUCAAAUAAAAAAAAAAACGAGAUUUCAUCAACAGAACCAAUCCAGGAUAACAUUUAGCAUGUUCUUACCGAUGUUAAGAGACAAACCCAUCUGAGUCAGCCUUAGACUUUGGAAAAAACCUCUCCAGUACUCAAUACCAUCUCCAAGCUCACCCCUACCAUCUCUGGUGUCCUUUCCCAAACUAGUGUGGAAAAAAGACCUCCCAACAGAGACAUAACUGAACAGAAAGCAAUACAGGGAAUGUUAAAGUUUAUGCAUAGCUUUAGACAAUACUGAAGUAUAAGCAACUUCCAGAAUUCCUACUCAUUAGAGGGCUUGUCCCUGAGAACAACAUCAAGCACUUGGAUAGUAUCAUAUGGAGCAUCUCUUUGCCUAUGAGCAAGGAACUGUUGCAACUGAUAAAGAUCAGGUCUUGACGCCAGCUUUAUAGCAACUUUAAACGAUCUGUCCUUCCUGCCAAAAGAAGUCACAAUGCCCAAAAACUGUAAGAGAAAAAGGUGCUACGAGCAUUUCCUACCAUAAAAAAAACAAACACAUUCACAAAGAGUUUAAACAAGACAUUACCCAGAAGAACCAUCAGCUCUUUUUUCCGCCAGAUUCACAACAAACUCUUUCGAUUCAAAAGGUAAUGCACCAGCAGUAUAGAGGCUUUUCCUUCCAUCAUACGCUGGAGCCUUCCCUCCCAAGUGAGAAUCUUUAUAGUUCUUAACCAAAAGUUUCAUCACGUUCCUGUUCACUGCCUUUGAUAUCACCUCAGGAUUAAUCGAAACCUGUAAACCCAAUAAAAAAAAGUUUUAGCUAAAAAUCGAAACAACUACGCUAUAUGACAAAAACAAGUCAUAAACGCAGAUACUGAAAAGCAGAUUCAUUCAUCGUGUCAAAAAUCUCUAAGAACUUUGUGAAAUACAUACGAAAAUACAUCAGAUCAACAAUAAAAAGGACAAACAACAGUAGAUUCGUCAAAUGAAAAAAAAAAAAAACGCCCCCACUGAUGCAACAGAAACAAACAAAUUCUCAGCCAGAAACUUCAGUGAAACAACAACGUUAGAUGAACAUAAACGACAAAAACAAGUCCAAAACGCAGAUUCAUUGUUCGACGUACAAGGUAAGCAAAAAUCACUAAAACUUGUGAAAUAGAAACGACAAACUAGUACAGAUUCGUCGAGAAAAAAAGCAAGAAACAGAAAAAAAAAAUCGCCGGAAACUUACAUCGUAGUGAUAGAGAUCACAAUCAGCAAUUUGAACAAGGAAAUGAUUCGCACGAAUAAGGACUUUCUUCCCCAAAGUACCACGCCCUGGCCGUACCGGAUACGUAAUCGCCUUAGAUGACGCCGGAGGAAGCGUCGUUUCCGGUUUCGUCUCCGUCGGAGUAAUCUCAACCUUCGCCAAAGCCUCAGAAACCUCCGUAACCUUACUUUCCUCUUUAGACGAAGAAGAAACAGACAUCGUCUUAGACGAAGAAGCAACAGACGUCGCCGUCGGAUCUCCGGUAGAAUCGCUUCGUCCGACGUUACCACGACCUCUCCCGCCAGAAACAGAAGCAACCGGAACUUGCGUCGCCGUCAGAUCUCCACUAGUUUCACCUCUUCCGACGUUACCACGACCUCUCCCGCCAGAAACAGAACCACCACGACCACCGGAGCUUUGUUGUAAACCCGGCCAAGCAGCCUGACCAGAAGACUGAUUUUGUCUCUGAUCAGACCUACGUCCUCCUCGACCACGACUAGCGCCGCCGUGACCACCACGAUUUGACAUUGUAGCGGAAAGCUUCCCAAAGAAGAAACAAAAAUCGUUUCAAAAUCGGAGAGAGAGAGAAAAUGGUUACUGCUGUGUGUGAGAAGAGAGUGGGACGUCUUGGUUUUAAAAGGAAUCUCAAGGUCGUCGGUUUUUUCCCGUCAAUUGUUUUAAUUAAAGAAACAAAAAUCAAAAACUAAAACCACUUUGACUAUUUUGCCCUUAUCUCUUUGCCUUCCCUUUUCUUUCAAAAUCAAAAUUAAACCAGUUUGACCAUUUUGCCCUUAUCCGCGUUGUGAAGAAAUCCAAGGGUUAGUUAGUUAAAUGACUGUUUUGCCCUUGUGGCUUUGUCACCACGUUCUGCGUAAUUUCCUCUGUGCCUACCUGUGUGUGUGGGUCGGGUCGUACAUUUUCUUUUAACUAAACCAUGGUCAUUGGUUUUUAACUCUUAUUUAACUUUUACUUUAUUUACUUUUUUAAAAAGCUCUGUCCUAUCUAUUCAUGAAUUGAUAUAUGCUUUUUGCAGAACCAGAAUAGAGAAAAAAUAACAGAUUUUACCACUAUUGUCUAUGUUUUAAUUUCUGCUUUUUCAAUUUUAUAUUAAUUUACGAAUGAAAAAUGAGUAGGUUUGGUUUCGUUGGAGAAAUUAUAAUCGUGACCUUUUGAUACAGGUUACGUGUUUUGGGAUUUAAGAAUUUUUUAUUUGAGGUACUAGUAGUUGUAUUUCGUAAUUUUUUUUGUAUAAUUAGAGUAUUAAUUUUAGUUCAAAAAAAAAAAUUAGAGUAUUAAUUAAAGAUAAAAAUCAUUUUAGCUAGUUAUGAUGAUAUUGAUAGCUGACACAAUCAUAAUUCCCUCUUUAACAACACCAUGUCAGUUUUUACGGCAGCUUCAUUAGUUACGAGGCCUGAUUUUUCUGGUUUUUUUUUACUGAUGUUAAAAAUAAGAAAGUUUUGGGAUUAAUGUUUGUUCUUAUCAUCUUUCUUUAUACCCUUUUGUCGUACGAUGAGCCUUUUUUAAUUUGUUUCUUUUUUAUUAGAGUUUAAAAUUUGAAUCAUGAUAUGCAAAUUAAGUUUAUUUGCAUAUUACUGCUUUAAUUUAAGGACUGAUAUGCAAAUAAACUAAUUUUCUUACGUCCUUCUUUAGUUCUUUUAUUUGUUUUCUCACUUGGGGUGAUAUUAGUAACUUCGACUACUUGAUACAAGAAAACUGUUAUAUUUUGUAAAUAAUCUUCUAUUUAGUGGAACGAUUGGCUGAAAAUAGCUUUUUUUAUCACGUAAAUAAGGGUUACAAAGUAAUUUUGUAUGUGACGAAAAAAAAAAGUAAUUUUGUAUGCUAAUCCUUAUUUGCAUUUGUUAACAUUCAAAAUUCUUACGUUUUAAAAUGGGAUAUAAUAGUAAAUGGAGUUUGACUAAUGACUGUAUACUGUAUAUGUAUUGACGCGUUUAAAAUGGUAAUGAAAUUAAAAUUUUGCGACUAAUGGUAAUAUAGUAACAGAGUUAUUGCAAGUCAAAAAUUUGCACAAUAACAUUUUGUGAGAUGAUUCGUUUUUUAGAUACAAACUAAUUUGGAAUGUGGUACGUAUAUGAACACUUAUAACAUAACGUACCAAAUAGAAUAAUCGAUUUUGGCCGAAUUAAGAAAAGUUCUACAUGGAUAUGGUUACGAUUGAAGUUUACAUAUUUAUAGUUUGUAAAGCGGUUUAGUAGAAAAUCUUAUGGAUUUAAUAUGAGGAUCAAGACAAAUUAAGAGUCAAGAGUCAAGAUAAUGAAAUGCAUUAGAUUUGUUCAAAAAAUCUACUAGUAAUUAGUAAACCAAAGUUCUACAUGGAUAUGGUUACGAUUGAAGUUUACAUAUUUGUAAUUCGUAAAGCGGUUUUAGUAGAAAAUCUUAUGGAUUCAAUAUGAGGAUCAAAACUAAUCAAGAGUCAAUAGUCAAGACAAUGAAAUGCAUAAGAUUUGUUCAAAGAAAUCUACUAGUAAUUAGUAAACCAAAGUUCUACAUGGAUAUAGUUACGAUUGAAGUUUACAUAUUUGUAAUUCGUAAAACGGUUUUAGUAGAAAAUCGUAUGGAUUCAAUAUGAGGAUCAAGACUAAUCAAGAGUCAAGAGUCAAGACAAUGAAAUGCAUUAGAUUUGUUCAAAGAAAUCUACUAGUAAUUAGUAAACCAAAGUUCUACAUGGAUAUGGUUACGAUUGAAGUUUACAUAUUUGUAAUUCGUAAAGCGGUUUUAGUAGAAAAUCUUAUGGAUUCAAUAUGAGGAUCAAGACUAAUCAAGAGUCAAGAGUCAACACAAUGAAAUGCAUUAGAUUUGUUCAAAGAAAUCUACUAAUAAUUAAUAAACCAGAAUGAAACUUAUUUAGAAUAUUAUAAUUGGCGGAAUGAAACAAAAGUGAAAUGCAUUCUUUUAUUUUCAUUCGCUAGUACCAAAAGAAAUGGUAAAUCUUGGGAAAGGUAAAAAUUGAUCGUGCCCUUUAGUUAAUAAGGAAGAAAUAUCAAAUUUUCAAUCAAAUUUCAGGCCAGUCCGACCCAUUUUUAGGAUUCUUGAAUCUUGAUUACUUCAUCAUAGAACAUGCUUUUAGGUUGAUUAAAUAUUGGUGUCCGUAGUUUUAUGUGAGUUGCAAUCAUAUUUGGGAUAGAACUAGUUUUUUACGAUAUUAUUUUUAUGAAAUAUUAGAGUAUAGUACACUUGUAUAUAGUUUUAUACUUGUAAUCUUAUUAAGUAUAUAUACUGUAUGUAAUACACAUUUAGUCUUCAAUGAGAAAUAACAAACUUCCUUUCUUUCUGUAUAUUUGAUAUGGUAUUAGAGCCCUUUCUUUCCUUCCGCAUCAAAUUUCUCAUUCAAUUUUUUUCAUUUUGAGCUUCGAUCCUCAUGAUUUGAGCUUCUUUUUCUUCAAUUCGACAUCCGAUUGUCUCGAAUUGAUCUUCGUUUAUUUGAUUUUGAGCUUUAUUUGCUCAUUUUUCAUCUUCUUUCUUGAUUUUUCUUCGCGAACUCUUCUUCGGUGUAUCAAUGGCGAAUUUGAACGCUAACAGAGAUUCGUAUGAUAAUCCUUACUAUCUUACUAGUACGAUCAUUCUUGUUUGAUGUUAGUGUCAGAUCGACUCACCGACGCUGGCGAUUUCGGUUCGUGGCAUUAAUCUAUGAUCAUGAACGGGCUUUUGUGUUUUCUUAGAUAUUUCUUUAAUCUCAUGGAAAUCAUGAAAGCAACAAACUGCUCCAGAAGCAGCGCUGAAUCUGAAUACAUGACAUUAGCUGAUACUACAUGUGAAUUGCUUUGGCUGAAUCAACUAUUGAAGAUUUACAUGUUCAAGUUAUUGUCCUGCUAAUCUCUAUUGUGACAGUAUAGCUGCAAUACAGAUCACCUCUAAUUCAGUCUUUUACGAAAGAACAAAACACAUAGAGAUUGACUGUCACAUUGUUCGUGAUCGAUUGAAAGCUGCAGAUAACCAGUUGCUUAUUUGUUUACCAAAGUACCUCCCAAGACUUUCAAGAUGCUCAUGUCAAGAUAUGCUUUGUAAGUCUCUUUCUUCUUUCUUGAAGAAUUCGAGUAUAUUUUGUUGUAAAACUCAUGAAUAAUGUGAUCAUUGAUUAUAAUUUUUUUUAAAGAUGGAUGAUAAUGUUUUAAAAUUUUCUAGUUUUUUUUUUAAUACUUUCACAAGAUAUAGUGUGACUUUACAAUAUAUUCGUCUUAAAUCAUAAAUUUAAAUUGAGUUUAGUAAUAUUUUAUUUUAUUUGAGUAAAAUUUAAUAAGAAAUAAAAAUAUGUAGUAUAUUGUUCAUAGAAACUAACGUUUCAUUUUAAAUUUUAUUUUCUUGUUUAAAGUUUUAGAGAUAGAAUUACAGAAAUUUAGUUUUAUUAUACCAUGAAUAUAAAAUUUAUUUCCAUUGUAAAACUCAUUAACACAUUUAAAAUUUGACGUAUAAUCAUUUUAAUUUUUAUCUGUUAAAAGUUAAAUUAUAUUAUUACUACUAAUAAAAUUUUGAUAGUAUUAUUUUAACAUUGCAUUUCUUUACAUAAUUUGUUUUUUAUUUAUUUAAAAUUUUUAUUAAUUAUAAGUAACAUAAAUAUGCAGUAAAUAAAUGUUUUAAAUUUAUUUUAGUGUAAAAUAAAUAGUAUUGUUUAGAUGGAUACUUUAGAUGCAGAAAUGACUCUCCUAUUAUAUAGGAAUAUAUAUUUUCUCUUUGUUUUGUUCUUUUAUUUUUUGCAUCUAAAUAUGUUUCUCCUUUUCUCUAAAAAACAAAUAGGCCUCUUUAGAGGUUUUAAGUUGUAUUGUAAUAAUCCUUCGUAUUUAUGUGUAACUUGGGAAAAAGACUGAGUUUGAAUCAAGUUUGGACCAUGUUUACGAAAUGAAGAAGCAUGCAUUGAUGUCUUGGUCAGUCAAAAAACUCGGAAAAAGGACGAUUAUAUCGAUGAUUUUGCAUUAUUGUUUUUGGGUACAAAAUCGAUAAUGCUGCAUAAGGUAUACAAUUUUAUGAUAAGAAACAUCUCAUGGAAGUAUAGCGAGCAGGGAGGGGCUAGGAAAGAGUAGUACAAUACAUAUAUUCCCUCUGUUUCUAAUAGUUUGAUGUUUUAUAGUUUUUACAUAUAUUAAGAAUUCAAUUAUUGUUUAAUCAUUUGAACAUUAAUUUUAUUAUUACAUAUUUUAAAAUAAUUAUCAAUCAAUAGUAAUUUAAGAAAGUUAAUUAUUUUCAAUCAUUACGCAUUGAAGUUUACGAUUUAUUAUUAUAAAUCAAUAAAAAUAAAUAAAAAUGCUAGAAAAUCAAUCUUUGUAGAACAAAUAACAAAAGUUAGAACAUCAAUCUUCUAGGAACAAAAGAAGUAUAAAACUAUAAAUAAAUAAAUAACAGAACAAAAAAAAGUAAAUAAAAGUGUCAAUGGAUUUGUGCAACAUCCAAAUUUUAAAGAAAGGUAUAUAUGGUUAGGGGUGUGUGAUGAGUGUUUCGAGGUUGUUGCUUCUCGGAAAGGUACCCUGAUAAUUGUUCAUCAUAUUUUCUCUCUUUUUUUUUUUUUUUUUUGUCUCAAUCCUUUUUAGAAAAAACAAAAAAAAAUGCAAUUAAGCAAAGAAAAAUUAGCAUGUUUAUAAGUUAUAUAUAAAAAAGGUUAAUUUUAUUGACCAUGUGAGUAAGUGAGUAUCAAUGAUCGAACGGUCGACAGCUCACUGUGAGGCAAUCACAUGACCCCAAAUUAGUCUCAGAUAAUUCCAUUAUCUACAUAUUGGUUAAGCGAAAUUCAUAUAAAACUCUCUUCAUAGUGAUUAAUUAACGAAGUCCUAUAAUCUUUUUUUUUUGUGAAACCAUUUUUAUAAUAUACUUCGACAUGCAACUACAAAAUUUAGCCAUUUUUAAUAAUGCUUAUGUAGAUCACAUUUGAAAACGAUAUCUGGGAUGUUAUGCAAAAUUCCAAAUAAAGUUACACUAAAGUACUUGUAGCUUUAGUGAUGUAUUAUAGGAUUUCAUGUAGGACGUGUUACUCAUGAUGACAUGCUUAAAAAUCAGGAACGUUUUUAGGUUCCACGAUUAUUUUAUUAUUUUUGAUGAAUUUUGAUGUUUUUUUUGUUUGAGAUAGAAAGAACAAACAAUACAUCAAAAAAUUAUUAAUUAAAAAAAUAAUCUUAAUUCACAAAAAUUAUUAAUUAAAAAAAUAAUCUUAAUUCACAAUUAAAAAAACUGUGUAUAAAAGAGUCAAAUUAAUGGGUUUUCAGGAGAAAAAAUCGCUUCCAUCACUACUAAAUAUUAAUUCUGGAUUUAGACCUUUGUAAAUGAGUAAUUAAUUAUCAUAUUUAGUUGAGAAAAUGAAAACAAAUUCUAGUAGGUCCGAACCAAAAAAACUAUUUAUGUAUUACAGAUUUACAGUAAACUUAUACACGUUUGGUAUCUCUUUUUUUUUUUUUUUUUUUUUUGGUAUCUCAUAUCCAAACAUUUGCAUUAUUCAUUUAAUAUGUAUAAUCAUUUUAUGACAUUUUUAGAAAAUGGGCUUAACACGUUAACGUGGCAUUAUUCUCAUACGUACAUCAGUAUCAUGGAGCGUAACUACUAGAAGCGGUAUUCAGAAGCUUAAUUAAGAUUCAAGCUUAACAAAAAACAUACAGUAAAACCUCUAUAAAUUAAUAAUGUUGGGACCAUAAUAUUUUAUUAAUUUAUAGUGAUAAUAAUUUAUCUAUAAAUUAAUAAUUAUUAAUUUAUAGUGUAAAUUAAUAUUUAUUAAUUUAUAGAAAGUUUUGUUUCAACUGUGAAACAUUUUUUAAAAAAAAUACGAGCUAAAACAAUGUUAUCUAAAUAAAAUUAAUGUUUUAAAUGUUAUAUAUUUUAUAGUUUUUGCCUUAAACACUAAAUAUUUCGAAGAAAAAAUAAUUUAUUUUGACAAUGAAUAACAACGAUAUAGAAUUCACAUAUACAAACGAUAUACAUAAAUUAAAUCACAAAUAGUGAUAUCCAUUGUUGUAUUUUAAAAACCUAUACGACUAGUAAAACAAAAAUUAUGCAUAUUCAAACUUUGAUAACUUCCAAAAACUUUUGGCUAUUUUUAUGAAAAACACUAAAACUAUUAUAUAGAUAUAUAUAUAUAUAUAUAUAUAUAUGCAAAUUUACAUGAUUAUUAAUUUAUGAUAUUAUUGGGACUAUAUUUUUACAUAAGGAUUUAAAAAAACUUAUUAUCUUAUUAUCUUAUCGAAUUUGGUUAAUUUUUACACUGGCCCGACUCGGGACCGACCAAAUUUAUUAAUUUAUCAUGUUUAUUAAUUUAUCGAGUAUUAAUUUAUAGAGGUUCUACUGUAUUUCGUUUAAAUUCUUUCCUAGCCAGUUUAAUUUUCAUGAUAAUAAAAAAAAUGGAAUCUCCAAUGUUUGCUUGGUCAAGUUUAGUAUUGAUUCCCCAAAGCCAUUCUUCUCAAUAAUCAAUAUACAUAUAUUAAAUUUGAUUUCAUCCGAAAUUAUAACCAAUCCUUUAAUGCACUUCUUUUCAAAAAUAAAAAUUAAUUUGAUAUCAAUCAGAAAUUAUACACAAAAAAAGAUUUCUCUUUAGUCCUUUUUAUAAAGUCACAAAAAUUCUGCCGACAUUUAUAUCCCAUAUCUAUAUAUACAUAUUUGGAUGACUUUUAAGCAAAUAAAUCCUGGAGUUGGAAUGUAUUUACAAACAAUGCCAUUGGAGUUAAUUCUUAAGAUUUGAAAAAAUUAAUUAAAGAUAUUAUUCUAAAGAUCGUUCCUCAAAUCACUUCCAACUAAUUACUUUAAAAAUCUCGAUAAUAACUAUUCCGUGAUUUACUGUAAUCUUCAAAUAUAUUUGGUAUGAUUUCUCAUAAUUAAAGAUCCAUCAUUAAUUGCAAUAAUAAAUAAAAACAAUAAUUUCCUUUUAUUUUAAAAAUUUUCUAACGACAAAUGUAUUGCAAAAUAAAUAAUUUCCUAAAACAAUUACAGAACCUAAUAACUGUUGUAGACUUUUUAGGAAAAUAAUUACGUAAAUAUAUAAUUUAAAGAUAACAAUUACUCAUCAAAUCUUUUUUUUUGUUAAUAUUGUAUCAUAACAAGACCUAAAUCAAUGGACUACUUAUUCUCUAUAUAUAAGUGAGGUUAUUUAGUCAUCAAAUCAAUGUGCAUGGUUCCACUCUCGCCGUCCCUCAGCUCUGCAAAUCAUUUGCUUCAUUUUCUACAUGUCUUGGACUAAGGUUCUUCCUAUUCUUCUUUGAUUUGAAUCACUUACAUCUCUUUUUUUUUUUGAUAAAUCACUCACUUUCAUCUUUCUAUGGCUUUAUGUUUGAUAGCCUCACGUUGAAUUGAGGAGCUUCCCAGUGUAUUCGGAAACUGGUCCUUCUACGUUACCUUAAUCUACAUGUUUUUGUGUUUGGACAAAUGAGGAAAUGAUUCUGAUUUUUAUUGUUUUGGUAUAUUGGUUCAUGUUUGAGUGUGAAAAUAUUUGCAGGGUUAACCAUAAUCCGUUGUAGCUUCUUUAUAUCGAUUUGGAGAUGCUCUUAGUAUUGAUUUGAAAAUUUUCUUUGGUUUGUUUACUAAAAAAUAUUUAGUGGUUUACCAUCAAAUGAAAAAAUCAUGUGAUAAAAUAACCUUUAUAGAUUAAUCUAUAUUUAUCAAUUUUUUGAGUAAAUCAUUUUCUAAAUAUAUUUAUUUUAAUGUAGAUUAGUUAAAUUAUGGUUACUAUUCGUUAUUUGACAAACUCAUUUGGCUAUAUUACUUAUUUUAAACCAAACUCAUUUUGGCAAUAAAUAAUGUUUAUUUAUAAAUUAGAUUAACCCCCAAAAAAUUAUUACCAAAUAUAUAAAGAUUAUUUAUGUCUAAAGAAUAAUAUGUUGCUUUAGAUUAUUAUUAUUUAUAAGGUUUCAAAUAUUAUAAAUAUUUUAACCUUAUAAGAAGUAUAAAUUAAUAAUAUUUAAAUUAUCUAUAAUAUUUAAUUCCAUAAAAAGUUUAUAAUAUUAAUAAUAUUUGAACACUAUAAAAAUUAUAAAUAUUUAUACUAUGGAACCACUUAAAAGCAAACUUUUAAAUUGACUCGAAUUAUAUGUUUUCUAAACAAAUGUGUUAUUAAAAAAAAUGAUGUUUAAUUUCACGGGACGGGGUUAUAUGGUGGGACGGGUUUAGAUCGAUAAUAAUACCGGAAGAUAUACCACGGGUUAAAAUCCUAGAAAUAAUAAUCAAAAUUCAAUAUAUAAUCUUAAACACUAAACAAAACAAAUAAUAUUAACAAAAUAAUUACAACUUAAAAUUUAAAACUUUUUAGUUAAAUAGUCGCGGGUUAAAAUCUAGUGAAGAUUUAUUUUGUUAAAAGAAGUUUUUUCUCUUUAGUCUUUUUUUUUUCUUUGACAAAAAAAAAAAAAAAUGUUUUUUCUUAACGCUUAAACACAUACUCCCUCUGUUCCUAAUUGUUUGAUGUUUUGAAAUUUUCACACAUAUUAACAAUUCAAUAAUUGUUUACUCAUUUUAACAUUGUUUUUAAUCUUAAAUAUUUAUAAUAAUUAUCAACCAAUAGUAGUCUACGAAAGUUAAUGAUUUAUAAUCAUCGUAUCUUGAAGUUUACAAUUCAUUUAUACUAUAAAUCACAAGUUACCUAGCCAAUCAAAUUAUGCCACAUAGAUUUCUAUUUUACAAUUUUUUAAAAAAUUUUUAAAAAAUCAAAUAAACAAUCAAACACAUCACGCAACUUCUCUUAAAAAUCCCUGAAUUUUCUCGCACAAGUUACCACUACCACACCACCGUCACCACGUUUUCACGAUCUCAAGAUCGUUGGAACCGUUUCAUCAUCCUCUAUAUAUUUAACUCACGAUAAACUCACACUCAUUUGUUUGCUCUGUGAAAUUUUGAAUCAUUAAUUUCUCUCAACGGUUCAUGCGGGCUGCUCUGUAUGGUCCAGAAUCAUCGGAGAUAUAUGUGUUUCUCAACGGUUCAUGCAGAAGCAUCGGAGAUAUAUGUCUCAGCCUGCUACGUCUCUAGCUCUCUCACGUACUCAGUCUCCUCAGAUUCCUGUCUUGGACGUUGGUGGUGACUGGUGAGUUCUUACUUCACACAUUUAUGUUUCUUUUUUGUUGCAUGACAAUGACUUCAAAUUUUUUGAAAAGCAGUACAUGGCUGGCAUUUGUCCAUUGCAGACAAUGUAAGCUGAAUAAACUCACGUAAAUUCGACAACAAUUAUAAAAAAUGCCAAAUAAUAUUUACUAAACUUUUCUUUUCUAGCAGGACACGUAUUGGGAACUUUAUACUUUGUUCUACUUACGGGAGAUACAAGAGUUGGUGAACUUGAUUAAAAUAACGAGUUGUACUUCCAAUCUCAAUCUUUGUGUGUUAAUCAAAUGCCUACUUGAAAUAUCCGAUCAUGAGAAUCAAGAUUUGGCUAAUUGAAAGAUUUGUUCAGAAUGUGAGGAGUUUGCAAUUUCAAAAUUGAUUUGUUCCCGUAAGAUAAGUAAGUAUUUGACUUAUAGAACUUUCAUAUCUGUUUCUCAAGGAUCUCACUUGCAAACUUAUGUUUCUUUCAAAUUACUUGAUUGUGAUUUUCUGUACAUUGUUAACCCAUUUCUCUCAUCUGACUAUGUUUCUUUCAUUCGUUAUCUUUGUAACGAUUACUUUAACUUUGCUAUACUAUGUCCCUAUAUAACCUAUCUCUAUCAUCUCAUCUAACUAUGUUUCUCUCUUGAAGGUGGACUAUUACAGGCUAUUCCCAUACAACAUAUAUAACAAUGGUGUGGAUGGGUAAGCGAUCAAAGGAUUAGAAGAUGAUCCUGGCUGACGAGGCGUAGCGAAACCUGAACAACAACGACACAGAAUGACAAUUAAAACAGAGGAAGCAAGUAAAAAUUCAAAAACAUGUGUUUCAAACGUUUAAGCACUAAAUGUCAUUCAAGCUGAGUUUCAAUGGAGUUUUCAUAACAAAGACGAGUUGCAGUUUUCCGAGAAAGAUCAAAGCGACAACACCAACAAAAGUAAAAUUUAGAGAUAAUGUUAUUUUGUUGUCUUCAAAACAUUUAAGAUCAAUGUAAUAGUGAUAUAAUAUUAAAUCUAUGAUAAAUCGAUUAUGAAUUUAGGAAAAGACAUAAAAGUCAAAAUGUUAUACUAACUAUGUUGCAUAACACACUAACUUAGUAACAAACAAAAAGAAUCCAACCAAUGUAUGAAAAACAGAAAAUCUUACUUAGAGGCAAAUAACUCAAUGCAUUUCUGUUAUCAAAAUAAGAACACAAACUCAAUGUAUUCAAAACUAUUUUAUUUCCGUACAAAGUACGGAUCUAAUACUAGUUACUAUUAUAAGUCAAUAAAAAUAAAAUAAAAUGAUAGAAAAUCAAAAUCUUUGUGGAACAAACAAGCAAAGCUAUAACAUGAAUCUUUUAAGAACAGAGGGAGUAAGGGGGGGGGGGUUAUUGGAUGAAAGACUUUAAUAGAAUUCAGUUGGAUAGAAUUAGAGACGUAAGCUACAGAUUUUUAAGGAAUUAUAUAAUUCUAACUAUUGUAAUUCUCAACAUUUUAAUAGAAUUUACUAGAAAUUACAAACCGAAACUUUUAGGUGGGGGUAUUGAACCAAAUAAUUUAAUAGAAUCUGAUUGAACAGAAUUGAAGACAUAAAUUACAGAUUUUGAAAAAAUUAAAAUCUUUCUUUAUAAUUAUACCCAAUAUAUUUUGCAACACUUCAACAGAAUAUAAUGGAAUUUUGAUAAAUAUUCUGUUUUGUUCCCACAACGUCAAAAACAAACGAAGUUCAAUCAAAGGCUUCUCUUGAUCUUUGAACCAAACAUCUUACUUCAUCUGAUAGUUUUUUUAUUUUGGGUCUGAUCAAAAGUUUAUCAUUUGUUCACUACAAAGUGAGUUUCUCUCUUUUCUUAUAAGAAUUGAAUCCAUAGAUUUUAGAUCUGUGAAAUUUGAGAAGAAGAGUAUCUACCAUUGAUGUCUAACUUGCAAAAAGCUGUAAGCCAAGUAAACCAUGAAUUUGUUUUCGACCCAGAAUAGUCGCUGUGACUCAGUCGCCGAAAUCCCGACAGAAACAGUCUCAAACUUCUCCUGUGUUAGAUCUCUCUCUCAAUCUCAGACAAACCAAGAUUGCUUAUGUUUUAGAUCUCUCUCCAUCUCUGGUUUAGAUACAAAACUGUUCUGAAAAUAAUGGGAAAAGAUAUGAAGGCGAAGACGACGCGUUAAGAUUUUGUUUGUGAGGUUGUUUUUGUUAAUUAUAUAUAUCUAUCCAAAUCUCACCCCAAAAGCUCAGAAUUUUUUCUUCACAUUCUGCACUAAUGUUUCUAUUAAAUUCUUGUUAAAUCAUGUUGCCAUACAAAAUUCUAUAAUAGUGAAUAACACUUGAAUUUGAUAGAACUUAAAAAUUAACAUCUUCAAUAACACAUGAAUUUAAAAGAAUUUACAAAAUCUCUAAUUAAAUAACACUAGAAUUCAACUUUCUAUUAAAUUCUCUCACAUUCCUUAGAUCAAUACCCCCCCUAAGACUAAACACUCAUAAUUAAUAAUCAUACAAAAUCAUUAGUCGAACAAAUAAAAAUAUCACAUCCUCCUCUCGAAUAAUAACGAGACGAGAUCACGUGGAUCUACAGAUAAAGCGAGUACACACCACGCGCCAAUACCGAGAUUGAGAUUUCAAAAUUCGACGAACCAAUUUGCCUCUCUUCACAUGCGAUGCUUCUUCUCUCUUAAGUAUCCACCGUCACCACUCUCUCUUUCUCUUUAGAUUCUCUCUCUACAGAGAAUUCGAUUUUUUUUUUCUAAUCUGAGAAAAAAUGGCGAACGGAGCUAAUAGAGUGGAUCUAGACGGAAAACCGAUAAAACCGAUCACAAUAUGCAUGAUCGGAGCCGGAGGUUUCAUCGGUUCACAUCUCUGUGAAAAACUGAUGACGGAGACGCCUCACAAGGUGCUUGCGCUUGAUGUUUACAACGAUAAGAUCAAACACUUGCUUGAGCCAGAUACCGUUGAAUGGAGUGGUCGGAUCCAGUUUCAUCGUAUCAAUAUUAAGCAUGAUUCGAGGCUUGAAGGUCUUAUUAAGAUGGCAGAUCUGGUAAAAUGCUUCUUCUAUCGAUUUCGCUUCUUUAUCUCUUGUUCUUCGUUGUUUAUGGUUAAGAAAUUAGCAAUGAUAGUGUGAUUGUGAUGAUUGUAGUCUCAGAUCUGAUGAUUCUUUAUCGGAAUUCAGAUAUUUUGCAUUUUGAUUAUCUGCUUAAUUUCGCGAUGUGUUGAGAUCGGGAAUGUUGUGAUGUGAUUCUGAUCUUUGUUUUUUGGAGUUUGCAGACUAUAAAUCUUGCUGCGAUCUGUACUCCAGCUGAUUACAAUACACGUCCUCUUGAUACAAUCUACAGCAAUUUCAUUGAUGCGCUUCCAGUUGUAUGUGUUUUCUUCUUACUUCGUCCAUUGUUUUGUGCUUCGUUAUCAGUUGAAAUUGAUUGGUUUAAUGUGUUGGUUUUGUUAGGUUAAAUACUGUUCUGAGAACAACAAGCGUCUCAUUCACUUUUCUACCUGUGAAGUGUAUGGAAAAACCAUUGGUAGCUUUCUUCCUAAGGAUCAUCCUCUGCGUGAGGUAAUGCCUAUUUGUACCUUUCGCUUUCAACAUGUUGUUGUCUUUCUAUCAAUCAAAUCAAUGAAUGUACUGAGGAACAUGUUGAAGCUGACAUUUUCUUUCGUUUUCCUAGCUACAUUAUGAAUUAUUCAUUGGAUCUAGUAAAACUCAUUUGUUUAAUUCACUUAAGACUUUAGACAGAUUGGAAUAGUUAAUAUUUUCCGUUUUAAGAAUGUGUGGGAUCUUAAGCAUGUAGAAAACAUGGUUUCUUGAACUUCAAUUGCCUAAGGUUGGCUUGAUUGUUUACUAAUGUUGUUUGUUGUGCCUUUCUACAGGAUCCUGCUUUCUAUGUUCUUAAAGAAGAUAUUUCUCCUUGCAUAUUUGGUUCAAUUGAGAAGCAGAGGUGGUCAUAUGCGUGUGCAAAGCAACUGAUUGAGAGACUUGUUUACGGUAAGCAUUUCUGUUUAAGAUGAUGUGUGGUAAGAACCAAAAGGUUUACACUUUGACUUCAUUUGUUUCUUGUGACAGCUGAGGGUGCUGAGAAUGGACUUGAGUUCACCAUUGUAAGACCUUUUAACUGGAUUGGACCUAGGAUGGAUUUCAUCCCCGGCAUUGAUGGUCCUAGCGAAGGUGUCCCACGUGUCCUUGCCUGUUUUAGUAAUGUAAGUGUUCAAAUCAAAGUAUAUAACCCAAUGUUAUCCUGUGUAUAUGCAAGUUUUGAGUUAAUGCAUCUCUAUCUAUCUUUCAGAAUCUUCUACGUCGUGAGCCUCUCAAGCUUGUGGAUGGUGGAGAAUCACAGAGAACUUUCAUCUACAUCAAGGAUGCUAUCGAAGCUGUCCUUUUGAUGAUUGUACGUUCUAUUGCUUAUAUCAUUCUUUGUGGUUUUCGUUUACAAACUGUUUAACUCCAAAGAAGUUCCAACUAAAAACCUGCACUGAUAUAUUGUGUUUGUGGUUCAGGAAAACCCAGAGAGGGCAAAUGGCCAUAUCUUCAAUGUGGGCAAUCCGAACAAUGAAGUUACAGUACGACAGCUAGCGGAAAUGAUGACUGAGGUGAGGAAGAUUGGUUUCAAAACAACCAAAAGAGUUGGAGUUUUCUUUCUUUCUGUGGUUCUGAAAUAUCGAAAUGAAUCAUGUUUCAGGUUUACGCAAAAGUGAGUGGAGAAGGAGCCAUUGAGAGCCCGACGGUUGAUGUUAGCUCCAAAGAGUUUUACGGGGAAGGUUAUGAUGACAGUGACAAGAGAAUCCCAGACAUGACCAUCAUUAACCGCCAGCUCGGUAAUUUCCAUAUUUAACAUGGUGAUGAUAAUGCUUUAAAAUAAAAAUCAAUGGCUAUUCUGAUAGAGUUUGGACAUUGGAAAUAGGAUGGAACCCGAAAACAUCGUUGUGGGACUUGCUCGAGUCGACCUUAACCUAUCAGCACAAGACAUACGCUGAAGCUGUGAAGAAAGCAACAUCCAAACCAGUGGCUUCCUAAACUCUCCAAGACCCAAGUUACCAACAAGACUCGUUAAACACGCAUCAUUUUGGCAUUUUACUCUAUUCGAUUCUAUUUUUUUUUCAUCACAAGAGAAAACCUUUUUAAAAAGAAAACAGUAUAAUCACGGUGGUUCGUAUCAAGUAUAUCUUCUAUAUUUUCGUUACUAGUUUUCUCUUUUUGGUUGGUUUGUUGGCCAUGUAUGUCGCAGCUGUUUGAAAGCAAAAGGUUAAUAGUUUGUAGCCAAUGAUACAGACAGUAAUGUUUGCGUUUAUUAUAUGUUCAAAAUGCUCCGUUUACGUGUUUACGAGUUCAAAUAUUUUUUUGUCUAUCAAGUACAGAAUGUGUUUCUUCCCCUGUUCUAAAAAUCUCCGCUUAUUCCGAUUAGUCUCCGUUUAAUCGCUAGGUCCACCCUCUCCGCUUCGAGUAAUGACUAAUCUCUUAAAAAAAUUCAGUCAUGCGAUUAUUAUCCGUUUUAUCGGAUUAAUUUCCGCCUAAUCCGAUUAAUUUCCGCAUAUUCUUAUAUAUUCCUAUUAUUUUUUUAUUGCAAAUAUAAAACAACAUUUUUUUUUGUUAUUCAAUCAUUGGAAUUGGAAGUUUGUGAUAUUUUACAAUAAUUUAUGUUCAAAUUUUAAUAAAAAUCAUAAUUUUUAAUAAAAAUUCAUAAAAAUUUGCUUUAAAAUAUAUUUUUAUGUGUUUACUGCAAUUUUGAAAACAAUAUUAGAUUAAUAUAUCUUUAAAAAUUAAAAUAACCUUAAAACUAGUCCCCUAUUAAUUCCCGAUUUUAAUCCGAUUUUUUGAUUAAUCGCUAGGCCCAUAUCGAACGUCCGACUAACGCCUAGCGAUUUUUCAAACAAGGUUUCCCCAGUAAAAAUAAAUAAGUAGAUGUUGACUGGUUAUAUAAGUUAAUAAUAAAUAAAGUAACAGGUAGCGUCUGUAGUCCAACGGUUAGGAUAAUUGCCUUCCAAGCAAUAGACCCGGGUUCGACUCCCGGCAGACGCAUUUCAAUUUUGGAGAUUUUGAAUGUUUAAUUUCAUUCGUUUUGCCACACAUUUCUGCCUACUUUUUCUUCGUUCCUUUUUUUAAACAUCUUUUUAAUCUUUACUUUACAAACGAAUGUUGUUGUUAUUAUUGUUUACAAUAGGGAGUAAAAAAGAAAGGACAUUGACUAAUUGAACUACUUCCGUUUUUAACUCUUUUAUUACAUAUACGGAUAUACUCUACUUUAGUAUUGCGAUCAAGAUUAGAUUAGAACUUGUCGACAUCAGCAAUCAUCACUGAAAAAUUUAUGGACUUGAAAAGCAAAAAUGAUUUUGAAAUUCGAAUAACACAAAUCAUAUUUCAUUUAGGGGGUGUUAUUCAAUGGUGGAGUUAAAAUCAAUUCUUUAAGGUUUAGAUUUGUUUUCUGAUAUUGGUUUUAAGAAUCUGUUUGUGUGGAUUUCAAAAUCUCUGCAAUAUAUCUUGGAUUUUGAUUCUAAUAAUUUACUCAUGAAACUCCAAAGAGGUUUCAUUUGAAAUGACUUAAUAUACAAACAUUUUACAAAUUUUUAGUUUUGAAUAACACUGAAUUUUACAAACCUUAAAGAAUUGACUUUAACUCCACCAUUGAAUAACACCAAACUUUUAAAAUCUAAUGAAGUAUAAUAUCUAAUAACACCAGAUUUAAACGUUAGAUUUAUAAUCAUUAGUUAAAUAACACUGGAUUAGUGUUGGAUUUCAAUUCUAUUAAAAUCCAUCAUUGAAUAACACCACCUUAAAGUUUUAAACCAUUAAAACUCCAAAACGACAGAAUAAUCCCAAAAUUUUCAACCCCAAAAACCUCAUAAGUCACUCAAACAUUCACCAAUAGGGUAAAGUAAACUAUCCAAAAUUUUGAAUAAUAAAAACAAGUACAAAUUUCUAUGGAAAAAUGUGAUUUGGUGUGUGCAUAUAUCCUCUACUUUUUGCAGGAAGAACCACAAGGGAAUGGACAUCUCUUUUUCCCUCCUACACCAAAAUGGUUUUAAACCAAAUCAAUAAUCCAAAUCAUACUCAAAGUUAUAUCUUUAUAUAUCUGAACUUUUAGUUUUAGUUACCUGAUGACUUGUUCUUGUCUCCACCUUUAGGUAUCCCAUGUAUACCAUUUGACAUCUUCUUGCUCGGAGGAACCUGUGCUUCAGCCUCUACGUCUUCUUCAUCCGAAGACUCAUCAUCCUCGUCCAAACCCAUCUAACCAAACAUACAGAAAAAAAACAAUCAAGAUUAGCUUUUUAUACUGAUUCAUUGCUUAUCAGUAACUCCUUCAAGUAAAAUCUACCUCAUCUGAGUCGUCGGAUGACCCAUCUUCUUCAGGAUUCAUCUCAUUAUUCAUCUCAUUUUGAGGCAAAGCAUCUUUUCAACAAUAUCAAAGUUAGGAUUCAUAAUAAACUUUAAUUACCACAAAGCAAUAGCUUAGUAAAGUAAACAUACCAAUUUGUUGUUCCAUAAAUUCCUCUAACUCAGAAUCUACAAAAACCAAAAGCAAAAGAUUAGCUUCAAGCUUCAUAAUAGAUUAAAUCAAAUUAUUGACUAAGAAUUAUAUAUAACUCACCGGAAUCAAUCUCCUCAUCCGUGAGCAACAGCAAAAAAACAGAGCAAAACAAAAUCAAGGAUAAACAAACAAAGCUUGAAAUUGCAAGUGACCAUGAAUUGAACUAAAAAAAAGGCAAUGAAACAAAGGAUAUUGUUCGUCCAUAGGGGUCCUGUAGCCAAUAAGAUAGACACUUGUUUUAGAGUUGUGAGAAAUCUCAAACUCAUGCCCUAAGAAGAUAUCAAGAGAAACUUGAGGAAACUUCUGCGAGAGGUUUCCAAUGAUAAACCCACUCUUAUCAUCACCAAUCUUCACAUAAACGGGAACAUUCUCAUCUUCUUUAACCUUGUCAACCUCACCAAGAGUAACCUAAGAGAUGUUACAACAAGUAACAGAAUCAAUACCAAUCAUGUUUACACAAAGAGAGAAACUUGCAGGAAUUACAAAACUGAUACAGACCUGAUUGGCAUGGACCAUGUAUCCAUCUUUUGAAAUCAUCUUAAAAGGCUUCUCUGGCUUAAUCUCAAUACCUAAAAUUGAACAUUAUUCAUCACACAUUGGGUACAAAUGCAAACAAAAUCUCAAAAAGACAGAUGCUUUGAAAACAUAAACUCACAAAGAUAGAUGCUUUGAAACAAAAUCUCACAAAGAUAGAUGCUUUGAACAUAAACUCACAAAAAAGAUGCUUUGAAACAUAAACUCACAAAGAUAGAUGCUUUGAAACCUAAACUCACAAAGAUUGAUCUUUUGAAACCUAAACUCCAAGAAUACUAAUACUAGCAAACAAUUAUACAGUUUUCGAAUGCAAGACAAUGCUUAUUGACUAAUAGAGAGAAUUCAACACAGAUUUUUGAACACAACACAAGACAGAGGUAUUCAAUAGAACUUAAUAAAGGUAUAAUUUUUAGAGAGACAUACCCCAAAACUCCAUAGCUAGUGAAAGAGGAAGAUGUGGAGGUGUGUGUGUGUGUGUGUGGCUGCUUUGAGAAGAAGAAUUUAGGGUUUUAGAGUUUGUAGGAAACAAACAAAAAAACUAUGGAGCGGCUUAUUUAUAAGGAUGCUCUUUAAAAUUCCUUUUCGCAGGUAGGGGUUUUUUUUUUUUUUUUUUUCACUAAAGAUUAUGUAUAUUAAAGAUCAACAGAAUACACAGCCCACAGGCCCAGUACAUCACAUCUUGUAAAAGGAAGGAUAAUCUCUAAUACAAUACACGUUCUUAAAACAACGACACGUGGAAUCAACGUGUUGCAAGAGAAAUGAUGAAACAUUCCUUCAUCCUUUGCCGACAAAAGCUCCGAUCCGGUGAACGCAAUCGACGCCGGUAUAACAGCGAACAUCGAUUUUAGUUGUUAUUCACCAGAGACUGCUAAGACAGGGAGAGAGGAUACAAAAACAGAGACUUCAACCCCAUCCGUAUGCCAAAUCAUCAAACAAGAAAUCCGGCGAAUAUCGGGUAAAAAGGAUAGAAAAUCUGAUUGAUCCUCAAAAUUUGAUCAUCGAAGCACCAAUUACAUGUAGAACGGCUACAGGCAAUCCAAAUAUGCUGGAAACAAAACUUCCUUUCAUUACUUUGGCGAUCCUGCAAAUCGAGUUUUCUAGAGAUACAAGCCGGCGAGAAUAAUCUUAAGUGACUAACACCUAAAACUAGUCACCAACUGAAAUCCAUAGAAUUAUUGACAGAUAAACGAAAGAGAAACUAAAAACAAUCGGUAUACAAACCGAUCAACGGCUAAAGAAAUAUAAAAGCCGGCCAAAACCGCUAGUAGAAGCCAGAUUUGCCGGACGAAAGCCAGCCAUCUUGGCUAACAGAGCCAUAAGAUGCCGGACGAAAGCCCGAAUCACUCGGGACGGCUGUUCACCGGAAAAAUCCCGCCGGUAGGGUUUUACGACAGUUUUGGAAAACAAUUUUUUUUAUUAUUCUUUUCGGUAUGCUAUGUUAAUGGGCCUUAAUUUUUAGUGGGCCUAUUUUUGAUCGGCCUUAUUAGAUAUCUUGUAAAGCCAUGUCGUAUGAGUUGCCUGCAAAUGAUGAUUUGCUCAUAUUGGAUGUGCGUAAGUUAAACUUAAUGCUACCCAAAUUGCUUUGGCACAAAGGUUUUUUUUUUUUUUUUUUUUUUUUUUUCAUGUAUUAAAUUUAAAAAACUAGUGAUCAAAAUUUUUGCUAGAUGCUAAUCGGACCACUAAAAAAAAUCUAGUGCCUAGCCAAUUAAUCAGGGGAUUUGUUUUUUUUUUUUUGAGUUUUUUAAUAGUAUUUUAUUUAAGAAAUAAAACUAUGUAUAUGAUUCUGAAGGCUGAACACUGCUUUUGAUAUAAACUAGGUGUUAGUCCACGCGACGCGUGGAUUAUUCUAUAAUGGCUUCUAUUAUAUUUCUAAAAAAUAAUAAAAAAAUAACAUUUUUUUUCAACUAACAUAGUAAAAAAAAAUUAUUUUUUUUCUAGAAAAUUAAAUCUCAAAAUUUCCUAUAUGGCAACGAUGUGGAAGUUAAAUGGUCAAAUAAAAACAAAGUGAAACCUUGCAUUUUUGUCAAAUUUAUUUAGUAUGGUUAUUUAUCAUACCAAAUUUAAAAUAAAAUGAAAAAUCUAUAGAACAAACUUAGAAAAAUAAAACAAACAAAAGUAUUACAAAAUUUAUAGGAUAUAUUAAUAUAAAAAUAUAUACAUUUUUCCUAAUUUAGUGAACACCUAUGUUGAUCAUAUUUAAUUUAAUUAACACCCAUGAGGCUAUAUAUAUAUUUAUAAAUUUAAUAAACAAUAAUAAGAAAUUUUUUAUUAAAAUUUAACUGAAAAUAUUUCAUCUGGAAAGACAAGUAAAUUACGAUGUUAACCUAUUAUUAUCAUACCUAUCAUCAUAUUUCACCAUUUUCCGAGAUUAUCCGAACACUUGCCUCAAGUUAGCCACCAUUUGAACUUUAUAAACCUUGUGCUCUACAUCUGUUUGUGAAGUUCUGAUUCCAUGAACCUCCAUAACCGUUCCUCUUCCUUUCAAAACUUUGUUUUCCUAUCAUACAUAUCCUCAUUUCUUUCUCAUGGAUCCUUGCUUGCUUUUAUAAUUGACUUUAUUUUCCAUCACUCAUUUCUUCAUAUACAUUUAAUGGCUUAAAAUGCAUUUGAUUCUUUCACAUCCUCCUCAGUAGUUUUUAGUUCUACCAUAUUGUGAAGAAUAUGGUUUGGAGAAGAUGCAAAAAAUUCAUCAAUUACAUUUAGGACAAAGCAAAAACCAAAGAAGAUCUUAAAGGAAAAAAAAAACAAAAAACAAAAGAAGAUAUACAUAACCAAGACUUAACUAACAAUAGGAAAUUAAACAAUAUAAAAUAUUUCUCAAAAACUAAAAGGCUGAACUCUAGAGCUAAUAUGAGUCCAAAACUAAAGUGCACAUCUAAAUAUAUAUACAAGUGAUAUUUCCAUGUUAGUAUUACGUUAGACUGAUAUUACUUUUUUUUUUAGAGUUUUUAGUUGACCGUUAGAAAAAUGAGAAUUCAAUGCCUAAGCUAAUGAUAAUGUGCAUUUAUUCAUGAAUUCGAAAAUUAUGAUAAUGUGAAUUCAAUCUCGUUUUAUAUUGUAUUUUAGAGUCAUUUAAUAAUAUUGUCUUAUAUUUACCAUUCAAUUUAUGAAUUGUAGUCAAUAUAUAUAAUCAAAUAUUUAAUGUAUUUUAGUGGGAGAAUGAAGUUUUUGUAACUAUUGGGUAAGAGUUACACUUGGAUUAAAUAUGGAGUUAUAAUGUGCAAUGAAGUUUUUUUAUAAUUUACAUUUGGAUUAAAUGUGGAGUUUAACCAUGGCUUUGAAUAUGAGUUAAUUAGAAUUUAGAAAUAAAUAUUAUAAUUUUGUUUUGUUUUGCUUAUGCGUGGCUUGUUGCAUAUUUUCAUUCAUUAACAUGUAAAAUUAUUAUGCAUAUAUUAACAUUUUUAGAUAUGGUGGAGGAAAAUAAGAAAACUAAAAAUGUUUAUUUAUACAAUGAUGAAUGAUGGAAGUUACAUUUACAAAAUAAAUGCAUUUAAAGAGUUAUAAAGUUUGUAAAAUUAGUAGGAAAACUAUUCAAAUUAUAAUUAUGGUCAAUGCGAUGAAAAAAAAAAACAUUAUGGUCAAUGUGAGUUUAAUCACAUAGUAAAUGUAUUUUAGUAGUGUUGGGUGAUGUCUUAUAUUUAUUUAGUAUGAGUUAUUAAUAUUGGUUUUAUAUAAGCCAAUGCUGAGGAAUAGUUUUUACAUAGGUAAUAAUAUGGGGUUGGGUACGAAUAUUUUGUGUCAAAUUAUAUAAUGAUCUACUGGAUAAAAACUAAAUGUAAUGGUGAGUAUAUUAAAAAUAUUACAAAAAUAUAUUUGAGAUAAGAAAAAAGUAAGUUAAGAAAUAAAGAAAUUAAAACAUACAAAAAUUGAAUAAAAAUAAAUAUAAUAAAAAAUAUUUUAUAUAAUUGUCUAUUGGAAUAACAAACUAAACAAAAUGAUGGUGAGUAAUUAAAAAAAUAUUACAAAACAAUUAUUGAGAUAAAAACAAAACAAUACAAAAAUUGAAUAAAAUAAAUAUAAUAAUAAUAUUUUAUAUAAUUGUCUAUUAGAUUAACAAACUAAACAUAAUGGUGAUGAGUAUAUUAAAAAUAUUUGAAAACAAUUAUUGAGAUAAAAAAAAGUAGGUACAAUUUCUUUGAUAAAUGUAUUACAAUAAUUAUUUCAGUUUAAAGAUACAUGAAUAUGUAAAAAAAUAACUAAAUGUCUAACGUAGAUAUUGGAGAUGAAUUUUUUCAACUUGAUCUCCUUGUUGUGCUAUUGAUUGAAUUGCUCUUUUUGAAUUUCCAUCGAUAAAUAUGAAUUUUUUGUUAUAACCAUCAAAAAAUUUAUUUACAUAAUAAUUUUGAAUUAAAGAAUAUUCUAGUAACACAUUAUAAUUAAAAUAAAAUUGGAAAAAUGUAAUAUACAUACCAUAUCUAGACAUAAAAUUUAGAAGCAAACUCUUAUAAUGAUGUCUCAAUUGAUUUUUCGACCAAUGCAACAACAUAAGAUUGAAAAAAAGAAAGUAGAGUAAUACUUAUGAUUUGAGAUAUGGUAGAUGAGGAUGAGAAAGUGAUUACUUAUAGGAUGAGAUGAUGGAAGUUACAUUUAGAAAAUAAUUAAAUUAGGGGGUUACAAUUAAAAUUAAUAGUGUUGUUGAAUGACAUUGAGUGGAGACAAAUAUUUAAUACAUAAUUUAUAUAAUUUCAGUUAUAAUUAUAAUUUCAGUUACAAUUUAGUACUUAAAAGUAGAUUAAUAUGUAUGAUUAAAUAUGUUAUAUUUAUACUUUGAUUGGAUAUAAAUAUUAUUAAUUUUAAUUUUAGUUUUUAAAAUAAUUGCCAAGUGGACCAAUCAUGGAAGAGUGAAACACUACUUUUAUAUGUAUGAUUAAUUAGAAACUAAUUAAAGAGAGAAAUAGAGAGAAAAUGUUGAUUAAACAAAUAAGAGAAGAAGAGCAACACGGUAUCAAAUUGGGAAAAAUGUCGUUUUAUCUCCCAACUUUUAAAAAGUGGCCAAUCAAUACGUCAACUUCAUAUGUGGCCAUUUAAAACAUGAAAUAAACGUUGACUAACGUUUGAGACAUGAAAAUUCGUUGACCAGGCCAAAAUAGACAUGCCGUUAUCAGUCGUUAACGGAACCUCUAACGCCCGUUAUCACCCGUAACGACUCUGUUAAUCAACUUUCAAAUUGUGGCCAUUUUAAACAUCAACUUCAUAUGUGGCCAUUCAAAACAUGAACUAAUCGUUGACUAACAUUUGAAACAUUAGAAUUCGUUCACCAGACCAAAAUAGACAUGUCGUCAUCAUUCGUUAACAGAACCUAUAACAUCCGUUAUCACCCGUUAACGACUCUGUUAGUAUGUCCAAAGAGAUUUUUCCCAAAUGAAAACACCAAAUCCCCAAAUCUAUUUCUACAACAGCUCAAAGAAGAUGAAUAGUCCUAUUAUCUCUAUCUCCAUUUCUGAAAAGCUAUAUUUAGUCUAGGCCUGGGCAUAAUACCCGAAUCCGAAGAACAGAACCGAACCCGACCCGAAAAAUCCGACCCGAACCCGAACCCAAAGUUUUAAAAUACCCGAACGGAUUCUAAACUUCACAACCCGAAAACCCAAACCCGACCCGAACUCGAACCCGAACAAAUACCCGAAUAUACCCAAAAUAUAAGUACAUAGUUAUAAUAUAUUAGUAAUAGUUAUACUGGUAAUAACCUAAGUGCCAAAAUUAUUCGGAUGUUAAGAUAUUUUCGGGUGUUUUAGCUAAUUUGGGUUAGAUUCGGGUUAAAAUACUUGGGUUUUAUAGAUUUUUUGAGUAUUUUUCAAUACUUUGCAUAGAAUCGGAUACAAAAUUUCUAAUAUUUGGAUACUUUGGGUAAACCCGAAUCUGAACCCGAAAUACCCGAUCCAAACCUGACCCGAACCCGAAGUUUUAAAAUACCCGAACGGGUUUUAGUUUUCUAAACCCGAAAAACCCAAACCCAAAAAACCCGACCCGAACCCGACCCGAAUAUCCGAACGCCCAUGCCUAAUUUAGUCCUAUGAUGGGUCUACAAGUUUGCUUCCAUGAUUCCUUUUUAGAUUUAAAACAAAUAUAUAAACGAUGUUUGCUUCCAAUUACUGGCUCUACGAUUGUCUCUAUAUCAAACCAUGUCCUUGGAUUAUGUUUUAAACAAAAAAUUUGUCCUGAUUUUCUCUCGAUUAUUUUCAAAACGACGUCGUUUUGGACAUACUAACAGAGUCGUUAGCGGGUGAUAACGGAUGUUAUAGGUUCUGUUAACGAAUGAUGACGACAUGUCUAUUUUGGCCUGGUCAACGAAUUCUAAUGUUUCAAAUGUUAGUCAACGAUUAGUUCAUGUUUUGAAUGGCCACAUAUGAAGUUGAUGUUUAAAUUGGCCACAAUUUGAAAGUUGAUUAACAGAGUCGUUACGGGUGAUAACGGGCGUUAGAGGUUUCGUUAACGACUGAUAACGGCAUGUCUAUUUUGGCCUGGUCAACGAAUUUUCAUGUUCCAAACCGUUAGUCAACGUUUAUUUCAUGUUUUAAAUGGCCACAUAUAAAGUUGACGUAUUGAUUGGCCACUUUUUGACAGUUGGGAGAUAAAACGACAUUUUUCCCGUAUCAAAUUGGUUUCUUAGAAGUGUCUGACUUUAGGGAUAAGGUUGGCCAAUGUCGUUAUUUACAUAAAACGAAAGCAAAGUUCUAUUAUUAGAGGUCCAAAAACCAAAUAUAUCUUACAACCAAAAAAGAUAAUAUAAAAUAUGCAAUCUUCUAUUAUAUUCAGUUUGUAAUUAUUACCCAUUUUCGUGGCAAUAUUCAUCCUCUUAACUUUAUAAAUUCUCAAUUACAACAAAAGUAAUUUUGUCCAUAACACCAACAAUAAAUAAAUCCUAUCAUAAUGGAUUCAUAUUGGUAAAAUUUAGAACUUUCUAUAAUCAUCUUGGUAGAAUAUAAUUUGAUUAAAAUACAUUAUACACCACAAAUUAAUGAUUUUCAUUUUUUUUUUUUGGUGAAUCACCGGGAGUUAAACUCCCGGAUAUUAUUAUUAAAAAAUAGAAAAAAAUUACAAAAUAACUUGUCUCGGCCUCGGUGGCCCAAAAACAUCAUCCCGUGUAAGCUCAUCCAAACACGGGGGUACAGAAGAAAACGAAUGAAAACCUAAGGGCAACGAAAAUGCAUAGUUUGCUAACCCAUCCGCGAGACGGUUAGCUUCUCUAUACACAUGUGAAAUUCGGACUAGCCAGUCCUUCGAUAAAAAGCCAUAGCACAGACGUACUAGGAAGGACAAGGGAUGAGAAUCCCCAAUCCCUGUCGUAAGAAACUCCACCACCAUCUCAGAAUCCACCUCCAAUUCCAGUCUUGUAAUGCGCUGCUCCCAAGCUAUGUAGAGUCCAUAGUAUACUCCCCAUAACUCCGCCAAAGGCGCCGAACACCUGCCAAUAUUCAGCGCGAAGCCUCCGCACCACUCUCCCGCUUCAUUCCGUAAUACUCCCCCAGCUGUAGCUAGUCCCGGAUUGCCAUGUGACGCGCCAUCAGUGUUUAAUUUGAACCAGCCCGUUGGCGGAGUCACCCAUUUGAUCAUCUUCUCAACCCGAACAGCCUUGGUUACACCGUUACCAUUCAAGACUUUGGCCGCCAUUACCUCUUUCGCCAAUUCCUUGAUGAACCGUACCCUGUCCUUCCAAACCCGAUGUCACCGAAAAUGUUCCCACAUCUCCAUUUUNNNNNNNNNNNNNNNNNNNNNNNNNNNNNNNNNNNNNNNNNNNNNNNNNNNNNNNNNNNNNNNNNNNNNNNNNNNNNNNNNNNNNNNNNNNNNNNNNNNNAUGGGACGAUGCGUAUCCAAAUUCCUGCCAUCGCUGGACAAUCACGGAGCACAUGAAUAAUGGACUCCACACCAUUCUUGCAAAUCUGACAAAUCUCGGUGUCACACAAAUGUCUCCUGAAUCUCUCCACAUUAGUCAUAACCACUUGCUUCCCAACCAGCCAUAAGAACACACGUACUCUUUCUGGUGCAAUUACCUUCCACAACCGCUCGUAAAACUUAUCCAUAUGCUGUCUUGGAUAUUCAUCUCUUGUUAUCAGCUCAUAAGCUGAUUUAACAGUAAAUUUCCCAUUAGUCGUCGCUGCCCAUGAGAAUCUAUCUUUAGCUCCUGUUACCGUAUCCAAAACAACUGCAGCAAGCUCCAAACGCCUAUUCUCGGAUAUAUAAGGCGUUUCUACAUAGAAAAUAUAUACAGAUUACCAAAUUUAUAUAUAUUUUUUUUUUGUUAAAGCCCAAAUUUAUAUAUCCUUUUCCUAAAAAUGGAACUAAUUCGAAAAAAGCAAUAAUCCAAAAUGAUUAAAAACUUCUAGAAUCCCAUAAAUUUGAGCCAAUGAAAACCAGUUUUAGCCACUUUCUCAGCUUCCUUUGAACAAGAUUCCGAUGAUGAACCACCGCCGAUAAAGCCUCCGGUCUCUUUCCGGCCACAUAAGAAAAAGUUCCUCGACCCAAGCGAUAUCAGCUUCUCCUCUCUUCCAAUACUUUCAAGACUAAACUGAGAAUAAUGAAGAUCAAAUCUUGACGGUUCAGAUUCCGGUAAAAAUGGCCGGCGAGCUUCUUUAACAUACUGACGAAUCGCGGCGUCGAUUAGAUCACUCACGGUGGAUUCCGGCGAGAUUAUAAUUUGUACAGCUCCUAAACUUCCUUGCACCGUUACGUUGAGUAAAAGUUUCGUUAGACGCGGCGGGAACGAUUCCGUCACCGGUCCGGUGAUGCUUUGACCGGUGGAGAAUAACUCCGGUAAUGUUUUCGGUCUUCGAAGCUCUCCUGGAUUCGAUACCGGCGUUGUUCCUCUGCCGUGAAACGACAUCGCUUUCUCUGAUAACUUUCUCCGGUGAGACUUCUCUGUUUCCGGCGUUGUUUUCCGGUUACCGUUCUUCAUGUUUUAUAGAUUUUUUAUCGUAUGAAGCUUGGAGAUACGGUGGCGCUCUCGUGUUGUCGCCGGUCACCGGAAGAAGCUAAUAACAUAAAGUCAGAGUGGCAAAACUGUAAAUAGUGGAGGAUGGUGAGGGUAUAAAGAUAAAGAGUAAUGGAAUGUGAGAGAAUAUAUGGAGUUGAAAGAGUGAAGUAUAUAUAGUGGAUUUGUAGAUAAUGAAACGGUGAAUAACUCCAGUUUUACCCGGUUUAACUUUGGUAGGGCUUACAUAAGUCUUGGUAGGGCUUAUAAUUUGUAAACUAACAAAACGAGAUAUAUAUAUAUUUUUUUUUUUGACAUCUUUGGAUCGACAAGGCCCGAUCCAUAGCCAAUUCCUACUACGCGGGGUAACGCGUACUUAGUGGAGUCGAACUCCGGUGGGGAAGGCGGAGUUAAGUGGACUUAACCACUUGACUAAAUGCACAUUCCCCAAAACGAGAUAUAUUUAUAUCGUCUAUUUUAUGAAAAAACAUAAAUGAGGAAAGCAAUGUAAAUACAUACUACAUAAUUAAAAUAUUUAAGUUUUCUAACAUGCUUUUAUUUCACAAAACAUAGAGAAAAGUUGUUUGUAGCAUGCUUUAAUUUCAUAAAAGAUAAAUAAAUAAUGGAUUCACUCAAUGCUUUCAAUUCAUUUAAAAAUAUACUAGUUCUGUUCCUAAAAGAAAAACCAACAUUAGUUUUUUUCUUGUUUCAUGAAAAUUGAUUUUUAAUUUAUGUAAUUUUUAUUAAUUAAUGUUAACAAGUUGUAAACUUCAAGAUAUAUAAUAGAUGGGAAUAUUUGAAUAUAGGAGUUAUUCUUGGUUCAUAAUAGCAUAAAUAUUUGUUUUGACGUGAAAAAUGACGCAUUAAAUAUUACUAUUUUUUUUAAUAUAUGCAAAAACAAUUAAAAUUAAUCUUUUACUAAAAAUGGAAGUAUAUAAUUAAAAAUCAUAUGCAAUUUUCUGUUACUAAUGGUAACAAUGUGCAUGAAUAUAAUAAAAUUCCAACUGAAGGGAAUGAACUUAUUCUCAUAAUUACUUUGAUUUCACAAAAGAUUACAAUUUACAAACAAUAAAUUGUGUUGACCAAACUAAAAAAGAAUACUAAAAUCAAUUAGAAACAAUAACAAUCAUUGAGCAUUUCAAGAGGUGAACACUAUAUUACAAAGUAACCAAUGAAACUAACAAAGAGUCGAAUCCAACCAAAACCUAGUCCAAAUUGGUUUCUACGACCAGUGGAUAAUAAUAAUGGAAUUCAUAAAAAUUCAGAGCCACCGGUUAAACCUGGACCCAGUACCGUACUCACACACAUAAUUAAACCUCCGGUUCACCUCCUAUAGCCGGUUCCCUUCUCUCAUAAAUUUUCAAGCAAUUUCUGAGAGCAUGAUUAUUGGUAGUAUCUUAGAAAUAUCACUUAGCAAUAUUUAAGUAAUAUAUUUGUAAAAGUGAUUGUUAAGAGAUAGUAUUUUUGAGUUAAGAUUUUUGUGUGAUAAUGGUAGGCUCUUAACAUGUGGUUCUUAGAAAAAAAAAUAUUAAUAUAAAAAUAAAAUUUAUAAUUAUAGAAAAUUUAAUAAUUGUUGCAAAUUAAAAAAAUUAAAACAUACAUGAAAUACAAUUUAUAACAUAAAUAACAUAAAACACAAAUGUUUUAAACUUAAUUUCUGGAAUAUUUUGUCUAUAUAUACUCGAGUUUCGUUUUUUCUGGAAUAUUUUGUCCAUAAAGAAAAAAACACGGUUUCGUUUUUUUUUGUUUAUAUAUUUAAUGCAUCGAUCCCUGAAACGCUGACACAUGUCCACCUCUUAAGUGGGUUUUUGUUCCUUAGCUAAGAAACGUUUCUUAGCUAAGGAACGUUUUUUAGCUAAAGAAUUUUUCUUAAGGUUAAAACACAUUUUAGAUUAAAUUAUAUUGAAUUUAAUGUUAACAAAAGCCUAAGAUUUUUCUAUGAGUCUCCUUUUAAUCAUGCUUAAGACUCUUGCAAGGUUCAACGAACAAACUUAGGCCUAGCCGCCUAGGCCUACAAGGCCAAGUCUCUCUUAAUUACAGACAAAUUAAAUAAAUAAAAGACUGUGUAACAUACAAAAUACACAUGGCAGGAACAGAAAGUGAAGAUGGGACCAAACGGCCGACAAAACUGAAAGAUGCCGGAGACGUGACCAAUCUCAUCCUCUUCAACUUGCUUUGCGAUUAGUCCCCUCAAUAAUUGCAUAGUAUAUAGUGACAUCAUUUGGACAAUUAUGUUAUAUAAUAAUAUAACGAUUUAAAUUAAAGAAUCAAGAACAACAUUAACUAUUGGAACUAAACUUGACUUAUCAAGGCAUAACAUAAAAUAGAUACAAUUAUUUUUGUUGGGCAUAGCAUUACGUAAGUAAACCUCAUGGGCCAUGGCAACAGAUUAUGUGACCAACUUAUGUGAGGUUUAACGAAAUAUCUAAUUUUAAACUAAUCAAAAUAGGAGUGGACCUAAUAUUAGUGCUUUUCUGGUAUGUAUACGAGCUUCUUCACUUUGAUGCUUCACGUGGCCUAAUUUAAAAAGUGUUUUGUGUUUUUAAUCAUACAAAAUGCAAAGCCGGAACAGACCAUUGUUUUGUGUUUUUAAUUUCUAGUAAAAAAGUGUAUGAUUGAAAAUACAAUUUUAUUUAGAAAGAUUGAAUCUUACGGCGGCUAGUAUAUAAUAAGAAGGAUAUUUUGUUAUCACACAUAAUAGAAACGUGGCUACAAAUUUGAUAGAUAGGCUUCCACGAUUCUAACCCAAUUUGCAUUUGAAUUAUGAUGCUUUAUUUUAUUUUUUAGCAGAAAAAUGUUCUCUCUUUUAUUUUUGGCUCUUUGUUUGGGAUGUUGCCUCCCCCGGAUGAUAGCAACUCAAGCUUCAUUUCCAUUUUUUGUUCAUAUUUAUUAUCGAAGUUUACAUUAAUAUUUUUUUUUUAUAUUUUGUAUUUGCUAUAGUUUAAAAUCAAUAGAGAAAAUGUCGGUUCUUUCUCUUCUUUCUCUUGAAUUUUUUAGAGAGAGACCGACUAACUUGUUAUAGUCCGGAUAUUUUCUGGUUAUCAAUUUUCGUUUAAUGGGCUCUCUUCCAACACUCACCAAAUCUUUUGUGGUGUUUGGUUGGCUUGUAUCCGAUAUCGAUUUGACUUCCAUAGUUUCGAUGAUCGGUGUGGCCGUCGGCGAUUCUUGCCGCUUUGCUCUCGGUUGUUCAUGACCGAGUAAAGUUUAUGUUAUGGUGGUCAAUGAUGUGUCCAAGCCACAUACUCUUGAAAUCAAUUUUGAUCCCUAGCUUUCAUGCGUCUUCAAAUCCUUCAGAUUUAGCUUCUCUUCCCUAGACCUUCAACCGAUUGAUCCCAAUCUCUCAUCUCUUAGAUGGGUGAUGUUGCGGUUAGGCGGCUCCUUCAGCUUCCUCCAACAAGAAUUCACAAUCAGAUUUGGGUCAAGAUCUGAAAGGUCUACUUUUGCUUAUCGGUGUCAACAUGUUUUUGAUGGUUCCAAAGCUUCAUCAUCGAAGCCUCAUCAAAUUGGGUUUGCAAGUAGAUGUUUUAUUUUCUUACGUCGAUUUAAUAACAAGAGAGGACGAGUAGUUCAGAGUUUUCCGGCGGUUAUGGCGAUUUCCGUCAUCAAAACCAAAAUUCAGUUCUCGGAAAAGAAGUAAUUGUGUUUUCAGAUGCUUCUCAAAGGAAUUAUCUAGGGGUUAAUUAUUAGAUUUCGUUUGUUUGAUUGUGGUUUUGUGCGUGUAAUUGGCUUAUGUUAUUGUACUUUUGGUUUGUGUUUUACCUCCGGGGAAUUCUCGUUUCCGCCAGCUAAAUAUCCGGGGACUUACAUGUGUCCUCCGGCUUUGUAUCAUACGUAAGUUUCUCUUCCUUCAUUUGAAGGUUUGAAUAAAAGUUCGAUUGUGAAAAACAAAUAGUUUAAAAUCAAUAUAAAAUCCGACUCUUCUGUUCGAUCGACUCGUGCAAUCAAAACAAAGAUUUUGAUCCCAUUUUCUUCAAUCCA
rnacentral:lncRNA from 1 species